rnacentral:lncRNA from 1 species
UUACAGUUGGUGGAGGUGCUGAUCUUGUAAGGGAGAUUGACCCCACAUUUGCCCGGGAGUGAUGCUGCAUUCUCCGGAUUGAAUUGGGUCGAAGCAGCCACUGAUUUGAGGCAAUUGCAAGCUGUUUGUUUGUCAGCGGUGCUUUGAGCCAACGCCACGAGUCCCUUGACUCCGUUGCAGCAUGUUCCAGGAACAGCUCCACCGGACUGCAGGUAAGUGAGGCAUGGAGCUAGGCUACUAACAACCUGUCCACAUGUUAUGGUAGCCUGUGCAAUGGGUGCACCCACCACUACCAUGCACAUUAGAACCAUACAUGCUACCUUAAUGCUUGCCAUUACUUUACAAACUAAUUUACAGUGUAUUUGCUUUUAUAUAUUGCUUACUUUACUUGGUGAGUAUAUACCAUGCAGGGUUAGGGGUUUAUAUCUAGCAAGUUACCCGUGCAUUUGCACGGGACGAUAGUUUUUGCCGCAUGAUUAAGAACACAUAUUACGUGUGCAUUUAUGAUUAAGAAUAUGUAUGUUGCUCGUGCAUUCGCAUGAUUAAAACCAUAUAUGUUACCAGUGCAUUCAUAUAGCUAAAAAUUAUUAAUUAUAUAUAAAAUCAUACGGUUAGAUCAUACAGUUUAACUGUUUAAAUCGGAUAAACUUAAUAUGGGUCAUCUACUGGUUUAACAUCUUGCUCGACUUUCUCAACAUUGUUUUUUACACAUACAUAACAUGAUAUAGUUAGUAGUAUCCUAUUAAUCAAAAAAAUCAUCAAUAAAUUUAUAAUUUCAUUAUUAUUUGAUUCUAAAAUAAGAUUAGUAUAAAAAUAAAUAUUAUUUAACUCUAAAAUAGCUACAAACAAUAUGUUAUUAUUCAUAUUAUUAUUAUUAUUUUAAUAUUGUUAUAGUAACAUUAUAUUUUAAUAUUGCAUAGGUAAUCAUAUUCAUUGUAUUUUUAAAUAAAUCACAUGUAAUGAGGGCUUGAGAGAUUGACAGAUGUCAUGAGUGAGUUCUUGAGAGAUUGACACAUGUCAUUAAGAGAUUUACAUAUGUCAUGAGGGAUCUUUAGUUUUGAUGAGAGGUUGACACAUGUCAUGAGAGUUUGAGAGAUUGACACAUGUCAUGAGAGAGUUUUUUUAUUUAAAACGGUAUAUGUUACCAGUGCAUUCAUAUUGUUAAAAAUUAUUAAUUAUAUAUAAAAUCAUACGGUCAGACCAUACGGUUUAACUGUUUAAAUCGGAUAAACUUAAUAUGGGUUAUCUACUGGUUUAGCAUCUUGCUCGACUUUCUCAGCAUUGUUUUUUACACAUACAUAACACGAUAUAAUUAUUAGUAUCCUAUUAAUCAAAAAAAUCACCAUCAAUAAAUUUAUAAUUUCAUUAUUAUUUUAUUCUAAAAUAAAAUUAGUAUAAAAAUAAAUAUUAUUUAACUCUAAAAUAACUACAAACAAUAUGUUAUGAUUCAUAUUAUUAUUAUUAUUUUAAUAUUGCCAUAGUAAUAUUAUAUUUUAAUAUUGCAUAGGUAAUCAUAUUCAUUUUAUUUUUAAAUAAAUCACAUGUCAUGAGGGCUUGAGAGAUUGACACAUGUCAUGAGGGAGUUCUUGAGAGAUUGACACAUGUCAUGAAAGAUUUUUAGUUUUGAUGAGAGGUUGACACAUGUCAUGGGAGCUUGAGAGAUUGACACAUGUCAUGAGGGAGUUUUUUUUAUUAUAUAGGUAAUAGAUAGAUUGUGGAAAUUAAUGUGAAUUAAAAUAAAUUGAGUAACAUGGUUAUGAUAUAAAUUUACAAUGGAUAGAAAUACCAUACGUAUUACAGUUGGUGGAGGUGCUGAUCUUGUAAGGGAGAUUGACCCCACAUUUGCCCGGGAGUGAUGCUGCAUUCUCCGGAUUGAAUUGGGUCGAAGCAGCCACUGAUUUGAGGCAAUUGCAAGCUGUUUGUUUGUCAGCGGUGCUUUGAGCCAACGCCACGAGUCCCUUGACUCCGUUGCAGCAUGUUCCAGGAACAGCUCCACCGGACUGCAGGUAAGUGAGGCAUGGAGCUAGGCUACUAACAACCUGUCCACAUGUUAUGGUAGCCUGUGCAAUGGGUGCACCCACCACUACCAUGCACAUUAGAACCAUACAUGCUACCUUAAUGCUUGCCAUUACUUUACAAACUAAUUUACAGUGUAUUUGCUUUUAUAUAUUGCUUACUUUACUUGGUGAGUAUAUACCAUGCAGGGUUAGGGGUUUAUAUAGAAAACAGAAGAGGAGUUUUAUGAAUUGAGAGGUUAGAACAUAAUCAUGCACUAUAAAAUGGACGGUGGCCUAAGCCAAUCUAAAUUAUACACGUGGUUUAUGUUGAUAGUACCUCUACAUUAACCUAGAAUAAGAUGGGAAUCUAAUGUGAGCAGUCAUUCGAAAUAAAAAACAGAGAGACAUUACUACAACAAUUUGCUUCAUUCCAAUAAAAAAAGGUUAUGCAUACCAUCUUCAUUCCAAUAAAAAUUUAAGAUAUUACUCAGGUAUAAUUAUUAAUUAUAUAUAAGAUUUAUAUGAUAUAUAAUAUUCAAUAAGAUUAUAUAUUGGAUAUUUACUGCCAAAUAUAAUAUUUAUCUUUUAUUCAAUUGAUGAUCAACUAUACAUAAGAUUAAGGACCACAUAAACAGUUUUAAUUGGUAUCACAUAAUUUAUGAUUAUUGUUUACUAACAGGAUAAACUACAAAGGCUUUGAUUAUGAUUUAUUAAUUCUAUAAAAGUUAUCCUAUGGGAUCUAAGAUCUUAUUUGAUAUGAAGCUCCUAUUGUUACCAAAGAUGCAUGUGACAGCAAUGGAUUUGUUAGCAGUUGGGUCCCAAUAAAUGCUCUAUGGUGCAUCCCCUUGUCUUUGAGCACUUGGCCAAACAUUUACGUUAGAUUUAUUGCCCGGCACUAAGUUUAAUCUCAAUUUCUCAACUAUAUAUCUCUACCUUGAUUUUUACAAUUGUACAACUUCCUUAACGGAAGAAGAAAUAUUCCAACACGUUCUCUUUCGUGCCUUUUUUCUUCUCUUUCCUGCAAACAAAAAACUUAUAUAAUUGUACGUUCAAUAUUUUCCCACAAUUAUUGAAAUCAAACCGGCAGAGGUUCAAAGGAAUGGUGAAUUUAUUUCUAUUUACAUUCUUCUAGAUAUUGUAUUUACUUGUUUGAUUAUGUUAGCUUCUAUAAUGACAUGAAUUGCGUCUAAAACAAGUUAUUUUAAAAAAGUAUUUUCAGGACACAGUUAUUAUUAUUUGAGAUACAUAAUCAAAAGUUAUUUACAUUAUCAAUUAGGACUUGGUUAAAUAAUCUAUUUGUUUUCUUUUUAGCAAACCCGGGAUUUAAAGUCUUGUGAUUGGAAAAAAAAAUCUCAUGACAAAUGUGGAUUUAUUUGGAUCAAAUAAAGUUGUCUCUAAUGAAAGAUAUUUGUGGCUAGCCCAAUAAUUUUUUGUAUAAAAUUUAGCUUAAAAUAUAGUGUUUAAUUAGAAAUUUAAUAUUCUAAAAUAUUACAAUAAACGUUAAAAUGAAAGUCAUUUGAAGUUGAAAAUUUUAAAACCAGUUAUUGGAUAUUGAAUUAGUCAUCAAUUUGGAAUAUAAUCUAUUACAUUACUGUUCUCUUUUGUUGUUGAUCGGGUAGGUCGGACUGGAGGUCCGGCAAAGAAUUCUCCUGGGAUCUGGAUGGAGGUUGAUAUGGAUCCACUAGUGGAGGUACCUGAAAAGACUCUCCAACAAUCACGUGAAUAUAAGUAUAUUGGUGGUAGGAAGAAGAUAAUAUAUCUUAGAGAAUACGUAAUGAGGGAAUAAUAAUGAAUAGAGAUACUUCUUGUUAGGGGAGACUCAUAUUUAUUGUGGUUGAGAUGAAUGACGUAGAAGUGGAGGGUACUGUUGGCCUGACCGACCAUUUUGGCUUAUCGGGGGCUGCUUUUUCCGUGUCAAGCGGAUUUGGCAGGCCCGUACUUUGUGCAUAGUUGACUUGUUGCCCGUGGCAGGUCUGGUAGCCAAAUCUCAAGUCUGUCUUUAUCGUGUUGGCAUGAGGAUAUGUGGGACUGCAGGUGGUACGGUGGUGCGUUGUUGGCAGCAUGACAGGCAAAGUUGGUCCCAAACCUGGCCUUUUGAGUCCAGUCAAUGAGUCUGUGUAGUCCCUUAACUAGCCAUGCUCGUGCCUUGGCCGAUUGGGAGGGAGGACCAUCUAGGCAGAUUGAACAUUCGGUUGAUCGGGAUGGAAAAAUUGUCCUCAGUCUAGUAGGAUGCUUGGUAGUCGGGCAUGCUAUAGACUCUAGGUCAUCAUUAGGUCUCUGAAUUGGUUGACACGUGGUUGGUCGAUGUCAACCUUGUCAUUAAGGCGUUUACGGUGCGAGUACUCGAGUGUGGCUCGUCGAUUCAUUUCUCGUUGCUUUCGUCUUGGUUCUUGGGUCUCCGUUGAAUUGAACUCGGGUAUAUUUGGACGGGCAAGAUGGGUCUUUAUUUCGUCUUUUGGAACUCCUUCACGCGGAUCACCAUGGAUGAAUCUGGGUUUCCCGAUGACGUUGGUGCAUGAGGUCAGCCUCUGAGAGGACGCCGAGGGAUCACCAUGGAUGAAUCUGGGCUUCCCUUAUAAAUAAGGAGGGGCCUUCCUUUAGUCAUUCUACGUUUGCCUUUUUCUUUUAAACCUAUUUCUAAAGAAUUUGCUCUCGAGCCGACCAAUUGUUCAUCUUCUUCAGACUACAUUUGUCGGGUAACUUCUUUCUCCUCACUCUUAUGAUAAUGGUCUCCUCUAUCGAGCAUGAGCUUAGCUCAGAUAGCAUGGAGGUUUUGUCCGAGCCUCCACCUAUCUUCACUAUCCCUUCCUGAUGACGUUGGUGUGUGAGGAUGGCCUUUGAGAGGAGGUCGAGUGAUCUCUCAUUCAAAACCUCGUUGGCCAAGAGGAGAGAAAGAAUGGCGAGAUGGGGGGAACACUGAUCGACCGAGCAGUCGUACUCGGGAGGUGGUUGCUGGUAGUGAGUAGCGACUCUAGUUUAGGAUUUGAUGUUUUUUCUGGUUGUAGGUCCUCUAUGGCGAGAACAUACACUAUAAAGGUUGACCAACUGGUCAUUCUCGUUGGUUUGGACAAACCUGGUGGUUGGUAUGGGUGGAUGGACCGGGAAAUAUUAGGGUUGAGUAGUCAUUUCUCAACUGACGAUCGACCUAACAUGAAUAUCCUAGAGCGUCUAGCAAACACCAUUGCCCUGAAGUCUCCUUAGGCUGAUGAGAGGGUCUAUCAGGCUCUCCUUGUCGAGGCAGGGGUCAACUAUGCCUUAUAUAUGUAUGACAUCUACUCUAGAAGCUCAGUUUGUGUCUUCCUAUAGACGACUAGAGUGUGGACGUAUUGGGUCAUCUUCAAGUCUCCCCCUCUCAACUCCAUCCGAAUGCCCAGGGAUUUAUCCUUGCAUUCGCCAUCUGAUGUAGGGUUAAUGUGUAUCCCUGCUCAGUCAACCUUUUCUUUUAGAUGUUCCGGGUUACCCAUAGUACAAACUCGGAUGAAGAGAAGGAGGGUCGCCACAAAUGGGUAUGUCUUUAGUAGCGAAACAAGCGAGCCAUGUUCACCCCUUUUGACCAGUCGGUGAAAAUUUGGAAAAAAGGGAUUUUACCGGGUUGAAAUAAAGGGGGUAUCCAGUCAAUUGUGGACGUAUAGCCCAGACGGAAAGAGUAGGUUCUCCUUCACCUGGAACGGGGAGUUCCAUCAGAAAUCCAUCAAAAGGUUUUCGACCAAUGAUGGUAGUUUAACUAGUCGGGAGGCGGAGGCGUCCAAUGAGAUGUUGGGCUAGCUGGCGAAAGGUGCAACUAUGCCUUGCUCGUCCUUACAAAAGGGGACACGGUCUUGGAACAGCUCAUAGGUAGUUUGGUACACUUACAUUCAUCACUCAUUCAAUAUUAGAGUCACCAAUGGUUAGGGCGUGACAACCUAAUCUCUUAUAUGGUCGUAGUAUUGUUUAAGUGAUGAAUAUAAGUGUUUAUGAUUCUACCAUUUCAGACCUUGGUGUUUGGGGUUAACCAAAGUAAAACAUAAGAACUUGUCUAAGUAGUUCAAACUCAAAACAAGAUGAGAAAUAUAUUAUCCUUAUUCAAAAUGAUCUUAUCUCCUCAAGAAUUUGUUAAUAUUUAGUUUUAUAUUUAUUGUUACUUGUUUAUAUUCACUUUAAACAAAAACCAAUCAAAAUAUGUUUAAACCAUUAUUUGUGCUUUGACAUGUUUACAUGAUUUAUUUUACUAGACAAUUCCUUGUGGUUCGACAUAACCAUAUACUAUACUAUAGUUGAAUAUUGAAAGAGGUGUAAAUUGUAACAUAGUAAAGUGUUAUCAAUAAAUAUUAUUUGUUGAAAACACCUUUUAAUAUACAAAAGUGAUGAAUCUAACUUACUAACUUUUAUUUAUUGUUAUUUACCUUCCGCAUUUUAUUUAUUCUUUAAUACCAACCUUCCUUAAGGAAGAAGUUUGGUUUGUUAAUAAAAUGAACCCGAAAGGGAGUAAAUAAAUAAAAGGUCACUAAAUUUAUUAUUCUUUUGUUAUUUAUUUAUUUAUUUGUUAUCUAUCAACUAACUAAUCAUCACUUUUAUAUAUUAGAAUACCAUUAAACCGAUGUUGGAAUUUAUUCCACCAAAUCGAGAUGGUAUUCAAAGGUACUUAAUAAUUAUGUAAUAGGUAAUUGCUUCGAUACCAUUAUACCGGUGUUAGAAUUUAUUCUAACAAAGCCGAUAUGGGGCAAAAAAUGAAUGACUUAUUACAUGAUCAUUAAAGAAGUAAGUUGUAACUGGAAUAUUCUUGAAACCAUUAUACUGGCGUUGGAAUUUAUUUCAACAAAGUCGAGAUGGUGAACAAAGAGUAAAACUGAGUUCUCUUACUUAAUCAAAUAGAAAAGAACAUAACGAAAAUGAGAGUAAUAACCUCUCAAAAAAUUAGCAUUGUUGUCAGGAUGAUUUGUUGAGGGGGAUAAACUCCCAACAACACCGAAAAUAUCUUUCAACAAGUAGCUGUCAUGGAUGUCUCAUCGGCAAAAGUGUUCCUAUCGAGGGGCCAUGGAAAACCAUGAGAAUUUGACCGAGAUGACCACUCGGGUUGAAGAGGUCGAACUUGAAGUCCAACGUUCAAGGCCAAGCUAGAGCAGUCAGAAGAGAGGGGGUAGGCUGCCCAAGGUGAAGUUGACCACCUUGCUGGGGAGCUGACUGCUUUGUAGGCUCGAGUGGAGGUGCUCGAAGAGGACAAGACGGUUAUAGCCAAGGAGAAGGCCGACUAGGCUGUUGACUUGGAAGAGAUGGCUAGUUUGACAAGUGAAGCCGCCCAUCUGGCCUAGGACAAUGCUGUGAGCCAAGUCCGCCUACUCCACCUCAACGAGGAUUUCUCCUGCAUGGAUAUGCAUGCCCUCGUCAUUGAUGAGGAGCUGGUGCAAGAGGGACCGGAUGGCAUUGUUAAACUGGCGGUUCUAGAUAGGAGUGGGUAAUAUAGAAUAGGUUUGUUUUGUAAGUAUUUUUAAUCUAUUAUUCUUAAUGAUGCAUUUUAUUUAAUUGAUUGUCUUUUUCCUUGUACUAUUUGGUCGAAAUUGUUAAUAACUGAACCUGAAUCUGAACAAGGUAAUCUUGAGUGGGAAUAACCCAUAAAACUUGAAUAUAAACAAUAUAACCUUGAUCAGAAGUCUUAUAACCUAAUAAUUGAACUUCAAUUAGAACGUGGUAAUCUUGACCAGAAAUAAUCCAAAGAACCUUGAAUAUAAACAAGUUACUCAUAGUCGAAAGUACCAAUAAUUGUGAUAACUGAAUCCUGAACUUGAACAAUUUAAUCUUGGCCGGAAAUAAUUCAAAGAAUGUUGAAUAUAAAUAAGAUAACCAUGGUUGGAAGUAGCCAUAAGUCAAUAGCUGAACUUGGAUUUGAACAAGGUAAUCUUGGUUGAAAAUAAUCCAAGGAAUUUGAAUGUAAAUAAGACAACCUUGACCGAUAAUAGAAAUAACCAAAUAAUUGAACUUGGAUUUGAAUAAGGUAAUCUUAGCCAUAAAUAAUCCUAAGAAUAUUGAAUAUAAAUAAGAUAAUCUUGACCAGAAGCAUCAAUUGUUGGAAUAACUGAUCUUGGAUAUGAACAAGAUGAAUAUCUUGAACUCUGAUAUGACCAAAGCGGACUUGAAUAUCUUGGACAUGGAUCCGAAGAACGAAGACUUGGUUAAUUUGAAAAACCUGAACUUGAAUCUGAACAAGAUGAAUAGCUUGAACAUGGAUACGAUCAAAGGGGACUUUGUCUACGCCUUAGGCGAGUGAAAUAGACAAUUGUCAGAGGGGGACAUGAGCCUUGCCCUUGAGGGGUGGUGUUAGAUUUAUUGCCUGACACUGAAGUUCAAUCUCAACUAUCCAUAUACAUCUACCCUUAUUUGUACAAUUGUAUAGCUUCGUUAAUCAAAGAAGAAUUAUUCCAACACGUUAUCUUUUUCUCUAUCUUAUUUACCAAGAACAAAUUAUAAUUUAAUUGGAUGUCCAAUAUUUUCCAACAAUUCCGUUUAAAGGAAUGGUGGAUUUAUUUCUAGAGUUAAGUGCACUCACAUUCCCAAGUUGCAAUUAAAUUAUAUAAAUCAUUCAUAUUUUUUUCAUACAUACACAAACUAUCCUAAUAUAUAUAUAUAUAUAUACAUUAUUUACUCUUGUAGAAGAAAUAAGUAUAUUUUGUAAGAAUGUACUAUUUAUGCACCGCCUAUAUAAAGAUUUAUAUAUAGUCAUUAGAUCGUCCACCACUCUUUUAGAUUACUUUUUUGAAGAGUAUAUGAUGAUUAAAUAUGAAUGGUGGAUGAUACAGUGAUUGUGUAUAAAACUCGUACACUCUCAUUGAAUAUAUAUUUUCUCAUCUUUUAACAAAAGAUGGUAAGAAAUGUAAUUAAGUUAAACAAAACAUGGUAUAUUGUGGAGACAAGUCAAAAUAAUAUACGAGUCAAUACCUAUUGUGUAUUUUUUGUCCUUACAAUAUAGUAUAAGAGUGAUUUAAACAAUAUCCUCUUAGAAUUUUUAUGCAUUUGUAACGAACCAAAAAUAGUGAAGAGAUCUUGACUCUUAUGCUAUUUGCACUUUUUUAUAAGCAAAGAUUUGUAUUAAAGUGAUACAAGGGGUGCCAACCCGAAUACAGAAGGGACUACAAAACAAAAGAAGGUAGAAAGCACAUUAAAAAAUGCAACAUUUUGGAUUAGUGCACCACUGAGCAAAGAUGAGCGGAUUGUGAUUAAUGCUGGAAGCAAACCAAGACUACGAUCUAACCUGAAUCAAGACCAUAAUUUGCACAAAACUAACCACCUUAUCCGAAAAAAUGGAGUCGUUAACCAAAUGGACCAAAUCACGGUAAACCACAACUUUCUGCAUAAUUGCCUCCUUUUGAAUUCUUGCAUAACGAUUCAUGAUAACUAAGCAGCUCCACAACAGCACUAUGCUCCAAAACAAACGGAAUCUGCAACCAAGCAUAAAAACCUCGCCAAACAGAGGAAGUAAAAGAGCAAGACAAAAGCAGAUGAUCUAGAGAUUCAGAAUGAUUCAAACACAUAACACAAUUUAACUCAUCAGCAUUAUGAAUAAUUCUUCUCUUAAACAACUCCUCCUUAGUUGUAAUUCUACCACAUAGAGUUUUCCAAACAAAACAACACACCUUUGAAGGAGCACGAUUAAUCCAACUUUUAUUAAAAAGAAAACCAACCUCAUUUUGUUGGACAUUAAUCUGAGCUAAGCAAGUUUUUUUAACCAAUACCUUCCUGAGUUAUCUAAACUCCAUUUCCAAGUAUCUACACUAUCUCUUCUAUAAGAAUGAGAAGCAAGCAGGUGAUACAAAGAACUGAUUGAAUUUUCCUCCCAAUAAAAAACCUUCUCCUCCAAAGAACAUUCCAAUUCCAUUGGAUAUUGAUCCAAACUCCACAAUCUGAGACUAGUGUCUGUCUAUUCAAAGCAAGAGCAAACAACCUGGGAAAAGUCGCCUUCAAUCAACACUGGCCAAACCAAACAUCAUUCCAAAAUAGGGUUUGAGAACCAUCUCCAACUUCCUUCCAAAGUUUAUCCUCCAACCAACUGUUCCCUGCCGCAUCUGAGCAACUAAGUUUAGCCAAAUCCCUCUACCACUUUGAAGCCGAUAAAUGAGCACGCAUAACGGCCUCCAGGCCAAACUUGGAAUUCACCACUUGAACGUCUCAACAAUAUAUCUUAUUUUGUUUAACUUAAUUACAUUGAUCACUCACUUUAUGUUUAAAAGAUAAUACUAAUUUCUCGUGCAGAUGUAAUUAAUAUAAUAUACAUAUAAGGGUGGUCUGUGUAGUUACAAAAAUGAGAGGUAUCAGGUUAUAUAAUUUUAAUAAAACUUAAAGGAUAUCAAUAUAAUUUAUUUCACGAUCAAUGUUGGCCUCUAAGGUCAUAAAUUGGUUUAUUAUUUAUUUCCUGAUAUUCACAUUAAUAUCAAAUUGGUUUAUUAUUUUGAUAACACAAUUAUUAUUAUUUUGGAUACAUAAUGAAAAGCUAUAGUUACAUUACCAAUUAGUAGUUGGUUUAAAUAAUAUAUGUUUGUUUUCUUUUUUGUAAAGCCAGAGUUUAAGUCUUGGAGUUCUUUGCCCAUCUAUUGAAUCUGACUCUAUCAAUUCCUUUUCACUGGGAACAACUCCUGGUUCAUUAGUUCAAGCGGAAUAAAAAUUGGUUAUCUACCUUGCUGUUUUGAAAUUGGUAAAUUUGUUUUCUUUCACUAUUGUUGUUGAAGUCUACCACAGUCACGACACUAGCUUUCGAAUAAAAGAGUUAGGCACCUUCCCCCUUGGGCCCUCACCUUGCAUGUUACACUACAUCAUUUAAACAUUGGCAUAUUGACUUCCAUAGAUUGAUUGGUCCUCCAAUUCAUUAGUUGCUAUAUUCCUAUAGGUGAUUUUAAAAGUUUCCAUUCUACUCAUAUUAAGAACUAUUAUCUGAUGUAUAAUAGAUUGAACAAAUCUAUUUAGAUUAAGAGUAAAUACUUAUUUUAGUCAUUAAUAUUUUUCAUUCUCACUAGUUUGAUCCCUCAAAAAUUGAAAAAACCUAAAUUGAUUCCUAAAUUUUUUAAAUAUGGGUCAAAUUAAUUAUUUUUAGGAACAAAUUAAGUCCAUAUCAGGUUUAUAAAAUAUGCUAAAAUUAUCAUGUUGACCCGUAUUUAAAAGUUUUGGGACCAUUUUGAGUUUUUCAAUUUUUGAGAGACCAAACUAAUAAAAUCGAAAAAAUGAAAGACUAAAAUGAUUAUUUACUCUUAAUUUAAUAGGUAAGUCUCUAAGUCAUCAGAAAAACCUAUUUAAUUGUACUAUGUGUUAGUCUUACAUUGGUAGAAACAACUAAUUUAAAAGUUGAUGAUAAAAUAAUGUAUAUUGAUAAUGAUUGAGUUUGAAUUUCUAGAUCAUCAUUGAUUUCAAAAUAUAUAUUUGCUUAUGACAAUAAUCACAAAUAUGGUAUGUUAUUAAGACAAAUCUAAAUAGUCCACGUGUUGAUGCAUAUUCAUUAUUUUUAGAGUAAAUACUAAUUUCAGUCCCUCAUUUUUUUUACCUUACUAGUUUGUUCCUUCAAAAAUUGAAAACCCGAAAAUGAUCCACAAAAAUUUCAAAUGCGGGUAAAACUAGUUAUUUUUAGCGUAUUUUAUAACACCUGAUAGAGACUAAUUUGACCCACAUUGUGAAAUUUUUGGGCCCAUUAUGGGUUUUUCAAUUUUUGAGAAACCAAACUAGUAAAGUCAAAAAACAUGAGGGACUAAAAUGAGUAUUUACCCUAUUUUUAUUAGAGUAAAUUUGGUAGACACUUCACGCACUUUAGCUUAAUUACACCCACAAUUCAUUUUGUUUAAAAGAUUGCAUUCAUCUCUCUUAUAAUAUAUGUAUAUAAGUUAGUGAUAGUUUGUGUAGGUGCAAAAUGGGAGGGGUGUUUUGUUUUUGUGUAAUUUAUUCUAUAAAAAAUUAAAAACAAAAAUGUAAGUUAAUUGUUUAUUGUUAAAUAGACAUUUAAAAACAGAUUUGAUAGCUAUUUAAAAGGAGAUUUCUUAGCCAUUUAAAGGAAGACUCUUAGCUUAUUUAAAGAAAGACUUGUGAGCCUAUUUAAGGCCUAAUAGCACAAUCAACUUUUUAAUAAGCUCACAAGCUAAACCAGGCUUUUAGAUAGAUUAGGACUUAAAGCUUUUGUUUUUUAAAAAUAGUAAAUUGGACAACUUUAAUCUACUAUAUAUUAUAUAUAUAACACCCCAGUUAUGUCAUGCGACCUCCCAGGUUCAUACAUACAUUGAGCGUGUCACUAUAACACCUCAGUUAUAUCAUGCGACCUCCCAGGCCCAUACAUACACUGAGUGUGUCACCCAUUAGCUUAAAUAUCCCAUGCAGUAUUUUAUUCCUCACAAAGGGGAGCCUCCCGCGACUCGAACCCAUAACCUCAAGGAUAAAUAGUCAUUAUUCACAUGAGUCGCUACCAUUAAAUUUAUCUUCUUUGUUCUUCCAUUCUAUCUCCUUCUCUAAUUCAAAUUUCUUUUUCCCCACCUUCAAUUCUAAGAACAAAUAGGCAAACACACCUAUGCACCAAUUAACAUGGACUAUUAAAAUCCCAAUGUCGAUACCACAAAGAUUGGAGUAGCUAGAGGUCAUUUCUUUUAUGUUUGAAGAUCCAAUAGUAUGUAAAGUAAAAUUAGAAAUUAAAAAAAAUUGGAAAAUGAUAGAAAUUUCAAUUUUAAAUUGAAUUACCUUACUUUGGGGUGGGUUCGAGUUAGGGUCUUUGCUAUACCAAACCCGAACCCGGAAUUUAAACCCGGGUAAAAUCCGAACCCGAACCCAAUCAUAUCGGAUUUUCCCCAUUAAAUUCGGGUUCGGUUCGGGCGGGUACCCACGAGUUCGGUUUUUAUUGCCAUCCCUACUAAUAUGUAAGGAUAUGCCAUCUCUAACGCUUAUAAAUUGAGAGUUCUAGCAAUUUCGGUAAAAAAUACACUAUCAUAACUAUAAACGUCAAAGGGACUAGAAAUAUGAGUUAUAUGUAGUAGAGUAGUUUCAUCACAAUGAAGAGCUACAUUAGUACUAUUGUGAUUGUAGUUAAUGUGAUGUUUCAAGGUGAAACAAUGAUAUAACAAUGUCACAUUUCCAUAUUUUUAUAGACUUUUAUGUUAUUUUUUGAGUUGUUUCAUUAUGCCUAUUUGAUUUAUCACAUUGGAAAAUCUUUGGGUUUCUCUUAUGACCAUAAAUGGAUUUGGGAUUCAUAUAUCUUUGAAUUCUUUCAUAUCUUACUUUGAUUUGAAAAAUCCAUUUGGUUUCUUUGUUUCCUUCAAAAAGUAUCUAGUGGCACCAUAGCUUUUGGGUUUUUAGAUAUUUUUUUGCUCAGCAAAAUAAAUAAACUUGCAUUAAGAUAGUAUAAGGGGUGCUAACCCAAAAUAACAAUUCAAAAAUUACCAAUACAUGAAAACGGAUCCACACACCAAGAGAAAAAAUUUAUAUUAUUAUUUUCUAGUGCAUCAAAAAACGACAAUGAAGACCUAAGUUUAAUCAACUUCAUAAUUUUCAAAAACACUACUCUCCUUUCCAUUAAAAACCAAGUCAUUCCUCAUUAACCACACUAACCACAUCACUGCACACUAUAACAUACACUAGAAAUGAGACCCAUUCUUUGUUUUCCAAACACUAUUAUGGAGUUGAAAUAACUCACAUCAAUUGUUUGGAAGAUUAACUUUAAAUCCAACCCAAGAUUAAAACUCCCUCCAAACCACAGCAGAAAAAUCAAACAAUAAAAAUAGAUGGUCUAUUGAUUCCUCAUUCUUAUCACAAAAAAGGCAUCCAACAUCUACUUGAUUAGAGAGAAUAGAUCUUCUCAAAAACUUCGUCUUAGUUGCUACUGUCCCCCUCAAAAGCUUCUACAUGAAACAUGAUAUUUUAGAAGAUAAACAAGAAAGCCAAAUAUUACAAAACACUAAGUCCCAUGCAGAAGCAACCACCUGCAACUGAACCGUGUAAGCUGGCUUUGUCGUCUACAUCCCUAUAGAAGGUAAGAUCCAAGAAAAGUCAUCCACCCUCCCAUGUCUGUAAGAAAAUAGAUGAAUCACCGCAUAUAGUUGCUCCUCUAACUCUUCUUCCCAUAAAACAAUUUCCUCCUCCACUUUAACAACCAACACCACUUCCCAUCUCUCAAUUCCACAUAAUCACUAACAACACUAUUGACAUCUACAACCACCAAAGAUAACCUAUGGAAGGAAUCACAUAACCUACUCACACCACACCACACAUCCAACCAAAAUCUAGAAUGAGACCCAUCCCAUAGACAUAUAGAAAUAUUAGAAAAAACCAAUGAGCACCCACCCCCUCAGAGCCAUCCAACCUACUAAUAAUCUUCCACCAACUUGACCUUGCCCCACUACUCAAUUUAGAGAAAAAACUCUCAUAGUUUGAUUUAACAACUAAAACCCACAACAAAUUAGGUUUUGAAAGAAACCUCCACUUCCACUUUUGAACAAAGCAUUAUUAAACAAAACAAUAUCCUUAACACCCAAUCCCCAGCACAUUUAGGCUGACAAACCUUCCUCCAAGAAACCUAAUGAACCACCUGCCCCCUUUACUAUUACCCCACAUUAAUUUUCUUUGAUCCUAGCCAAUAAGAGAACAACAACCUUUGGAGCAUUGUACAAAGAUAAAAGAUUAAUCGAAAUGUUCAUAAAACAACAUUUAACAGCACUAGUCUUCCCCCAAAAGAAAUAAACUUAUGUUUCCAAGAACCAAGUCUUCUCAUGACAGCAUCAAUCACAAAAAACCAGGUGGAUAUCCUAUUCGGAUUAGCCCAAACUGGAAUACCCAAAUAGGUAAAUAGGAUAGAACCAAUAUUGCAAGAAAGGAAAAAAGCAACAUCUUCCGCAAAACUCUCCUCCACAAUAAUGGAAAACAAAAAACUCUUGUGAGAAUUCACUUUAAGGCCCGAAGCUAGUUCGAAGCACCGUAAAAUACUCUUUCGACUCCACAUAUUUGCAAGAGAAGGAUUACAAACCAUAAUGGUGUCAUCAACAAAUUGUAGAUCCAUCAUUUCUACAUUUUGAGAACUGGGCUUCACACCCUAAAAUAACCCACAGGACUUGGCACUUCGCGUCAAACCUAAGAAACCCUCGACAACCUGCAUGAAUAAAAAAAGGCGCCAACAAAUGACCUUGUCUAAUCCCUUUUGACACUGAAAAUUGCCUAGCCAAAGAACCAUUAAUAAGAACCAACAAUGUAGUAGAAGACAAAUAAACCUUCACCCAAGAUCGCCAAUGAUUAGGUAUCCGAACCUACCCAGCAUAUAAUCCAGGAAAUCUCAAUUCACUGAAUCAUAUGUCUUCCCAAAUUCUACCUUAAAAAGGAAACAAACAUCUGAAUUUUGCCUAGCAGAAUGAGUGACUUCAUUCACCACCACAACUGCAUCCAAAAUAAUCCUAUUCUAAAUACAAGUAGUAUGGGAUUGCGAAAUAAGUGACCCCAUCACCUCUUUCAAUCUCGAAGCAAGGAUUUUAGGCAAAUUCUUAUAUAAGGAACCAAAAAGGGAUAUAGGUCUAAAAUCCUAUAACCUACCCGAAUUAACAUUCUUAGGGAUAAGAGUAAUGAAAGAAGAAUUUAAUCCAGCAGGUAACUUCAAGAUUUUAUGAAUCUCUCUAAUAAAAUUACACACAUCCUAAUUGACCACAUCCUAGUGUUCCUGAAAGAAAGUGAAACUAAAUCCAUAUGAUCUUGGAUUCAUAUCCCCAGCAUAGUUCCACAUUGUGGUCCUAAUUUCCCUCGAAGAAAACUUGUAACACCCCGGGCUUGACAUGUGACCCUAAGGUCCAUGAAUUUACUGAGUGUGUCACCUAUGACGCUUAAAUACCCCUUGUAGUAUUUUAUUCCCCCUAAAGGGAGCCUCUGCGGCUCGAACCCAGAACCUCAGAGACUUAUAGUCAUUGAUUCCAUUGAGUCGCUACCACUAAGCUACAGAAGGCUAUAAGUCCCUGAGGUAAUAGAAUCAAUGACUAUAAGUCCCUAAGGUCCUAGGUUCGAGUCGCGGAGGCUCCCUUUAGGGGGAAUAAAAUACUACAGGGGGUAUUUAAGCUUAAUAGGUGGCACUCUUAGUAAAUUCAUGAACCUUAGGAUCACAUGUCAAGGCUGGAGUAUUACAGAACUCAUAAUACAACGAAGACUAUUGAUCUGCCGACAACACUUUAAACUCCACACCACCAAGUCUCAAUCUCCUCAUCAAUGACUCACCAAAUAGCUUCAUAAAGUAAUCCAUAACCCAAUCAGAUAUCAUAUUAACAUCCUCCCACCAUUGACCAUCAAUCGAUAAGCCAAUGUUUUGAUUCACUCUCCUCCUACUUCUAACGCAAGCAUGAAAAACAUACUAUUAGCAUCCCUUUGCUUAAUAAGCCAAUGACUCCUAGAUUUAUGGAAUAAUAUAUUGUCCUUCAAAUUUCCAACUUCCCACCACUCUACAAUAAGAGAUUGUCUCAAAAACACCUUCUCCAAAGAAAUCCCAACCUCCUCACCUUCUACAUCAAAACUUGAAACAUCCUUACUAAUACCAGUCAAUUGUUGAUCUAUAGAGUCGAAUACCUGUAUAUUCCAAAGCUUCAAUUCAAUCUUUAACCGACAUAAUUUCUCCUACACCAUAAAAGCUGAUCAACCCUACACCUCCAUAUUACUCCAAGCAUUACUAUUGAACUCAUGAAACUCCUUAUGUUGAUCCCAAAAGUUAUUGAAUUUAAAUGGAGAGAGACCAGUAGAAACAAUUUAAUAUUUCAGCACCAAUGGACAGUGACCCGAAAACGUUCUGGGAAUAGCCCAUUGAUCAAUCUCAAGCCAUUUAUCAACCCAUUCACCGGAUAAAAAAAUCUUGUUCAAGCGACUCAUACAUCUUCCCCCAGCUAGAUACCAUGCACAACUCCUCCCAAUCAAAGGUAGAUCAAUGACUUUCAUAUCACUAAUCCAUGAAUUAAAAGGAAACGAUUCUCUAUCAUUCUCACACACCAUAAUGCACAACCAACAUCACUUUUGAGUUGCAACAGAUCCUCCCACAACCUCUUAAUUUCUUAGCUGAAAGUUUAAUUUGAUGCCUUAAUUUAACUAGUUUGAGUCUUACCUUUGAUUCUUCUAUUCUUUGCCAUUGGUAGUAGUUGCAAUAAUUAGGAAAACAUAAGAUGUAUGUUUCAAUCCACACUUGGAAAUCAAUAAGUGUGUUGUCUUAAUUCAAAUGUUUUACAAAACCAUAAUAUACCAACAAUAUUGUAGAAAUUAAGUGAAGCAUCAAAAGUGAAAGUAGGCAACCAUAAUCACAGAUAUUACCUUGCAUAAAUGGAUAUUUUGAAAAGGCUAAGAGAAGUAUGGAAAAUACAUUAAAGUUGUAAAACCAUGUUGAACACUACUACUUUUUUCUAUUGCAUUUAAAAGGAGGGUCAAAUAAUUCAAAAUAUAUUUUUACAACAGGACAAUGAAAUAAUGAGUAAGAAAUGGUGUAUCCAGAAUCCCUAGUAUAUGCACAAUAUACGUUUAAUUCUAUAUUAUCUACACAUGUUCUCUUUCUUAGUUUUAUUUCAAGUAUAACCCGUUUAUGGAAAUCCAAUCAAUCGCCAACCAACCUCACUUAGAAGGGGAGGAUGACCUCUAGAUCCUCCAAUCUUUGUGGUAUAGACAUUGGGAUUUUAAUAGUCCAUGUUAAUUGGUGCAUAGGUGUGUUUGCCUAUCUAUUCUUAGAAUUUAAGGUGAGGAAAAAGAAAUUUGAAUUAGAGAAGGAGAUAGAAUGGAAGAACAAAGAAGAUGAAUUUGGAUAAUUUCUAUUUAUUUAUUAUGUCACUUUAGGCAAAGACAAAGUGCACAUGUAUACAAAACCAGAGAACCACUAAAAGAGAACAAGUAAAAUAACUAUUACUAGCUGCCUAAAACCAAAUAACUAUUACUAACCACCUAAAACCAAUUUCCCCGGUAAGUGAAGAGAACAAAGUCCCAACUUGGAAGUGAACACUUGAAAGGAAGCAAAUUGGAGACUUUGUAAAAGCAUUUGCAAGUUGAUUAGAUGAUGCAAUUGCCAUGAGAUGAAUGAGACCUUGCUGGAUCUUCUUUCAUACAAAAUGAUAAUUAAUCUCAAUAUGCUUGGUUCUUUUAUGAAAAACUGGAUUACGAGCAAGAUAGAUGGUAAAUCGACUAUCACAAUAAACUAAAGUUGGACCUGAUAAUGAAAUUCCCAAGCCUCUAAAGAGAUAAUUGAGUCAUUGAACUUCACAUGUCAAACUUACAAGAGCCCUAUAUUCUGCCUCAGAAGAAGGCUUACUUACUAUGUUUUGCUUCUUCAUUUUCCAAGAAAUGUGUGACGAACCAAGGAAUAUGCAAAACCCAGUGAUAGACUUCCUAGUGUCUAGGAAACAAGCCCGAUUUGAAUCAGCAAGACCAACAAGCUAAGUUCUGUUUUAUAGUGUGCAUCCAUAGGCUUGGAUAUGAACAAACUUAAUUAUUGUAUUGCAUAGGAUAAAUUUGGCCUUGAAAUGGUCAAGUAGAGAAGCCUCCCAACCAACCUUCUAUAACUUUGGACAUUAGAGAAAGGUUUGCCUUGAUCAAGUUGCAACUUUACUAAAGGAUCAAAGGGAACUUUGGAAGGCUCAACAAUAAGUGAACCUGAGUCUUCCAACAAGGAUAAGACAUAUUUUCCCUAAUUAAGUUGAAUUCCAGUCUAUGAUCUUUCAAUUUCAAGAUCUGAGAAGAACAAGAGAGGACCUAAAUCUUUGAUCUUGAAUGAAUCAUCCAAAAAUUGUUUCAUAAGCUUGAUCUCAUGCACAUCAUUGUGUGCUAGAACCAUGUCAUCUAUAAGUAUUAGAUGACAACUAAGAGGGGGUGGGGUGAAUUAGUUGUUGGGAGAAAUGGCCGAUUUUUCUGUUAUGGUAUCAAAGUGUUUUGUGCAGCGAAAUGUUGAUACAGAUUAUUUGUCACACAAGAGAUUUUUAAACUAGAUACUUUGAGUUGAAAUUACAAAUUCUCUCUCCGAGACACGUGUACCUUACAUACUCACAAAUAUCUACCCUUGGAAAAUAAUCUUUUCAAGUGAAGUUUUUCUCCUUCUCACCACACUAUAUGAUGAAAAGUUAACAACAAGAUGAAGAAUAUAUCAAUGACAAUAUUGCCUUUACAAGUUUGACAAUGCUAUAACUUGCAAUACUUUUUUCUCUCCAUACACUUAGUAAAACAAUGCUCUAAAAUGUUUGGAAAACUUUAGAACUUUUCACUUGAAGCAACUUCAGAUAAUAUGAAAGUUUGGAAACCAAGUUGUGAGACAAAGUGCGGAAAGUUUUUUGAAAGAGUUUUGAGAAGAAACUGGGUUAAUGAUAUGAAAGUUGUAUGUUGUGAGAAUGUUCCAAAGCCUUUAAAUACGCAUCCAAUCAGCCAUGGGACCCUUCCAGAAGUUGGGACACGAUUGGAGUUGAAACCCAUUCACUUAAGAUGGAAACUCCUGAUUUGAAUUUGAAAAACUAGUAGCAACAACUAUGUGUAAUCGAUUACCAAAACUUGCUGUCCAACCAUGCAGUCGAUUAAUACCAUGUAAUAAUCGGGUACAUGUGUUAGUUAUGCUUUUGGUAACUAUUUUCUUAGUCAGGUAAUCUAUUACGUAGUUCUAGUAAUUUGUUACUAUCUGUCACAUAGUUCAAGUAAUCUGUUACGUAGAUCUAGUAACAUGUUACUCAAGUCAAGUAACAUAUUACUUAGCAUUUUGAAAAUAAUUCAAGAGUUUUCCAAUUCUUUCAAAAAUAGUUUUAAGUUCCUUUGAAUUUCUUUGAGCUAUGCUACUAAAUAUAAAUUGAGCGUAACGAUAGAAGUACCUUUGAAGACUUAGACUGUAAUUUUCUUGAAGCUUGAACUUCUAUGUCUUCAUAGUCUUCUUCUUAUUUUUUUAUUUUUUUGAUCAUGGUGUCUUCAUCAAAAUCGUGCCAAUGAUAGAAGUACCAAUGCUAAAUUCUCACUAGAAUGGAGAAAAUAAGUAUGGGAAGGAUUAGAAUUGUAAUCAUCAUGACUCUGAUUUGCCAUAGUAGAAGAAUGAAAAAAUCUUAAGGUACCAAAUCAAGAAUGGAAGAAGGAGAAGAAGGUAAUAAUUGAGAAUAUUAAUAGGAGAACAAGAAAAAAAUGAAGAUCAAUCAGAGCCUAUAUUGCUCUGAUAUCAUCUUAGAAUUUAAGGUGAGGAAAAGAAAAUUGAAUUGGAGAAGGAGAUAGAACGGAAUAACAGAGAAAAUCAAUUUGGAUAAUUUCUAUUCAUUGAUUACAUUACUUUAGGCAAAGACAAAGUGCACAUAUAUACAAAACCAGAGAACUAGUAAAAUAACUAUUACUAACUGCCUAAAACCAAAUAACUAUUACUAACUACAUAAAACCAAUUUCCCUAUAGGCUAACUAGCAUAAAUAACUAAGACAUAUAUUUCUAUACUUUUACAUCUUUUCCUAAUAAUAGGAGUGGCAACAAUAACACCUUUUUCACCAUGGUACGUUAAAUUUAAGUGUUCCAAAAAAGAAAAAAAAUACUAUGAUAUUUCUUACUAAGGGCAAGCUUUUCGAGAAGUGUUUAACCUCCUUAAAGUAUCUAGUUUAAAUAUGGUCUACAAAAUUGUGGCAAUACACAUUUUUAUGACAUUCUGAAAACUUCUCAAUGAGUAAAUAAAUGAUAAUUUUAGAAUAAUGUUUGGAAGUUUGUAUUAAGUAAGGGUGUUCAAAUCCAGACCGAUCCAAAAAUAAAAUUGAAAACCGAUCCAAAAUAGAUUGAAACCACAAAAGUGGAAUGUCUAUGGACCGCGUUGGACUUACUUUUUAAAAACCAAUUUGUCUAGUCUGGAUUUUGAUUUCACUUAUUGAAAGAUGGAAACUCCUGAUUUGAAUUUGAAAAACUAGUAGCAACAACUAUGUGUAAUCGAUUACCAAAACUUGCUGUCCAACCAUGCAGUCGAUUAAUACCAUGUAAUAAUCGGGUACAUGUGUUAGUUAUGCUUUUGGUAACUAUUUUCUUAGUCAGGUAAUCUAUUACGUAGUUCUAGUAAUUUGUUACUAUCUGUCACAUAGUUCAAGUAAUCUGUUACGUAGAUCUAGUAACAUGUUACUCAAGUCAAGUAACAUAUUACUUAGCAUUUUGAAAAUAAUUCAAGAGUUUUCCAAUUCUUUCAAAAAUAGUUUUAAGUUCCUUUGAAUUUCUUUGAGCUAUGCUACUAAAUAUAAAUUGAGCGUAACGAUAGAAGUACCUUUGAAGACUUAGACUGUAAUUUUCUUGAAGCUUGAACUUCUAUGUCUUCAUAGUCUUCUUCUUAUUUUUUUAUUUUUUUGAUCAUGGUGUCUUCAUCAAAAUCGUGCCAAUGAUAGAAGUACCAAUGCUAAAUUCUCACUAGAAUGGAGAAAAUAAGUAUGGGAAGGAUUAGAAUUGUAAUCAUCAUGACUCUGAUUUGCCAUAGUAGAAGAAUGAAAAAAUCUUAAGGUACCAAAUCAAGAAUGGAAGAAGGAGAAGAAGGUAAUAAUUGAGAAUAUUAAUAGGAGAACAAGAAAAAAAUGAAGAUCAAUCAGAGCCUAUAUUGCUCUGAUAUCAUCUUAGAAUUUAAGGUGAGGAAAAGAAAAUUGAAUUGGAGAAGGAGAUAGAACGGAAUAACAGAGAAAAUCAAUUUGGAUAAUUUCUAUUCAUUGAUUACAUUACUUUAGGCAAAGACAAAGUGCACAUAUAUACAAAACCAGAGAACUAGUAAAAUAACUAUUACUAACUGCCUAAAACCAAAUAACUAUUACUAACUACAUAAAACCAAUUUCCCUAUAGGCUAACUAGCAUAAAUAACUAAGACAUAUAUUUCUAUACUUUUACAUCUUUUCCUAAUAAUAGGAGUGGCAACAAUAACACCUUUUUCACCAUGGUACGUUAAAUUUAAGUGUUCCAAAAAAGAAAAAAAAUACUAUGAUAUUUCUUACUAAGGGCAAGCUUUUCGAGAAGUGUUUAACCUCCUUAAAGUAUCUAGUUUAAAUAUGGUCUACAAAAUUGUGGCAAUACACAUUUUUAUGACAUUCUGAAAACUUCUCAAUGAGUAAAUAAAUGAUAAUUUUAGAAUAAUGUUUGGAAGUUUGUAUUAAGUAAGGGUGUUCAAAUCCAGACCGAUCCAAAAAUAAAAUUGAAAACCGAUCCAAAAUAGAUUGAAACCACAAAAGUGGAAUGUCUAUGGACCGCGUUGGACUUACUUUUUAAAAACCAAUUUGUCUAGUCUGGAUUUUGAUUUCACUUAUUGAAUCCAGACCGAUCUAGACCGGACUGAAAUAAUAUGUAAAGUUUAAGUGUGUAAUACUUUUAAGUGUCUUCCAAACUUAAUGUUAAGUCCCAACUCCAAAAUUGUACCUAUAUUUUAUUUGUUAUAUUCUAUAACACAUAAAUAUAUAUGUUGCUAUGUUUUAAAUCAUAUUGAUUACAUUUGAUAUAGUUUUUUAGAACUUAAACCAAUCUCAGAACCAAGUGUUGAUUCUAAUUAGGUGUUUUAUUACCAAUUUUAUUGUUGUGAAAGUAUUAUUAUUAUUAAUCAUCGGUGGAACACUAUAACUAUUAAAAUUACGUUGCGGGUGUUCAUAUUCUUAAUAUUGAUAUCUUGUUGUUUUGUUGUCUUGUUAUUAUUGAUGUCUUGUUGUUGUUGUUGCCAUUUUUUGCUUUUAUUAUUAUUGCCUUACUGUUUAUUACUAUUUUAUGAUGUUGUUUACUUAUAUUAUUGUUGCACACAUUUUAAUGUUUUUGAACACUAUUUUUAUUGUUGCUUUAUGUUUAAUAUUUAAUCAUUUUUAUGAUUUUUGAAUGUAACCUCAAUUUCAAUAUUUUAUAAAAAAAAACUCGAUCCAAACCGAGCUGAAACCACAUAUAAUAUUUGGAUUGGAUCGGACAUCAUAAUAUAAAUAGACCAGACCGAACAAGACCAUAUAUUAAUUAUGUGUUUGAAUCAGAUCAUUUUCUACCUAAAAAUCGAUCCAAAUGGACCGCAGAUACCCCUAAUAUUAAGCGAUAGAGUUAUUAAAAGUUUUCUCAAUAAAAAAUGCUUUAAAAUAAAGUAAUUUAGACCAAUAGAUUCAAAACCUUUUAUAACAUAUCAAAUAGAAUAAUUUUCUUUCAAGUCUUUUUGUAAAACCGAAGAUUGGCCUUUAGUAUAAAAUAUCAAAUCCAUUGUACAAAUUGAAACUUCAAAAAAAAAUUGGAGUUGGCAAGGUUGAUGCUAAAAAUAGUUAACAGCAAAUGAAAAAACAUCCAAUAUGAAAAUCAACAGUUUAAGUUGUAUUAUGUGAAAAAUACAAGAGUGGGGAAAAAUGGAAGAACACAAAUAUUUAUUUUGCUUCACGCUUAAUCCAUAUGAGAGUUCGUCCAAUCACAAAGUCAUUUGUAAUUGAGGGUUUUCUUCCACUAUAUUUAGAGGUUUCACAGUCUCUUUUUACCUUGAUGCUAUAGAGUACUCUCGUAACAUCUUUAAAAAAUAUCAUUAUAAGUACACUCCAUCCUUCAGAGUCCUGAUUAUGCAGGUAUCUAUUACUCAAAAUUUUACGUCAUAAAUGAACCUUGAUAGAAAAACUAUAAUCUUAGUGCUCCUUUUUCAUAAAUUACAUCUUUGGUGUAGAAUGUAGGGAAGUCAUGUCUAUCAUGUAUGAUUUCUAGUGUUUCCGUUGAAAUAGUGGCUCUCAGCCACAUUUAUUAGGGAAAUUGUGCCUCAGAAGCGUGUCUCCAUUUUUUAUCAGCAAAAUUGAGCCUCAUACACCUGAUUUGCAUUUUUCUCCCAACAUUUAAGAAUUCGUUUACCUAAAGCAUGAUCUUAUUUAUUUAGAUUUCAGUGAAAUUGUGCAUAUGAAGCACAUCUCCAAUUUUAUCAUUAAAAUCAAAUCUCCUACAUCCUGAUUUCCAUUUUAUAUUUACACAAACUCUCCCGCAAUAAUACACAUAAACCAAAACCCUCCUACAUAAACACCAUGAAUAAUUGAGUAAAACGAGGUUGAUGGAGAUUAAGACGAAAUAAAAAAGAAUUAAAUCAUGUAAUUGAUUUUAGAGGAGAGGAAUCUCAAAUUUCAUUUCUGCAUUUCAAAUUCAUCAAAUCAAUAUGUUAUACAUUCCUAUUUGCAAUUCAUUAUUAAAACAUUUGAGUUUCCCCUCCUUUUCAAUUUUAAAGAUCAAUAACUUUUCACCGUUUUUGUCUUAAUCAUUAAAAUUUAAGUUCAUUUUUUCCCUUAUUCAUUCACUUAUUUGAUAUAGAAUUAUUACAUUUCUCACGUAAUUGUUGAAAUAUCAUAUGUGAUUCUUCAAACUGCAUAUUACACACUAUUGGUUUACACUGUGAUGUGCUACUAAUGGACAUGAGCAAAAUUCUUUUGGUUUUUCUAUGUUAGCUUCUUGACCAUCCUCUACCACAUAUUAUAGAAUGAUGGCUAUUUCAGUCACUCCAAACCACAUGCUAGCAGAAAUAUUUGCAACUUCUUUCUAUACAUUAUUCAAUCUCUUCAACGGUUUUUUAUCCAAUAUCAAUGAGUACCGUUGCCUAGUUCUUUAAGAUACAACUCUAGUUUCUAGUUUAGUAAUUUCAUUUAUAUAUAUAUAUAUCAUUAUUGGUUCAGAAAAUCCCAAUGUGCUAUGUGGUAGUCUUGGUAUUAUUAUAUAUGCCUAGUAGCAUAGACAAUAACAUAUAUAAAAAACCCACUUGUUAUGAAGAAUUAAUAAGCUAAGUAUUAGAACUAGAUGAUUAAUUUUUGAGAUUGAAGCAUUUGUCAAUAGAAAGGAAAAACCCAGAUCUGUCAUAUAUUAGUCAGGCUUUAAUUGGACCCGUAUAUGAGCGGGUUUCAUCAUAUCUAAGUUCGUGUUCAACCAAUUAACUCGGUCAAUAGUUAGAGUCAGGUAAGGGACAAGUCUUAUCCAGCUCAACCUAUUCACUACUCAUCCCUAGUAUAUCAUAUUAAAAAAUCUGGUGUAUUUCCUUUUAGAACAUAUAUGUUGUUCCACAAUGUGUCACUCCGUGUAUCAUGAGUUGUAAUUGGUUGAGAAAAUAUAUUGAAGUUAAUAUUUUAAAUAUUAAGUAUUUUUUGACCAAUUGUAACUCAUGACACAUGAAAUAACACAUUGUGGGAUAAAAGAUGUACUCUCAUUUCAUUCUAGCUAACAUAAUAAGACCUUCACCAUUUCUUCUAAUCUUUACCUUUCUUUCUUCUUUUUCCACAUUAAAAAUAUGAAUAAUACCCUUUCUAAAUAAUUGUAAAAUAUAUUAAUUACAAUAACGUUAUUUCAAUAAUUCAAAUUUAACAACUUCUCCUAAAAAAUCAAAUUAUCUCUCAUUUACUUUUUAUCUUUUAUUUUUAUACACAUACCAAAAAAUCAUCUGAAAACCAAAGAAAAAGUUAUUAUCAUAAUUUUGUUAUCAAAAUAUGGAUUUUUUUAAUCACUGUCUGAUAAGUCACUAAAAAUGUAAAGUCGAUUUCAAAAAACUAAACAUUUAUAUUAUUAAAAAUUAAAUAUAAAACUUUAACAUUUACGUUAGGCUUUUUAGUUACUUAUUGAAGAAUAAUGGUUAAUAAAAGAAUUACAAAAGAUAGAGAAAGUUGAUUUCAUAGUGUAAUUUGUUAGCUGAUUCAUAUUCUUUUCUUCUGCCAUAACUCAUGUAUUGCAAAAGGAUGUUUUCCUUUUAUUUACACUCCAAAUUUGGUUGUUGAACUUUGUAUUUUGGUCCUUUUGAGAUUUGUUGAGUUGGAGCUUGUGGUUCAAUUUCCUAACUAGUUAUUAGUGUUAGUAAUGCAUGACUUUUUUUUUUGUUGUACAAUAUUGAAGCUAGUUUGAAUAGAACUAAAGUAAUGGAAUAUGAGGUGAGAGAUAUUUUUUUAAGUUAUUUAUUUGUUAAAUUUAAAACUAAUAUUAAAUCUGCACCUUUAAUUUUUUUGAGUGUCAUAUAUCAAGAUCUGGGCGAGUAUUAUUCUAAUCAGGAGCAAUUGAUGUUGCAAUUGUUAAGUUUAAUAAAUUGAGAAGAUUUCCAUUUAAUUUAGAUAUAAUUCAUUAGGAAAGUGAAACUUUUCCGUAAGAUGAUAAAAACAUAAAGGAAAGAUAAUGGGGACCGGCAAUAAUUUGUCAUUAUAUGUGAGAGAGGAUUUCCAUUUAGUUCAUAAUUUGCAUAGUGUGAUAGUAGAAUGAAGAUCAAGAUAGAAUAAAUCUCAUACUAGGUCUAAAAGUGAUUUAACCAAUUAAAUUAUUAAUAAAACUGGAUAUGACAUUAUAUAAAAUUAAUAGUUGUAUAUAAAAUUAUAUAAUCAAAUGUUAGAGAGCAACUUUAGUUUGUAAUUUUAAUAUUUUAUAUUUGUUGUCAGGAAAACUCCUUUAAUCAUGUAAUAAAAAAUUAAUUAUGGGAAAUAUAUUUCAAAAUAAAUUAUACAACCCAAUAAAUAUAACUUAUGUAACAUUCUUGAUUUAGUUACUUUUGAUUAAAAAAGUUCAAUUAAUGGUUUUAAACAUAACAAUAUCUCAAACACGAUGCAAUACUCAAACAAUUGGAAUGUAGAUUUUAACCUGUGUAAUUUUUAGCACUCAUAUAAUUCGAAAAUGCAUUAUAUUUUAGUUUAUAGUUUUUGGUCUGUUCAAACCGGUCAACAGUGUAGUAAAAUAGAGGGUCAAGAGAGAAAUGAUGUUUGUGUGCAUUCCCCAAAAAGUUUAUCUUCUGACACAACUUUGAUAGGGGUUGAUGGUGGACCUUAUUUGAGAAAGAAAAGGGGUGUGUCUCAGGCUAAGAAAAGUUCUUUGUUUUCUUUACCUAUUAAAGAGAAGAGACAAGAUGGCAUAGCAUUUGGUGGUAAAUGUGUGCAUAGCGUAGAGACGACUGGUUUUGAUGAAAGGGGUGGGAGGCAAAAGGAGUCAUUUAGGGUUGGGAAGGAGGUAAAAGGGGUUGAACCGCGGGUCCUUAUGGCCCAACACGAACCAAACAUUCUUAAUGACAUGUAGAAUCUUUUUGUUGAUGUGGAGGAUGUUAGACAAGAGAUGGUCUCAUCUCAUGCUUUUAAUUGUAUUUCGUUGGGCCCUUCUCCAAAAGCCCAACCGAUUUGCUGCCAAAAUAAUAAUAAAAGGCCGAUUAUGCUACUAAAAAAGAAGGCCAAGGCUAUCACUCCUUCUUUUACCGUGGAUGAUUCUUCCAUUUUGGAAGUGGACAAUUCCUUUAUUGUGAGGGAUUUAGCAAAAUCUAAUAAAAAGAAUUUGUCAACUUUUGAGGUUGGCUCGUCCUCCAAAGCGAAGUGUAACAAAAUGUAACUGAAGUCUUCAAUGAACAAGGGUAACUCAAAAAAGAAGAUGGCCAAACGGUACUCUCAACCCAUUCCAUCAUUACGGCCUAGGGGUUUGGGGUUAAGGAAUUGUUUGACUAAGGGGACAAAAGUUAGAAGGAGGACAAUGUAUAAAGGUAUGGAUUCCAAUCUAUCCUUGGUUGAUAAUGCUCUUCUUAAUAAUGACAUGUUGAUGUAUGAGUCUGAUGUAGAUAGAAAUGGUAGCUUAGACACAAUAAUUAGCAAUUCUAUCACCGACUCUCAUGUUAGUUGUGCAAAUCUACUUCAUUUUAAGGGUGAUGAUGUUGUUGUGAGUAAAAUUUGGGAGAUUGGAAAGAAGUUAGGGGUUUCUUCUCUUGGAACAGAGGAGGAAAUGUUGGACAAAAUUAGAGAAUUGGAACUAAGAGACAAGGUUGGGUUUUCUAAUACUAACCAAUGGGAAGAGGGAGGUGAACCAUGAAUUGUGCUUCUAUGAAUCUUAUGGGGUUGGGGAGUACAGUUAAGAGAAGGAAGUUGAGAAGUAUUGUUGUGAAUAAUGAUAUCCAUUUUUUGGGAACUCAAGAAACAAAAUGGGAAGUGUGUGAGCCAAAUUAUUGUUAUGGUAUUUGGGGGAACAUGGAGUGUGAGUGGGAGUUCAUCCCGUCGAUUGAUCGUGCAGGAGGUAUCUUGAGUAUUUGGGAUUCUUCCAAAUUCUCAAGAUUAAGUACUCACAACGGAUCUGGUUUUCUUGCUAUGAUUGGGAUGUGGCUGCCUAGUCAAUUAAAUUGUUGCAUUGUUAACAUAUAUGCCCCAUGUAUUACUAGUUUGAAAAGGCAGCUUUGAGAGGAUUUAUUAGUGCUGAAACGAGGAUUGACAAUUGGGGCUUGGUGCUUUCUUGGUGACUUCAAUUCUAUUCAAAGUGCUUCAGAAAGAAGAGGAGGUUGUGGUGUGAGUUGCUGGAGGGAAAUGGCCUAUUUUAAUGAUUGGAUUAGAGAGAUGAAGCUCAUUGAUCUUCCUCUAAUUGGGAGAAGCUUUACUUGGUAUCAACCUGGAAGGGGAUUUAUGAGUAGACUAGACAGGAUUCUUCUGAUCAUUGUUCUAUUGUUCUUAAACAUAGGAAGAAAUCUAAAGCUGCUAUUCCAUUCAAAUUUAAUAAUUGUUGGUUGAAGCAUCCUGUUUUGUGGACUUGGUGAGUUAAUCUUGGUUGGAGACUAACAUCAUGGGUUGGUCGGCGUUUGUUGUUAAAGAGAAAUUAAAGUGUCUUAAGUUGAAGUUGAUAGCUUGGAAUCGAGAUUCGUUUGGUUGUUUGGAUACUAAAUUAGCCAAUUUAUCUGAGGACAUUCAGAAAUUUGAUCUUCUUGGUGAAUCAGCUUGUUUGUCUGAUGAUCAAAUUAUCACAAGGAAGAAGCUCUUGGCCGAUUGGUGGAAUUCUACUAAUCAGAGGGACAGUCUGUUGCUUCAAAAAUCCAGAAAUAAGUAGUUAAAGGAAGGGGAUGCCAACACAAGUUAUUUCCAUGCUUGUUUAUAUAAUAGGUGGAGGAGGAAUCAUAUUUUAGGGAUUUAGAUCAAUGGUGUUUAGUGUGAUGAGGAGAAGACUAUUUCAGAAGGGGUCACUAAUUAUUUCAAAUUCUUAUUUCACCAUACCCACAGUAAUAAUCUCACUAUUGAUGGGGUGGAGUUUCCUAAGCUUUAUGAUGUGCAAGUGAGUACUAUUGAUGGGGUCUUUUCCGAUGAAGAAAUAAAAGCUGCUGUUUGGAGUUGUGAAAGUUAUAAGAGUCUGGGACCUGAUGGGUUUAAAUUCAAGUUCUUCCAGGAGUUCUGGGAGCUAAUCAAACAUGACAUUGGCCUUUUUUCGAGAGAAUUUCAUGCGAAUGGUAAGAUUCUGAAAGGUUUGAAUUCCUCAUUUCUUACUUUGAUUCCAAAGAUGAAGAAUCCCAACAAGAUUCACGAUUUUAGGCCUAUAUCUCUUGUGGGAUCGUUAUAUAAGAUUAUUGCAAAAAAAUUAGUAGGAAGGUUAAAACAAGUUGCGGGCUCUUUAAUUUCCCCUUCACAAUCGAGUUUCAUUGAAGGUUGAUAUAUCCUUGAUGCUACGGUUGUGAUAAAUGAGGUUAUUCAUUCUGCUAAGAAACAAAGUGGUGGUUGCUUGCUUCUAAAGGUGGAUUUUGAAAAAGCUUAUGACUAAGUCAGCUGGGAGUUCCUUGAAUACAUGCUUGGCAGAUUUGGGUUCUCAGAUAAAUUGAGAUUAUGGGUUAAUGCUUGUUUCGCUUCAACUUCUAUGUCUAUCCUUGUAACUGGAUCUCCUUCUAUGCAAUUCUCAGUAUUAAAAGGUAUUAGACAGGGUGACCCUAUGGCGCCUUUUCUUUUCCUUCUGGUGGCCGAAUGUUUUGCCGAAUUGGUUAGAAGAGCGAGAGAAGUUGGGUUAUUGGAAGGUUAUAAGGUGGGAAGACAAAAUGUGAAAGUUAUUGAUCUUCAAUUCACAGAUGAUACUAUUUUGGUUUGUAAACCGACAAAUACUAAUCUUUGGUGCAUGAAGAGCAUUCUUAGAUGUUUUGAGUUGGUUUCUGGAUUGAAGGUGAACUUUCAUAAAAGUUCAUUGAUUGGUAUAAAGGUUGUUAAUACUUUUAUGGUAGCAGCAACAUCCUUCCUGUCUUGUAAGAUUGGUUCCACCCCCUUUAUUUAUCUUGGUAUUCCAGUUGGGGCUAAUCCUAGUAACUGUUCGACAUGGCAGAAUAUUAUUGAGAAGGUUUCUAAUAGAUUGGCCACUUAGAAGUGUAGGCAUAUUUCUUUUGGUGGUAGACUUGUUCUUACUAACUCUAUUCUAUCGAAUAUGCCCGCAUAUAUGUUUUCCCUGUAUAAGGCUCUGAAGAAGGUUAUCUCAAAACUAACCUCUUUGUAGAGGAGUUUUUUGUGGAGUAACAAAAGGAACCGAAAGGGGAUAUUGUGGGUUGCUUGGUCUGAUGUUUGUAAGCCCAAAACUCUUGGUGGGUUAGGGGUAAAAGAUCUUUCUCGUUUUAAUGAUGCUUUGUUAGGAAAGUGGAAGUGGAAAAGACUGGAGGAUCCUGAUGCUCUUUGGGUUGAUGUCAUUAAUUCCAAGUAUAACUUUGAGGGUGGUUCUUAUUUUUCUCGCUCGACUUCAAGGUGGUGGAGGGACUUGAUGAAGAUUGGUUCCUCUCUUUCUGCUGAUGUAACUGGUUGGAGGCGAAUAUUUGGAGGGAAGUUGGUGAUGGUUCUCAAACUUUAUUUUGGUUGGAUUUGUGGUUUGGUCAACAGUGUCUCAAAGACACUUUCCCGAGAUUAUUUUCGCUAGCGUUGGACAAGAAAGAAAAGGUGGCAGAGUGUGGGGCGUGGUAUAGUGGGAAUUGGAUCUGGAACAUUCAGUGGAGGAGACCUUUAUUUGAUUGGGAGGAAGAGACAGCUAGAAGACUUUAUGAUCUUAUUCAACAUAAUUCUUGUAAAAGUGGUGUUAAUGAUAGAUGAAAAUGGAAACUUGAUAAAUCUAGUUGUUAUGUGGUUAAAUCUGCUUAUCUUGCUCAGAUGAAUGUUGCGCCUUCUCAUACAGGUAAUAUUCUUAAUUUGAGUUGGAUUAAGUUUGUUCAUUCAAAGGUUUGUUGUCUCAUUUGGAAGGUGAUUAGAGGUAGAUUGGCUACAAAGUCUGAACUUGAAGGGAAAUAUUUUGGGGGAAGGGGAUCUUAGCUGUAGCUUGGGCUUGUUGCGUGACGAAAAUCUGGAUCAUUUAUUUCUCUCGUAUGACUUUGUGUCUACUGUUUGGAAGGGCUUUUAUUCUUGGCUUCAAGUUCAGGUUCUUAUCCCAAAUACCAUUGUUGAUUUUUUAGAACUUCACGCGUCUUUGUGUAAGUACGGUGAAGGGAAUUUGAUUUGGAGAAUGAUGUGGUUCACUAUGAUUUGGUGUGUUUGGAGUAUACAGAAUGAUGUCAUCUUUAGGGGAGAGCAACCUAGUUUUAUCCAAAUGUUAGAUUUGAUCCAGAUUAGAUCUUGGGUUUGGCUUUUUGACAAUGUUGCUCCUAAAUUCUAUUCCUUCGCACAAUGGUGCAUUGAUCCUAUUAUGUGUAUUAAACACUCUUGUAACCUGUAAUAGGGUUGACACCCCUUGUGCCGUUCUUUAAUUCAUUUGCUUAUAAAAAAAACAACAGUGUUUUAAUUUAAAUUUAUGAGUAAAUUACACUGACACCCCCUGAGUUUUAGUGAAAUUACACAAACCACCCCUGACUUUUUUACACCUACACAACCCCCCCCUAGUUUUUAUAAUUUCAUUACACUGACCACCCCUGCAUGAGAAAUAUGUGUAAUCUUUUAAACAAAAAAUAUGAUAAAUGCAAUUAAGUUAAACAAAACAUGAUAUAUUGUUGAGACAAGUCCAAAUAAUAUACAAAUCAAUGUAUUUCCGUUAAUUUUUGUUACAAAAUGCAUCAACAGUUCUAAAGAAAUAUUGUUUAAAUUGCUUUUAUACUUUAUCGUAACGAACCAAAAAUAAUAAAGAGGUAUUGACUUAUAUAUUAUUUGAACUUGUCUCCACAAUAUGUCAUGUUUUGGUUAACUUAAUUGCGUUUAUCACAUUUUUUGUUUAAAAGAUUACACUUAUUUCUUAUACAGGGAUGUCAAUGGUCGGUGUAAUGAAAGUAUAAAAAACAUAGGGUUUUGUGUAGGUGUAAAAAAGAGAUGGGUGGUUUAUGUAAUUUCACUAAAACUCAGGGGGUGUCAGUGUAAUUUACUCUAAAUUUAUUAUGUAUGGAUUGAUAUAGAAGUUGAAAAUAAAUCUUGACUUUAAUAAUUAUUGAGGAAAAAAUGUAUGUUGUGAUAGUGUAAGAGUUUUUUACACUGUCAUGGCAUAAUUCACGAUUCAUUUUCAAUUAUCAUUGACUCAUAAAUAAAAGAAAUACAAAUGAAUUGUGAAUGAUACGUUGAUUGUGAAUAAAGUUUCACACCAUCAAUUGAUAUUAUGCUCAUAAUUAUUUAUAUUAUAAAUAUGAAUUUACUUAUAUACGUUUUGUUUCAAGAAAUAAAAGUAACUAUAAAGGACAAUUACAAAUAAAUAAGGAAUUUAAAAGUAUGUAAUAAUUGAUAAGAAUAAGAUGGCUGGAUUAAUACUCCAACUCUUGAUUUAUAAAAUAUUGAUAUAUUCAGGAAUAAAAUAAAAUAAAAAAUUAAGCACUUUGAUAUGGACAAAUAUGAAAGAAAUAAUGCAUGGUAGAAAUAUUCAAUUAGUAUUUUAUAAAAAUUAACGUUAAACCUCAUGUACCUGUACUAAUGAUGGGAGAUAGUAUUAUGAACAGAUUCUAGUCAGAUCUCUUAAUUUACUAUAUGAAAUAGUUCAUAUAUAUAUAUUUUUAAAACAAAGGUGUCAACACACCCGAAAAUAUAUUAAGAAGAAAGAGACCAUUACAAACCCCUAAACCUAUAGUUAGGAAGAAGCAACAAAUUUCUAUGAAAAUCAUGCAACAAGAAGGAAGGAGGGGAUUCCCACCAAUAAUUCAAUCUAUAAUUCACACCAAAAUUAGCCAAUCUAUCCGCACAAGCAUUCCCUUCUCUAAAUAUAUGGGACACUUGCACUUGCAUAUCCAUCAUUAACCGGUUGCACUUGUUCAUAAGGUUGCUUAGUUUCCAAGGCACUUGUUUAAUGCCCUUGAAAAUGUCCACCCCCAAGGUUGAGUCAAACUCUAACCAAAUUAGAAACCAACCUUUAGAGUGAGCCAUUUGGAUAGCCAUAAUUGCAGCUAGAACUUCAGCAAAAAGAGAGUCUUGAAUGUUAAAGUAUGAAGCAAAGCAACCCAAGCAUUGUCCCUUACAAUCCCUGAAAAUAUCACCACCCCCUGCAUGCCCCGGGGAUCCCUUAGCUGCACCAUCAGUGUUGAUCUUCACCCAACCCAUCAAGGGCAGUGCCCAAUUGACCUCAGUAAUUGUAGGAGCCUUGCUAUACUUGCCAUUCACCUGGAAAGCUCUUAGGAUUGAGAAUUCCAACAAGGAGGACUUAGCACAACAUUUGGUGAAGUUGCAUGUGAAAGAAGUAUUCAACUUGAUCAUCUGAAUUGCUUGGGCAAAGCUGAUUGAAAUGUUAUCAAAUCUAGACUUAUUUCUGUAGAGCCAGAUAACAGCAAUUGAGUUGACAAUGGCAGAGAGUAUCACCUGCUUCAAUUGAGGACUCCAUUGAGAGGAUAUGGACAGGAUGCUCUUGAGAGAAGCAUGAUCUAUGCAGUAGCCGAAUUGAGUGCUUAGCCAGUUCCAAAUCAGCUUAGCAAAACCACAGUUGAAGAAGAGAUGAGCAGAAGACUCCUCAUUGGACCAACACAGAUUACAUAUAGAAGGCAAAGCCAUUCCCCUCAGCUUCAGAUUUUCAUCAGUUGGCAUUCUGUUUUUAUAAAGCCUCCAAGUGACAAAAGACUUAGAAGGAGGAAUAGAGAUAGACCACAGACUGAUGCACAUAUUGUCCUGUUGUUGAGAAGGUUUGGUGAAGUUUUAAGCUUCUUUUGAAGUUAGAAUCCCAUCACUGGUGUGAAGCCAGGCCAACUUAUCAGGCAGCUGAGAAGCAGGAAUAGGGGUUCUCAAUAUAUGAUGACAAACCUCAGGAUGAGUCCUAGUCAACCAGGAUGGGAUUAUCCAGGCCGAGUCGUGAAUGAAGUCAUGAAUCUUGGCUAAGAGAGCAGAGGAUAUUUGAUUAGGGAUGCCAAGGAGGUCAACUAAGGUUUUACCCAACCAAUUAUCCCCCAAAUAUCUUAUGCUGCUCCCAUUGCCCAGCAACCAAAUAGAGUUUUCUAAGAUGACAUGCCGAUGCUUCUUUAUGUCGGGCCAUAUGGAUGACUUUAUGUAGGAAGUCUUAGGCUCUUUAUUCCUGCAAAAUCUACUCCUAUAGUAAUUAGUCCAUUCUUGUGAAGAGGAGUUCAUUUCCCAAGCCAACUUAACCAUUGAUGCCUCAUUUAACAACUUGAUUGAUCUUAUCCCAAGCCCACCCUCUUUGAUUGGGCAACAGUCUUUGUGCCAAGCAACUGUGACUAGCUUCUUGACCUUAGUAUCUCCAGACCAGAUGAAAUUCCUUAUGCAACAGUCCAUUCUUUUUAGCAAAUUGACAGGCCAACUAUAGAUAUGAAAACUAUAAACUAGCAUAUUGUGGAUUAUAGACUUAACAAGCUCCACUCUACCCAUAAUUGAGAGACAACAACCUUUCCACUUGGCCAACUUAUNNNNNNNNNNNNNNNNNNNNNNNNNNNNNNNNNNNNNNNNNNNNNNNNNNNNNNNNNNNNNNNNNNNNNNNNNNNNNNNNNNNNNNNNNNNNNNNNNNNNCAGGAAGUUAACUUUCCAAUUUUUCUAGCAUUAGCCUGGGUAGAGAAGAACUUACACUGGCUGAGAUUUAAACACCGACCAGAAACUUUGGCAUAGUUAUUGAAUAAGUCCUUGAUUUCUAACAACUCUCUCUUGAUUCCUCUGCAGAAAACCAGAAUGUCAUCAGCAUAGAGAACAUGACUAGGGGUUGCAAUCCUAGGUCCAACAAUUGUUCUAAAUUUCCCCUUAUCCAGCAACUUAGUUAGCCCUCUGCUGAUCACUUCUUCAGCCAAACAGAAAAGAAGAGGGGAUAGGGGAUCCCCUUGUCUAACACCUCUCUUGCAGCUAAAGUACCCAACAGAGUGCCCAUUCACAGAGAUAGAGAGUUUAGCAGAUUUUAGGAUAACUUCAAUCCAAUGAAUGAAAGAAUUGGCAAACCCAAAAGGCCUUGAGAGUGUCCAUAAGGAACCUCCAAUCAAUAAUAUCAAAGGCCUUCUUGACUUUGAUUGCUAAAUUUCCACCAAGAGUUUUAUGAUCAAGAAGAUUAAUUGCCUCAGAAGCUAUAAAUAUGCAAUCAUGGAUGUGCCUAUCUUUGAUGAAGCCUCUUUGAUGUUGAGAUAUAAUUGUAGGAGCAAUUUUAGCAAGCCUGUCAGCCAGGACUUUGGUGAUUACUUUGAAUUGGAAAUUUGCUAGAGCAAUUGGCCUGAAAUCCUCAAUUUUAUCCGCCGAGGGGAAUUUGGGAAUUAGAACAAGGUUAUUAGAGUUGAGAUUAGGAAGAAUCCAACCCUGAGUGAAAAACUGCUUCACAGAUUGGCAAACAUCAGGUGCUUAUGUAUAUAUAUACAUUUUAAUUUAUAUAUAUAUAUAUACAUUUAUUUAUAUUUGAUCAGGUGCUUAUGUAGCUGGUAAAUUUUAAUUUACUAAAGUAAUUAUACAAAUGUAAUGAGUGCAAGACUUAGAUGACUUAUUUGAGUAGCUAUUAUUUAAAUGAAUUUUAUUUAACUUACCCCAGAUAAUACUAUUAUUAUUUACCAUUGUCCUUAUUGACUAAAAACAUUUCAAUGCAAAAAUGAUUUUGACUGCUCAACACAAAUUUUGAGAGAAGAACCAAGAGGGCAAUUAAGAAAAUUGAAAUGUAAAGUAGCAUGAAAUUACAAUGUGUAGAAUUAUUACAUGCAACAACAAAGUAUUACAUUAGAUAUUUGUUUGAAAUGAAACUAUGGGACACGAUGACAAGAGAAUACUCGCAUAAUUAGAGCCCUCGUCCCCUUCCCUUUAUUAUCAUUAUUCAAUGCUACAUCACUUUCAUACAUAGUAUCUUGCACUAGAAAUUUGCUAUGGUGCCUCAUCUUCCCCACCACAUCAACUCUAAUCUUCAGAACUUGAUGCUGCAAUAUUGCACAAACCAAUAAAUAAAUGAAGUGAUAUAAUUAACAAAUUUAGACCAAAAAAUAAUCUAUGCUCAUGAGAAGUACUUUAGGUUUAAUUCUAUUAAUUGGCUAAAUAUCAGUAACUAGCUAACAAAAGAGCAUGAAUGCAUACACAGGAUAAUGAUUUUUCUCUCACAUACUUGUGAGAGCUAUGCAUCAGAGUAAUUUCAUCAAAACCCUUUUAAAUUUUUUUUAUGGGUGUUAUUAUUAAUCAUUAUUUCCAAAAAUUCAAGGCAUUACGCCAAAUAUAUAAUUGAUGGUUGUUAAGAGAUAAUAAUAAUGUGGUUAGAAGCUUAGCUCCAUUCAUCCAUUUGUGUGGGUGUUAUCAUUUUAUUAACAUUUAGAUGAAAAACUUGACAACUUCCUUAAAAAAGGUAAGUAACAAGAUAAGGACAUUGUGAUGCAACAACAUAAGGAAAUUUUGAGGCAUCCUAUCUUUCCUUAAAUUACCACAAAUUUCUAUUUUGUGCUUAAGUUUAAUUAAUUUAAACAAUAAUUAGUGAAUACAAGAGAUUAUCAUAGAUAAUUUUAAUAGCAUAUCAUAAACUAAUUCAUUAAAAAUAUAAGUAGUACCAUAUAGUUAUUUAGAUCUAUUAGAACAACACUCUGUAUUAUUUUUAUUUGUUCUUUCAUUUUCACCUAACAACUCACAGAUAGCUGAAAAUAGUAUAGUUUGAUUAUAAGGUUGUCACAGAUAGCUGCAAAUAGUAUAGUUUGAUUAUAAGGUUGUAUAAAACAUGUUUCUAAUUUUAGGAAAUUAUACUUCUAAUCCUUCUUUAUAAAAUCAUCUUGUGGUAUUUCAUGUGAAUGUUAAAAUAAUCGAUUAAUAUCCCUAUGAUAUUAAAUUUAUAGUUGAUAGAAAUAACAUACGUAUUACAAUUAGUGGAUGUGCUGAUUUUGUAAGGGAGAUUGACCCCACAUUUGCCCGGGAGUGAUGCUGCAUUCUCCGGAUUGAAUUGGGUCGAAGCAGCCACGGAUUUGAGGCAAUUGCAUGCUGUUUGUUUGUCAGCGGUGCUUUGAGCCAACGCCACAAGUCCCUUGACUCCGUUGCAGCAUGUUCCAGGAACAGCUCCACCGGACUGCAGGUAAGUGAGGCAUGGAGCUAUGCCACUAACAACCUGUCCGCAUGUUAUGGUAGCCUGUGCAAUGGGUGCACCCACCACUACCAUGCACAUCAGAAUCACACAUGUUACCUUAAUGCUUGCCAUUACUUUACAAACUAAUUUGUAGUGUAUUUGAUUUUGUAUAUUGCUUACUUUACUUGGUGAGUAUAUGUGAUGCAUAGUAUGGGUUUAUAUAGAAAACAAAAGAGGAGUUUUAUGAAAUGAUAGUUUGAUGUGGUAUACAUAAUUAUUAAUUAUAUAUAAGGUUAUGUUAUAUGAUAUUUAUUCCAAUUUAAAACUAAGACAUUACUCUAAUAUAAUUAUAAAUAAUUAUUAAUUUUAUAUAAGAUUGAUAUUAUACAUAAUAUUUGACAAGGUUUUAUAUUGGGUGUCGACUGCCUAAUAUAAUUUUUACUUUUUUUCUGAAUUUAAUUAGGAUUAACUACGUAUAAUAUCAAGAAAGUUUUAUUUCCUAACCCAUAAUUUAUAAUUAUUGUUUAUUAAUAGGAUAAAAGAUUUAUUAUUAUUUAUUAAUUAUAUAAAAGUUAUCCUACGCGAUCCAAGAUCUUAUUUGAUACGAAGCUCCGGAUUGUUACCAAAGAUGCAUGUGACAGUCAUGGGUUUGUUAGUAGUUGGAUCCCAAUAAAUGUUCUAUGGUGCAUUCUCUUGUCUUUGAGCACCUGGUCAAAUAUUUACGUUAGAUAAUUUAUUUCCCGGCACUGAAGUUUAAUCUCAACUUCUCAACUAUAUAUAUCUACCGUGAUUUUUACAAUGUACAACACUACAACUUUCUUAAUAGAAGAAGAAAUAUUCCAACACAUUCUCUUUCUUGCCUUUUUUUCUUCUCUUUGCUGCCAAGAAAAAAAUUAUAAUAUAAUUGUACGUCCAAUAUUCCCCACAAUUAUUGAAAUCAAACCGGCAGAGGUUGAAAGGAAUGGUGAAUUUAUUUCUAUUUACAUUCUUCUAGAUAUUGUCUUUACUUGUUGGAUCAAGUUAGCCUCUUAGGUCAUCAAAUUGGUUUGUUAUUUAUUUAAUGAUAUUCACAUGAAUUGCGUCUAAAAACUAGUUAUUUUUAAAAAGAAUUAUUUCCAUUACAUAAUUAUUAUCAUUGUAUAUUGUUUUUGUAGCUUGCAAUAAAUUUUAAAAGACAAGAAAGAAUAACUACUAAUUGAGUCACGAUCAAGUGAUUUUCUUUAAGAUGUUUCGUGGGGCUGUCCCCUUCUUGGAAUUAAAAGGUAACAUUUACCAUGCUCUAGUUAGAGAGUAUUAUGCCAACUUUAGAUACAAAGAUGGGAAGUAUUGGUCAAUGGUUGCUGGAAAACUGUUUGAGAUUAAUGAAGACAUUUUUGUGAACGUGGGUGGUUUAUCCUGUACUGGUGCUAGUUUAAGUGAUUGUGGUUGGGCAGACAACAACCCUUUUGACCCUGUUGAAAUGUAUAAAUCUUGUUUGCGUAGACCUUAGUUAUAUGUUCAGGGUGAGUUGACCAAAGCUGGGUCGCUGUCUGUAGAGAAUAGGCUUCUACACUACCUGAUUGCCUAUAUUCUGUUUCAGAGAAACACAAAUCAUGCACAACCUACAAUGAAUGAUUUGAGAUUCAUGUUUGUUGUGAAGGAGAACAUAAUGAUUAGUUGGCCUGACGAGAUUCUAAAGGUCAUGUAUAGCGUCUCCACUUCUCAAUCAAGGUUGCUUCCCUAUAGUAUCUUCAUAUCACGAGUUAUUGAUUAUCUACAUAUUGAUGGUUCAGAUACUAUAAUGAUGGAUUGUUCUGACAAGGAUCACUUGAUUGGUGAAAGUCUGAUUCAUAAGAUGGGUAUUUACAAGUAUGGCAACACAUGACAAUAUCAAGAGGACUUCAACACUGUGAAUCUUGACCCCUCUGGUGAGGAUGAGCAAGAUGAUAACCAAGAGCCAUUUGCUGCUACUUAGGGGGAGUCUUUAGGACAUGCAUCACAUGAACUGGCUUUCGGACAAGCCUACUUGGAUGCUAUGGAACAACGUCUCAACAAUAGGAUGGAUCUCCACUUCCAGUCUCUAAAGGACUCAUAUCAUAUGGAUCUGGAGAAUUUUGAGGAGCAUCAGAAUGCUUAUAUUGACAACUAUUACCAAUCUUUGAAGAACUAUGUUCAGACCACUGCUGACUCAAAAACUAGAAGGUUGUGUGCUGAGUUCAACAAGCUGAGUACCUUCAUCAAGGGUGGUAGUAGCUCGCCGAUUCUUGACAACCAAAACCCUCCAUCUCAUCCUUAGUUAGGAGACCUUAGAGCCUUAGUUUUAUCCUUCCUAGCUAAUGGACUUUGUUGUUCCUUCUUCCCUCUUAAGAACUUAUCUUUUGUUUUGCGCUUUUGUUCUUAUUAUGGAUUGUAAUAACUCUAAAACUUCUGCUGAGUUACUGCUUUAAAAUUUGACAUUGCUUUUGGUGUAUGUGUUAAUAUUGAAUGAUUAUGCCUACUGCUAACUGCUCAAAUAUGUCAAAUGCUUAAUCAUUCCAUGCUUAAUUUGAAUAAACAUAGCCUUUCAUGCCAUUAAAACUGUUCUGUUGCUGCUUGUUGUCCAUUUAAUCGAUUAAGACCUGUUGUUAAUCGAUUAAAUGUUGUAUAAAUGUGCAUUUGUUCAAGCUUCUUACAGCUGGUUGAUUGAUUACACGCCCAAAUUAAAUGAUUAAUUACAGUCUAUCAUAACUAUAAUAAUUCUUCUGACUUUUUACUAGAAUUGAAUACUUGUAUCUUUUUGAUAAUGUCAAAAGGGGGAGAAAUGUUGCUUGUUGUGUUACAUGUAUUUUGCAGGUUGUGUAAUAGCCGUUGCAUGCUGUUAUAUAUAGCUUCCAUAAUAUGAUUGCUUACCUAAGGGGGAGCAAAUGCGCUUCAACUUUGUAUCUUUGAAAAACAACCAUAAACAACAAUUAUGCAAACUCAUCAUCAAGCUAAUCAAACGUUUUGAACAAUUUUGAUGUGGUGUUUGUCAUCAUAAAAAAGGUGGAGAUUGAAAGUGCAAAGUGUCAAGGAUAACACUAGCAAUGCUUUGCGUAUGUUUUGAUGAAGACAAGGUUCUAUUAAAGCUUGAAGAUGGCUCAACAAUCAACAUGCCUAAUGCUCAUUUCGUCAUAUCUAGACUAGGAUAGAAAUAGAGUCAUUAUUCUAAGUAGUCUGGGAUGUGUGUCGUAGUAAGUGAGUAUAGGUGAGGUGAACCUAGGUGCAAGUCUCUCAAGCCAUCUUAAUUGUCAUAUCAUAUCUAUGAGACAUAUCAUCUAGUUAAUUGUAUGUUCAUGCAUCUAUCAUACAUGUUAUAUGUGCAUAUUAGGCAUAAUAUAAUUGGUAGAACAUGUAUAUAAGUUGUGCAUAACAUAUGAGAAGUUUACCUUUUGAACCAUGUAUUUUAAUAUGCAGUUAAUCGAUUAACGUGGUGACUUAAUCGAUUAAUUUAACUGCUUUUAUGUUAAAUCAAUGUUUCUGUUACAACUGUUUUCUGUUUCUUUCUGUUGCACUUGUUAAUUGAUUAACGGGUAGCCUUAAUCGAUUAAAAGAUCUAUUAUUUGGUAUAACUGAUUUCUUUUUUAACCGUUUAACUGUUUGCAACGAAUCCAACUGUCAAAACUGCUUACUAUAAAUAGAGGCAACUUCCAGAAAACUAUAGCAUUGCAUUCUAUAGGGCUGAUUUUAGAGAGCAUAUUUCGUUCUGUUUUUACUGCUUUUUGCAAGAGAGUUGCAUGUGUGAGAAGAGAGUUAUCAUGCUGAAUUGAUUUCUGGUUUUGCAUACUUUUUCACACUUUCUUAUGUUCAUUCUUAUCUUGCUCACAUGUUGAUGCAUUAUUUGUAAUUAUUGAUAGAGAGAUACUUUGAUUUAUGUUUUUGAUUAACUCACAUGUUCUUGAUGGCUUGAGUGAUUAGUGAGUGGGUUAGUCUUAAGGUCUUUUACUUGUAAUAUUUCAUGCAUUAUUGUGCUUAUAAUACCUUGCUGUUUUAACCUUUUUUUUUGUGUUUCUGGAUUGAUCUCUUGGUGUCGUACCACCACAGAGAUUGGGAUUCUUCACCAAGACUAGGAGGUCUUAAUUUGAGGACAAGAAUAUUGGCUAGGGCUGUUUCGCGAGAAAUAUUUUCUCAGGCGAAAGGUAGAGUCAAACCAAGGGUUUAGGGGUCCUAGAUUUCAAGAAAGAAGCGUCCUAUUUUCUUGUAAUUGAAUUGGUGUGUGUAAUCAUACGUUUACUCAAUAUUGUGAAGAAAAAAAUCUCCCAAGAUCAGAAGGGGAGGCCUGGAUGUAGUUUGCAGUAGACCGCAAACGAACCAGGAUAAAAAUCCAUCUUUGCACGCUUUUCUCUCCCUUUACUUUUCUUGCUGUUUCAAUUUGAAUUUAUAGCUGAUAUUUUGCAUAUGUUUUUUUACUGCCAUAUGCUUAUUAAUAGUGCUUAAAAAUAUCUAUUUUAUCUCUGUUCAAUUGAUUUUAAAUAACUGUGCAAUCUGCCUCUCUGAUAAUUUUAUUCUGUGCAUGUGUUAAUCGAUUAAGACUAGGUGUUAAUCGAUUAACUGGGCUGUUUCCAGAAAUUGGGUUUUGGUGCAAAAAGCGGUGAUCGAAAACCGCAACACCUAUUCAACCCCUCCCUUCUAGGUGUUCCUAGGCCACUAAUACCUAACAAUUUUAAUGAUCUGCAUGGAAUGAUAGAUAACACAUAAAAUGAUUAAUGAUAUUAUUUGAGAACAUUUUAAAAUCUAUUUAAAUGUGUAAUUACUACAUAUUCCAUUUAUUAUAUUUAAAAUGUUUUUCAAAGUUUCAUAACAACUUUAAUACAUAAUUUUAAAGUAGAAACUAAAUUGUCAUAAUUAAUGACAAUAAUUCCUUAAUUAUAGGAAAAGAAACAUUUGGGAACUAUCAACUUUUAUUUUUAAUUAGUAUUUAAAAUAAUUAAUGAUUAAUCUAUGAAAUAAAUCAAAUAUCAUCAAAUUUUCUCAUUAAUUUUAAUAUCAUAGUUUAUUUUAUUAAUAAUAUGAUUGAAUUCCUGAUAUUAAUGCACUUUAAUGAUAUUAAAUGAGAAUAUUUUAAGAUUUAUUUAAAUAAUUAGAAUUAAACAUUGUUAUUUUUAUGAAAUAAAUUCACUAUAUAUCAUUUUAAAGCUAGAUAAAAUAAUUGAAUAACAAAAAAAAUUCUUAUUAAUUGUAAUAUAAUAGCCCAUUCUUUCUAUUAAUAAUAACAUUAGAUUUCUACUAUAAGUGAGGCUCGAACUCACAACUUUCUUAAUUACAUUUCUUAAAUUUUUUCACCUUAAUCAUCCUACCAACUUAUGACUCACAAUCAUCGUUAUAUAUUUGUUAAUAUUAUUAAUUACAUUAUAUAUUCAAUAAUUGUUACGAAGAUUCCUUAUAUAUUUCAUAAUUGUUCUAAUAAUUUACUGUUAUUGUUUUUAAUUUUCUUAAUCUACUAUCUUUAAUAUUUUGUUUAUGUUAUAUUUCAUAUUGUUACUAUUAUAAUAUAUCAAUUGUAAAAUAUAAUUACAAUUUUAUUAAUUACAUUAUAUAUUCUAUAAUUGUUUCGAAGAUUACUUAUAUAUUACAUAAUUUACAUGUUCUUUAUGAUAGGUCUUGGUUUAUAUUGUUAAUUGUAACGCCCCGAAAAUUACUUCAAAAAAAUCUUGCGCAAAAAUGGGUAAUUUUUUUAAUAAUGAUGCCAUAUAAAAUUUAGUUCCUUAUAUUCGUUUCAUUUUCGGAACAUCACUUUAAGUAACAUACAAUGCAGAAAAUAAAAAACACCAUUACCUAAAGGUAAUAAAAAUAUAACUCAAUAUAACUUUGAAUCAUACUUCAUUAGAAUAUCAUGAAAUGUUGGUACGAAGUACAAGGCGGAANNNNNNNNNNNNNNNNNNNNNNNNNNNNNNNNNNNNNNNNNNNNNNNNNNNNNNNNNNNNNNNNNNNNNNNNNNNNNNNNNNNNNNNNNNNNNNNNNNNNGAAAAUCAAGGUGCUCAACCAGGUAGCUAAGCGUGGAACAAGCCCCGUUGAGCUGAUCUGGCCACCUGCCUGACCUGGCCACCUUCCUGACUUAGACCAGACUGCUCUACCAGCCAGCUGAGCGGACCUGCUUAGCCGCUCAGCCUAGCACCAGACUAGGCCUGGCACGGUCAGAAAUAUGCUUGACACGGUCAGACACGAGCUUGGCACAAGCCAAGCUGCUGAACAAGCUGCUCAGCAGUCAAACCAAGCUGCUCAGUGGAGAACCAGACUCAUGGCCAGAUCAGCAAGCACCAAACCACGUCCCAGUCAACACGGUCAGAAGCUGUUGAACAAGAAGCUCAGCUGUGAAGCAGGUGCGCUGGGAGGUGCUUACCAGACUUGACUUAACCAUCAAGCAAACCAUGAAGUCAUCCAUGAACUCACCUCAAGUAGUCCACCAUAGGCUUUUCAGAAGUAGGUCACAAUAGCUGGUCUCAUAGCCCACAACUAGCUUUGGUGAGUCAUGCACAAGGAGGUGACUAAGCUACUUGGUCAAGGGACCAAACACAUGCUGAAGGGUUUGGUCAGCUACUGAGNNNNNNNNNNNNNNNNNNNNNNNNNNNNNNNNNNNNNNNNNNNNNNNNNNNNNNNNNNNNNNNNNNNNNNNNNNNNNNNNNNNNNNNNNNNNNNNNNNNNUGAGAAGUACUUAAUGCUCUUUUUAGAUUGAUCACCUAAAAAAUGAUUUCAAGUCAAAACUACUUGUCUCAAACACUUAACAAAUAAACGUUGGAGUAGUUGUACUACUUAGUUUAUUUGCCAAGUUAAGCAUGUUUUUCUUAAGAUCUUACAUUCAUCACUCAUUCAAUAUUAGAGUCACCAAUGGUUAGGGUGUGACAACCUAAUCUCUUUUAUGGUCUUGGUAUUUUUUAAGUGAUGAAUAUAAGUGUUUAUGAUUCUACCAUUUUGGGAUAUACACUAAAAGGAGGAUUUUAGACCUUGGUGUUUGGGGAUAACCAAAGUAAAACAUAAGAACUUGUCUAAGUAGUUCAAACUCAAAAUGAAGAUGAGAAAUAUGUUUUCUUAUUCAAAAAGAUUUUGUCUCCUCAAGAAUUUGUGAAUAAUUAGUUUGUCGAUUUCGGGAACCAGAUUCAAUCAUUUGAGUCACGGUCUUUCCCAAGGGUAAAUACACUUCACACCCAAGCUAGGGCUAUUGCCUCUAACAAAGCAAUUCCUUAAUUUUAUUAUUUUAAAGAAUUUCAUAUAGUUAUUUACCUUUAUAACUUCUUGAUGGAAAACAUGCCAUUAGGCUCUCGUAUAUAUGAGAGUUCUCAUUCAUACGACUUAAAAAGAAGUCAUGUCUGUAUGGAGGUCACUCGCUCUCGCUCAAGCUGUCUCGCUCAAGCGGGGGCACAUCCAUUUUUGAGGCAUUUGUGGCUUAAGCGAGAGCUGUCUCGCUUAAGAGAGAAAACAAUCAGUUCUCUUGGUGCCUAUUUUAGCUCAAGCGAGAGCUGUCUUGCCCCGAGCUAAAACAUUCGGUUUCUCUAUACACUUCUCGCUCAAGCGAGAGCUAUCUUGCUCAAGCGAGAGCUGUCUUGCUCAAGCGAGAAGAACCUGAUUAUCAUUUUAAUUACUUUUCUCAAGGAAAAUAUUUCUCAUUUAUAUCACAUGUUUUUAAACCUUGAAUUUAUUAAUUGUCACAUACAUAUCAUUCCCAUAAUAAUCAUUCAAACAUUAUAAUUCAAGAGUAAACAUGAAUGUGGUAUUUGCAUAUAUAAACAUAACAUAAAUCGGUAUAAGAAAUAUUGAUGUACUUAAUCCAAACAAACAUGCAAUUGAUUAUUAAGUACAAGUUUUUUUAAUACCCAAGGCAACUCCAAACUUGUGAGGGAUUUUGGGUACCGGAUCGAAAUUCUCCACUGUUUUCAAUCCCAAUGCAUUUUAGUUUCUCGAAUGGUGUUCCUUCAUGGAUAACAAAGGUCAAAAACUACAUAAAGGUUCAUAUGAAGUAUGAGAAGAAGAUGAAGAAGAGAAAAUAAAAGACUACCUUAGUUUGUAUAGGAAAUUUAGUGUAAAAAUNNNNNNNNNNNNNNNNNNNNNNNNNNNNNNNNNNNNNNNNNNNNNNNNNNNNNNNNNNNNNNNNNNNNNNNNNNNNNNNNNNNNNNNNNNNNNNNNNNNNUGAUGUGUCUAAUGGUGGUGGAGUGAGAGGAUUUGUUGAGUGAUUUAGGGGAUUUUGUGUAAGAUGAUAUGUACUUUUACUUGUUUAACAAGCAAGCUUCUUACAUGAAAGUGAUGUAACCUUUUUGAUGACACAUUCUCGAUUAAACCAUUCCCGUGUAUUGUCGGUUAAUACCCGGCCGGAUAAUAAAAAUCUCUUAAUUUCGGUUUAUGGUUAGAACUUCGAAACACGGAAUUCGGAGUGAAAGUAAUUAGAAAUGCGUUAUGGACAAACUUGAUAUCUAUCUUGACUCGAAAUAAAAUUUCAAAGCCAAUGGCGCAAUCGGAAUUCAAUUCCGAGGUACGGAACUCAAAAACACGUUAUUGGGUCGAAUACGGGCGAAUUUGGGCUCGACAACUGCUCAAAAACUUUCCGUCACAGAAAAUUAUGAACAUUUACCACAAAAUAGGAAAUCAGAAAACAAGACUAACACUCAACUACGGUUUAGUCUAAUUCAAUACCGAUUAAUUUCGAAAAUUAAUCGUUGUUAAAAUAAAUAAUUAAUAAAACAUGCACAAAAACUUCAUGGUGUUACAUUAAUUGAUUCUUUCAAUUUUGAAACUGGUCUGCAUAUUUAUAUUUUUUUUUGUAACUCAAACAAAAAAUUCCAACUAUUCUAUUUCUUCAUGAAUUUCGUUUCAUAUGUUAUAAUUCAACCAAUUUAUAUCCAUAAUGAGAUUUGUUUAAAAUAUGGAAAUCAUAAAUAAUUUAAUCAAAAUAUAUUUCCUAUUAUUAUUAUUAUAUUGCAAUUGUAAAAUAUAAUUAUAAAUUCUGUAUAUACUCCUUCAUUACAUUAUAUAUUUCAUAAUUGUUACGAAGAUUCCUUAUAUAUUCUAUAAUUGUUACGAAGAUUCCUUCAUUUAGUUGUUCUUUCUGAUAAGUCUUGGUUUAUGUUGUUAAUUAAUUCUUUCCAUUUUGUAAAUGAAUCGCAAAUUUAUAUACUAUUUCUGUAACUGGUACAAAAACUCCAAAUAUUAUAUUUCUUCAUGAGUUUUGAAUCAUGUGUUAUAAUUAUAUCAAUUUAUAUCCAUAAUAAGCAUUGCUUAAAAUUUGAAAAUCAUAAAUAAUUUAAACAAAAUAUAAAUCAAAUCAAUUGGUUAUCACAUUCAAAAUUCAUUAGUUAUAUUUCUGCAAAUUUAUCUCCAUAAUGAGGAAUGCUUAAAAUUUUGAAAUCAUAAAUAAUUGAAAUCAAAUAAAAAUAAAGACUUUAUUCUUCUCCGUAUAUGGGAAUGCCAUAAUAUCUAGAAGCAAAGAAAUGAAAAAUGUACUUUAAACACGGAUUUAUAAAAUAAUAAUAAAUCUACAAAACGAAUAAAAAAUACACUUUAAAAAGGAUGGUUGGAAGAGAAAGAAUAUGACGAUAAUGAAGAGACAUAAUGAAAUGAAACCAAAGAAAAUGAAGAUUGUUGGGAGAGAAAGAUUGUUGAAAGAGAAAGAGAAAGUCAUGGAUCUCAAUAACAAUCUAAAUGCAAUUUAAGGUGUAGUCAUAAAAAAUACAAUAAUUAUUUAUUAAAUUGUUACUAUAAUCAAGAAAGAGCAAAUAUAGUAUGGAAAUAUACAUAUGAUUACCAUGAAACCAUUUAGUAGGGAAAAAAUGAAGGAGAAUGUGACAUGUGGCAAAUGAUAAGGUGAUAGGAGUUUUUAUUUUAUUUUAUAGUUCAUAGAUUUGUGUGGUGUAAAAGAUAGAAUGAACCUCAAGAUAAAAUAAAUCUUAUAUUAGGUCUAACUGAUUUAACCAAUUAAAUUAUUCUAUAAAAUUGGAUAUGACAUUAUAAAAAAUUAAUGGUUAUAUAUAAAAUUAAUGAUUAUCUAUAAAAUUAGUAGGAUACCCGUGCAUUUGCACAGGCGAAGUGUUUUAUUGGGGAUAUGAAUUUAAAGAAUUGAAUUUCAAGGUUGUAUAAUAAAAAGGAAAGAAGAUUUUUUUAGGAUGUAAUAGUUUUUUUUUUUGUUUCUUACAGGUAUCCUCGCACUGGAUUCAAUCAUGUCUGAGUUAAGAACAUACAUAGGUAUGUGAGGCUAAUUCUCCCAGCGUGUAUUUUUUUCCAUCAACAAGACUCGAACCCGAGACCAUGCUUAAAGGGAAUCAAGCAUGUACCACUUGAACCAAAACCCAUUGGUUCUCACUUUCCUUUAUAUCUCCAUUUCAAAACUCUCUCUUAUGAUGUAAUAGUUUGUAAAUAAUUAAUGUAUUUUAUAUUAAAUAUGUAACAUUGGAGGUUGAUAGUUUGUAUUUAACCUCAUAAAAUCUAAAUAAAUGACACAUUAGAGUUUAAGAAAAAUAAUAAUGUAGUCUACGAAUCUUAAAGUAGAAGAAAAUGUUAUAGGUUUUGGAAAACUUCCUUGUAAACAACAUUUGUUGUUGACUUUAGAGCUUUAUCAUCCUUAUCAUGUAUCAUUAUCUUCAAUCAUUUUUUACUUAAAAUUUGUUGCACUCUUAAAAUUGUGAUAUAUAAUUGCUUGAAAACUAUAUUUUUACUUCUGUUUUAAUUCAAUUAUACGUUGACUUAAUGUUUCACGAUUUUGAAUUGCCCGAAAACUAUAUUUGAAAAAAGUAGAAUCAAUGUUAUAAUUAUACAUUACGUGUUAAUUAAUUAAUUUUAAAAUAUAUUUGUUCGUAAAUAAAUAUUAUCUACUUCUAAACUAAUUUAUGUUUGAAAUUUAUUCAUUUAUCAACAAUUUUAAAGCAUACCAUGAAUUAGAAAGAGAUAAUAGGUAUUUACCUAACAAAUGAUUAAAUAAUAAUAUAAAUAAGCAAGAGAAACAAAAGAUAUUUGAUUAAGACAUAAAAGUUUUAAAAAUUAUUAUGACUUUGUGGUUAUUUGAUUCUUGCAUGUGUUACAAUAAUAAUUAUGGAUGUAUUUGUUGACCUCUUGUUACAGUGGUUGAUAAACUUUGUUGCGUGACAUUCCCAAUGAGUACAACCAAUGACAUCUUCGCUACUUAAAAUUUUAAAAUUAAGUUAGGAAAAUUACAAAUAUUUAUAUAAAUAAAGCAAUAUUAUUGAUGACUUUUUUAAGUUUGUCUCGGUGUGGAGAAUAUUAGUUCAUUAACAACUUCAAUAAUAACCAUUUGGGUCAAUAAAAAAAGUGUUAUCAAUGUUACAAAUAAUUAAAGUAUUUGUUGAGCUAAAUUUUUUUGACUAAAAUAAAAUGAAAGAAAUAUUUUGAUUUAAUCUACUAACAAAUCAGUGUGAAAAUUCUCAGCUAGUAUGUCCCCAAAAUGUUUUAAACAAUAUUCAUAGUGUUGUACCAACAAUAAGUUUCAUCAUAUAGUAACUUGUAUCUUACUAUAAAAUGCAAUUUAUUAUUACAUUCACCGAGUUCAUCUUUCCUUAAAAGUAACUUGUAUCUUACUACCCUAUAAUAUAUAAAACAAUAUAUUAUUAUAAAAACAAUUGUAGGAACUAAAUGUUUUAUUGGACUUCAUAUAAAAUGGAACAUCACUAUCCAUCAUAUCAUUUCAAGAUGUUCUGGUUUUGGUGGUAUUCUAACAUACCAAAGAUAAGAAAUUCUAAAAAUAAGAAAAUUGUCAUAAUUGAUUUGUUAUUUAUAAAUAUUCAUAAUAAAAGUACUUAUAUUUUCCAUUAAUAUAUCUAACAUUGUUAUCUUUUAAUUAAAUAAUAUAAUGAUAAUAAUUAAAUGUUAUACAAAUUUUCAUUUAUUAUACUGUCAUCUCUUAUACUAAUAUAUAUUCAAAAGUUGUUAUGGUUUUUAAUAUCCUUGAUCUAGUAUCUUUAAUAUUCUCUUUAUGUUAUAAUUAAUAUUAUUACUAUUUUAAUAUUGUAUAGUAACAUUGCAAUAUUAGAAGCAAACACUAAACCCAAAAUGAAUAUAUCUAUAAUGAGUGUUGCCUAAAAUUAAAGAAUAAAAAAUAAUUCCAAAAAAAUAUAAAUAAAAAAUGUGUUAAAAUGCAUACAACAUUGUAUAUUUUAUGAUUGCUUUUAGUAAAAUAUAGGUAGAAAAAUCAAUUACAUAAUCACAAUAAAAUCAAAUCAAUGACAUAUUAUUCAAUUAUUUAGUAAAAAUAAGACUAUUAUUAUAUUAAUUUUAUAUUGUGACUCAUUAUGUUUUAUAGUCUCCGAUUUAUAUACAAAUUCUUGAUUUUAUAAUUGAUCUUAUAUGUACAUGUAUUAAUUUGUAGUUUGAAAUAUACUAAUAAUGUUUCAAAUCAUUGAGUAUUAAUUUUAAUAAUAUUGUUUUAUCUUAUUUUGUUCUACUAAAGGAUUUGAUAAUCUAUUAGUAUGAGAUACUCUUUCUAAUCUAUUUGAAAAACACAUUAAUUUAGGAUUUGACUGAAUAUUUUUCCUGGUAAUUUUAAUGAAAUGUAUAAAAAGAUUCUCAUAAUUGAUUUAUUAUUUUUAUAUAUUCUUUAUUAAAAUACUAAUAUUUUCCAUGAAUAUAUCUACCAUUAAUUUUAUCUUUUAAUUAAAUAAUAUAAUGAUGGUAAUUAAAUAUUUUGAAAAUUCUCAUUCGUUAUUUUCUCAUAUGUUAUACUAAUAUAUAUUCAAAAACAUUUAUUAUUUUUAAUCUUCUUAAUCUAAUAUUUUUAAUAUUCUAUUUAUCUUAUACUUCUCAUUAUUACUAACUUAAUAUUGAAAAAGUAAAUUUGCAAUAUUAGAAGUGUAACACCGCGAAUUUUACGAUUUUGAAUUAUAAGAUUUUAUUAAUAUUUUUAUUAAUUAUAUAUUCGAAAAUGAAUUUCUGGGAAUUUUCGGUAAAGAAUUAGAUAAAACUCUAGUUGAGUUUUAGUCUUGAAAUUUUAUUUCCUAUUUUGUGGUAAAUUUUGGUAAUUUUCAGAGACAGUCGGUUCUGAACCACUGUCGGGGCCGAAAUCCACCCGGUACGGCUCAAAAAGUGGUUUUUGAGUUCCGUAACUCGGAAUUGAAUUCCGAUCGCACCGUUGGCUUCGUAAUUUCAUUUUGAGUCAAUAUAGAUUCUGUAUACACUCAUACCUAUUUUCUAAAUAUUUUUCACUCGGAAUGCCGAAAUCCGAAAUUCUAAUCGGAUAUUACGAUCGGGCGAUUUAUAAUAUCCGAUCGGUAUUAGCCGAUAAUCUUCGAGCACGAUUAUCGCGCGUAUCCGUGAGGGAUCAUUUCGCAUUGGGAUGCGAAAGUUGACUUCCAUAAAGUAAACCUCACAUCACUCAAUCUCAUCAUUAGCCACCCUAGGAAGCCACCCUAGGAGAUCUUCAUGAGUGCCUAGGAGGGAAAUCAGAUUUCCCUCUCCCCUUAAGCACUCCUCACUCCACAAUUCUCCCACACUCUUCAUUUGAAAAAUUUUCUAAGAGAAGGUAAAAACCUCCCUUCAAGUUUUUUCUCAUUUUUCUCAUUUCUUCUUCCAUUUUCAAACCUCGAUCUCUCAACAUUCAACCAAUAGAUGUUGAUGAGAUUUAAGUAUGAUGUUCAUGAGCAUGUCAAGAACAUAUUCAACCGUUGAAAUUUUCUAAAACGCUUUCUANNNNNNNNNNNNNNNNNNNNNNNNNNNNNNNNNNNNNNNNNNNNNNNNNNNNNNNNNNNNNNNNNNNNNNNNNNNNNNNNNNNNNNNNNNNNNNNNNNNNAUUUUCUCUCAAAUCUCAGAGGAACAAGUCCAACAUUAUCCCUAAUCUCCAACCUAGCCCAAACCUAAUCACCCUACUCCAUUUCCACUCCAGAAACCGGUUUCUCCAUCUCAAAUUUCCAAGAAAUUCGUUUUCCCCAAAUUGAUAACCCUACCUUAGGUUUCCCUAAAUCCCUCCAUUAAACCUUCGUCAAGGUUCAGUUUCAACAUCAAUGGAGAGAGGACAUGCUAAAAGAGUCAAGACAACCGCUCAACGUCCACCGCAUGUCCCAAAAGUCGUGCCAUCUCAACAAGCAAGGCAAGACCAUGGGGACCCGUAUUAUUCGCAGAUUCUGCAAGAAACUCGGUUGCUCAAAUUUAUGGGGAGGAAACCAACAUACAUAAGGUUUGCAAAUUUGACUUGGCUAGCAGAACAAAACUUUGACUUUCCGCAUGGUUUGCAAGCACAAGGGGUUGUCCCCUUCUUGGAAUUAAAAGGUAAUAUCUACCCUGCUCUAGUUAGGGAGUAUUAUGCCAACUUUAGAUAUAAGGAUGGAAAGUAUUGGUCAAUGAUUGCUGGAAAACUGUUUGAGAUAAAUGAAGACAUAUUUAUGAACGUGGGUGGUUUAUCAUGUACUGGUCUUAGCUUAAGUGACUGUGGUUAGGCAAACAACAACUCUUUUGAUGUUGCUGAAAUGUAUAAAUCUUUUUUGUGUAGACCUUAAUGUAUGUUCAGGGUGAAUUAACCAAAGUUAGGUCGCUAUCCGUAGAGAACAGGCUCCUACAUUAUCUAAUUGCCUAUAUUUUGAUUCAGAGGAACACAAAUCAUGCACAACCUACAGUGAAUGAUUUGAGGUUCAUGUUUGCUGUAAAGGAGAACAUAAUGUUCAACUGGCCUGAAUAAAUUCUGAAGGUCAUGUACAAUGUCUUCACUUUACAAUCAAGGUUGCUUCCUUAUAGUAUCUUCAUUUCACGAAUUAUUGAUUAUCUGCAUAUUGAUGUCUCGGAUACUAUAGUGGUGGACUAUUCUAACAAGGAUCAUUUGAUUGGUGAGAGUCUGAUUCAUAAGAUGGGUAUAUAUAAGUAUGGCAACACAUGGCAAUAUCAAGAGGACUGUAACACUGUGAAUCUUGACCCCUCUAGUGAGGAUGACCAAGAUGAUACUCAAAAGCCAUUUGCUACUACUCAGGGGUAGUCUUCUGGUCAUGCAUCAUAAGAACCAACUUUUGGACAAGCCUACUUGGAUUCUAUGGAACAAUGUCUCAACAACAGGAUGGAUCUUCACAUUAAGUCUCUGAAGGACUCAUAUCAUACGGAUCUGGAGAAUUUUGAGGAGCGUCAGAAUGCUUAUAUUGAUAACCAUUACCAAUCCUUGAGGAAUUUUGUUCAGACAACUGCUGACUCACAAAACAGAAGGUUGUGUGCUGAGUUCAACAAGCUGAGUACCCUCAUCAAGGGUGGUGGUAGCUCGAUGAUUCCUGACAACGAAAAACCUCCAUCUGAUCCCUAGUUAGGAGGCCUUAGAGCUUUAGUUUUAUCCUUCAUAGAUUAUGGACCUUGUUGUUCCUUGUUACCCUCUUGAGAACUUAUCUUUUAUUUCAUGCUUUGGCUUUUAUAUGGAUUGUAAUAACUCCUAUCUUCUGCUGAUUUACUACUUCGAAAUUUGAUAAUGCUUUAAAUGAUUUCAAAUUAUCUUUCUCAUGCUUGAAUGGUAAUUAUGUUGCAUAUAGUAUACUCUUAUGUUUAAUGGAUCUUGAUCAUGUUUGGUGUAUGUAUCAAUAUUGAAUGCUUAUGCUUGCUGCUAACUGCUCAAAUAUAUCAAAUGCUUAAUCAUUCCAUGCUUAUUUUGAGUAAACAUAGCCUUUCAUGCCAUUAAAUCUCUUAUGUUGUUGUUUGUUGUCCAUUUAAUCGAUUAAGUCCUGCUGUUAAUCGAUUAAAAAAUGUAUAAAUGUCCAUUUGUUCAAGCUUCUUACAACUGGUUGAUUGAUUAAUCGCCCAAAACUUAUUGAUUAAUUAUAGUCUGUCAUAACUCUAAUAACUCUUCUGACUUUUGAAUAGAAUUGAAUACUUGUAUCUUUUUGAUAAUGUCAAAAGGGGGAGAAAGGUUGCUUGUUGUGUUAAAAUGUAUUUUGCAGGUUGUAAUAGCUUUUGCAGGUUGUUGUAUAUAGCUUCAGUAAUAUAAUUGCUUACCUAAGGGAGAGCAAAGGCACUUCAACUUUGAAACUUUGAAUAACAACCAUUAUGCAAACUCAUCGUCAAGCUAAUUCAUCAAAAGUUUUGGACUAUUUUGAUGUGGUAUUUGUCAUCAUCAAAAAUGGGGAGAUUGAAAGUGCAAAAUGUCAAGGAUAGCACUAGCAAUGCUUUGCCUAUGUUUAGAUGAAGACAAGGUUCUAUUAAAGCUUGAAGAUGGCUCAACAACCAACAUGCCUAGACCUCAUUGGUCAUAUCUAGACUAGGAUGUAAAUAGAGUCAUUAUUCUAAGUAGUCUGGGAUGUGUACAUUAGUAAGUGAGAAUAGGUGAGGUGAACCUAGGUGCAAGUCUCUCAAGCCAUUAUAAUUAUCAUAUCACAUCCAUGAGACAUAUCAUCUAGUUAAUUGUAUGUUCAUGCAUUAAUCAUACAUGUUAUAUGUGCAUAUUAGGCAUAAUAUAAUUGCUAAAACAUGUAUAUGAGUUAAGCAUAACAUAUGAGAACUUUACCUUUUGAACCACGUAUUUUAAUAUGCUAGUUAAUCGAUUAACAUGGUAACUUAAUCGAUUAACUCAACUGUUUUUCUAUUAUAUCAAUAUUUUUAUUACAACUGGUUUCAGUUUCAAUUUUGUUGCACUGGUUAAUCGAUUAACGAGUUACCUUAAUCGAUUAACAGGUCUGUUUUGUAUUAUAACUGAUUUAUGUUUUAACUACUUAACUGAUUGCAACGAAUCCAACUGUAAAAACUGCUUAGUAUAAGUUGAGGCAACUUCUAGAAAAUUGUAGCAUUGUAUUCCAUUGUAUAGGAUUGAUUUAGAGAGCAUAUUUCGUUUUUGCACUCUGUUUUUGCAAGAGAGUUGCAUGUGUGAGGAAGAGAGUUUACCAUGCCUUAUUGAGUCUUUGAUUUGCAUACUGUUUUUCAUAUGCUUAUUCUCAUCCUUAUCUUUCUCACAUGUUCAUGCAUUAUUUGUAAAGAUUCUUAGAGAGAUAUAUUGAUUACUAUUUUUUAUUAACUCACAUGUAUUUGAUGGCUUGAGUGUAUUGUGAGUGGGUUAGUCUUAAGGUCUUUUAAUUGUAAUAUUUCAAGCAUUAUUGUGCUUAUAAUACCUUGCUUUAAUCGAUUAACUCAACUGUUUUUCUAUUAUAUCAAUAUUUUUAUUACAACUGGUUUCAGUUUCAAUUUUUUUGCACUGGUUAUCGAUUAACGAGUUACCUUAAUCGAUUAACAGGCCUGUUUUGUAUUAUAACUGAUUUCUGUUUUAACUACUUAACUGAUUGCAACGAAUCCAACUGUAAAAACUGCCUAGUAUAAGUUGAGGCAACUUCUAGAAAAUUGUAGCAUUGCAUUCCAUUGUAUAGGAUUGAUUUAGAGAGCAUAUUUCGUUUUUGCACUCUGUUUUUGCAAGAGAGUUGCAUGUGUGAGNNNNNNNNNNNNNNNNNNNNNNNNNNNNNNNNNNNNNNNNNNNNNNNNNNNNNNNNNNNNNNNNNNNNNNNNNNNNNNNNNNNNNNNNNNNNNNNNNNNNGAAUAUUAUUCUCAAUGGAUACAAUAUUAUUAUCUUUAUCACAAUUCCAUUAUUCAUUAACUUUAAUAAAAAUAAUAAUAUUAAUAUCAUUAUUUUAGAUUGUGGCUUAUUAUAUUUUGUACAGUUCAAUAUUUAUACUAUUAUGAAUUCAUAAAAUCAUAAAUAUGAAUAUUUAAAAUUAAUUUUAAUAUCAAUAACGUUAAUAAAUCGAUGUUUACAUAUUAAAGUUAUUAUUAUGUUUAUAUUAUUUUUUAUAAUAUAAAAUAUAACUUUUAUAGUAUAUAUAUUUGACUUAAUAUUUUCAUUGUUUGAAUUUAGUUUCUUCAUCCAUGUUAUUAUCGAAGUUCUAUUUAUAUUAUUUAGAAUAAAUAUAUGUUAUAGGUUAUACAUAUUUCUUAUUAGUUAUUUUAGAAUUAAACAACAAAUGAUUAUACAUUUAUAUCUAUAAUGAGCCUGUCUAAAAUUUAGGAAUCAGAAAUAACUUUGAUCAAAAUUGUAUUAGUAUUUGAAAUAGCCAUUUUCCUAAGAUUAUUAUUCUAUUUUUGGUGGUUCAUUUUACCUACAAGAUAGAGAUAGAAAAAGACCUUGUUAUACUUUAUAUUGUUCUGUAUGAAGAUGAAGGGCAUCACACCUUAUAAUGUAUUGAACAACACAUCAUUAUCAUAUUAAUUUAAAAAUCAUCAAUAAGUUUAUAUGUCAUUAUUAUUUGACUAUAAAAUAAGAUUAAUUUCAAAAAACGCAUUAUUAUUAUUUGACGAUAAAACAACUGCAAACAAAUAAAAUUCAAAAAUUGUUACUAUUGUUACUACUCUUAAUAACUACUAACAAAUAAUAAUAAUAGAAAAUUAUUAAUAUUCUUUUUUUAUCAUAUUUCUUUUUGUUACUAUUUGAAUACUACAACAGUAACAUUGCAAUAUUAGAAUCAAAUCUAAACAAUAAACAAAAUAUAUUCAUAAUGAGUAUUGUCUAAAAUUAAGGAAUACAUAUUUGUUAUGACUUAUAACUACUUCAUAUUACCUAUUAUAUAAUUAAACAAUAAAUGACUAUAAAUUUAUAUUUAUAAUGAACAUGGUCUAAAAUUAAGGAAUCAUAAAUAACUUUGAUUGAAAUUGUACUAAUAUUUGAAUUAGACAUUUUCCUAAGAUUGUUAUUCUAUUUUAGUUUUAAAAUGUCAAAUCAUUUAUUAGUUAAAAAUAUAGCUAAUAUUUUCAGAACUAAUAGAGGAAAAUUUAAAAUCACAAACAUAUAUAUUAAAAUUUAUAAAUUUUGUUUGUUACAAUUCUAUAGUUACAAAUCCUUUUUUACAAUUUGAAUUUUAUGAAAAUAUAUUAUUACACUGUUAUAAUUUAAAUAUUAUAAUGAUUGUACUUUAAUAUUAUAUAACAUUAUGUAAUAAUUGUACUUUAAUUUUUAAUAUAUAUAAAGUCUAAACUUGAAAUAACUACCACCAUGAUUCUAUUUUCCUAUUUUUCCCUAAGUAUGUUUUAUUUUUAAAGUAAAUUCAUAUAAUCAUAGAUAACUAUAAUUAGUACAUCUCAUUUUAAGUUGGCUAUUAUAAUAAAUACAAAAAUUAUAACAUGAAGUACAUCUAAUAAAAAACAUUCUAAUUCUCUAAAAUAAAAAAUACAAAUUUAAUACUUAAUAUCAAAAUAUAAGAAUGCAGGUCGGCAGACAUGAAGUGUUUGUCGACACGCUAGUAUUAUAUAAUGUAACAACUGCAUAUUAAGUUAAUUUGCUAAGCGUUUUAUUGAUUUUAUAUUAAAUAAAUUUUAAAAUAACGCACAUGACCAAUAAAUGUUUCAUAACGUAGUGAAAAUAUUGAUUAUACAUUUAUAUAUAUAAUGAGGAGUGUCUAAAAUUAAGGAAUCGGAAAUAACUUUGAUUGGAAUUAUACUAAUAUUUGAAUAGUCAUUUUCCUAAUAUUGUUAUUCUAUUUAGGUGUAAAAUAUCAAAUCAUUUAUUAGCUAAAAAUAUAACUGGUACUUUCAGAACUAAUAGAGGAAAAUUUAAAAUCACAAACAUAUAUAUUAAAAUUUAUAAAUUUUGUUUGUUACAAUUCUAUAGUUACAAAUCCUUUUUUACAAUUUGAAUUUUAUGAAAAUAUAUUAUUACACUGUUAUAAUUUAAAUAUUAUAAUGAUUGUACUUUAAUAUUAUAUAACAUUAUGUAAUAAUUGUACUUUAAUCUAUAUCUAUACUAUAUAUAAAGUCAAAACUUGAAAUAAUUACCACCAUGAUUCUAUUUUCCUAUUUUUCCCUUAGUAUGUUUUAUUUUUAAAGUAAAUUCAUAUAAUCAUAGAUAACUAUAAUUAAUACAUCUCAUUUUAAGUUGGAUAUUAUAAUAAAUACAAAAAUUAUAACAUGAAGUACAUCUAAUAAAAAACAUUCUAAUUCUCUAAAAUAAAAAAUACAAAUUUAAUACUUAAUAUCAAAAUAUAAGAAUGCAGGUCGGGAGACACGAAGUGUUUGUCGACACGCUAGUAUUAUAUAAUGUAACAACUGCAUAUUAAUGUUUCUUAAUGUAAUGGUUGCAUUGUAACUGUGUGUGUGGAAGAAGUUAAUUUGGUAAGCGUUUUAUUGAUUUUAUAUUUAAUACAUUUUAAAAUAACGCACAUGACCAAUAAAUGUUUCAUAACGUAGUGAAAAUAUUGAUUAUACAUUUAUAUAUAUAAUGAGGAGUGUCUAAAAUUAAGGAAUCAGAAAUAACUUUGAUUUGAAUUAUACUAAUAUUUGAAUAGUCAUUUUCCUAAUAUUGCUAUUCUAUUUAGGUGUAAAAUAUCAAAUCAUUUAUUAGCUAAAAAUAUAAUUGGUACUUUAAGAACUAAUACAGGAAAAUUUAAAAUCACAAACACAUAUAUUAAAGUUUAUAAAUUUGGCGGUUACAAUUCUACAGUUACAAUUCUUUUUUUACAAUGUGAAUUUUAUAAAAAUAUAUUAUUAAACUAUUACAACUCAAAUAUUAUAAUGAUUGCACUUUAAUAUUAUAUAACAUUAUGUAAUGAUUGACCGAUAAAUGUUUCAUAAUAUAGUGAAAACAUUAAUUAAGCAAAUUUGCACACGGUAUAAAAUCUUUAUCCUCGAAUAAAUGCGAAUAAUAACAUACCUUAAAUUGCAUAAUUUUCCAUCUUAGAAGAUUUGAUUCGAUUACAGUUGUGAUCUUGAAUCAAUUUUCUAGUGGAUUAAAUUGAAAGUCUUAAGUACAAUAAAAUAAAAAAAUAAACUGUACAAUAAAAACUAAAAUCUUAAAUCAAUAUACAAAUCUUCAUACAUCACACAAUGUCAUUAAAUACAAUAAAAAUGAUAUUAUCACAAAAUGUAAACUUUAAAUUUAAAGUUAUAGGUUGAUUUUAUUUUGCUAAAAUAAUAUCAAAAUGAUUAUUAAAACACAUACAAUUUAUUGCUCUAGUUUAGGUAAGGUAACAUAUAAUAUAUUCUCUAGUGUUUACUUUUAAACAAUUAUUUCUUUACAAAUUGAAAUGAAAAUAAUCAAAAUAACAAAUUGUCACGGGCUAUUAUCUUUUCUCUUCCCCUGUAUCAUCCAUCAUUGUCGACGUCAUUUUCAACAAUUAUAUUACAACCUGGUAAAGACAAUCUAUAUGCUCUUUGUUAAAAUAAUGAUUAUUUUUAGUAGAAAAUUCUAUAAACAAAAUAUUAGAUGCACAAAUAUAUAGAAAACUAACCAACAAUAAUGCUUCAAGGGUGAACCAAUAAUAAGAGGCAUCAUAUUGAAUACAACUCUUGUCAUCGCCCACGUCAUUAGAGAUAAAUCACAACUCCAAUUAUCGUACAAUAAGCACAUAUCUAUAAAACAAACAAAAAAUUAAUAAAGAACACACUUUAAUACAAUAUCUUCAAUGGAAAACAUAAAGAGCCACUCUAAAGUUAACUAUAAAACAUUCUUGCAAAAAAAAAAAAAAAAAAACUUUCAAAUGGUAAAAUACAUCUCUAUAAAAUAAGCACAUAUAUAUAAAAUAAACAAAAAAAUUUAAUAAAGAAGACACUGUAAUACAAUGGAAAAAUCAAGAAUCACUCUAAAUUUAACUAUAAAACAUUCUUGCAAAAAAAAACAGAAUAAUUUCGAAUGGUAACAUAUAUCUUUGGUCACUGACAAAAGAAUCUUUUGAAAUGAAAUGUCAAAAGAACACGGACCAAGAAAGAAAAAAUUGGUGGAAAAUAAGAAAAGUGAUGAAAUGAGGGAGUGAAAAGUAGAGAGAAGAUUUUAUGCUUGAGAAUGAAAUGUGAGAAAGAUAUAGAAAUAGCCACUGACAACAUAAUCUUUUGAAAUGAAAUAGAAGAAGAAUACGAAUCAAGAAUAGAAAAAAUUGGUGGAAGAUAAGAAAAGUGAUGAAAUGAGGGAGUGAAAAGUAGAGAGAAGAUUUUAUGCUUUAGAAUGAAAUGUGAGAGAAAGAUAUGGAAGAAUAGAAAAAAGUGAGAGAAAGAUAAUGAUCUAUUAUGUUAAAUUGAAACAAGUAGUAAAGAGAAUUUUUCAUCUUAUGUGUGAGCUUGCACAAUAAGAGGUAGAGAACUUUUAAGAGGGAAAAUUUUGCAUAAGGUAUUGACAUGUGUCUCUUGUUAAUGUGGCAAGAGUUGGUAUUGACAUGUGUCCCUUGCUAAUGUGGCAACAAUUUUUUUUGUUAUAUAGUAAAUAGAUAGAGAUUAUACAAAUCAAUAAAUAUAAGUUAUAUUUAUUUAUCAUUCUUGAUUUAGUUACUUUUGGUUAAUACUUAUUUCUAAUUGAUAGUUUUAAAGAUAACAAUAUUUCAAAUACUAUUAUGUACUCAAGCAAUUGGGAAAUAUUAUAAUCUGAGUAACUUUUAGUACUCAAACAAAUAAUUGGAAAGUGCAUUAUAUUUUACUUGACAGUUUCGAAAACAAAAUAGUGUCUUAUUAAAUUAGUAUCUUAUAAAAAUUAACAUUAAGCCUCAUAGAUAGUGCUUGUAAUAAUGAUGGAUGAUAGGAGUAUUAUGGACCCAUUUUCUAGUGAGAAAUUAGAAAUCUUAAUUUACUAAAUGAAAUAUGACAUAUAAGUGUUAUAUAUAUCUUGUACUAAUGAAAGAAGAUAGUAUUAUGGAACCAAAUUCAGGAUAUGUGAAUUAUAUGACUUAUUUUCAGUAGGUACUGUUUGAAGGAAUUUUAUUUAACUUACCACUGAUAAUAGUAUUAUUAUUACUUACCAUUGCCCUUAUUUAAUGAAAACAUUUCAAUGCAGAAAUGAUCUUGACUGCUCAACACAAAUUUUGAUAGAAUAAGCAAUAGAAGAAUUAUGAAAAUUUAAGGUAAAGUAGCAUGGAAUAACAAUCUAUGUAAUUAUUCAUGUCACCGUAAAGAAUUUUGGGUCACACAUGUACUGUUUAAAUGUAUUUAGAGACAUUAUUAUAAGUAGCUAAAUUAAAGUGAUCUACUUCAAGUAAGGUAUAUAACUAUAGACAUAAUUGUCAUGAAAAUUAUUGUGUAGAUAUCUAAAGUUUUAUUUGUAUUUUUAUGAUGGACAAAAAUAAGAAAUAAGAAAAUUGAAAAUGCAUCACCCUUAAUGAAAUGGAAUUUUUGUCUUAUAAAUAGAAGUUAUGGUCCCCAAUUCUAGACGUGAAACACAAACAAUAUGAACCACAACAUAUCAAGUUAUUAUCAUCGUCCCAUUAGAGGAGAAACUAAGGAUAAGAGUGAUCUACAAUUGAAAGGCCAAAUAACCUACAUGUUCUACUAUGAACAUGCAUUUACAUACAAGGACAAAGGACAUAGAGUUGAUGCAUAUAUGAUGAAGAAUGGUAUAGAGUUCAUGCACCAUAUUCUCAAUGAAUAUAUUAAGCUACAUUUCCGCUUUAGUUUUAUCUAUAUUCUUCUUGUUGAUUUAACAUGAAAAAUCUUGGCUAUAUGAUGGUAGUAUAUUCAUCAUCUUUAGUAGUAUUCAUAUUUAAUUAUAAAGUCUCCAACCAAUUAAAGUUUAUAAGAAAUAUUUUUCCCAACAACCACAACCAAGUAAGACAUCAAACAUUGGUUCACACACGAUAUAACUAGACCAAAGUGUCAUGAAAUUAAACUAUGGGACACAUUGACAAGAGAAGACUCGCAUAAGUGGAGUCAUCGUCCCUUCCCUUUAUGAUCAUUAAUUAAUACUACAACACUGUCAUACAUAGUAUCCUGCACUUAAAAUUUGCUAUGGUGCCUGAAUCUUUCCCACCACAUCAACUCUUCAGAACUUGUCGCUGCAAUAUUGCACAAACCAAUAAAUAAAGGAAGUGAUUUAACUACCAAAUUUUAUACCAUAAAUAAUCUAUGCUCGGCAGAAGUAAUUUAGGUUUAAUAUUGUUAAUUGGCUAAAUUUUCAGUAACUAGCUAGCAAAAGCGCAUACAUGUAUUAGGCUUGUGAGAAUAGUAUGUAUCAUCAGAGUGAUUUCAUGAAAACCCUUUUAAGAAUUUUAAUGAUUUUUUAUGGGUAUUAUUAUUAAGAGUGUAAUAUAUAUCAAUUGUUGUUACGGUAGCUUGCAACAAUGAUAAAUGACACGAAACAAUACUUAGUGGUUGGGUCACGACCAGAUCUCUCUCUUUAAGACGUUUCGUGACACUGUCAAAAAUGUGCAAGCAGACUAUCAACAACACCAUCCCCAGGAUAAAACAGUCCAGAUAUCUGUUAUCGAAUUCUUACUGCAGUGUAAGAACCGAUCUCGAAUACACCUACCACAAUAUGUAUAUCAGUGUCAAUUCUCGAAAUUCUCACAAUAUGACUAACAGUGUCAAUUCUCGAAAUACCCACAAUAUGGCUACCCAUGCCAAUUAUCUUCCCACAAUACUGACUACCAGUGUCAGUUCUCGAAAUAUCCGCAAUAUGACUACUUGUGCCAAUUCUUUUCCGUCAAUACUGACUAUCAGUGUCAGUUCUCGAAAUUCCUACAAUAUGACUACCUGUGCCAAUUCUUAGUACCACGGAAAGAAAGGGGAAGAAGUUUGCGAGAAAUGCAUCAGCAGAAAAUAUGAGUGAGAAAGAAAAAGUUGAAUGAAAACGUAUUCAAAUUGGGGCAAUAAAAUAUGAAGAUAACAAACUUCUAUUAUAUAUGGGUUGUAGUAAUUAUAGAGAUCAUCUGACAAGUCAUUCAAAAUGAAAUUCAUAAAAGUAAUCAUUUUCAUUCGAGAGAGCUAUAUUAAUAGCUAGUUUAUCCUUUUUCUUUUUUUCAGCUUUCUCCAGCAACAUUAGGACACUAAUUUUCAAAAUGUGUGCAACUUUUCUUAUGUUGAAGAAAAAUUUCAUCUUAUGUUGCUAACGUUUAAAAUUUGUACCAUCAAACCGAAAUGGUUUGUUCAGUUCAUAGCUAUUCGGUCCACUAAUAUUGUCUACGAAUGUUGUUGCAGUAGAAACGUCUUAAAAAUUGUUGUUACCGUAGCUUGCAACAAUUAUAAAUGGCAUGAAAUAAUACUGGCUGAGUCACGAACAGGUCACUCUCUUUAAGACGUUUCGUGACACUGCCAAAAAUGUGCAAGCAGACUAUCAACCACGCCGUCCUUAGGAUAAAUAGCCCAAAUAUCUGUUAUCGAAUUCUUACUGCACUAUAAGAACCAAUCUCAAAUACACCCACCAUAAUAUGGCUACCAAUGCCAAUUCUCGAAAUUCCCACAAUAUCGCUAGCAGUCCAAUUCUCAAACUACACACAAUAUGGCUACCCAUGCUAAUUCUCUUCCCACAAUACUAACUACUAGUAUAUGUUCUCAAAAUGGCCACAAUAUGGCUAUCUGUUCCAAUCUUUUCCCUCAAUACUGACUAUCAGUGUCAGUUCUCGAAAUUUCCACAAUAUGACUAUCUGUUCCAAUUCUUAGUACCACGGAAAGAAAAGGGGAGAUGUUUGCCGAAAAUAUGAGGGAGAAAGAAAAAGUUGAAUGAAAACGCAUUCAACUUGGGGCAAAAAAAUAUGAAGAUAAGAGACUUCUAUUUAUAAUAUGAGAUUUUUUCCAUGUUCCUAGUCUCUCCAAUGUGGAACUUGGGAGUUGUUUUCUUUCAAAACUCUUCUAUAUGGGACUUGGAAGUUUUUUAGAUUUCACACCCACAACCAAGUUCCAACAUCUAUGUAUUCACAAUAUAAAUAUUUAUAUACAGACAAUGCAUCAUUUAUUGUUCACUAUUCAUUUGUAUUACUUUUACUUAAGAAUUAAUAAUAGUUAAGAAUAAAUAGAUAGUGAUACAACGACAAUGUAAAAAACUCUUACACUAUCCGCACAUACAUCUUGUUAUGUCUAUUAUUAAUCAUUAUUUCAAAACUUCAAAGCAUUAUGCGAAGUAUAUAAAUGAUGUUGUUAAGAGGUAAUAAUAGUGGUUAGAACUUAGAAGCUGUAGCUCCACUCAUCCAUUUAUGGUGUUAUCAUUUUAUUAGUAUUUAGAUGAAAAACUUGACAACUUCCUUAAAAAGGUAAGUAACAAGAUAAGGAAAAUGUGAGAUAACAAGAUAAGGAAAAUGUGAGGUAUCAGUUCUUUCCUUAAAUUGUGAAAUCUUCAUUUCAGAAAUUGUUACAUUAAUUUCUAUUUGUUUGCUUAAAUUUAAUUCUAUACAUUAAUUAGGGAUUAUCAGAGAUAACUAUUGAAACUUUUAGUAGCAUAUCAUAAACUAAUUCAUUAAAAAUAUAAUUAGUACCAUAUAGUUCUUCAAAUCUACUAAAAUGAUACUUAUUUAUUACUUUUAUUUCUUCUUUCAUUGUCAUCUAACCACACACAAUGAACUGAGAGAUAGUAUGGUGUUGAUUAUAAGAACGUCUAAAAAAUAUUUUUUCUAUUUUUAGGAAAUUGCACGUCUAACAUUCUAUAUAAAAUCAUUUUGUGGAAUUUCAUGUGAAUAGAAAUAAAUUUAUUAACAUUGCCAUGAUAUUGAAUUUAAAGUUGAUAGAAAUAACAUACGUAUUACACUUGGUGGAGGUGCUAAUCUUAUAGGGAGAUUGACCCCGCAUUUGGUAGAGAGUGAUGAUGCAUUCACAAGAUCGUAUUGGGUGGAAGAAGCAUCGGAUUUGAGGCAAUUGCAUGCGGUUUGUUUGUCAGCGGUGCUUUGAGCCAACGAGACGAGUCCCUUGACUCCAUUGCAGCAUGUUACAGGAAGUCAGGAACAGCUCCACCGGACUGCAGGUAAGUGAGGCAUGGAGCUAUGCCACUAACAACCUGUCCACAUGUUAUGGUAGCAUGUGCAAUGGGUGCACCCACCACAACCAUGCACAUCAAAACCAUACAUGUUACCUUAAUGCUUGCCAUUACUUCACAAACUAAUUUGCUGUGUAUUUGCUUUUGGAUAUUGCUUACUUGGUGAUAUACGGGAUGCAUGGUAUGCAGUUUAUAUAGAAAAUAAGAGAGAGAUUAUUACAUAAUGCUGCACUAAAAGAUGGAUUGUGGCCUAGGCCAAUCCUCAUUUGACAGGUGGUGUACGUUGAAAGUAUUGUUUACAACCGUGAAAAGCACGGUCUCAUGCAUUUACCCUCUCCCGUCACAAACAACUAAUUCAUUUUUAUUUGUUCUCACAUAUUAUUAUAUAAUUUGUUAUAAUUCUCCAUGAAAUAAGAAUAACAUUUACGUUUUUCUCACAAUGACAAAAAUUGUUCCUAUUCUUGUUUGGCUCCCACAAUAUUUACCUUUUUUCCCACAACAUUUAUUUUUCUCCUCACUUUCCUUUGUUUAAGAACAACUAAGAGUUCUUCUUAUUUAAGAACAAAAGUAAGAAAAUAAGAACAACACAAUGGAGAACAAAGUAAGAAUGUUCUUAUUCCGUUAAGAACAACCAUUAUGGUUGCUCUUAGACUUGGGAUCCUCUCCUAUGUUGGACAGUGCAGUACAGGAAUGAGGCUCAGUUUCAUUUGAUGAUUUUAAAAUAAUUUUUAAUACAAAAUAAGCUUCAAAUUUAAGUCAUUAAAACUUUUUAAAUAACACAUGUUAUUAUCUUAUUCAGUAUUGAACUCACCAUUACCAAAGUAAUUCACCAUGCAUUAAUAUUUAAUAUCCUUUGAAGUGAAUGCUAUCAUUCAUUUCAAAUUAAAAAAAAAACAAAGACAUUAUUAUAAUAAUUUGCUUUAUUCCACUAAAAAUAAGGAGAAAUUAUUCCAUUAUAAUUGUAGAUAGUUAUUAACUAUAUAUAAAAUAUUUUAUAAAAUUUUAAUUUUAAUAAAAAACUUUUAAGACAUUAUUCUAAUAUAAUUAUUAAUUGUAUACAUAAGAUUAUUUGUUGUGAUUUUCAUUCUAAUAAAAAAUUGAGAGACAUUAUUUUAAUAUAAUUAUAGAUAAUUUUAAUUAUAUAUAGGAUAUAUAUCAUAGAUAUUCAGUAAAGUUUUAAAUUGAUUGUCAACUAUCUAACAUAACAUUAAUCUUUAUCUGUGCUUAGAACCAGAUAUAAUAAUAUUAAGCACACAUAAAUAGAUUUAAUGCCUAACACAUAAUUUAUAAGAGUAUUAUGACAUUAUUCGGCUUAUUUAAUCAACUCCACUUCAUGGAAUAAAUUUGAUAGUUAUUUAUUAAUUAUGUAAGUUAUCCCAUCCAGAUCUACCAUCUUCCAAUUUGAUAUGGAUCUCCUGAUUGUUAUCAAGAUGCAUGCGGCAACCAUGGGUUUGUUAGCAGUUGGGUCCCAUUAAAUGCUCAAUGGUAGAUCCUCUUGUCUUUGAGCAUGUAGCGAUCUAUUAAUGUUAGAUUCAUGAGAAAAAUAUGUAUGUAUUGAUAAUGUAUAAAUUUUAUAUAUUGUUAAUAUAUCAUUUAUUAUUCAUAUUAAAGUAACUUAAAUAAAUGAUUGAUAAUGUAAUAUGUGUAUAAAUCUUUACACGAAGAAUCUAUAUAUUUUACAUACUAGAUUUAUUGCUCUGCACUAAUGUAUCAUCUCAUAUUUGAGCACCUGAGCGUUAUAUUAGACGUUAGAUUUAUGAGAAAAAUAUAUAUAUAUACACAGAAAGAGAAUUUUAUAUUGUCAUCACAUCAUUUAUUAUUUAUUUUAAUCUUUAUUGACUUUUAAAUAAAAGUAAUACAGAUGAAUGAUAAAUAAUAUAUUAACUAUGUAUUAAUCUUUAAACUGUCAAUGUAUAGUUGUUAUACUCAAGAUUUAUUGCGUGGGACUGAAGUUCACUCUCAACUAUCCAUAUACAUCUACCCUAAUUUGUACAAUUGUAUAACUUAGUUAAUCUAAGAAGAAAUAUUCCAACAGGUUAUCUUUUUUUCCUCUCUUUUUUUUAAGCCGAAGGUGCAACUACACCUCGAAAUAUAUUAGAUGGAAAAACGAUACAUUAGUGAUAAGAAGAAGAGAAUCUAUAACUAGGAAGAAGGUUCCUAUUACGCAAGAAUUCAUGAUGAAUGAAAUUAGGAGUAGACAUCCAUUUCGAACUAACUUUGGAGUUAAUCCCAUAAUUAGCCAAUUUAUCCGCGCAAGAAUUGCCUUCUCGAUAGAUAUGAGACACCCUGAAAUUCAUUCCAACCAUUUUUGCUUUGCACUGAAUCCAUUUGUUUAUGAGCUUCCAAGGAGGAUUAUGAUUUCCAUUGAGAAUUUCCACCACCAAUGUGGAAUCACAUUCAAGCCAGAGAUUCAUCCAGGCCUUGGAUAUAGCAAAGAUGAUUGCUGAUAAAGCAGCAUUAAACUCAGCAAAUAAAGCAUCCUCAAUGCCGUAGUAAUCAGCCAUGCAGGCAAUGCACUGACCACUGUGAUCUCUGAAGAUUGCUCCUCCCCCAGCGUGGCCAGGAUAACCUCUAGCUGCACCAUCAGUGUUAACCUUGAUGGUGUUUCUCGUAGGGGCAGUAUAGAAGGAGCCUUAGGAUAAUUGAUAGCAACUUUGAAAGCUUUAUGGAUACAAAGGUCGAUCAAAGAAGGCUUGCUUGAAACUUUGGAAUAGCUAGCUGAAAGAGAGGUUAUCGUUAUGAUUCUAUUGAUGACAGAGCCAAUGCUAUAGACUUUGUUGUGAAAUCUGCAUUGGUUCCUACACCACCAAAUCGUGUUGAUUGCAUGAAUAAUGCAAGCAGUGAAGAGGUGAUGCACCUGAUCACACCAAUCAGCUUUACUGGCCAGGAGGAUUGCUUUAACAGAGGAAAAGUCCAGAUGGAUUUUGAAAAUUCCCUUAAUCCAAUUCCAAAUUUGAGUUGCCAAUGGAUAGGUGAAAAAGAGAUGGGAAGAGGUCUCCACCUGCUAAUUUAAUUGGAUGUCUAAUAUUUUCCAACAAUUAUUAAGAUCAAAAUUGGCAGCCGUUUAAAGCAAUGGUAGAUUUAUUUCUAGAGUUAAGUGCACUCACAUCCCCAAGAGUUAAAUUAUAUAAAUCCUUUAUAUUUUUUUCAUAUCUAAUAUUUAUGAAGAAAUAAAUAUAUUUUGUGAGAAUGUAAUAUUUAUGCCCCACCUAUAUAAAGAUUUAUAUAUAGUCAUUAAAUUGUUCACUACUCUUUUAGAUUACUUUUUGAAGAGUCUAUGAUGAUUAAAUAUGAAUGGUGGAUGAUACAGUGAUUGUGUAUAAAACUCAUACACUCUCAUUAAAUACAUAUUUUUCUCAUCUUUUAAACGAAAGAUGGUAAAAAAUGUAAUUAAGUUAAACAAAUCAUGGUAUAUUGUGGAGACAAAUCAAAAUAGUAUACGAGUCAAUACUUAUUGAGUAUUUUUGUCCUUACAAUAUAGUAUAAAAGUGAUUUAAAUAAUAUCCUCUUAGAAUUUUUUAUGCAUUUGUAACGAACUAAAAAUAAUGAAGAGAUCUUGACUCUUAUACUAUUUGCACUUUUUUAUAAGCAAAGAUUUAUCUUAAAGCAGCACAAGGGGUGCCAACCCGAAUACAAAAGGAACUACAAAACAAAAGAAGGCAUAAAGCACAUUAAAAAAACAACAUUUCGAAUUAGUGCACCACUGAGCAAAGAUGAACAGAUUUUGAUUAAUGCUCGAAGCAAACCAAGACCACAAUCUAACCUGAAUCAAGUCCAUAAUUUUCACAAAACUAAUCUCCUUAUCCGAAAAAUGGAGUCAUUUCGCAUUAACCAAAUAGACCAAAUCACGAUAAACCACAACAUUCUCCAUAAUUGUCUCCCUUUUGAAUUCUUGCAUAACAAUUCAUGAUAAUUAAACAGCUUCCAACAGUACUCUGCUGCAAAACAAAUGGAAUCUGCAACCAAGCAUAAAAACCUCGCCAGACAGAGGAAGCAAAAGAGCAAGACAAAAUUAGAUGAUCAAGAGAUUCAGAAUAAUUCAAACACAAAACACAAUUUAACUCAUCAACACUAUGAAUAAUUCUUCUCUUAAACAACUCCUCCUUAGUUGCAAUUCUACCACACAGAGUUUUCCAAACAAACAACACACCUUUGAAGAAGCACAAUUAAUCCAACUUUUAUUAAGAAGAAAACCAACCUCAUUUUGUUGGACAUUAAUUUGGGCUAAGUAAGCUUUUUUAACCACAUACCUUCCUAAGUUAUAUAAACUCCAUUUCCAAGUAUCUACACUAUCUCUUCUACAGGAAUGAGAAGCAACCAGUUGAUACAAAGAACUGACUGAAUUUUCCUCCCAAUCAAACAACAUUCUCCUCCAAAGAACAUUCCAAUUCCACUGGAUGUUGAUCCAGACCCCACAAUUUGAAACUAGCGCUUGUCUAUUCAAAGCAAGAGCAAACAACCUGGGAAAUGUCUCCUUCAAAUAACACUGGCCAAACCAAACAUCAUUCUAGAAUAGGGUUUGAGAACCAUCUCCAACUUCCUUCCAAAGUUUAUCCUCCAACCAACGGUUCCCUGCCUCAUAUGAGCCACCAACUUUAGCCAAAUCCCUCCACCACUUUGAAGCCGAUAAAGGAGCCAGCAUAACGGCCUCCGGGCCAUACUUGGAAUUCACUACUUGAACGUCUCGACAAUAUAUCUUAUUUUGUUUAACUUAAUUACAUUCAUCACUCAUUUUAUGUUUAAAAGAUAACACUAAUUUCUUGUGCAGAUGUAAUUAAUAUAAGAGAAUAAUGUAUCUCCUUGUGUGAGGAGAUAACUCUCCUCCUUACACCAAUUACAUAGUAACACAUGUCCAUUCAUUUUUAUAUUUUUAUUUUCUUUCCAUUUUCUCAUAUUUUAUUUGUAUGAAUAAUGAUUUUCUUCUUUCACGGGAAACCAACAGUUUUGUAUCAUCUCUUUCACUGUCAUGCUCUUCAUUCAUUCACCCUAAUACACUUAAUGAAAAAUCCACUUCCUUCUCUCAUGACACCUCAUUCUCUCUAAAAUCUAUGAUUUAGUAUGUCCUGAGUUUUUUAUCUAUGUAUUGUGAGUUUUUGUCACAUUAAGUCCAAAAUAAUUCGUAAUAGAAGAAACAUAAAAUAAUUCAUUAACUAUAUUAGUCAUUAGCCACAUAAAAUAAUUCAUUUACUUUUGGACAUAAACAGAAGAAACAUCAACGUAGAAAAUAAAAUUUGUUCCAUGUUUCCUUUAUCAUUUAUUGCCUUUCCUUCUUUGUCCACGUGAAUAACAAAUGAAGAGAGGAGUUGUUGUGUGAAUUCUUCCUCUUUUUCUCAGAGAACAUAAGAGAGAAAAAAGAAGAAGAGAGAAUAUGCAGAUUUGUGAGUGAAUAUGAAAAUUUGUGAAAGAAUGUACAUAUUUGAGAGAGAAAGAAAAGAAGGAGGUGCUGUGAGUGAAUGAGAAGUGUCUGGAGAGUGAAAGUGAAGGAGAUAGUGUGAGUCUCUUGGUUUCUAGUGUGAGAAGAAAAUCAUUAUUCAUAAAAACAAAAUAUAAGAAAAUAGACAAAAAAUAAAAAAUAUAAAAAUAAAUGGACAUGUGUUAUUGUACAGUUGGUGUAAAGAGAGGAAUUAUCUCCUCACACCAGGAGAUACAUUAUUCUCUUAAUAUAAUAUAUAUAUAUAUAUAAGGUUGGUCUGCGUGGAUACAAAAAUGAGAGGUAUCGGUUUAUAUAAUUUUAAUAAAACUCAAAGGAUAUCAAUAUUAUUUAUUUCAUGAUCAAUGUUGGCCUGUUAGGUCAUAAAUUGGUUUAUUAUUUAUUUCAUGAUAUUCACAUUAAUAUCAAAUUGGUUUAUUAUUUUCAUAACAUGGUAAUUAUUAUUUUGGAUACAUAAUCAAAAGUUAUAGUUACAUUACCAAUUAGUAGCUGGUUUAGAUAAUAUAUGUUUGUUUUCUUUUUAGUAAAGCCAGAGUUUAAGUCCGAUGAUUGGUUAUCUACCUUGCUGUUUUGAAAUUGGUAAAUUUGUUUUCUUUCACUAUUGUUGUUGAAGUCUACCACAGUCACGACACUGGCUUCCUAAUAGGCACCUUCCCCCUUAGGCCCUUACCUUGUAUGUUACAUUACAUCAUUUAAGCAUUGGCAGAUUGACUUCCAUUAAUUGAUUGGUCCUACAAUUCAUUAGUUCCUAUAUUCCUAUAGGUGAUUUUAAAAGUUUCCAUUCUACUCACAUUAAGAACUAUUAUCUGAUGUAUAAUAGAUUGAAAAAAUCUAUUUAGAUUAAGUGUAAAUACUCAUUUUAGUUAUUAAUAUUUUUCAUUCUCACUAGUUUGAUCCCUCAAAAAUUGAAAAAACUAAAAUGGUUCCCAAUUUUUUUAAUUAUGGGUUAAAUUAAUUGUUUUUAGGAACAAAUUAGUCCAUAUCAGAUUUGUAAAAUAUGCUAAAAUUAUCAAUUUGACCCGUAUUUAAAAGUUUUGGGACCAUUUUGGGUUUUUUCAAAUUUUGAGGGACCAAACUAGUAAAAUCGAAAAACAUGAAAGACUAAAAUGAGUAUUUACUCUUAAUUUAAUAGGUAAGUCUCUAAGUCAUCAUAAAAACCUAUUUAACUAUACUAUGCAUUAGUCUUACAUCGUUAGAAACAAUUAAUUUAAAAGUUGAAUAUAAAAUAAAGUAUAUUGAUAAUGAUUGAGUUUGAAUUUCUAGAUCAUCAUUGCUUUCAAUAAAUAAAUAAAUAUAUAUAUAUUUUUUUUUUUUGCUUAUGACAAUAAUCACAAAUACUAAAUGGUCCAAGUGUUCAUGCAUAUUCAUUAAUUUUUAAAGUAAAUACUAAUUUCAGUCCCUCAUUUUUAUGACCUUACCAGUUUGUUCCUUCAAAAGUGAAAACUAAAAAAUGGUCCACAAAAAUUUCAAAUGCGCAUAAAAUUAGUUAUUUUUAACGUAUUUUAUAACACCUGAUAGAGACUAAUUUGACACGUAUUUGAAAUUUUUGGACCCAUUUUAGGUUUUUCAAUUUUUGAGAUACCAAACUAGUAAGGUCAAAAAACAUGAGGGAUUAAAAUGAGUAUUUACCAUAUUUUUAUUAGAGUAAAUUUGAUAGACACUUCAAGCACUUUAGCUUAAUUACAUCCACAACUCAUUUUGUUUAAAAGAUUGCAUUCAUCUCUCUUAUAAUAUAUGUAUAUAAGUUGGUGAUAGUUUGUGUAGUUGCAAAAUGGGAGGGGUGUUUUGUUUUAGUGUAAUUUAUUCUAUAAAAAAUUAAAACAAAAAUGUAAGUUAAUUUUUUAUUGUUUGAUAGACAUUUAAAAACAGACCUGAUAGCUAUUUAAAAGGAGACUUCUUAGCCAUUUAAAGGAAGACUCUUAGCCUAUUUAAAUGAAGACUUGUUAGGCUAUUUAAAGGCCUCAUAGCACAAUCAGCUUUUUAAUAAGCUCACAAGCUAGAGCAGGCUUUUAGAUAGAUUGGGACUUAAAGCUUUGAUUGUUUUUUAAAAUAGUAAACUGGACAACUUUAGUCUACUAUAUAUUAUAUAGGUUAAGUUUGUUCUAGGCAAAGUCUUACACUUGUUUCGACCUUAUAUGUAGGCACACAUUUAAAACUUCGGCAAUAAUAAUCUUGUAACUAGUUACGUAGUGUUUAAUGUGUCACUCUUAGGCCAAUAUUUUUAUAGGACAGGCAAUGUAUAAGUGUGGAAAGUUUGAUAAUCCUUUAUUUUUCAGUUUAUGAGUCGAGAAUGCAGUUCAUUUUAUUUUAUUAUUACUAUGAUUAUGAUUGAAUUCACAUAUAAAUUCACCUAAAUUCCUUUAUUAUUUAGUUAAUUGAAUGAUACUAGUAUCCAUGGAGCAAAAGGAGCACAAGAUGGAAAAAUAUGCGAAAAUGGCAAAAAUAGAAGACUUUUGCCACAAGGAAAGAUCAGACAUCACGGUUGUAGUACCUUGAUAGCACGGUUAUGCAACUUAUAACUAGAAAAAAGUGUCUAUAUGGCCUAACAUCACUAUAAUAAUGACUGUGUCUAAACUAAUGGUUUAAGUUGCCUCUCAAAGUAUUGCUCAACACAACUGUGCUAACUAAUAUGUAAGGAUAUGCCAUCUCUAACGCCUAUAAAUUGAGAGCUCUAGCAAUUUCGGUAAAAAACACACUAUCAUAGCUAUAGACGUCAAAGGUGAAAGUGCGCAUGUCAAGAGGAACACUUUGGAAAGCUUGCUCACUAUGUGUUUUUUGGUUUUGAUGAGGACAACUUGUGUUUCAUAAGAGCUUGAAGAUCAUCAACAAAUCAACGUGCUUAAGUCUCAAGAUUGGUAUUAGACUUAGAUUAGUAAUUAGUUUAGGUUGAGUCUAAGGCUUAGGUAAACUCAAUACAUGUCUCAUAUGCAUAAAACAUUAAAUCAUUUUAUUUUUGAGAUAUGUCAUUCAUAAUAUGUUCAUGCAUCCCAUAUAUACAUGUCAUAUGUGCAUCCUAGGCAUAAACUUAGUGUUGAACAUGUAUAAGUUAAGUGCAUAACGUAUUUGAGUUUUGCAAUUUAAAAAUACACUUGGAAAUAUGCAGUUAAUCGAUUAAGGUGUGUUUUAAUCGAUUAACAUAAGUUUUUGAAAAGUAGUUGGGACAGAAAACUUGCAAAACCGAAUCAGUUACAAUUUUGUAACACGUUAAUCGAUUAACCAAGGAUUUAAUCGAUUAANNNNNNNNNNNNNNNNNNNNNNNNNNNNNNNNNNNNNNNNNNNNNNNNNNNNNNNNNNNNNNNNNNNNNNNNNNNNNNNNNNNNNNNNNNNNNNNNNNNNGCUUGUAAAACAUUAUUUCAAUUAUAGUGAAGAAAAAUCUCCUAGAUCAGUCGGGAGGCCUGGAUGUAGUUUGCAAGUGGACCCGCAAAUGAAUAGGAUAAAAAUCAUGUUGCACGUUUUUCUUUCCCUCUCUCUUUAUUGCUUUAAUCAAUUACUUUGUAUAGUUGUUUUAAUUAUAAUAAUCUGUUUCUAUACUAUAUUGUUGUAACUCUGAUAUAUCCAUUUAAAUCCAUUAAUUCUAAUGGAUGGAUUUAGAUAAAAUUAAUUUGGAUGAAUUUGCAUGGAUUUUGGAUUAUGGAUAAUUUUGCCACCCCUACUUGUCACCCUUUUUGUCUUAGUUGUUAAAAUUUAAGUUCAUUUUUUCCAUAUUCAUUCACUUAUUUGAUAUAGCAUUAUUUCAUUUCUCACGUAAUUGUUGAAAUAUCAUGUGCUUGUUCAAACUGCAUAUUAUACACUAUUGGUUUACACUAUGAUGUGCUUCUAGUGGACAUGAGCAAAAUUCUUCUGGUUUUUCUAUGUUAGCUUCUUUACUUUCCUCUACCACAUAUCAUAGAAUGAUGGUCAUUUCAGUCAUUCCAAACUACAUGAUAGUAGAAAUCUUUGCAACUUCAUUCUAUGCAUUAUUCAAUCUCUUCAAUGGUUUUUUUUACCCCAAUAUUAGUGAGUACCAUUGCCUAGUUCUUUAAGAUAAAACUCUAGUUUCUAGCUUUGUAAUUUUAUUUAUAUAUAUCAUUAUUGUUACAGAAUAUCCGUAUGUGCUAUGUGGUGGUCAUGAUAGUAUUAUAUAUGCCUAGUAGCAUAGACAAUACACUGAUUAACAAUCUCACGUGGUGGGAAAUUGACUGUUCUACAAUAAAUGAAUGAGAUAUAAAAUAAAUUACUUGUUAUGAAGAAUUAAUAAGCUGAGUAUUACAACUUAAUCAUUAAUUUUUGAGAUUAAAGCAUUUGUCAAUUAAAGGGUCAAAUUUGAAUUCGAUUAAACUUAAUUGAAUCCAUACAUGAUUGAGUUUCAUUAUAUCUUGUUUCGAGUUCAACAAAUUAGUCGAUCAACAUUCAGAGUCGGAUAAAAUACAUACUUUAUCCAGCCUAACCUAUCCAAAUCUCACCCCUAAUAUUUCACAUUAAAAAAUCUUAUGUAUUUCAUCUUUACCUUAGUUUCUUCUUUGUCCACAUUAAAUAAUAUUAGUAAUACCCUAUUCAAAAAAAUAGUAGAAAAUAUUAUUUACAAUAGUGUUAUUUCAAUAAUUCAAAUUUAAUAACUUCCCUUAAAAAAUUAAAUUAUCUCUCCUUUACUUUUUAUCUUUUAUUUGUAUACACAUUACCCAAAAAUCAGUUGAAAACCAAAGAAAAAUUUACUAUCACAAUUGUGUUAUCAAAAUACAGUUUUUUCUAAUCACUGUCUGAUAAGGACUAAAAAUGUAAAGUCAAUUACAAAAAAAUUAAAAUAUAUUAUUACAAAUUAAAUAUAAAACUUUCAACAUUAACUUUAGAUUUUUUAGUUAUUUAGAGAAGAGCGAUGAUUAAAAAAAGAAAAAAAAAAAGAAUUAUAAAAGAUAGAGAAAGGUGAUGAAUAGUGUAACUUGUUAGCUGAUUCAUAUUAUUUUCUAAGGUCAUAACUCAUCCUAGUUUGAAUAUAGGCAAAAAGAUGUUCCCCUUUUAAUUACCCUUCAAAUUUGGUUGUUGAACUUUCUUUUGUAACUUUGGUCCUUCAGGUAAGAUUUGUCGAGUGAGAGACUGUGGUCCAAUGCAUGACUUGUUUUUUUUUUUUGUGUGUAAACUAUUGAAGUUAGUAUUAUAUUCUAGCCAGAAAAAUGUGUGGGAUAUUUUAUUCUAAAGUAAAAUAAUAAACAAAGUAAUAAUUUUGAAUAGAGAAAAUAAUUAAGAAGUUUAAAAUUUGUUUUAUAGAAAUCAAUCAAUUUAUCAAUAAUAUUUUUAAUUUAAUUAUUAUCAAUCUUAAGGAUACAAUUGUCAUCAUCAUAAAAAUGUUUGAACUCCAUUAAUCAUAGACAUAAACUUAGAGUAAUAUUGAAUGUGAAAAAAUGGAAUAUAUUGUUAUAGUUUUUUUGUUUAUGUUGUAAUAUUACUUGUACCUAUUUUUUAACCGGAAAACAUGGCAGCCUUCACUUGCGAUAUUAACAUACUAUUCUGACCUUAAAAAAAGGGAAAGGAGUUAAUGGAUUGAUUCUAGGCAUUUUACAAAUUUUGUACCCACUUGUGAUUUUGAAAAUACUAUGUAUGCCAUAUUGGAUUUGAUAGAAUUCAUCAUUAUCAUUCAUUCAAUUAAUUCACCAAGGCAAAAGAAGCUAGUUAUACUAGCCAAAAGAAGGAUAAGUAGUUAAAACAGUUGGGUAGUUAUUAACCAACUGCCUAAAAGGGAAACUGCCAAAAGAAGAGUAAUUCUAACAACCCAAGUGCUAAAGGAAAAAAUACAUAAAUAAACCAAGACUAUAAUCAUCUAAUACCCUCCCUCAAGCUGGAGAGUAAAUAUUCAAAACUCCCAGCUUGGAAAGAAGAUAAGAAAAUGUUGAAGCAUCCAAGGCCUUGGUAAGCAAAUCAGCAGGUUGUUCUUUACUAGGAAUGGGAAGCAAAUGGAAGAGAUGAGCUUGAAGUCUUUCUCUAACAACAUGACAAUCAAUCUCAAUGUGUUUGGUGCGUUCAUGAAACAUAGAGUUUGCUGCAAUAUAGGGAGCUGAGUUGUUGUCACAAUAGAGAAGAGAAGGCUUGGUGAACGAAAUAGGAAAGAUGUCAAGUAAGAAAGUCAACCACUGAAGUUCACAAGCAAUAGAAGCAAGUGCCCUGUACUCAGCCUCAGAUGAAGACCUAGCCAGUGUUGUUUGCUUCUUCGACUUCCAUGAAAUUAAUGAGUUUCCAAGGAAGACACAAAACCCAGAAACAUAUAUCCUUGUGUCUAUGCAUGUGUCCUAGUCAGAAUCACUAAAAGCUUUUAGUUGGAGUGCAGAAUCAUAGGGAUAAAAGAGACCCUGACUAGGUGUUCCUUUGAUGUACCGAAGAAGUCGAGUAAGAGCUUGAUAGUGAGCAUUAGUUGGGUGGCUCACAUACUGACUCAAUUGCUGGAAAGAGAAGCUGAGAUCAGCUCUUGUAUUGGUUAGAUAAAGAAGUCUUCCCACCAAUCUUCUAAAACUAGUAGGAUUGUUGUAAGCACGAGAAGAAUCUUGAGAUAAAAUAGUACCCUUAGCAAUGGGAGUGAUGGCAGGUUUAGAUGCCAAGAAACCUGUGUCUGCCAAUAUGUCUAAAGCAUAUUUUCGUUGGCUCAAAGUAAUCCCUUUACUUGUCCUUGCCACCUCAAGCCCAAGAAAAUAUUUUAAGUGACCAAGAUAUUUGAUUUUGAACAAAUCAUGCAGAUGUUGUUUGAAAAAUGUGAUUUAUGUGACAUUAUUACCAGCCAAAAUGAGAUCAUCUACAUAAAUGAGAAGAACAUUGAAUGAAUUACCAUGUCUCUUGGUGAAUAAGGAGUGAUCAUGAGCAGAUUGAACAUAUUCUAUGUGGAUAAGAGUGCGAGAAAGCUUGCUAUACCACUGUCUACUGGCUUGCUUUAACCCAUAAAGAUAUUUAUGGAGCUUACACACUUGAUUAGGCUUUGAGCAUACUACACCUUGAGGAAUACACAUGUAAACAUCUUCAGUUAAUUCCACAUGCAAGAAUGCAUUGUUGACAUCUAACUGAUGCAUAAACCAUUUUUCAGAAGUAGCAAUUGCUAACAUCAAUCUCACUGUUGUUAAUUUUAUCACAUGUUCAAAAGUGUCAAAAAAAUCAAUACCUUCUGUUUGAUCAUACUUUGCAACCAAUCUGGCUUUGUACCUUUCAAUAUUCUCAUUUGAUCUAUACUUGAUCCUAUAUACCCAUUUAGAACCUAUAGGAACUUUGUCAUGUGGUAUAUCAAUAAUGCUCCAUGUAUUGUUUAAUUCCAAGGCUGCAAGUUCAUAUGUCAUGGCAGUGAUCCACUCAGGUGACUUUAUAGCUUGCUGGCAUGUUUUUGGCUCAAAAUGUGUAGCAACAGAAAAAAUAUGAGAUAGAUGAGGAGGAGCAAUAGAAGAGUAUGACAGAAUAGAGGAUAGAGGAUGACGAAUGUAUGAGGUAGUUGUAGUAUUUUGUGUAAGAAUAUUGCAAUGAAAAUCAGUAAGGUAUGAAGCUGGACCACGAAUUCUUGUAGAAUUUCUAAUAGUUUCUGUUUUCUGAGGAGGAGGAGAAGGAUUUUGUGUUGGUGGUUUUUGGGGAGAAGAAUGAAGUUUUGUUUGUGUUUGUGUAGUAGAGGAGAUUGGAUAUUGUAUUAACUGAGGAGUGGAAGAUUGUGGUAAUGUGUAAUUUGAGAAAAGAGUAUUGUCAUGAAGAAAGUCAAAAGAUGAAGUAGGAGCCAAAAUAUCAGAAGUUGUUGCUUUGUUAAUUGAGAUGUAAGGGAAUUCAUCUUCAUAGAAGUACACAUUCCUUGAAAUAAAAAUCUCUCUAGAGUGUAAAUCAAAAAGCAAACCUUUAACACCUCUUUUGAAUCCUAAAAACAUACUCUUCUUUGCUAUAGUAUCUAAUUUGGUGCGAUGAUUCAGCAAUGUGGAUGCAAAACACAGACAACCAAAAACUUUCAGCUCAUUGAGGUUGGAUUUGCACUUAUGGAGCAUUUCAUAAGGGGAUUUCUGUUGAAGAGUGAUGCUAGGAAUCCUGUUUAUGAGAAAAGUGGCAUGUUGCACAGCAUAAGACCAAAAAAUGUGUGGAAGAUGAACAUGAAAAAGCAUUGAUCUAGUGACAUUAAGUAGAUGCUUGUGUUUCCUUUCAACAAUAGAAUUCCGUUAUGGUGUUUCAACGCAUGAAGUUUGAUGAAUGAUUCCAAUUUUUUCAAAGAAAGAGGGUGCUUGAAAUUCAAUUCCAUUAUCUGCUCUGAUGGUUUUGAUAAUCUUAUGAUGCUGAGUUUGAAUGAGAACAACAAAAUUAUGCAUUAAACUCCUUGCCUUAGAUUUGUUUUUCAUAAGAUAUAACCAUGUACGCUUACUAUAAUCAUCAACCACGGUAAGAAAGUAUUUGAAACCAUGAAUGGAGGAAACAAAUAAUGGACCCCAAAUAUCCAUGUGUACGAGAUCAAAAGGUGCUAAACUUUUAUUCAUACUGAUAGGAAAUGCCAACUUUGUUUGUUUUGCCAAAUGACAGAAAUCACAAAUUCUCUUAGCAUCAAAAUGUAAAUAUGAAAAUUCCCUACAAAUGUGUUGUAAGACAGCAAUAGAAGGAUGACCUAAUCUGUAAUGCCACAAGUCAAAAGAAGAAACACUACAAGCAGAAUUAAUAAAGCAAAUUUUCCGCAGACAUGGUCUUGAAGGUGUGUCUAGAAUGUAGAGAUUCUUGUGCACUUUAGCAUGUCCAAUCAUCUUCAAGGUACUCAUAUCCUGGAUCAUGCAUUCAGAUUGAUCAAAAAUUACUCUGCAAUUCAAUUCAAGUGCAAGUCUAUGUACUGAUAUGAGAUUGAAUUUGAAUUGUGGGACAAACAAUACAUUGUACACGACCAAUUUUUCAAAGAGCAUAACCAUCCCUAAAUGCUUCUCUGAAAUAACAGAUCCAUUUGGUAGUUUGAUAGCAACAUGUUUAAUAGAAUGGUAUGAUACAAAACUACAAAAAUAAGGACACACAUGGUCACUUGUACCAGUGUCAAGAAUCCAUGGGUGGAUAUUACCUGAGUCCUUAGAUGAAUUUGUUUCUGCAAGAGGUGUGAUGCUGAGUUGAUUCAUGUUACUUCCACCAACACAUUUAUACUAGCAUUGUUGAAUAGGGAUGCAAGUUCAACAUAUUGAGCAGGACUGAAACUCAGUAUUAGUUGUGUGUUAGUCUAUGUUUCCAAAAAUUCAUUCCCACUUCGUGCAUUAAUCAAAAUGGUACUUCCAAUAGCACUAUUAUUGCCAACAUUUGCUCUAUGUUUUGCAAAGUUAGGUGGAAAACCAUGUUUGUAGUAACAAACAUCAACUGUAUAUCCUUCUUUGUCACAAUAUGUGCAAACUUUGGUAUUACUAGUCCUAUUCAAAUCAUAGCCUCUUCGAAAGCCUCUUCCUCUAAACUUUCUAAAGGUAUUACAACUUCCCAAGAUACCUUGUCAUUGUCCUGCACAUGUGGUCUAACACUUUAAGAUUUGGAUAGGCAUAUUGAAACAGUCUUGAGUAUUAUUCUAAUUAAGGAUUGCAAACGUUAAGUUCAAUAAAUUGAGAAGAUUAUAUUUAGAAAUAAUCCAUAACAACAAAAUUGAAACUUUUAGAUAAGAUGAUAAAAUCUUUAAGAAAAAAUAAUAUGGACCUACAAUAAUUUUACAUUAUAUAUCAAAGAGGAUUUCAAUUUAGUACAUAAUUUGCAUGGUGCAAACGAUAGAAUGAACAUUAAGAUAGAAUGAGUCUUAUAUUAUGUCUAACUAAUUUAGCCAAUUAAAUUAUUCAAUAAAACUGAAUAUGACUUUAUAUAAAUUAAAGAUUUAUAUAUAAAAUUAAUGAUUUUGAAUAAAAUUAUAUGAAUAAAUGUUAGAGAGGACCUUUACUUUGAAAUUUCAAUAUUUUAUAUUUGUUAUGUCAACGGAAACUCCUUUAUCAAUCCAAACAAAACCAUCCAUCACAAGUAGUCAUCUUCCAAUUUCUAUCUCUCCUAUUCAAGAUCUGUAACACCGUGUUUUUUUCGAGCACUUUAAGUAAUUAGUUAUUAAUGAAUUAAUUAUAGAAAUUAAUCAGUAAUGUUUUAGGCUAAACCUCAAUUGAGUUUUAGUCUUGUAUUAUAAUAUUCUAGCUUGCCCUAUUUUUCAAGAUUUUUGGAGAAUAAAAGUUUCCAAGAUGAUUUCGGGUCGUUUUAUCGAGUUUUCGCCCAAUUUUUGAGUUUCGUAACUCGGAAUCGAAUUCCGAUUUUUCCCUUAACUUCGAAAUAUUAUUUCUAGUCAAAAUAGACAUCAAUUUUGUCCGAAACUCAUCUCUAGUUAUUUUUCACCUCGAAAUUCAAGUUUCGACGUUUCGGGUAAAAACCUAAAUCGUUAAAUCAUAUAUUUUCGGACGAAGUGACCCGGUAAUACUCAGGCACGACUUCAAUUUCGAAAUCACACCACAUCAAUCAAGUCGGAGUAUUAAUCAUAUCAUGGGUCAAUGGCUUGUCAAACAAGCAAAGUCAAAGCUUCCAUAAUCCCCUAAAUCACUCACCAAAUCUCCUCACUCCACCACCAUUAGACACAUCACCUAAGUUAGCCUAAAGCUAAAUUGCCUCUCAUUAAUUUUCAGAUUUGAGAGAGGGUGAGGUCUCCUAUAAAUAUCUCACCCCAUCAUCUCAUUUUUACAAUAAUUCUCCUAAAGAAAGUUAAGGUACUCUUUUUCUUUUUCUCUUCUCCAUUUUUCUCCACAUACACCAUGAGAAAAUCAUGAUCUCUUAGUAUGUUAUUCACAGAGUUGAGUUUAUAUUUGUUUUCUUUAAAUAUUUUGUAAGUCAUGACUAAGUGAGAUGAUAAUGAAAUCAUAUGAACCUUUGUGUAGUUNNNNNNNNNNNNNNNNNNNNNNNNNNNNNNNNNNNNNNNNNNNNNNNNNNNNNNNNNNNNNNNNNNNNNNNNNNNNNNNNNNNNNNNNNNNNNNNNNNNNUUCAAUGAUGGUUCGUAGUGGUGCUGAGGUUUAUUCUAUGUGGUUUAAAUGUUAUGACCAGGUGCCACUAGAAGCAUUCCCGAUGGGAGAUGUCUUAGGAUGGGCAGAUCGUUAUAAAAGAUGGAUUAAAAGAUUUAAUUUGCUAACUUCGGUUAGUGUGCAUAUUCAUUGUGAAUAAUGAAGUAGAGGAGAGGAAAUUUACGGGAGACGAAUGAGCCCCGAGAUGUUGAGAGGGACGGCGAUGGUGGUGAUUCGUCAGCAAAGUCUUGAGGGAGAGUCUAGGUGAGACGAGUCCCGUGUAUUCUUGGAUGAUAUAUUAUGUUGGAUCGGACAGUGCUCACAAAGAAAACUAGACGAUCUCUGACAACUUCUCUUUGCAAUCAGGAUCAAUGAGAGGGAUGCCCAGAAAGUGUUUGAUACGACAUCCUCCUGAAUGGACAGUUCUGUUGGAACAUAUCGAUCAUAUAUAUAUCCUUGCGAGGAAUAAGUUUUGGUGCUAUCAAAUAGGCUUGUUAUGGGAACUGUACUCUUGGUUAUUUCCUCAUAGUUAUUGGAAGGAUAAUGGUGUAAGGAUCAUGGACAUAUGCAUAGCAUGCAUAUAUGGUAUUUAUCGAUAUUGAUUCUAAAAUCAUAAGUUUUAUACUCCAUUCAUCAUUAAUACAUGCAUGUAUGAUCAUAUGAUAUAUCUGUAUUUGUUCUUUGUCUUGGUGUGAUAUUCUGUGUAAUUCCACAAUGUCAAUGAUAAGUUUUUCAUUAGAUGUUUUACUCCCUCUCUUUCUGGUGUACUCGUAUACAUCCAUGUUUAGAUGGACAGAUCAGCGAUGAUCACUGGUUACUGCUUUACCAUGUCCCAGGAAGGGGCAUGGAGCAUUGAAGGAAACAGAUACACCUAUACUGGUCCAUGCGACCUGGAAUUGGAUCUUGUAUGUGAUGGCUCUGUGUUGCAUCUCCCGACACAUUACGCAGUUCGGGAAGCAUCGUUCUCCCUACUAGAGUGAAGGUCUGUACCUUCCGGUCCAUCCGCACUAGCUGAGGUACGAGGCAGAUUGGAGGUUGUCAAGACCUGACCCCAACUGAGAUUCUCAUCUACUAACUCAACGCCAAGAGGGACGGAAGGAGCAGACAUGACUACUUCAUCGGGGCCAAAGGGAUACACCCUUUGAUGGAUUGGGCAACAGAUGAGGUGGUGGAGGACGAGGAUGAUGAUUGUGUAUAUUUAAUUUGCAUAGGGGAUUCAGUGGAGGUUAUUGAGAUCUCUUCAGACUCGGAGAUCGAUGAAGACCCGAGUGAGGUUUCUAGUGUACCAUCGGUCUAGGAGCUCCUUUUUUUUAUAGGGAACCUGUGUAGGAUACUUUUGUAAUGUCAACGCACCCAGCAUUAUUUUAUUUUUAUUUGUAUUUUUAGUCUUUGUUUGGGGUGAAGAAUAGACAUCGCCUUUUAUUUUGUAAACGAUGAUGUAUGUAUUACAAAUUCAAGAAUUGAUUAAUGAGAAGUAUUCAGAAAAGAAUUGUGUUUCGUUCAAUUACAUUUUAAAUAUUAAGAAAUUAUUUCUGCAAAGGUUUGAAAAUGUGACGUCUUGAAAGAGAAUAGAUAAAAUGAAGAAAAAAAUGAUUUAUAAAUUAUAUGUUAUAUAAAAGGAAAAAAAAAUUAACCAUUUUUUAAGAAUUAAAUAUAGUGAUUAUAAAAUAAUUUUUGGGGUGUUACAAGAUACAAAUGAAAUCCACGAUGGAUAUAUCUUUAUUAUUUAACAGAUAUAUCUUUAUUAAUUCCUCCAUUUUUUAUGUGACAGAUACGGUGGAAGAAUACAGAUACCAAAUACCGCACAUAUGACUCAAGGCAUGUAUCUUGUACCAAUAUUCCUUAUAUACCCUGUAUCUUUAUCAUUUGGUUAGUUUUUAGUACAAGAUUUUGAAGGACUUUAUGAUUCAUUCAUCCUACAAAAUGAUCAACUUUCACUAUCACGCUCAAACUAGCCCUUUAAUGAUUUAAAAAAAAUUACUUGUGGGAAAAUAUAUUUUUAUGUAAAUUAUACAAAUCAAUAAAUAUAACUUAUAUUUAUUUAUCAUUCUUGAUUUAGUUACUUUUGGUUAAUACUUUUUUAUUUUAAAUAAUAAGAAAUUAUUAAGUUACUUUUGGUUAAUUCUUGAUUUAGCCCUUUAAUUGUGUUUCGUUCCAUUACAUUUUAAAUAUUAAGAAAUUAUUUCUGCAAUGGUUUGAAAAUGUGACGUCUUGAAAGAGAAUAGAUAAAAUGGAAAAAAAAUGAUUUGUAAAUUAUAUGUUACAAAAGAAAUUUUUUUUACCCAUUUUUUAAAAGAUUAAAUAUAGUAAUUAUAAAAUAAUUUUCGGGGUGUUACAAGAUACAAAUGAAAUCCACGAUGGAAAUAUCUUUAUUAUUUGACAGAUAUAUCUUUAUUAAUUCCUCCAUUUUUCAUUUGACAGAUACGGUGGAAGAAUACAGGUACCAAAUAACGCACAUAUGCCUCAAUAGGUAUGGCAAAAUGGGCUUGACCCGACGGGUCAGCCCAUUUGGAUAGGUGUUUUUAGCGGGCCGGGCUAAGGGUUUUAGCCCAAAAGCCCGUAUUCAACCCGUUUUGGAAGCCCGUUUUUUAGACUGGCCAUGGAGGACCGGGCCGGGCCGGGCUGGCUGGGGGGCCAACAUUAAGAUUAAAGUUUAUUUAUCUAUCAUGUUGCUCAUUUCAAUUAAGAUUAAACUUUUACAAUUUUAACUCAUGUUUGGAUGCUUAAACCUAUAAUUCUUCAUUCUCUUUGUAAAGUGAACAUUUAAUAUCUCAUUAUUUAGUUAUCUAUUAUCUUCACUCUUAUCCAAAUAUUGUACUUGUUCUCAAAUAAAGGUGGAGUUUGAUUAACAAUUAGGGGUGUUUGAAUCAAAUUUAAAACUUUAAUUAAUUGAAAUNNNNNNGAGUAAUAUAUAUACUUUAUUGUGAUUGAUUUAUAAUAUAGUAGUUUUGAUUCUUAUACACUUUUUAAAAUUGAGGAGUUAUAAACUCUAUUGUGAACUAGGAAUGUAAAAGUUUAAGACUAUGGUGGUUUAUUGUUUAGAAUUUACAAGUUUUGUACUAAUGCAAUAUGUUAUUAUGAAAUUGUGUCUUUUGUUUGUGAUUUUUUGUUUUAAAAGACAUUUAUGAAUUGUUUGAAUUAUUUAUUUUUGUCUAAAAGCUUUAAUGUGUAUUUUGAAAAAAGAAAAAAACGGGCCAGCCUGCUAGUCCUGCCAAAUAUGGGUCGGGCUGACAUUUUGAGCCCUUAUAACAAUAAGGGCCAGGUCGGGCCAGCCCAUAUUCUGACGGGUCAAAGGCGAGCCAGGCUGCCCCAGGCUGACCCGUAUUGUCACCCCUAUGCCUCAAGGCAUGUAUCUUGUACCUUGGGAAUGAUAAAUUAAUAUUCCCUUAUAUACCCUGUAUCUUUAUCAUUUGGUUAGUUUUUAGUACAAGAUUUUGAAGGACUUUAUGAUUCAUUCAUCCCACAAAAUGAUCAACAUUCACUAUCACGCUCAAACUAGCCCUUUAAUGAUUUAAAAAAAAUUACUUGUGGGAAAAUAUAUUUUUAUGUAAAUUAUACAAAUAAAUAAAUAUAACAUAUUUAUCUAUCAUUCUUGAUUUAGUUACUUUUGGUUAAUACUUUUUAUUUUUCAUUGAUAGUUUUAAAGAUAACAAUAUUUCAAAUACUAUUAAGUACUCAAGCAAUUGGAAAAUAUAUUAUAGUCUGAGUAAUUUUUAGUACUCAAAUAAUUGGAAAAUGCAUUAUAUUUUAGUUGAUAGUUUAGAAAACAAAAUAAUGUCUUAUUCAAUUACUAUCUUAUAAAAAUAAACAAUAAGCCUAAGAUAUAGUGAUUGUACUAAUGAUGGAAGAUAGUAUUAUCGAACCAUAUUCUAGUUAGAAAUCUUAAUUUACUAAAUGAAAUAGGUCAUAUAUACAAGGGUGUGAAUUAUAUAUAUAUAUAUAUAGUACUUGUACUAAUGAAGGAAGCUAGUAUUGUGGAACCAAAUUCUGGAUAUGUGAAUUAUAUGACGUUUUUGAGUAGGUAGUGUUUGAAAGAAUUUUAUUUAACUUAUAGCUGAUAAUAUUAUUAUGACUUACCAUUGCCCUAUUUAAUGAAAACAUUUCAAUUCACAAAUGAUCUUGCUCAACACAAAGUUUUAUAGACUAAGUAAUAGAAAAUUAUGAAAAUUGAAGAUAAAGUAGCAUGGAAUUACAAUCUGUGUAAUUAUUACAUGCCACAACUAAGUAAAACAUCAACUUUGUUUACAGACGAUAUAACUAGACCAAAGUGUUAUGAAAUGAAAUUAUGGGACACGCUGACAAGAGAAGACUCGCAUAAGUGGAGCCCUUGUCGCCUUCCCUUUAUUAUCAUUAAUCAAUGCUACAGCAUUGUUAUACAAAGUAUCCUUCACUAAAAAUUUGCUAUGGUGCCUGCAUCUUUCCCACCACAUCAACUCUUCAGAACUUGAUGCUGCAAUAUUGCACAAACCAAUAAAUAAAUGAAGUGAUUUAAUUACCAAAUUUUAGACCAAAAGUAAUCUAUGCUAGUGAGAUGUACUUUAGGCUUAAUUUCCAUUAAUUGGCUAAAUUUCAGUAACUAGCUAGCAAAAGAGCAAGGAUGCAUAUACAGGAUAAUGAUUUUUCUCUCACAAACAUGUGAGAAUAGUAUGUAAAAGAGUAAUUUCAUGUAAACCCUUUAAAGAAUUUUAAUGAAAUUUUUUAUGGGUUUUAUAAUUAACCAUUAUUUCCAAAAACUCAGGCAUUACGCUAAAUAUUUAAAUGAUGGUUGUUAAGAGAUAAGAAUAAUGUGGAGAGAAGCUUAGCUCCAUUCAUCCAUUUAUGGGUGUUAUCACUUUAUUAAUAUUUAGAUGAAAAACUUGACAAUUUCAUUAAAAAGGUAAGUAAAAAGAUAAGGAAAUUGUGAGGUAAACCAGAUAAGGAAAUUGUCAAAUCAUGAUGUAAGAAAUUGUUACAUAAAUUUCUAUUUUGUACUUAAAUUUAAUUUAUGCAAUUAUUAGGGAUUAUAAGUUCCAUCAUCAUGGAGAAUUUUAGUAGCAUAUUAUAAACAAAUUCACUAAAAUGUAAGUAAUGCAGGAUAGCUAUUCAAAUCUACUUUAUUAUUUUUGUUUCUUCUUCCAUAUUGUCAUCUAAUUGCACACAAAGAGUUGAUAGAUAGUAUGGUGUUUUGUAUAAAGAACAUUUUUCUAUUUUUAGAAAAUUAUACUUUUACUCCUUCUUUAUAAAAUCAUAUUGUGGAAAUUAAUGUGAAUUAAAAUAAAUUGAUUAACAUGGUUAUGAUAUAAAUUUACAANNNNNNNNNNNNNNNNNNNNNNNNNNNNNNNNNNNNNNNNNNNNNNNNNNNNNNNNNNNNNNNNNNNNNNNNNNNNNNNNNNNNNNNNNNNNNNNNNNNNAUAUCUACUGCUAAAUAUAAUUUUUAUCUUUUAUUAAAAUUGAGGAUCAACUACCAACAGGUGUUGGUUCAAGUGGUACAUGUUUGAUUCCUCUUAAGCAAGAACCCGGGUUCGAGUCUUGUGGAUGGAAAAAAUGNGCCCGUUGGGAGAGUUAGCCCCACUUACCUGUGGAUGUGCCCAGCUUGGACAGGAUUGCCUCCAGUGCGAGGAUACCUGUGGGGAACCAAAAAAAUUGAGGAUCUACUAUACAUAACAUUAAGGACCACAUAGACAGUUUUAAUUGGUAACACAUAAUUUAUGAUUAUUGUUUACUAACAGGAUAAACUNNNNNNNAUAAACUACAAAGGCUUUGAUUAUGAUUUAUUAAUAGUAUAAAAGUUAUCCUAUGCGAUCUAGGAUCUUAUUUGAUAUGAAGCUCCUGAUUGUUACCAAAGAUGCAUGUGACAGCAAUGGAUUUGUUNNNNNNNNNNNNNNNNNNNNNNNNNNNNNNNNNNNNNNNNNNNNNNNNNNNNNNNNNNNNNNNNNNNNNNNNNNNNNNNNNNNNNNNNNNNNNNNNNNNNUAAUGAUAUUCACAUGAAUUGCGUCUAAAAACUAGUUAUUUUUAAAAAGAAUUAUUUCCAUGACAUAAUUAUUAUCAUUGUAUAUUGUUUUUGUAGCUUGCAAUAAUUUUAAAUGACAAGAAAGAAUAACUACUAAUUGAGUUAUGAUCAAGUGAUUUUCUUUAAGAUGUUUCGUGUGGCUGUCCCCUUCUUGGAAUUAAAAAGUAACAUUUACCAUGCUCUAGUUAGAGAGUAUUAUNNNNNNNNNNNNNNNNNNNNNNNNNNNNNNNNNNNNNNNNNNNNNNNNNNNNNNNNNNNNNNNNNNNNNNNNNNNNNNNNNNNNNNNNNNNNNNNNNNNNUUUGCGUAGACCUCAGUUAUAUGUUCAGGGUGAGUUGACCAAAGCUGGGUUGCUGUCCGUAGAGAAUAGGCUUCUACACUACCUGAUUGCCUAUAUUAUGAUUCAGAGAAACACAAAUCAUGCACAACUUACAAUGAAUGAUUUGAGAUUCAUGUUUGUUGUGAAGGAGAACAUAACGAUUAAUUGGCCUGACGAGAUUCUANNNNNNNNNNNNNNNNNNNNNNNNNNNNNNNNNNNNNNNNNNNNNNNNNNNNNNNNNNNNNNNNNNNNNNNNNNNNNNNNNNNNNNNNNNNNNNNNNNNNUAGUAGCUCGACGAUUCCUGACAACCAAAACCCUCUAUCUCAUCCUUAGUUAGGAGACCUUAGAGCCUUAGUUUUAUCCUUCCUAGCUAAUGGACUUUGUCGUUCCUUGUUCCCUCUUAAGAACUUAUCUUUCAUUUUGCGCUUUUGUUCUUAUUAUGGAUUGUAAUAACUCUAAAACUUCUGNUUCUGCUGAAUUACUGCUUUAAAAUUUGACAUUGCUUUACAAUGAUUUCGAAUUAUAUUGUUCAUGCUUGAAUACUAUGUUGCAAAUAGUAUACUCCUUUGUUUAAUGGANNNNNNNNNNNNNNNNNNNNNNNNNNNNNNNNNNNNNNNNNNNNNNNNNNNNNNNNNNNNNNNNNNNNNNNNNNNNNNNNNNNNNNNNNNNNNNNNNNNNCGUAAUAUGAUUGCUUACCUAAGGGGGAGCAAAUGCGCUUCAACUUUGUAUCUUUGAAAAACAACCAUUAACAACCAUUAUGCAAACUCGCCAUCAAGCUAAUUCAUCAAACGUUUUGAACAAUUUUGAUGUAGUGUUUGUCAUCAUCAAAAAGGUGGAGAUUGAAAGUGCAAAGUGUCAAGGAUAGCACUAGCAAUGCUUUGCGUAUGUUUUGAUGAAGACAAGGUCCUAUUAAAGCUUGAAGAUGGCUCAACAAUCAACAUNNNNNNNNNNNNNNNNNNNNNNNNNNNNNNNNNNNNNNNNNNNNNNNNNNNNNNNNNNNNNNNNNNNNNNNNNNNNNNNNNNNNNNNNNNNNNNNNNNNNUAUGAGACAUAUCAUCUAGUUAAUUGUAUGUUCAUGCAUCUAUCAUACAUGUUAUAUAAGCAUAUUACGCAUAAUAUAAUUGGUAGAACAUGUAUAUAAGUUGUGCAUAACAUAUGAUAAGUUUACCUUUUGAACCAUGUAUUUUAAUAUGCAGUUAAUCGAUUAAUGUGGUGACUUAAUCGAUUAACUUAACUGCUUUUAUGUUAAAUCAGUGUUUCUGUUACAACUGUUUUCUGUUUCUUUCUGUUGCACUUGUUAAUCAAUUAACGGGUAGCCUUAAUCGAUUAACAUGUCUGUUAUUUGGUAUAACUGAUUUCUUUUUUAACCGUUUAACUCUUUGCAACGAAUCCAACUGUCAAAACUGCUUACUAUAAAUAGAGGCAACUUCCAGAAAACUAUAGCAUUGCAUUCCAUUGUAUAGGGCUGAUUUUAGAGAGCAUAUUUCGUUCUGUUUUUACUGCUUUUUGCAAGAGAGUUGCAUGUGUGAGAAGAGAGUUAUCAUGCUGAAUUGAUUUAUGGUUUUGCAUACUGUUUUACACUUUCUUAUGUUCAUUCUUAUCUUGCUCACAUGUUGAUGCAUUAUUUGUAAUGAUUGAUAGAGAGAUACUUUGAUUUCUGUUUUUGAUUAACUCACAUGUUCUUGAUGGCUUGAGUGAUUAGUGAGUGGGUUAGUCUUAAGGUCUUUUACUUGUAAUAUUUCAUGCAUUAUUGUGCUUAUAAUACCUUGCUGUUUUAACCUUUUUUUUUGUNUUUUUUUGUGUUUCUGGAUUGAUCUCUUGGUGUCGUACCACCACAGAGAUUGGGAUUCUUCACCAAGACUAGGAGGUCUUGAUUUGAGGACAAGAAUCUUGGCUGGGGCUGUUUCGCGAGAAAUGUUUUCUCAGGCGAAAGAUAGAGUCAAACCAAGGGCUUAAGGGUCCUAGAUUUCAAGAAAGAAGCGUCCUAUUUUCUUGUAAUNNNNNNNNNNNNNNNNNNNNNNNNNNNNNNNNNNNNNNNNNNNNNNNNNNNNNNNNNNNNNNNNNNNNNNNNNNNNNNNNNNNNNNNNNNNNNNNNNNNNUUUACUGCCAUAUGCUUAUUAAUAGUGCUUAAAAAUAUCUGUUUUAUCUCUGUUCAAUUGAUUUUAAAUAAUUGUGCAAUCUGCCUCUCUGAUCAUUCUGUUUAGUGCAUGUUUUAAUCGAUUAAGACUAGGUGUUAAUCGAUUAACUAGGCUGUUUCCAGAAAUUGGGUUUUGGUGCAAGAAGCAGUGAUCGAAAACCGCUACACCUAUUCAACCCCUCCCUUCUAGGUGUUCCUAGGCAACUGAUACCUAACAAUUUUAAUGAUCUGCAUGGAAUGAUAGAUAACACAUAAAAUGAUUAAUGAUAUUAUUUGAGAACAUUUUAAAAUCUAUUUAAAUGUGUAAUUACUACAUAUUCCAUUUAUUAUAUUUAAAAUGUUUUUCAAAGUUUCAUAACAACUUUAAUACAUAAUUUUAAAGUAGAAACUAAAUUGUCAUAAUUAAUGACAAUAAUUCCUUAAUUAUAGGAAAAGAAACAUUUGGGAACUAUCAACUUUUAUUUUUAAUUAGUAUUUAAAAUAAUUAAUCUAUGACAUAAAUCAAAUAUCAUCAAAUUUUCUCAUUAAUUGUAAUAUCAUAGUUUAUUCUAUUAAUAAUAUGAUUGAAUUCCUGAUAUUAAUGCACUUUAAUGACAUUAAAUGAAAACGUUUUAAGAUUUAUUUAAAUAAUCAGUAUUAAACAUUGUUAUUUUUAUGAAAUAAAUUCACUAUAUAUCAUUUUAAAGCUAGACAAAAUAAGUGAAUAACAAAAAAAAUUCUUAUUAAUUGUAAUAUAAUAGCUCAUUCUUUCUAUUAAUAAUAACAUUAGAUUUCUACUUUAAGUGAGGCUCGAACUCACAACUUUCUUCUUUACAUUUCUUAAAUUUUUUCACCUUAAUCAUCCUACCAACUUAUGACUCACAAUCAUCGUUAUAUAUUUGUUAAUAUUAUUAAUUACGUUAUAUAUUCAAUAAUUGUUACGAAAAUUCCUUAUAUAUUUCAUAAUUGUUCUAAUAAUUUACUAUUAUUGAUUUUAAUUUUCUUAAUCUACUAUCUUUAAUAUUUUGUUUAUGUUAUAUUUCAUAUUGUUACUAUUAUAAUAUAUCAAUUGUAAAAUAUAAUUACAAUUUUAUUAAUUACAUUAUAUAUUCUAUAAUUGUUACGAAGAUUACUUAUAUAUUGCAUAAUUUACUUGUUCUUUCUGAUAGGUCUUGGUAUAUAUUGUUAAUUUUAACGCCCCGAAAAGUACUCCAAAAAAAUCUUGCUCAAAAAUGGGUAUUUUUUUUAAUAAUGAUGCCAUAUAAAAUUUAUUUCCUUAUAUCCGUUUCAUUUUUGGAACAUCACUUUAAGUAACAUACAAUGCAGAAAAUCAAAAACACCAUUACCUAAAGGUAAUAAAAAUAUAACUCAAUAUAACUUUGAAUCAUACUUCAUUAGAAUAUCAUGAAAUGUUGGUACGAAGUAUAAGGCGGAAUCCUAAUCGUUGCCCAAAUAAAACUACUCGCAAAAUAAAUACCCUACACUGGUGAUAAGUGCCAAAUAUACCUAAAAAUCAUACACUUUUAUGGCACUUAUCUUAAUCAUAAUUGAAAUAAACCAACUUAAAACAAAACUUUUUGUAUUAAAUAUCACAAUUUGGUAUAUUUGUGUUUGUAUUGCCUUUUUAUGUAUUUUGUAGGAAAUAAAAUGAAGAAAAUAAGAGAAAAGGUUCAUGGUAAAAAAGAAACAAAAGUCAAGAAAAUCAAGGUGCUCAACCAGGCAGCUGAGCAUGGAACAAGCCCCGCUGAGCUGACCUGGCCACCUACCUGACCUUGCCACCUGCCUGACUUAGACCAAACUGCUCAACCAGGCAGCUGAGCGGACCUGCUUAGCCGCUCAGCCUAGCACCAGACUAGGCCUGGCACGGUCAGAAAUAUGCUUGACACGGUCAGACACGAGCUUGGCACAAGCCAAGCUGCUGAACAAGCUGCUCAGCAGUCAAACCAAGCUGCUCAGCGGAGAACUAGACUCAUGGCCAGAUCAGCAAGCACCAAGCCACAUCCCAGUCAACACGGUCAGAAGCUGCUGAAUAAGCAACUCAGCUAUAAAGCAGGUGCGCUGGGCGGUGCUUACUAGACUUGACUUAACCAUCAAGCAAACCAUGAAGUCAUCCAUGACCUCACCUCAAGUAGUCCACCAUAGGCUUUUCAGAGUAGGUCACAAUAGCUGGUCUCAUAGCCCACAACUAGCUUUGGUGAGUCAUGCACAAGGAGGUGACUAAGCUACUUGGUCAAGGGACCAAACCCAUGCUGAAGGGUUUGGUCAGCUGCUAAGCGGUCCAGCUCAGCAGCUCAGCGGUCUAGAAUGGAGCCUAUAAAUAGAGUCCAUUUCCUUUGAGCAAAAUAUAAUACAACACACCAUUUCUUCAUAAAAUUCUCUCAAAAAUACUUGAAGGCCAGAAUUCUCUCAUUUAGGAAUUCUUUCUUAGUUUAGAGUUUUCAUUUUCAAGUAAGUUUUGUAAUUUGUAGUUUAGAAUUCAAGAGGAGAAAAGGAAAAGGCAAAUGAGAUGCAAAAAUCAAUUUUGUACUCUCAUUUGGAACUCAAAAGCAUCCAAUCCUUGGAUGGAUAGCUCAUGCUCCUAAACAUUUUCUUUUGAACAAGGUUAUGUAUUUUCUACCCCUUCUUAAUUUACAAAAGUUUGGAUUUUAAUCAUUCAAGUUGGUGCUUUGGUUAAUAUUAUUUGUUUGAGAAGAACUUAAUGCUCUUNNNNNNNNNNNNNNNNNNNNNNNNNNNNNNNNNNNNNNNNNNNNNNNNNNNNNNNNNNNNNNNNNNNNNNNNNNNNNNNNNNNNNNNNNNNNNNNNNNNNCUAUUAGGCAAUUCAUUGUGGUUCGACAUAACCCUAUACUAUACUACAAUUGAAUCUUGAAAGAGGUGUAAAUUGUAAAAUAGUAAAGUGAUAUCAAUAAAUUUAUUUGUUGAAAACACCUUUUAAUAUACAAAAGUGAUGAAGCUAACUUACUAACUUUUAUUUCUUGUUGUUUACUUUCCGCAUUUUAUUUAUUCUUUAAUACCAACCUUCCUUAGGAAGAAGUUUGGUUUGUUAAUAAAAUGAACCCGAAAGGGAGUAAAUAAAUAAAAGGUCACUAAAUUUAUUAUUCUUUUGUUCUUUAUUUAUUUAUUUGUAUCUAACAACUAACUAUUCAUCACUUUUAUAUAUUAGAAUACCAUUAAACCGAUGUUGGAAUUUAUUCCACAAAAUCGAGAUGGUAUUCAAAGGUACUUAAUAAUUAUGUAAUAGGUAAUUGCUUCGAUACUAUUAUACCAGCGUUAGAAUUUAGUCUAACAAAGCCGAGAUGGGGCAAAGAAGGAAUGACUUAUUCACAUGAUUAUUACGAAAGUAAGUUGUAACUGGAAUAUUCUUGAAACCAUUAUACCGGCGUUGGAAUUUAUUUCAAUAAAGCCGAGAUGGCGAACAAAAAAUAAAACUGAGUUCUCUUACUUACAAAAGGAACAUAACGAAAAUGAGAGUAUUAAUCUUUCAACAAAUUGACACUGUUGUCAGGACGAUUUGUUGAGAGAAGAAAACUCCCAACUAAAAUAAAAACUCCGAACUACCCUUUCAACAACAGGUACACUAAUCAAAAAGCACAAGAGCCUGUGUAGGUAUAACUGGUUCCCUCAAUCCUCCAUGCCCCCUCCUAGGACAUCGAAAAGCGGUAACUCAGAAUCCUGGCAGAAUGAUCCAUCUGAACAAAACGCGAAUAGAAGACAAACCUAAAGAAAAGGGAGUAAAACAUCUAAUGAAUAUUAUUCAUUGACGAAAUGGAAUUACACGGAAUAUCACAUCCAGACACACACACAUGAUAAACACAAUAUAUACAUUACAUAUAAAAAUGCACAAUGAUGAAUGAUGUUAUAAUCUCAGAUUAUGAGGAUCAAAGUCCACAAUCUCAAUGUAUGAAUGUUAUGUUUGUUUCAUUCAUCCUUUCACCAAUAUCCUCCCAAUAUACUAUUAAAAAAUAACCAAGAGUACAGGUCCCAUAACAAGCCGAUUUGAACGCACCAAAAUUAUUCCUCGCAAGGAUAUAUGAUCGAUCUGUUCCGAAGAACUAUCCAUUUCAGGACGGUGUCAUAUCAAACAUUUUCUGGGCAUCCCUCUCAUUAAUCCUAAUUGCAAAGAAGGGUUGUCAGAGAUCGUCUAGUUUGCGCUAUGAGAACCUCUCUACUACUUCAUUAUCCAUAAUGAGUAUGCACGCUAACCGAGGUUAGCCGAUUAAAUCUUUUAAUCAUUAUUUUGUAUGAUCGGCCCAACCUAGGACAUCUCCUAGAGGAAUGCUUCUUGUGGGGUCCGAUCUUACGUCAACACGUAAAUAGAGGAAUAAUAUCCCUACAACUACGAACCGUCAUUGAAUCACCCUAGACGACCACAUGGCCAAGCCUCUUACGGUCAGACGACCUCGCUGCGUGGUAUCAUGUAAUCCUUUUUUGGGCAUCACCCUAAUCACGACUUCAAAGUCGGAAACCUUGCCCUAAAUAGGGGCAAGAACAAAGGUACUUGUAUAAGUUUGUCGAUUUCAGGAACCGGAUUCAAUCAUUUGAGUUACGGUCUUUCCCAAGGGUAAACACACUUCACACCCAAGCUAGGGCUAUUGCCUCUAACAAAGCAAUUCCUUACUUUUAUUACUUUCAAGAAUUUCAUAUAGUUAUUUACCUUUAUAACUUCUUGAUGGAAAACAUGUCAUUAGGCUCUCGUAUAUAUGAGAGUUAUCAUUCGUACGACUUAAAAAGAAGUCAUGUCUGUAUGGAGCCCUCUCGCUCGAGCUGUUCGCUCAAGCGGGGGCACAUCCAUUUUUGAGGCAUUUGUGGCUUAAGCAAGAGCUGUCUCGCUUAAGCGAGAAAACAAUCAGUUCUCUCGGUGCCUAUUUUAGCUCAAGCGAGAGCUGUCUUGCCCCGAGCUAAAACAUUCGGUUUCUCUAUACACUUCUCGCUUAAGCGAGAGCUGUCUUGCUCAAGCGAGAAGAGCCUGAUUAUAAUUUUAAUUACUUUUCUCAAGGAAAAUAUUUCUCAUUUAUAUCACAUGUUUUUAAACCUUGAAUUUAUUAAUUGUCACAUACAUAUCAUUCCCAUAAUAAUCAUUCAAACAUUAUAAUUCAAUAGUAAAUGUGGUAUUUGCAUAUAUAAACAUAACAUAAAUCGGUAUAAGAAAUAUUGUUGUACUUAAUCCAAACAAACAUGCAAUUGAUUAAGUACAAGCUUUUUUAAUACCCAAGGCAACUCUAAAAUUGUGAGGGAGUUUGGGAUACCGGAUCGAAACUCUCCACUGUUUUCGAUCCCAAUGCAUUUUAGUUUCUCGAAUGGUGUUCCUUCAUGGAUAACAAAGGUCAAAAACUACAUAAAGGUUCAUAUGAUUUUAUUAUCAUCCCCUUUAGUUAUUCCUUCAUAAAAUACUUAAAGAACAAAUAUAAACUCUACUUUUUGAACAACAUAAUAAAAGCUCAUAACUUUCUGUGAAGUAUGAGAAGAAGAUGAAGAAGAGAAAAUAAAAGACUACCUUAGUUUGUAUAGGAAAUUUAGUGUAAAAAUGAGAGAAUGGGGUGAGGUAUUUAUAGGAGAGUCUCACCCUUAUCAAAUCAUAAAAUUUAAUGCAAAGUAAGUAGAUUUAGACUAGCAUAGGUGAUGUGUCUAAUGGUGGUGGAGUGAGAGGAUUUGUUGAGUGAUUUAGGGGAUUUUGUGUAAGAGGAUAUGUACUUUUGCUUGUUUAACAAGCAAGCUUCUUACAUGAAAGUGAUGUAACCUUUUUGAUGAAACAUUCUCGAUUAAACCAUUCCCGAGUAUUGUCGGCUAAUACCCGGUCGGAUAAUAAAAAUCUCUUAAUUUCGGUUUAUGGUUAGAACUUCGAAACACAGAAUUCGGAGUGAAAAAUAAUUAGAAAUGCGUUAUGGAAAAACUUGAUAUCUAUCUUGACUCGAAAUAAUAUUUCGAAGCCAAUGGCGCAAUCGGAAUUCAAUUUUGAGAUACGGAACUCAAAAACACGUUAUUGGGUCGAAUUCGGGCGAAUUUGGGCUCGACAACAGCUCAAAAACUUUCCGUCACAGAAAAUUACGAACAUUUACCACAAAAUAGGAAAUCAUAAAACAAGACUAACAAUCAACUAAGGUUUAGUCUAAUUCAAUACCGAUUAAUUUGGAAAAUUAAUCGUUGUUAAAAUAAAUAAUUAAUAAAACCUGCACAGAAAAUUCAUGGUGUUACAUUAAUUGAUUAUUUCAAUUUUGAAACUGAUCUGCAAAUUUAUAUUUUAUUUUUUUAACUCAAACAAAAAAUUCCAACUAUUCUAUUUCUUCAUGAAUUUCGAAUCAUAUGUUAUAAUUCAACCAAUUUAUAUCCAUAGUGAGAAUUGUUUAAAAUCUGGAAAUCAUAAAUAAUUUAAUCAAAAUAUAUUUCAUAUUAUUAUUAGUAUUAUUAUUAUUAUUAUAUUGCAAUUGUAAAAUAUAAUUAUAUAUUCUGUAUAUACUCCUUCAUUACAUUAUAUAUUCCAUAAUUGUUACGAAGAUUCCUUAUAUAUUCUAUAAUUGUUACGAAGAUUCCUUCAUUUAGUUGUUGUUUCUGAUAAGUCUUGGUUUAUGUUGUUAGUUGAUUCUUUCCAUUUUGUAACUGAAUCGCAAAUUUAUAUACUAUUUCUGUAACUGAUACAAAAACUCCAACUAUUAUAUUUCUUCAUGAGUUUUGAAUCAUAUGUUAUAAUUAUAUCAAUUUAUAUCCAUAAUAGGCAUUGCUUAAAAUUUGAAAAUGAUAAAUAAUUUAAACAAAAUAUAAAUCAAAUCAAUUGGUUAUCACAUUCAAAAUUCAUUAGUUAUAUUUCUGCAAAUUUAUCUCCAUAAUGAGGAAUGCUUCAAAUUUUGAAAUCAUAAAUAAUUUAAAUCAAAUAAAAAUAAAGACUUUAUUCUUCUCCAUAUAUGGGAAUGCCAUAAUAUCCAAAAGCAAAGAAAUGAAAAAUGUACUUUAAACGCAGAUUUAUAAAAUAAUAAUAAAUCUACAAAACGAAUAAAAAAUACACUUUAAAAAGGAUGGUUGGAAGAGAAAGAAUAUGGCGAUAAUGAAGAGAUAUAAUGAAAUGAAACCAAAGAAAAUGAAAAUUGUUGGGAGAGAAAGAUUGUUGAAAGAGAAAGAGAAAGUCAUGGAUCUCAAUAACAAUCAAAAUGCAAUUUAAGGUGUAGUCAUAAAAAAUGCAAUAAUUAUUUAUUAAAUUGUUACUAUCAUCAAGAAAGAGCAAAUAUAGUAUGGAAAUAUACAUAUGAUUACCAUGAAACCAUUUAGGAGAGGAAAAAUGAAGGAAAAUGUGAUAUGUGGCAAAUGAUAAGGUGAUAGGAGUUUUUAUUUUAUUUUAUAGUUAAUAGAUUUGUGUGGUGUAAAAGAUAGAAUGAACGUGAAGGUAAAAUAAAUCUUAUAUUAGGUCUAACUGAUUUAACCAAUUAAAUUAUUCUAUAAAAUUGGAUAAGACAUUAUAAAAAAUUAAUGGUUAUAUAUAAAAUUAAUGAUUAUCUAUAAAAUUAGUAGGAUACCCAUGCAUUUGCACAGGCGAAGUGUUUUAUUGGGGAUAUGAAUUUAAAGAAUUGAAUUUCAAGGUUGUAUAAUAAAAAGGAAAGAAAUUUUUUUUAGGAUGUAAUAGUUUUUUUUUGUUUCUUAUAGGUAUCCUCGCACUGGAUUCAAUCAUGUCCGAGCUAAGAACAUACAUAGGUAUGUGAGGCUAAUUCUCCCAGCAUGUAUUUUUUUCCAUCAACAAGACUCGAACCCGAGACCUUGCUUAAGGGGAAUCAAGCAUGUACCACUUGAACCAAAACCCAUUGGUUCUCACUUCCCUUUAUAUCUCCAUUUCAAAACUCUCUCUUAUGAUGUAAUAGUUUGUAAAUAAUUAAUGUAUUUUAUAUUAAAUAUGUAACAUUGGAGGUUGAUAGUUUGUAUUUAACCUCAUAAAAUCUAAAUAAAUGACACAUUAGAGUUUAAGAAAAAUAAUAAUGUAGUCUACGAAUCUUAAAGUAGAAGAAAAUGUUAUAGGUUUUGGAAAACUUCCUUGUAAACAACAUUUGUUGUUGACUUUAGAGCUUUAUCAUCCUUAUCAUGUAUCAUUAUCUUCAAUCAUUUUUUACUUAAAAUUUGUUGCACUCUUAAAAUUGUGAUAUAUAAUUGCUUGAAAACUAUAUUUUUACUUCUGUUUUAAUUCAAUUAUACGUUGACUUAAUGUUUCACGAUUUUGAAUUGCCCGAAAACUAUAUUUGAAAAAAGUAGAAUCAAUGUUAUAAUUAUACAUUACGUGUUAAUUAAUUAAUUUUAAAAGAUAUUUGUUCGUAAAUAAAUAUUAUCUACUUCUGAACUAAUCUAUGUUUGAAAUUUAUUCAUUUAUCAACAAUUUUGAAGCACACCAUGAAUUAGAAAGAGAUAAUAGGUAUUUACCUAACAGGUGAUUAAAUAAUAAUGUAAAUAAGCAAGAGAAACAAAAGAUAUUUGAUUAAGACAUAAAAGUAUUAAAAAUUAUUAUGACUUUGUGGUUCUUUGAUUCUUGCAUGUGUUAGAAUAAUAAUCAUGGAUGUAUUUGUUGACCUCUUGUUACAGUGGUUGAUAAAUUUUGUUGCAUGACAUUUCCAAUGAGUACAACCAAUGACAUCUUCGCUACUUAAAUUUUUGAAAUUAAGUUAGGAAAAUUACAAAUAUUUAUAUAAAUAAAUAAAGCAAUAUUAUUGAUGACUUUUUUAAGUUUGUCUCAGUCUGGAGAAUAUUAGUUCAUUAACAACUUCAAUAAUAACUAUUUGGGUCAAUAAAAAAAAGUGUUAUUAUUGUUAAUCUACUAACAAAUCAGUGUGAAAAUUCUCAGCUAGUAUGUCCCCGAAAUGUUUUAAACAAUAUUCAUAGUGUUGUACCAACAAUAAGUUUCAUCAUAUAGUAACUUGUAUCUUACUAUAAAAUGCAAUUUAUUAUUACAUUCACCGAGUUCAUCUUUCCUUAAAAGUAACUUGUAUCUUACUACCCUAUAAUAUAUAAAACAAUAUAUUAUUAUAAAAACAAUUGUAGGAACUAAAUGUUUUAUUGGACUUCAUAUAAAAUGGAACAUCACUAUCCAUCAUAUCAUUUCAAGAUGUUCUGGUUUUGGUGGUAUUCUAACAUACCAAAGAUAAGAAAUUCUAAAAAUAAGAAAAUUGUCAUAAUUGAUUUGUUAUUUAUAAAUAUUCAUAAUAAAAGUACUUAUAUUUUCCAUUAAUAUAUCUAACAUUGUUAUCUUUUAAUUAAAUAAUAUAAUGAUAAUAAUUAAAUGUUAUGCAAAUUUUCAUUCAUUAUACUGUCAUCUCUUAUACUAAUAUAUACUCAAAAGUUGUUAUGGUUUUUAAUAUCAUCUAGUAUCUUUAAUAUUCUAUUUAUGUUAUAAUUCAUAUUAUUACUAUUUUAAUAUUGUAUAGUAACAUUGCAAUAUUAGAAGCAAACACUAAACCCAAAACGAAUAUAUCUAUAAUGAGUGAUGCCUAAAAUUAAAGAGUAAAAAAUAAUUCCAAAAAAAUAUAAAUAAAAAAUGUGUUAAAAUGCAUACAACAUUGUAUAUUUUAUGAUUGCUUUUAGUAAAAUAUAGGUAGAAAAAUCAAUUACAUAAGCACAAUAAAAUCAAAUCAAUGACAUACUAUUUCAGUAAUUUAGUAAAAAUAAGACUAUUAUUAUAUUAAUUUCAUAUUGUGACUCAUUAUGUUUUAUAGUCUCUGAUUUAUAUACAAAUUCAUGAUUUUAUAAUUGAUCUUAUAUGUACAUGUAUUAAUUUGUAGUUUGAAAUAUACUAAUAAUGUUUCAAAUCAUUGAGUAUUAAUUUUAAUAAUAUUGUUUUAUCUUAUUUUGUUCUACUAAAGGAUUUGAUAAUCUAUUAGUAUGAGAUACUCUUUCUAAUCUAUUUGAAAAACACAUUAAUUUAGGAUUUGACUGAAUAUUUUUCCUUGUAAUUUUAAUGAAAUGUAUAAAAAGAUUCUCAUAAUUGAUUUAUUAUUUUUAUAUAUUCCUUAUUAAAAUACUAAUAUUUUCCAUGAAUAUAUCUACAUUAAUUUUAUCUUUUAAUUAAAUAAUAUAAUGAUGGUAAUUAAAUAUUUUGAAAAUUCUCAUUCGUUAUUUUCUAAUAUGUUAUACUAAUAUAUAUUCAAAAACAUUUAUAAUUUUUAAUCUUCUUAAUCUAAUAUCUUUAAUAUUCUAUUUAUCUUAUACUUCUCAUUAUUACUAUCUUAAUAUUGAAAAAAUAACUUUGCAAUAUUAGAAGCAAACACGAAACAUGGAACAAAAUAUAUUUAUAAUGAGUGUUUUCUAAAAUUAAAGAAUAAAAAUAUUUUAGGAAAAUAUAAAUCAAAUAUGCGUUAUAAUUCAUACAACUUUGUAUAUCUUAUGAUUAUUUUUAAUGAAAUAGAGGUAGAAAAACUAAUUACGUAAUCACAAUAAAAUGAAAUCAAGGCACUAGUUUUUCAAUAAUUUUAAUAAAAAUAAGACUAUUAUUGUAUUACUUUUAAAUUUUGGCUCAUUAUGUUUUACAUUAUUCGAUUUAUAUAUAAUUACUUGAUUUUAUAAUUGUCCUUAUGUGUACCUACAUUAAUUUAUAGUUUGAUAUAUACUAAUAAUGUUUCAAAUCCUUGUGUAUUAAUUUUACUAAUAUUUUUUAUCUAAUUUUUUAUAUCGAAGGAUUUGAUGAGCUAUUAGGAAGGGAUAAUUUAUCUAAUCUAUUUGAAAAACACAAUAAGUUAGGAUUUGACAGGAUAUUUUUCCAGUAAUUUUAAUAAAAAUAAUAGAAAGAUUCUCAAUUGAUUUGUUAUUUUUAUAUAUUCCUAAUUAAAAUACUUAUAUUUUCCAUAAAUAUAUCUAUCAUUGUUAUCUUUUAAUUAAAUAAUAUAAUGAUAAUAAUUAAACAUUUUGAAAAUUCUCAUUCGUUAUAUUCUCAUAUGUUAUACUAAUAUAUAUUCAAAAACUGUUAAGAUUUUUAAUAAUCUUAAUCUAAUAUCUUUAAUAUUCUAUUUAUGUUAUAUUUCUCAUUAUUACCAUCAUAAUAUUGUAAAAGUAACAUUGCAAUAUUAGAAGUAAACACUAAACCUAGAACAAAAUAUAUUUAUAAUGAGUGUUUCCUAAAAUUAAAGAUUAAAAAUAAUUCAAACAAAAUAUAAAUCAAAUAUGCGUUAUCAUGCAUACAACUUUGUAUAUCUUAUGAUUACGUUCAAUGAAAUAGAGGUAGAAUAAUCAAUUACGUAAUCUAUACUAUAUAUAAAGCCAAAACUUGAAAUAACUUCCCUCGUGGUGUAAUUUUCAUUUCCUACAUUGCCCUUAACAUUAUUUAAUUUUUACAAAUAAACUAUAUAAUCCUAAGCAACUAUCACCAACACAUAUAUCACCUUAAAUUAAACAUUAUCAUAAACACACAAAAAUAUAAUAUAAAGUACACCGAACACAACAAAUACAUUUUAAUUCAAAAAAAUGAAAUAUAUAAAAAUUGAAUAUGUAGUAUCACACAAUAUUCGCCGGCAGGCACGAAGUGCCUGUACACACUAGUCACAAUAAAAUCAAAUCAAGGACAUGGAUUUUCAAUAAUUUUUAAUAAAAAUAAGACUAUUAUAAUUGAUCUUAUGUGUCUCAUUAUGUGGCUCAUUAUGUUUUAUAGUACUCGAUUUAUAAAUAAUUUCUUGAUUUUAUAAUUGAUCUUAUGUGUCCAUGUAUUAAUUUGUAGUUUGAAAUAUACUAAUAAUAUCACAAAUCCUUUUGUAUGAAUUUUACUACUAUUGUUUUAUCUUUUUUUUUUAUACUGAAGGAUUUGAUGAGCUAUUAGGAUAUGAUAAUUUUUCUAAUCUAUUUGAAAAACAUAUGAAGUUAGGAUUUGACGGGAUAUUUUUAUGGUAAUUUUUAUCAAAAUAAUAAAAAGAUUCUCAUAAUUGAUUUGUUAUUUUUAUAUAUUCCUAAUAAAAAUACUAAUAUUUUCUUUGAAUAUAUCUACCAUUGUUAUAUUUUUUAUUAAAUAAUGUAAUGAUAGUAAUUAAAUAUUUUACAAAUUCUCAUUUGUUAUAUUCUCAUAUGUUAAACUAAUAUAUAUUAAAAAACUGUUAUGAUUUUUAAUCUUCUUAAUCGAAUAUCUUUAAUAUUCUAUGUAUGUUAUACUUCCUAUUAUUACUAUCUUAAUAUCAUAAAAGUAACAUUGCAAGAGUAGAAGAAAACACUAAACCCUGAACAAAAUAUAUUUAUAAUGAGUGUUGCCUAAAAUUAAAGAAUAAAAAAUAAUUCAAACAAAAUAUAAAUCAAAUAUGCGAUAUAAUGCAUACAACUGUGUAUAUCUUAUGAUUGCUUUUAAGAAAAUAGAGGUAGAAGAAUCAAUUACAUUAUCACAAUAAAAUCAAAUCAAGGACAAGUUUUUUGCAGUAAUUUUAAUAAAAAUAAGACUAUUAUUAUAUUAAUUUCAUAUUGUGGGUCAUUAUGUUUUAUAGUCUUCGAUUUAUAUACAAAUUCUUGAUUUUAUAAUUGAUUUUAUGUGUACAUGUAUUAAUUUGUAGUUAAUAAUGUUUCAAAUUGUUGAGUAUUAAUUUUAAUACUAUUGUUUUAUCUUAUUUUGUUAUACCGGAGGAUUUGAUGAGCUAUUAGGAUGAGAUAAUGUUUCUUUUUGAAAACACAUAUUAGGAUGAGAUUUGACGUAUAUUGUUUUUUCCAGUAAUUUUAAUCAAACUAAUAAAAAGAUUCUCAAAAUUGAUGUGUUAUUUUUAUGUAUUCCUAAUAAUAAUAUACUUAUAUUUUUUUGUAAAUAUAUUUUUCCAUGAUUUGUUACAUGAAAUAGCCUAAAUGAAAGAAGAAUGAACAUUUCCUUCAAUCAUGAUGUCAUUAAUGUCAUACUCCAGUUCCUACGAGAAAUGAAAAUAGAAUUAUUAUGAGAAUAAGAGUUAUUGUUAUUAAUGCUAAUAAUAUCUUCUUUUGUAAUUUCAAAAUAUGAAAUAGUCAUAAUGAAAAUUGUUACUUGAUAUAGCCUUAAUGAAAGAAGAAUGAGCAUUUACUUCAAUGAUGGUGACAUUAAUGGCAUGCUCCUGGUUCCCACGAGAAUUGAUAAUAGAAUUAUUAUAAGAAUUAUAGUUAUUGUUAUUAAUGCUAAUAAUACCUCAUUGGUAACCUGUUUUUGGUUGCCAAGUAUCUUUUUCGUGGGUCACCUUAAAAUUAGGCAUUAAAGUUGAAACCAAAUUAUUGUUUUGGCCAAAAUGGAUUAACAUCUCCCAAUUUAAUUUCAUUAAUAUUGACAUAUGGUUUCUUAGAAAUCUUCUUAUUUCUAGUAAGACUCAACCAAUUUCCAUAAAAUACUUGACUCUUGAACAAAAUACUUGCCAUUUUUUUGUUCACCCAUUGAAUUCACAUUUAGUGUCUCAGUUGUAACGGAUGUAAUAGUUUCCACCAGAUUCAUCAAUCAUUAUUAAUCUAAUUAAUCUAAUAUAAGAAUAUACUCACAAUUGCUUUCUUAUUUUUAAAUAUUAUUGCUUUGUAUAUUUAAAUAAUACAAUGAUAGUAAGUAAUAUAUAUUCCAAAAAUUAUUGCUUUUGUGUAAGGAACUAAUCUCUUUUCGGAUAUAUGGCUGUCACACCCAACAAGUAUCGCUUCCAAUUAUCGAAAACUUGACAAUUUGCUUAUCUUAGGGAUCUAGUGGAACCUUACACUACUAGACCAACACAUUCUUGGUAAACUAGCCCUUUAAUGAUUUAAUAAAAAUUACUUGUGGGAGAAUAUAUUUUUAAGUAAACUAGUAAGUUAACCGUUCCUUUGCUUAGGGCAAUAAUUUUUUGUCGCAUACAUAAUAACAUAUAUGUUACUUGUAUAUUUGAUAUGAGAGUCAUGAAGAGAUUUGAAAGUAUGAUGUUAACAUAUAUUGUAAAGAGAAAAAAUAAUGAUUAAAAAUGGAAUUAAAGGGCCUAAACAUUUAGAAAACAUAAGAAUUUGAUGGUAAUAUUAGAUAACUAAAAAGAUAACAUAACAAAUCAGAACCAAAAUAGUGAAAAACAAUGAAAAAAUUAUAGAAGCUCUUGAGACAACAAAACUUUUAAAAGGAAGGAAGCAAAUCAUAUGUAUGAAUGCCCGUAAAAUUUGAACAUUGAGAGAUAUUCUUUACACGACCAAAUGUAUAUUGUAAGGCUAACCAUUGAAGAGUAUGGGGAAAUAUUAAAUGACCUUUUAAAUGGUGAUAAAUAAUAUACAUAUUACUUUGAAAAUUUCUUAAAGGAUUGUGUAAAUUCUCAAUGCUGAAAAUGAAAAUAUUGAACGCAAUGGAAAUUAGCAUUAAAUGGAAAAUAAAAAAAUUCCUACUUGUGUACCUAGAUAGAAAAGUAAAUAAAAAAUGUUAUUACAUAUGCAACAAUUAAUUGAACAUAUAAUCAACGAAGAGUCUAGUGUAAAAAUUUAAACAAUAAAUAAAAUCUUUCAAUUGGAACAAUAAUAAUUUAAAUCAAUAAUGAUUUAAUUCGAAAAUGAUAAUUAAAUAACUAAAUAUUUUAAAUUCUUACCAUUGGGUACUGGAAAAUUGGUAAAGAAAAAUAUUUUACAUAUGAAAAUAAUUAAUUAACAAAAUGUUAAUCACUUUAUAAAAACUUAUGUUGUCCAUUGUUAAUAUUUUUUUAUGGUAUGUUCUCUAUUGUUACUAUUUAAUAUUGCAAUUGCAAAGUGUCAAGGAUUGCACUACCAAUGCUUUGCCUAUGUUUUGAUGAAGACAAGGUUCUAUUAAAGCUUGAAGAUAGCUCAACAACCAACAUACCUUGAGCUCAUUGGUCAUAUCUAGACUAGGAUAUAAAUAGAGUCAUUAUUCUAAGUAGGCUGGGAUGUGCGCCUUAGUAAGUGAGUAUAGGAGAGGUGAAUCUAGGUGCAAAUCUCUCAAGCCAUUAUAAUUACCAUAUCACAUCCAUGAGACAUAUCAUCUAGUUAAUUGUAUGUUCAUGUAUUAAUCAUACAUGUUAUAUGUGCAUAUUAGGCAUAAUAUAAUUCCUAAAACAUGUAUAGGAGUUAAGCAUAACAUAUGAGAAGUUUACCUUUUGAACCACGUAUUUUAAUAUGCUAGUUAAUCAAUCAAUGUGGUGACUUAAUCGAUUAACUCAAUGUUGAAAGGAUUUUAUUUGAGAGGUAGGUUUUCCCCUCUCAACAAAUUGUCCCCGGCACCGGCGCCAAUUUGUUGAAAGGAUUGUUUCCUCUUCGGUGUGUUCUCUUUUUAUUUUGUUAAGUAAGUGAACUCAGUUUUAUUCUUUGUUCACCAUCUCGGCUUUGUUGAAUAAAUUCCAACGCCGGUAUAAUGGUUUCAAGAAUAUUCUAGUUACAACUUACUUCUAAUAAUCAUGUGAAUAAGUUAUUCCUUCUUUGCCCCAUCUUGGCUUUGUUAGAAUAAAUUCUAACGCCGGUACAAUGGUAUUGAAGCAAUCCCUUUUUACAUAAUUAUUAAGUACCUUUGAAUACCAUCUCGGUUUUGUGGAAUAAAUUCCAACAUCGGUUUAUUGGUAUUCUAAUGUACAAAAGUGAUGAAUAGUUAGUUGUUAGAAACAAAUAAAUAAAUAAAGAACAAAAGAAUAAUAAAGUUAAGUGAUCUUUAUUUAUUUACUCCCUUCCGGGUUCCUUUUAUUAACAAACCAAACUUCUUCCUUAAGGAAGGUUGGUAUUNNNNNNNNNNNNNNNNNNNNNNNNNNNNNNNNNNNNNNNNNNNNNNNNNNNNNNNNNNNNNNNNNNNNNNNNNNNNNNNNNNNNNNNNNNNNNNNNNNNNAUUUAAAUGGGUUCCACCAACCCCUUUGGCGGUGAUGGCGCAUCCAUUAACCGCCCUCUCGUAUUCAGUGGCGAGGGAUACACCUACUGGAAAGUACGAAUAAAGAUCUUCAUAGAGGCUAUUGAUUCAGACAUUUGGGAAUUCGUAAUCAGUGGUCCAUUCGUCCCACUUCACUUAGUGGAUGGUGAACCGAAAGAAAAGCCCAAAAGCUUAUGGACCGAUGAGGGGCGCAAGAAGGUUCAGUUCAACCUUCGCGCAAAAAUAUAUUUACAUCGGCCCUAUCUUACGAUGAAUUCUUUCGGGUGUCUCAAUGUCAAAGUGGCAAGGAAAUGUGGGAAACUUUACAAGUGACUCGCGAAGGCACUAGUUAGGUCAAGCGUGCCAGGCUGAACUCGUUGACACAUGAAUAUGAAUUAUUUCGUAUGUUACCGAGUGAAUCAAUUGGCGACAUGCAAAAGCAAUUCACCCCACAUUAUUAAUCAUCUUAUUGCUCUAGAUAAAAUGUUUACCAGAGGAGAACUCACUAAUAAAGUUUUACGCUGUCUUGACAGGAGAUGGCAACCUAAGGUGACGGCAAUCAUGGAGUCCAAGGAUCUAGAUUCCAUGCCUAUUACAACACUGUUCAGAAAGCUUCAAGAGCAUGAGAUGGAGCGUGGGCGUCUGACCAUGCAUGAGGAGUCUGAUCAGAAAAAGAAAGGAAUAUCUCCUAAAGCUAAAACAUCACAACCGACUGAAGAGAUGGUCAAUGACGACCCUGACUCAAACAUUGAUGAAGUAACGCUAAACCUUCUUGUGCAAAAAUUUGGAAAAUUUCUGAAAAAGAAAGAAGGUUUCAAGCGAUUUCAAAGGAAAGAAGCGCGAGAAUCAACUAAGAAAGGCAAGAAUAAGGAGCACUUCACUUUCCAUGAAUGUGGUAAGUCGGGUCACAUGAAGUUUCAGUGUCCCACUUACUUGAAGAGAGUUGAUUCAGAGAAGAGCAGUCCCCGAGACUUCAAAUUGAAAAAGGCAUAAAUUAUUUGGGAUGUACCGGAGGAAGAAACAACAUCAAGCACCUCAGAUGAAGAGGAGACAACCAAGUUGUGCCUAUUGACCAUAAUAGAUGAGGCAUGCAGAUCAGGUAGUAAGGAUGCGACAAAUGAGGUACAUUCUGACACAUCAUCCUCUUCUGAUGAUUCUCCCUCAUAUGAUGUUUUAUAUGAUGCUUAUGUUGAGAUGCAUGAAGAGCUUAAGAUAAAAUUAGAAAAUGAAACUUUAGAUCUAAUUUUUUCUUGUACUUCAUGCGAUUGCUCUAAAAAUAAUUUAUGUCAAACAACUACUUGUGAUUCUUGCGAGGACUUGAAAAACGAGAAUUUUAAACUCAAUGAAAAACUCGCAAAACUUACAAAUAGUCAACAUCAAUUAGACACCUUGCUUAGUAAAACGAGAAACGUUAGUGACCACACUGGAUUAGGGUAAGUUCCCCCAUCCCAUAGAAAUAGAUCAUAUAAGAGACCUCUAACUCAUACAAAUAAAAAGUCUAAUAAGAAAAGUAGAAUACCUACAUGUUUCUAUUGUGGCACACAUGGCCACACCUCUCAUUUCUACUACAUCAGGAAAUAUGGGAUACCCAAUGGUGUUUACGCUUGGAUAAGAAAGGGAGAUAACUCCCUGGAUACUAAUAGAAAAGGACCCAACAUAAUUUGGGUACCUGAAACUAGCAGGUGAUAUACUUUGUAGGUAUGUCUGCGAACAUAUGGGCAACAUUGGUAUCUUGAUAGCAGAUGUUCGAGACAUAUGACUGGAGACAAGUCAAAAUUCCUAGACUUGUCAUUAAAAGAAAAAGGUUUCGUCACUUAUGGAGACAACAACAAAGGAAGAAUCUUAGGCACCGGAAAAAUUGGCAACUCAACCCAUGCUAUAAUUGAGAAUGUUCUAUACGUAGAAGGUUUGGAACAUAAUCUGUUGAGCAUCAGCCAACUAUGCGACAAAGGUAAUCGUGUGUCAUGUGAUUCUGAUUGUUGUAUAAUUCGUGACGUAUUAUCUAAUAAUAUAUAGUUUGUCGGAUAUCGUGUAAUAAUAUUCAUAUUGUUAAUCUGGAGGAUGGCAUUUCCUAAUUUUCAAAAUGCUUUAUUUUAAAAGAAGAUGACAUAUGGCUUUGGCAUAGACGAGUCGCUCACAUUCAUGUAAAGCAUUUAGAAAAAUUAUCUAAAAAUAAUUUGGUUAUCGGUCUUCCAAAACUCGAUUUUAAAACUCAGGAUUCUUGUGAUAUGUGUAAAAAAUGUAAACAAGUAAAGAAUUCCUUCAACAUAAAGAAUGUGAUAUCCACUACUAGACCUUAGGAGAUUCUCCAUAUGGACUUGUUUGGACCAUCGCAAAUUAUGAGUUUUGGUAGAAGUUAUUACGCUUUGGUAAUUGUUGAUGAUUUUUCUAGAUUCACAUGGACUUUGUUUUUAGCAUCAAAGAGCGAUGCAUAUAAAUCUUUUAAAUGUCUAGCCAAACAAAUUCAAAACCAGUCUAACCUGAAAAUUAUUUCCAUAAGAUCCGACCAUGGCGGAGAAUUUGAAAAUCAUAAAGUUAAUAAGUUUUGUAAUAAGCAUGACAUCAUGCAUAAGUUCUCAACUCCUCGUACCCCUCAACAAAAUGGAGUUGUUGAGAGGAAAAAUAGAGUUCUAGAGGAACUCGCGAGGACCAGCUAAAUGAGAGCAAGACUCCAAAAUAUUUAUAGGCUCAUGUAGUUCACACUGCCUGUUAUGUAAUUAAUCGAAUACUACUCAGACCUACUUUUUUUGAAAACACCUUAUGAAAUUCUUAAAGGUUGAAAACCGAAUAUUGCCAUUCUUCAUGCAUUCGGGUGCAAAUGUUUGAUUUUAAAUAAUGGAAAAAGAUCUUUAGGAACAUUUGACUCGAAGGCUGAUGAGGGCAUAUUCUUAGGGUAUUCGUUACAUAGUAAGGCUUUUCAUGUGUUCAAUAAAUAUACCAUGCAAGUAGAAGAAUCUAUACAUGUUCAUUUUGACGAAUCUUCUCCAAAAGAGAAGAGAAAGGUCUUUUCUGAUGAUAUUUCAGGUACACUAGAAGAAGUUCAAUCAAAGGACAUGAACCAAAUCUAACAACAAGAUGCUGAGAAAAUAGUAGAAAAAGAACAUCAGGACAUGCCUAUUGCAUGGAAAACCAAAAAGGAUCAUCCACUCGAUAAGGUGUUAGGUGACAUAUCUAUGGGAGUGGUAACCCGUAGUUCUUUAUGUAAUUUAUGUAAUUUUGUUGUAUUCGUAUCUCAAAUAGAGCUAAAGACUAUCGAUGAAGCCAUCAAGGAUGUACACUAGGGUAUAGCUAUGCACGAAGAGCUAAACCAGUUUGAGCGAAAUAACGUGUGUCACUUGGUCCCGAAACCAAAAGAUCAUCCUGUGAUUGGCACCAGAUGGGUCUUUCACAACAAGCUAGAUGAAUCUAGCUUAAUAAUAAGAAAUAAGGCUCACUUAGUGGCCAAAGGAUACAACCAGGAGGAAGGCAUCGAUUAUGAUGAGACAUAUGCUCCUAUAGCCAGACUUGAGGCCAUUAAGAUGCUCUUGUCUUUCGCAUCGAUCAUGAACUUUAACCUAUUCCAAAUGGAUGUUAAGAGUGCAUUUUUAAAUGGCUAUAUUCAAGAGGAGGUGUACGUAGACCAACCACCAGGUUUUGAAAACUUCAAAUACCCGAACCAUGUGUAUUAACUCAAGAAGGCCCUCUAUGGCCUAAAACAGGCUCCCAGAGCCUGGUACGAUAGAUUGAGUUCGUUCCUACUAUAAAAAGGUUUUGAAAGAGGCUUGGUCGACACCACUCUCUUUAUCCUUAGAUUAGAUAAUCAUGUUUUACUUGUUCAAAUAUAUGUUGAUGAUAUUAUCUUCGGAUCUACUAAUGACAUCCUUUGUAAGGAAUUUUCUGAGUUGAUGCAGAGCGAAUUUGAGAUGUCGAUGAUGGGUGAGCUGACUUUCUUCCUUGGGCUUCAAAUUAAACAAAUGGAAAGUGGCAUCUUCAUUCAUCAAUCGAAGUACUGCAAAGAAUUACUAAAGAAGUUCGAUAUGGAGCAAUGUAAAGAUGCAUCCACACCUAUGGCUUACGCAUUUUAUCUUGACAAAGAUGAAAAGGGAAAAGUGAUUGAGGUAACUAAAUAUCGUGGGAUUACCGGCUCCUUGUUGUAUUUAAUUGCUAGCCACCCUGAUAUUAUGUUAAGUGUUUGUAUGUUUUCUAGAUUUCAAGCUUUGCCAAAAGAAUCAUAUUAUAUUGAUGUAAAAUGUAUCAUGAGAUAUUUAAAAGGGACUAUAAACAUGGGAUAAUGGUAUCCUAGGGAUGCCUCUUUAUCCUUGGUAGGUUACUCUGAUUCUGACUUUGCUGGGUGUAAGUUGGAUCGAAAAAUCGCUGGGUGUAAGUUGGAUCGAAAAAGCACUAGUGGGACUUGUUACCUAUUAGGCAGUUCCUUAGUGGCAUGACAUAGUACAAAGCAAGCAUGUGUUGCUUUGUCCAUCACUAAAGCGGAAUACAUUGCCGCUGGCAUGUGUUGCGCUCAAAUCCUUUGAUUGAAGCAGUAACUCAAGGACUUUGUGCUCAUAAUAGAAACGAUCCCUAUAAAGUGUCAUUAACCUUUCCAAGAAUCUCGUCUUGCAUUCUAGAACCAAGCAUAUUGAAAUAAGGCAUCAUUUUUUGUGUGAUCAUGUUCAAAAAGGUGAUUGUAUGUUAGAAUUUGUUGAAACAUCUAAGAAAUUAGCGGAUAUUUUCACCAAGCCCCUCUCAUGAGAUACUUUCUAUGUUCUUCGAAGAGAACAAGGAAUCCUUGAUGAAAAAUAUCUUGAUUGAGCUUAUGUUAUUGCCUUGCAUGACUUAUUUGCCUUGUAUGCUUUAAAAUGAAAAUAUGUUGAAUGAUAAAUAUUCCUUCCAUGAUCCAUGAUUCUAUGUAUAAAAGCUUUAUAUAUAUAUCUGUGUGAUUGUUUAAAAAUGAAUUAGUAAAAAUUUUGAAAUCCUUGCAUGCUUUUAAAAACUUCCAAAAUGUUGUAUCUGAUGAAUUUAAUCGAUUAAAGCCAUUAGUUAAUCGAUUAUCGGGUGAACAUUUUGAAACCUAGUAUUUUUAACUCAAGUUAAUCGAUUAAGUCAAGCUGUUAAUCGAUUAACGACAUCAGUAUAUCAGAAAUAGAAGCGUUUCUAGGCAUUUUUCGAAACCACAUUCAUCCCAUUUUCUCUCAAAUCUCAGAGGAACAAGUCCAACAUUAUCCCUAAUCUCCAACCUAGCCCAAACCUAAUCACCCUACUCCAUUUCCACUCCAGAAACCGGUUUCUCCAUCUCAAAUUUCCAAGAAAUUCGUUUUCCCUAAAUUGAUAACCCUACCUUAGGUUUCCCUAAAUCCCUCCAUUAAACAUUCGUCACGGUUCAGUUUCAACAUCAUUGGAGAGAGGACAUGCUAAAAGAGUCAAGACAACCGCUCAACUUCCACUGCAUGUCCCAAAAGUCGUGCCAUCUCAACAAGCAAGGCAAGACCGUGGGGACCCGUAUUAUUCGCAGAUUCUGCAAGAAACCUGGUUGCUCAGAUUUCUAGGUAGGAAACCAACAUACAUAAGGUUUGCAAAUUUGACUUGGCUAGCGGAACAAAACUUUGACUUUCCGCAUGGUUUGCAAGCACAAGGGGUUGUCCCGUUCUUGGAAUUAAAAGGUAAUAUCUACCUUGGUCUAGUUAGGGAGUAUUAUGCCAACUUUAGAUAUAAGGAUGGAAAGUAUUGGUCAAUGAUUGUUGGAAAACUGUUUGAGAUAAAUGAAGACAUCUUUAUGAGCGUGGGUGGUUUAUCAUGUACUGGUCUUAGCUUAAGUGAUUGUGGUUGGGCAAACAACAACUCUUUUGAUGCUGCUGAAAUGUAUAAAUCUUUUUUGUGUAGACCUUAGUGUAUGUUCAGGGUGAAUUAACCAAAGUUAGGUNNNNNNNNNNNNNNNNNNNNNNNNNNNNNNNNNNNNNNNNNNNNNNNNNNNNNNNNNNNNNNNNNNNNNNNNNNNNNNNNNNNNNNNNNNNNNNNNNNNNGAACACAAAUCAUGCACAACCUACAGUGAAUGAUUUGAGGUUCAUGUUUGCUGUAAAGGAGAACAUAAUGUUCAACUGGCCUGAAGAGAUUCUGAAGGUCAUGUACAUUGUCUCCACUUCACAAUCAAGGUUGCUUCCUUAUAGUAUCUUCAUUUCACGGAUUAUUGAUUAUCUACAUAUUGAUGUCUCGGAUACUAUAGUGGUGGACUAUUCUAACAAGGAUCAUUUGAUUGGUGAGAGUCUAAUUCCUAAGAUUGGUAUAUAUAAGUACGGCAACACAUGGCAAUAUCAAGAGGACUUUAACACUGUGAAUCUUGACCCCUCUAGUGAGGAUGACCAAGAUGAUACUCAAAAGCCAUUUGCUACUACUCAGGGGUAGUCUUCUGGUCAUGCAUCAUAAGAACCAACUUUUGGACAAGCCUACUUGGAUUCUAUGGAACAAUGUCUCAACAACAGGAUGGAUCUUCACAUUAAGUCUCUGAAGGACUCAUAUCAUACGGAUCUGGAGAAUUUUGAGGAGCGUCAGAAUGCUUAUAUUGAUAACCAUUACCAAUCCUUGAGGAAUUUUGUUCAGACAUGAGUACCCUCAUCAAGGAUGGUGGUAGCUCGAUGAUUCCUGACAACGAAAAACCUCCAUCUGAUCCCUAGUUAGGAGGCCUUAGAGCUUUAGUUUUAUCCUUCAUAGAUUAUGGACCUUGUUGUUCCUUGUUACCCUCUUGAGAACUUAUCUUUUAUUUCAUGCUUUGGCUUUUAUAUGGAUUGUAAUAACUCCUAUCUUCUGCUGACUUACUACUUCGAAAUUUGAUAAUGCUUUAAAUGAUUUCAAAUUAUUUUUCUCAUGCUUGAAAGGUAAUUAUGUUGCAUAUAGUAUACUCUUAUGUUUAAUGGAUCUUGAUCAUGUUUGGUGUAUGUAUCAAUAUUGAAUGCUUUUGCUUGCUGCUAACUGCUCAAAUAUAUCAAAUGCUUAAUCAUUCCAUGCUUAAUUUGAGUAAACAUAGCCUUUCAUGCCAUUAAAUCUCUUAUGCUGUUGUUUGCUGUCCAUUUAAUCGAUUAAGUCAUGUUGGUAAUCGAUUAAGUCAUGUUGGUAAUCGAUUAAAAAAUGUAUAAAUGUGCAUUUGUUCAAGCUUCUUACAACUGGUUGAUUGAUUAAUCGCCCAAAAUUUAUUGAUUAAUUAUAGUCUGUCAUAACUCUAACAACUCUUCUGACUUUUGAAUAGAAUUGAAUACUUGUAUCUUUUUGAUAAUGUCAAAAGGGGGAGAAAGGUUGCUUGUUGUGUUAAAAUGUAUUUUGCAGGUUGUAAUAGCUUUUGCAGGUUGUUGUAUAUAGCUUCAGUAAUAUAAUUGCUUACCUAAGGGAGAGCAAAGGCACUUCAACUUUGAAACUUUGAAUAACAACCAUUAUGCAAACUCAUCGUCAAGCUAAUUCAUCAAACGUUUUGGACUAUUUUGACGUGGUAUUUGUUAUCAUCAAAAAGGGGAGAUUGAAAGUGCAAAGUGUCAAGGAUAGCACUAGCAAUGCUUUGCCUAUGUUUUGAUGAAGAGAAGGUUUUAUUAAAGCUUGAAGAUGGCUCAAUAAUCAACAUGCCUAGAGCUCAUUGGUCAUAUCUAGACUAGGAUAUAUAAAUAUAGUCAUUAUUCUAAGUAGUCUAGGAUGUGUGCCUUAUUAAGUGAGUAUAGGUGAGGUGAACCUAGGUGCAAGUCUCUCAAGCCAUUAUAAUUAUCAUAUCACAUCCAUGAGACAUAUCAUCUAGUUAAUUGUAUGUUCAUGCAUUAAUCAUACAUGUUAUAUGUGCAUAUUAGGCAUAAUAUAAUUGCUAAAACAUGUAUAGGAGUUAAGCAUAACAUAUGAUAACUUUACCUUUUGAACCACGUAUUUUAAUAUGCUAGUUAAUCGAUUAACAUGGUAACUUAAUCGAUUAACUCAACUAUUUUUCUAUUAUAUCAGUAUUUCUAUUACAACUGGUUUCAGUUUCAAUUCUGUUGCACUUGUUAAUCGAUUAACGGGUUACCUUAAUCGAUUAACAGGUAUGUUUUGUAUUAUAACUGAUUUCUGUUUUAACUACUUAACUGAUUGCAACGAAUCCAACUGUAAAAACUGCCUAGUAUAAAUUGAGGCAACUUCCAGAAAAUUGCAGCAUUGCAUUCCAUUGUAUAGGAUUGUUUUAGAGAGCAUAUUUUGUUUUGAUUUUCUGUUUUUGCAAGAGAGUUGCAUGUGUGAGGAAGAGAGUUUACCAUGCCUUAUUGAGUCUUUGAUUUGCAUACUGUUUUUCAUAUGCUUAUUCUCAUCCUUAUCUUGCUCACAUGUUCAUGCAUUAUUUGUAAAGAUUCUUAGAGAGAUAUAUUGAUUACUAUUUUUUAUUAACUCACAUGUAUUUGAUGGCUUGAGUGAAUUGUGAGUGGGUUAGUCUUAAGGUCUUUUAAUUGUAAUAUUUCAAGCAUUAUUAUGCUUAUAAUACCUUGUUGUUGUCAUCUAUUUUUGUGUGUUUUGGAUUGAUCUCUUGAUGUCGUACCACCACAGAGAUUGGGAUUCUUCACUAAGACUAGGAGGUCUUGAUUUGAGAACAAGAAUCCUGGAUGGGCUAUUUCGCGAGAAAGGUUUUCUCAGGCGAUAGGUAGAGUUAAACCAAGGGUUAGGUGUUCUAGAUUUCAAGAAAGAGUCCUAUGUUUUGUAAAUUGAAUUUGUGUGUGUGAUCAUACAUAUAUUCAAUAUUGUGAAGAAGAAAAUCUCUCAAGAUCAUAAGGGGAGGCCUGGAUGUAGUUUGUAGUGGAUCGCAAAUGAAGCAGGAUAAAAAUCCAACUUUGCACGUUGUUCUCUCCUUAAAUCUACUUUACUUUUCUUGUUGUUUCCAUCCUUUACUAUUUAUUUAAUGAGUUAUUAUGUUCAGAUUUUUUAAACAAAUAGGAAAGGGUGGUUUUAAUCUUGUGUGUAAGGUUGUAUAGUAAGAGAUAAGGAGCUUUUGGAGGGAAAAUUUGCAUGAGCGUUGACAUGUGUCCCUAGCUAAUGUGGCAAGAGUAAACUUUGCAUGAGGUGUUGACAUGUGUUCCUAGCUGAUGUGACAAGAUAUUUUUUUGUUAGAUAGUAAAUAGAUUAUAUGAUCAAAUGUUAGAGAGGAGACUUUACUUUGAAAUUUUAAUAUUUUAUAUUUGUUGUCAAGGAAACUCAUUUCCUUAAGCAAGGUCUCAGGUUCGAGUCUUGGGGAUGAAAAAAAUAUCCGUUGGGAGAGUUAGUCUCACAUACCUGUGGAUGUUCUCAGUUCGGACAUGAUUGCCUCUAGUGCGAGGAAACUGUGGGAACCCAGAAAAAAAGGGAAACUCCUUUAUCAAUCCAAACAAAAUUGUCCAUCCUUAUCAAGCUGUCAUCUUCCAAUUUUUAUCUCUCCUAUUCAUGAUCCAAAUAAAAUCCACCAUGGAUAUAUCUUUAUUAAUCCCUCCAUUUUUUAUUUAACAGAUAUGGUAGAAGAAUACAGAUACCAAAUACCACACAUAUGCAUCAAGGAUUGUAUCUUGUACCUUAGGAGCAAUAAAUUAAUAUUCCUUUAUGUACAUUGUAUCUUUAUCCUUUGGUUAGUUUUUAGUACAAGGUUUUGAAGGACUAUAUGAUUCAUCCUACAAAAUGAUCAACGUUCACUAUCACACUAAAAAUAGACAUUGUUUUGUACUACCAAUGGUAUUUCCUCACACUUUUUGUGUAAGGAACUAAUCUCUUUUCGGAUAUAUGGCUGCCCCACCCAACAAGUAUCGCUUCCAGUUAUCGAACACUUGACAAUUUGCUUAUCUUAGGGAUCUAGUGGAACCUUACACUACUAGACCAACACAUUCUUGGUAAACUAGCCCUUUAAUGAUUAAAUUACUUGUGGGAGAAUAUAUUUUUAAGUAAACUAGUAAGUUACCCGUUCAUUUGCUUACGGCAAUAAUUUUUUGUCGCAUAAUUAAUAACAUAUAUCUUACUUGUAUAUUUCAUAUAAGAGUCAUAAAGAGAUUUGAUAUCAUGAUGUUAACAUACAUUGUAGAGAGAAAAAUUAAUGAUUAAAAACAUAAUUAAAGGGCCUAAACAUUUAGAAUACAUAAGAAUUUGAAGGUAAUAUUAGAUAAUUAAAACUCGAAAACUUCUUAAAUGACAUUUUAAAUAUUAAAUGACAUUUUAAAUGACUUUUUAGUAUUGAUAAAUAAUAUACACAUUACUUUGAAAACUUCUUAAAGGAUUGUGUAAAUUCUCAAUGCUUAAAAUGAAAAUAUUGAACGCAAUGAAAAUUAGCAUUAAAUGGAAAAUAAAAAAAAUUCUUAGUUGUGUACCUAGAUAGAAAAGUAAAUAAAAAAUGUUAUUACAUAUGCAACAAUUAAUUGAACAUAUAAUCAGCAAAGAGUCUUGAGUAAUAAUUUAAACAAAAAAUAAAAUCUUUAAAUUGGAACAAUAAUAAUUUAAAUCAAUAAUGAUUUAAUUCGAAAAUGAUAAUUAAAUAACUAAAUAUUUUAAUUUCUUACCAUUUGGAACUGGAAAAUUGGUAAAGAAAAAUAUUUUACAUAUGAAAAUAAUUAAUUAACGAAAUAUUAAUCACUUUAUAAUCUAUAUAUUUGGUUGACUAAUAGAUACAAUAAAAACUUAUGUUGUCCAUUGUCAAUAUUGUUUAGGGUAUGUUCUAUAUUGUUACUAUUUAAUAUUGAAAUAGUAACAUGUCAAUAUUAGAAUCAAAUCUAAAGUCUAAAAAAAUAUAUACAUAAUGAGCAUUACCUAAAUUAAGGAAUAAAAAAUAAUUCAAACAAAAUAUAAAUCAAAUAUGUGUUAUAAUACAUACAACUUUAUAUAUCUUAUUAUUUUUUUUCAUAUAAUAAAUGUAGAAGAAUCAAUUUCAUUAUCACAAUUAAAUCAAAUCAAUGAUAUGACUUUAUUUUAAUCAAAAAAUAUUGUUUUUUAAUAAGGGUCAAUGAUACAUUAUGAUUUUUUAGAGGUUUUAUUACAAAACAAAUUACAUUAAAACAUUGAAGUUUCAUUUCUUUAUUUGAAAGAAUAUUAUUCUCAAUGGAUACAAUAUUAUCAUCUUUAUCACAAUUCCAUUAUUCAUUAACUUUAAUAAAAAUAAUAAUAUUAGUAUCAUUAUUUUAGAUUGGGCUUAUUAUAUUUUGUACAAUUUAAUAUUUAUACUAUUAUGAAUUCAUAAAAUCAUAAAUAUGAAUAUUUANNNNNNNNNNNNNNNNNNNNNNNNNNNNNNNNNNNNNNNNNNNNNNNNNNNNNNNNNNNNNNNNNNNNNNNNNNNNNNNNNNNNNNNNNNNNNNNNNNNNUAUUAUUUUUUAUAAUAUAAAAUAUAACUUUUAUAGUAUAUAUAUUUGACUUAAUAUUUUCAUUGUUUGAAUUUAUUUUCUUCAUCCAUGUUAUUAUCGAAGUUCUAUUUCUCUUAUUUAGAAUAAAUAUAUGUUAUAGUUUAUACAUAUUUCUUACUAGUUAUUUUAGAAUUAAACAACAAAUGAUUAGACAUUUAUAUCUAUAAUGAGUCUGUCUAAAAUUUAGGAAUCAGAAAUAACUUUGAUCAAAAUUGUAUGAGUAUUUGAAUUAGCCAUUUUCCUAAGAUUAUUAUUCUAUUUUUGGUUGUUGAUUUUACCUGCAAGAUAGAGAUAGAAAAAGACUUUGUUAGACUCUAUAUUGUUUUGUAUGAAGAUGAAGGGCAUGACACCUUAUAAUGUAUUGAACAACACAUCAUUAUCAUAUUAAUUUAAAAAUCAUCAAUAAGUUUAUAUGUCAUUAUUAUUUGACUAUAAAAUAAGAUUAAUUUCAAAAAACGCAUUAUUAUUAUUUGACGAUAAAACAACUGCAAAAAAAUAAAAUUCAAAAAUUGUUACUAUUGUUACUACUCUUAAUAACUACUGACAAAUAAUAAUAAUAGAAAAUUAUUAAUAUUCUUUUUUUAUCAUAUUUCUUUUUGUUACUAUUUGAAUACUACAACAGUAACAUUGCAAUAUUAGAAUCAAAUCUAAACAAUAAACAUAAUAUAUUCAUAAUGAGUAUUAUCUAAAAUUAAGGAAUACAUAUUUGUUAUGACUUAUAACUACUUCAUAUUACCUAUUAUAUAAUUAAACAAUAAAUGAUUAUAAAUUUAUAUUUAUAACGAACAUGGUCUAAAAUUAAGGAAUCAGAAAUAACUUUGAUUGAAAUUGUACUAAUAUUUGAAUUACCCAUUUUCCUAAGAUUGCUAUUCUAUUUUAAUUUUAAAAUGUCAAAUCAUUUAUUAGUUAAAAAUAUAGCAGAUAUUUUCAGAACUAAUAGAGGAAAAUUUAAAAUCACAAACAUAUAUAUUAAAAUUUAUAAAUUUUGUUUGUUACAAUUCUAUAGUUACAAAUCCUUUUUUACAAUUUGAAUUUUAUGAAAAUAUAUUAUUACACUGUUAUAAUUUAAAUAUUAUAAUGAUUGUACUUUAAUAUUAUAUAACAUUAUGUAAUAAUUGUACUUUAAUCUAUACUAUAUAUCAAGCCAAAACUUGAAAUAACUACCACCAUGAUUCUAUUUUCCUAUUUUUCCCUUAGUAUGUUUUAUUUUUAAAGUAAAUUCAUAUAAUCAUAGAUAACUAUAAUUAAUACAUCUCAUUUUAAGUUGGAUAUUAUAAUAAAUACAAAAAUUAUAACAUAAAGUACAUCUAAUAAAAAACAUUCUAAUUCUCUAAAAUAAAAAAUACAAAUUUAAUACUUAAUAUCAAAAUAUAAGAAUGCAGGUCGGGAGACACGAAGUGUUUGUCGACACGCUAGUAUUAUAUAAUGUAACAACUGCAUAUUAAUGUUUCUUAAUGUAAUGGUUGCAUUGUAACUGUGUGUGUGGAAGAAGUUAAUUUGGUAAGCGUUUUAUUGAUUUUAUAUUUAAUACAUUUUAAAAUAACGCACAUGACCAAUAAAUGUUUCAUAACGUAGUGAAAAUAUUGAUUAUACAUUUAUAUAUAUAAUGAGGAGUGUCUAAAAUUAAGGAAUCGGAAAUAACUUUGAUUGGAAUUAUACUAAUAUUUGAAUAGUCAUUUUCGUAAUAUUUCUAUUCUAUUUAGGUGUAAAAUAUCUAAUCAUUUAUUAGCUAAAAAUAUAACUGGUACUUUCAGAACUAAUAGAGGAAAAUUUAAAAUCACAAACAUAUAUAUUAAAAUUUAUAAAUUUGGUGGUUACAAUUCUACAGUUACAAUUCCAUUUUUACAAUGUGAAUUUUAUGAAAAUAUAUUAUUACACUAUUACAAUUCAAAUAUUAUAAUGAUUGCACUUUAAUAUUAUAUAACAUUAUGUAAUGAUUGACCGAUAAAUGUUUCAUAAUAUAGUGAAAACAUUAAUUAAGCAAAUUUGCACACGGUAUAAAAUCUCUAUCCUCGAAUAAAUGCGAAUAAUAACAUACCUUAAAUUGCAUAAUUUUCCAUCUUAGAAUAUUAUAUUCGAUUACAGUUGUGAUCUUGAAUCAAUUUUCUAGUGGAUUAAAUUGAAAGUCUUAAGUGCAAUAGAAUAAAAAACUAAACUGUACAAUAAAAAAUAAAAUCUUAAAUCAAUAUACAAAUCUUCAUACAUCACACAAUGUCAUUAAACACAAUAAAAAUGAUAUUAUCACAAAAAAUGUAAACUUUAAAUUUAAAGUUAUAGGUUGAUUUUAUUUUGCUAAAAUAAUAUCAAAAUGAUUAUUAAAACACGUACAAUUUAUUGCUCUAGUUUAGGUAAGGUAACAUAUAAUAUAUUCUCUAGUGUUUACUUUUAAACAAUUAUUUCUUUACAAAUUGAAAUGAAAAUAAUCAAAAUAACAAAUUGUCACGGGCUAUUAUCUUUUCUCUUCCCCUGUAUCAUCCAUCAUUAUCGACGUCAUUUUCAACAAUUAUAUUACAACCUGGUAAAGACAAUCUAUAUGCUCUUUGUUAAAAUAAUGAUUAUUUUUAGUAGAAAAUUCUAUAAACAAAAUAUUAGAUGCACAAAUAUAUAGAAAACUAACCAACAAUAAUGCUUCAAGGGUGAACCAAUAAUAAGAUGCAUCAUAUUGAAUACAACUCUUGUAAUCGCCCACGUCAUUAGAGAUAAAUCACAACUCCAAUUAUCGUACAAUAAGCCCAUAUCUAUAAAACAAACAAAAAAUUAAUAAAGAAGACACUUUAAUACAAUAUCUUCAAUGGAAAAAAUAAAGAGCCACUCUAAAGUUAACUAUAAAACAUUCUUGCAAAAAAAAAAGAAUACUUUCAAAUGGUAACAUACAUCUCUAUAAAAUAAGCACAUAUAUAUAAAAUAAACAAAAAAAUUUAAUAAAGAAGACACUGUAAUACAAUGGAAAAAUCAAGAACCACUCUAAAGUUAACUAAAAAACAUUCUUGCAAAAAAAAACAGAAUAAUUUCGAAUGGUAACAUAUAUCUCUGGUCACUGACAAAAGAAUCUUUGAAAAUAACAAAUUGUCACGGGCUAUUAUCUUUUCUCUUCCCCUGUAUCAUCCAUCAUUAUCGACGUCAUUUUCAACAAUUAUAUUACAACCUGGUAAAGACAAUCUAUAUGCUCUUUGUUAAAAUAAUGAUUAUUUUUAGUAGAAAAUUCUAUAAACAAAAUAUUAGAUGCACAAAUAUAUAGAAAACUAACCAACAAUAAUGCUUCAAGGGUGAACCAAUAAUAAGAUGCAUCAUAUUGAAUACAACUCUUGUAAUCGCCCACGUCAUUAGAGAUAAAUCACAACUCCAAUUAUCGUACAAUAAGCCCAUAUCUAUAAAACAAACAAAAAAUUAAUAAAGAAGACACUUUAAUACAAUAUCUUCAAUGGAAAAAAUAAAGAGCCACUCUAAAGUUAACUAUAAACAUUCUUGCAAAAAAAAAGAAUACUUUCAAAUGGUAACAUACAUCUCUAUAAAAUAAGCACAUAUAUAUAAAAUAAACAAAAAAAUUUAAUAAAGAAGACACUGUAAUACAAUGGAAAAAUCAAGAACUACUCUAAAGUUAACUAUAAAACAUUCUUGCAAAAAAAAACAGAACAAUUUCGAAUGGUAACAUAUAUCUCUGGUCACUGACAAAAGAAUCUUUUGAAAUGAAAUGUCAAAAGAACAUGGACCAAGAAAGAAAAAAUUGGUGGAAAAUAAGAAAAGUGAUGAAAUGAGGGAGUGAAAAGUAGAGAGAAGAUUUUUUGCUUUAGAAUGAAAUGUGAGAGAAAGAUAUGGAAAUAGCCACUGACAACAGAAUCUUUUGAAAUGAAAUAGAAGAAGAAUACGAAUCAAGAAUAAAAAAAAUUGGUGGAAGAUAAGAAAAGUGAUGAAAUGAGGGAGUGAAGCUCUCUAAUGGUGUUGUGCUUACAACGAAUUUGUCGUUUCUUACCAUUAUAGAAGCGGUUCUUAAUUUUUGCAAUAGUCGCGAUACUAUCACAAUGGAUCAGCACAACUGAUAUAUGUUUUUCCCAUAGAGGAAUCUUUGCAAACAAGCUUCUCAACCAACUUGCUUCUUUACUAGUUGUUGCUAGUGUUAUAAUCUCAACAUCCAUAGUGGAUUGAGCUAAAGUAGUCUGUUUCUUGUUAGACUCUAGAUAUUCCAUCUCAUUAUUUAUGGCUUCUCGCCACAAAUCAACAUCCAAAGAAGUCAAAACUUCUUGGAGAGUUGAUAGAUUAUCCUCAAAUAUAUAGACCACAUAAUGAGGUUUAUACUCUCUAACAAUUAUUGCUCUCUUACUUCUUCUAGGUUCUGUUUCAAACCUUUCAUUUUCUAUAAUUAUCUCUAAUCACAAGUAUGUGACUAGUUGAUGUGCCCCCACUAUUCCUCAAGUUAAAAAGGAAUUUCUCUUCAUUGAAGUCAACAUCGUUAGACUCAAUGUUUACUUUUGCGUUAAGGUCGUAAAACUUGUACGCCUUGUUUUUUUACAGCAUACCCAAUGAAUACACAUUCAUGGGCUUUGUGAGUUUAACUCUCUAAGGGCAUAUCAUCAAAAAUGAUUUCACGAGCAAUUCUAUGUAUCUCAUAAGACUGAGACUCUACUGAUUUAUUAUCAGUCAUUUGAUACUUGAGGUAGUAGUAACAUCGUAUUUUUUUUAUCUUCCUCAUUAUCAUAUUUCUUUAUUUUUCAAGUGCAUACCAAAUUAAUUUGGCAGACAUAUAUGGGUUGUAGUAAUUAUAGAGAUCAUCUGACAAGUCAUUUAAAAUGAAAUUCAUAAAAGUAAUCAUUUUCAUUCGAGAGAGCUAUAUUAAUAGCUAGUUUAUCCUUUUUCUUUUUUUCAGCUUUCUCCAGCAACAUUAGGCCAUUAAUUUUCAAAAUGUGUGCAACUUUUCUUAUAGUGAAGAAAAAUUUCAUCUUAUGUUGCUAACGUUUAAAAUUUGUACCAUCAAACCGAAAUGGUUUGUUCAGUUCCUAGCUGUUCGGUCCACUAAUAUUAUCUACGAAUGUCGUUGCAGUAGAAACGUCUUAAAAAUUGUUGUUACCGUAGCUUGCAACAAUUAUAAAUGGCAUGAAAUAAUACUGGCUGAGUCACGACGAGGUCCCUCUCUUUAAGACGUUUCGUGACACUGCCAAAAAUAUGCAAGCAGACUAUCAACCACGCCGUCCUUAGGAUAAAUAGCCCAAAUCUCUGUUAUCGAAUACUUACUACACUAUAAGAACCAAUCUCGAAUACACCCACUAUAAUAUGACUACCAAUGCCAAUUCUCGAAAUUCCCACAAUAUCUCUAGCAGUCCAAUUCUCAAAAUACACACAAUAUGGCUACCCAUGCUAAUUCUCUUCCCACAAUACUGACUACUAGUAUAUGUUCUCAAAAUGGCCACAAUAUGGCUAUCUGUUCCAAUCUUUUCCCUCAAUACUGACUAUCAGUGUCAGUUCUCGAAAUUCCCACAAUAUAGCUACCUGUUCCAAUUCUUAGUACCACAGAAAGAAAAUGGGAGAUGUUUGCCGAAAAUGCAUCGGCAGAAAAUAUGAGGGAGAAAGAAAAAGUUGAAUGAAAACACAUUCAACUUGGGGCAAAAAGAUAUGAAGAUAAGAGACUUCUAUUUAUAAUAUGAAGAUAAGAGACUUUUAUUUAUAACAUACGUAUUACACUUGGUGGAGGUGCUAAUCUUAUACGGGGAUUGACCCCGCAUUUGCUAGAGAGUGAUGAUGCAUUCACAAGAUCUUAUUGGGUGGAAGAAGCAUCGGAUUUGAGGCAAUUGCAUGCGGUUUGUUUGUCAGCGGUGCUCUGAGCCAACGAGACGAGUCCCUUGACUCCAUUGCAGCAUGUUACAGGAAGUCAGGAACAGCUCCACCGGACUGCAGGUAAGUGAGGCAUGGAGCUAUGCCACUAACAACCUGUCCACAUGUUAUGGUAGCAUGUGCAAUGGGUGCACCCACCACAACCAUGCACAUCAAAACCAUACAUGUUACCUUAAUGCUUGCCAUUACUUCACAAACUAAUUUGCUGUGUAUUUGCUUUUGGAUAUUGCUUACUUGGUGAUAUACGGGAUGCAUGGUAUGCAGUUUAUAUAGAAAAUAAGAGAGAGAUUAUUACAUAAUGCUGCACUAAAAGAUGGAUUGUGGCCUAGGCCAAUCCUCAUUUGACACGUGGUGUACAUUGAAAGUAUUGUUUACAACUGUGAAAAUCAAGGUCUCAUGCAUUAUUCUAUCUCCUUUUAUAAUUUAUUACAAUUCUCAAUAAAAUAAGAAUAAUAUCCACUUUUUUCUCAUAAUGAUAAAGUCGUUCCUAUUCUUGUUUGGAUCCCACAAUAUUUACAUUUUUUUCCAACAACAUCUAUUUUUCUCCUCACUUUCCUUUUGGUUAAGAACAACCAAGAGUUGUUCUUAUUUAAGAACAAAAGUAAGGAAAUAAAAACAACAUAGUGGAGAACAAAGUAAGAAUGUUCUUAUUCCGUUAAGAAAAACCAUUAUGGUUGCUCUUAAAAUUGGGAACCUCUCCUAUGUUAGUGCAGUACAAGAAUGAGGAUGAUUUUAAAAUACAUUUUAAUACAAAAUAAACUUAAAUUUUAAGUCAUUAAAACUUUUUAAAUAACACACAUUAUUAUCUUAUUCAGUAUUGAAUUCUUCAUUACCAAAGUAAUCUACCAUGCAUUAAUAUUGAAUAUCCUUGAAAGUGAAUGCAAUCAUUCAUUUGAAAUUAAAAAAAACAAAGACAUUAUUAUAAUAAUUUGCUUCAUUUCACUAAAAAUAAGGAGAAAUUAUUCCAUUAUAAUUAUAUUAACUAUAUAUAAAAUUAUUUUGUAAAAUUUUAAUUUUAAUAAAAAACUUUAAGACAUUAUUCUAAUAUAAUUAUUAAUUGUAUAUAUAAGAUUAUUUGUUGUGAUUUUCAUUCUAAUAAAAAAUUGAGACAUUUUUUAAUAUAAUUAUACAUAAUUUUAAUUAUAUAGGAUAUAUACCAAAAAUAAUAAUAUUAAGCCGACAUAUAGAUUUAAUGCCUAACACAUAAUUUAUAAGAGUAUUAUGACAUUAAUCGGCUUAUUUAAUCAACUCUCCUUCAUGGAAAAAUAAAUUUUGUAGUUAUUUAUUAAUUAGGUAAGUUAUCCCAUCCAGAUCUACCAUCUUCCAAUUUGAUAUGGAUCUUCGGAUUGUUAUCAAGAUGCAUACGGCAACCAUGGGUUUGUUAGCAGUUGGGUCCCAUUAAAUGCUCAAUGGUAGAUCCUCUUGUCUUUGAGCAUGUAGCUAUCUAUUAAUAUUAGAUUCAUGAGAAAAAUAUGUAUAUAUUGAUAAUGUAUAAGUUUUAUAUAUUAUUAAUAUAUCAUUUAUUAUUCAUACUAAAGUAACUUAAAUAAAUGAUUGAUAAUGUAGUAUGUAUGUAUAAAUCUUUACACAAACAAUCUAUAUAUUUUACAUACUAGAUUUAUUGCUCUGCGUAUCAUCUCAUAUUUGAGCACCUGAGCGUUAUAUUAGACGUUAGAUUUAUGAGAAAAAUACAUAUAGACUGAUAAUAUAAGAAAAUUUUAUAUUGUCAUCACAUCAUCUAUUAUUUAUUUUAAUCUUCGUUAACUUUUAAAUAAAAGUAGUACAGGUGAAAGAUAGAUAAUAUAUUGACUAUGUAUAAAUUUUUAUACUGUAUAUUUUUUAUACUCUAGAUUUAUUGUGUGGACUGAAGUUCAAUCUCAUCUAUCCAUAUACAUCUACCCUAAUUUGUACAAUUGUAUAACUUCGUUAAUCGAAGAAGAAAUAUUCCUACAGGUUAUCUUUUUUUCCUCUCUUAUUUACCAAGAACAAAUGAUAAUUUAAUUGGAUGUCCAAUAUUUUCCAACAAUUAUUAAGAUCAAAAUUGGCAGGCGUUUCAAGGAAUGGUGGAUUUAUUUCUAGAGUUAAGUGCACUCACGUUCCCAGAGUUAAAUUAUAUAAAUCAUUUAUAUUUUUUUCAAUAUCUAUACAAAUUAUCCUAAUUUAUAUAUAUAUAUAUAUAUAUAUUUAUAUUAUUACAUUAUUGACUCUUGUAGAAGAAAUAAAUAUAUUUUGUAAGAAUAUAAUAUUUAUGCUCCACCUAUAUAAAGAUUUAUAUAUAGUCACUAAAUUGUCCGCUACUCUUUUAGAUUACUUUUUGAAGAGUCUAUGAUGAUUAAAUAUGAAGGUGGAUGAUACAGUGAUUGUGUAUAAAACUCACACACUCUCACUAAAUACAUAUUUUUCUCAUCUUUUAAACAAAAGACGGUAAGAAAUGUAAUUAAGUUAAACAAAACAUGGUAUAUUAUGGAAACAAAUCAAAAUAGUAUACGAGUCAAUACCUAUUGAGUAUUUUUGUCCUUACAAUAUAGUAUAAAAGUGAUUUAAAUAAUAUCUUCUUAGAAUUUUUUAUGCAUUUGUAACGAACUAAAAAUAAUGAAGAGAUCUUGACUCUUAUACUAUUUGCACUUUUUUAUAAGCAAAGAUUUGUAUUAAAGCAGCACAAGGGGUGCCAACCCGAAUACAGAAGGAACUACAAGACAAAAGAAGGCAUAAAGCACAUUAAAAAAACAACAUUUCGAAUUAGUACACGACUGAGCAAAAAUGAAUAGAUUUUGAUUAAUGCUCGAAGCAAACCAAGACCACGAUCUAACCUGAAUCAAGUCCAGAAUUUGCACAAAACUAAUCUCCUUAUCCGAAAAAUGGAGUCAUUCCACAUUAACCAAAUAGACCAAAUCAGGGUAAACCACAACAUUCUCCAUAAUUGUCUCCCUUUUGAAUUCUUGCAUAACGAUUCAUGAUAACUAAACAGCUUCCAACAAUACUCUACUACAAAACAAAUGGAAUCUGCAACAAAGCAUAAAAACCUCACCACACAAAGGAAACAAAAGAGCAAGACAAAAGCAGAUGAUCAAGAGAUUCAGAAUGAUUCAAACAUAAAACACAAUUUAACUCAGCACUAUGAAUAAUUCUUCUCUUAAACAAAUCCUCCUUAGUUGCAAUUCUACCACACAAAGUUUUCCAAACAAACAACACACCUUUGAAGAAGCACAAUUAAUCCAACUUUUAUUAAGAAUAAAACCAACCUCAUUUUGUUGGACAUUAAUUUGAGCAAAGUAAGCUUUUUUAACCACAUACCUUCCUGAGUUAUCUAAACUCCAUGUCCAAGUAUCUACACUAUCUCUUCUAUAGGAAUGAGAAGCAAUCAGGUGAUACAAAGAACUGACUGGAUUUUCCUCCCAAUCAAACAACCUUCUCCUCCAAAGAACAUUCCAAUUCCACUGGUUGUUGAUCCAGACCCCACAAUUUGAAACUAGCGCUUGUCUAUUCAAAGCAAGAGCAAACAACCUGGGAAAAGUCUCCUUCAAACAACACUGGCCAAACCAAACAUCAUUCUAAAAUAGGGUUUGAGAACCAUCUCCAACUUCCUUCCAAAGUUUAUUCUCCAACCAACGGUUCCCUGCCCCAUAUGAGCAACCAACUUUAGCCAAAUCCCUCCACCACUUUGAAGCCGAUAAAGGAGCCAGCAUAACGGCCUCCAAGCCAUACUUGGAAUUCACUACUUGAACGUCUCAGUAAUAUAUCUUAUUUUGUUUAACUUAAUUACAUUCAUCACUCAUUUUAUGUUUAAAAGAUAACAUUAAUUUCUUGUGCAGAUGUAAUUAAUAUAAUAUAUAUAUAAGGUUGGUCUGUGUGGAUACAUAAUUGAGAGGUAUCGGUUUAUAUAAUUUUAAUAAAACUCAAAGGAUAGAAAUAUUAUUUAUUUCAUGAUCAAUGUUGGCCUGUUAGGUCAUAAAUUGGUUUAUUAUUUAUUUCAUGAUAUUCACAUUAAUAUCAAAUUGGUUUAUUAUUUUCAUAACAUGGUAAUUAUUAUUUUGGAUACAUAAUCAAAAGUUAUAGUUACAUUACCAAUUAGUAGCUGGUUUAGAUAAUAUAUGUUUGUUUUCUUUUUAGUAAAGCCGGAGUUUAAGUCUGAUGAUUGGUUAUCUACCUUGCUGUUUUGAAAUUGUUAAAUUUGUUUUCUUUCACUAUUGUUGUUGAUGUCUACCACAGUCACGACACUGGCUUCCAAAUAAAAGAGUUGGGCACCUUCCCCCUUAGGCCCUUAUCUUGCAUGUUACAUUACAUCAUUUAAACAUUGGCAGAUUGACUUCCAUAGAUUGUUUGGUCCUACAAUUCAUUAGUUCCUAUAUUCCUAUAGGUGAUUUUAAAAGUUUCCAUUCUACCCAUAUUAAGAACUAUUAUUGAUCUAUAAUAACUAUUGUUGUUGAUGUCUACCACAGUCACGACACUGGCUUCCAAAUAAAAGAGUUGGGCACCUUCCCCCUUAGGCCCUUAUCUUGCAUGUUACAUUACAUCAUUUAAACAUUGGCAGAUUGACUUCCAUAGAUUGUUUGGUCCUACAAUUCAUUAGUUCCUAUAUUCCUAUAGGUGAUUUUAAAAGUUUCCAUUCUACCCAUAUUAAGAACUAUUAUUGAUCUAUAAUAAAUUGAAAAAAUCUAUUUAGAUUAAGAGUAAAUACUCAUUUUAGUUAUUAAUAUUUUUCAUUCUUACUAGUUUGAUCCCUCAAAAAUUGAAAAAACUAAAAUGGUUCCCAAUUUUUUUUAAUUAUGGGCUAAAUUAAUUGUUUUUAGGAACAAAUUAAUCCAUAUCAGGUUUGUAAAAUAUGCUAAAAUUAUCAAUUUGACUCGUAUUUAAAAGUUUUGGGACCAUUUUGAGUUUUUCAAAUUUUGAGGGACCAAACUAGUAAAAUCGAAAAACAUGAAAAAUUAAAAUGAGUAUUUACUCUUAAUUUAAUAGGUAAGUCUCUAAGUCAUCAUAAAAACCUAUUUAAUUAUAUUAUGUAUUAGUCUUACAUUGUUAGAAACAACUAAUUUAAAAGUUGAAUAUAAAAUAAAGUGUAUUGAUAAUGAUUGAGUUUGAAUUUCUAGAUCAUCAUUGCUUUCAAUAAAUAAAUAAAUAUAUAUAUAUUUUUUUUUUUUGCUUAUGACAAUAAUCACAAAUACUAAAUGGUCCAAGUGUUCAUGCAUAUUCAUUAUUUUUUAAAGUAAAUACUAAUUUCAGUCCCUCAUUUUUUUUGACCUUACCAGUUUGUUCCUUCAAAAUUGAAAACCCGAAAAUGGUCCACAAAAAUUUUAAAUGCGCGUAAAAUUAGUUAUUUUUAACGUAUUUUAUAACACAUGAUAGAGACUAAUUUGACCCACAUUUGAAAUUUUUGGACCCAUUUUGGGUUUUUCAAUUUUUGAGAGACCAAACUAGUAAGGUCAAAAAACAUGAGGGACUAAAAUGAUUAUUUAUCAUAUUUUUAUUAGAGUAAAUUUGAUAGACACUUCACGCACUUUAGCUUAAUUACCCCCACAGCUCAUUUUGUUUAAAAGAUUGCAUUCAUCUCUCUUAUAAUAUAUGUAUAUAAGUUGAUGAUAGUUUGUGUAGGUGCAAAAUGGGAGGAGUGUUUUGUUUUAGUGUGAUUUAUUCUAUAAAAAAAUAAAACAAAAAUGUAAGUUAAUUUUUUAUUGUUAGAUAGACAUUUAAAAACAGACCUGAUAGUUAUUUAAAAAGAGACUUCUUAGCUAUUUAAAGGAAGACUGUUAGCCUAUUUAAAUGUAGACUUGUUAGGCUAUUGAAAGGCCCUAAGCACAAUCAACUUUUUAAUAAACUCACAAGCUUGAGCAGGCUUUUAGAUAGAUUAGGACUUAAAGCUUUGAUUGUUUUUAAAAAUAGUAAAUUGGACAACUUUAGUCUACUAUAUAUUAUAUAGGUUGAGUUUGUUCUAGGUAAAGUCUUACACUUGUUUCGACCUUAUAUGUAGGCACACAUUUAAAACUUCGGCAAUAAUAAUCUUGUAACUAGUUACGUAGUGUUUAAUGUGUCACUCUUAGGCCAAUAUUUUUAUAGGACAGGCAAUGUAUAAGUGUGGAAAGUUUGAUAAUCCUUUAUUUUUCAGUUUAUGAGUCGAGAAUGCAGUUCAUUUUAUUUUAUUAUUACUAUGAUUAUGAUUGAAUUCACAUAUAAGUUCACCUAAAUUCCUUUAUUAUUUAGUUAAUUGAAUGGUACUAGCAUCCAUGGAGCAAAAGGAGCACAAGAAGGAAAAAUAUGUGAAAAUGGCAAAAAUAGAAGACUUUUGCCGCAAGGAAAGAUCAGACAUCACGGUUGUACUACCUUGAUAGCACGGUGAUGCAACUUAUAACUAGAAAAAAGUUUCUAUAAUAAUGACUGUGGCUAAACUAAUGCUUUAAGUUGCCUCUCCAAGUAUUGCUCAACACAACUGUGCUAACUAAUAUGUAAGGAUAUGCCAUCUCUAACGCCUAUAAAUUGAGAGCUCUAGGAAUUUCGGUAGAAAACACACUAUCAUAGCUAUAGUCGUCAAAGGGACUAGAAAUAUGAUUUAUAUGAAGUAGAGUAGUUUCAUCACAAUGAAGAGCUACAUGAGUAGUAAGUAUUUUCCAUGUGCAUUGCACUAUUGUGUCUUAGAAAAAACUUAGUAUUAUUGUGAUGGUAGUUUAUGUCAUGUUUCAAGGUGAAACAAUGAUAUAACAAUGUCACAUUUCCAUAUUUUUAUAGACUUUUAUUUUAUUUUUUGAGUUGUUUCAUUAUGCGUAUUUGAUUUAUCACAUUGGAAAAUCUUUGGGUUUCUCUUAUGACCACAAAUGGAUUUGGGAUUCAUAUAUCUUUGAAUUCUUUCAUAUCUUACUUGGAUUUCAAAAAUCCAGUUGGUUUCUUCGUUUCCUUCAAAACGUAUCUAGUGGCACCCAUGGCUUUUGGGUUUUUAUGGAUUUUUUUGCUCAGCAAAAGAAAUAAAGUUGCAUUAAGAUAGCGCAAGGGGUGCUAACCCAAAACAACAAAUCAACAUGUAUUAAUACAUGAAAACAGAUCCACACACCAAGAGACAAAAUUUAUAUUCUUAUUUUCUGCUGCAUCAAAAAACGACAAUCAAGACCUAAGUUUAAUCAACUCCAUAAUUUUUAAAAAAACUACUCUCAUUUCCAUUAAAAACCAAGUCAUUCCUCAUUAACCAUACUAACAACAUCACUGCACACUAUAACAUACACCAGAGAUGAGACCCAUUCUUCUUCUUCCGAACACUAUUAUGGAGUUGAAAUAACUCACAUUAAUUGUUUGGAAGAUUAACUUUAAACCCAACCCAAGAUUAAAACUCCCUCCAAACCACAAUAGAAAAAUCAAACAAUAAAAAUAGAUGGUCUAUUGAUUCCUCAUUCUUAUCACAAAAAAGGCAUCCAACAUCUACUUGAUUAGAGAUAAUAGAUCUUCUCAAAAACUUCAUCUUAGUUGCUAUUGCCCCCUCAAAAGCUUCUACACAAAACAUGAUAUUUUAGAAGGCAAACAAGAAAGUCAAAUAUUACAAAGCAUUAAGUCUUAUGCAAAAGCAACCACCUGCAACUGAGUCGUGUAAGCUGACUUUGUCUUGUACAUCCUUAUAGAAGGUAAGCUCCAAGAACAGUCAUCCAUCCUCCCAUGUCUGCAAGAAAAUAGAUGAAUCACCGCAUAUAGUUGCUCCUCUAACUCUUCUUCCCACACAAACAAUUUCUCCCUCCACUUCAACAACCAACACCACUUCCCAUCUCUCCAUUCCACAUAAUCACUAACAACACUAUUAACAUCUACAACCACCAAAGAUAACCCAUGUAAGGAAUCACAUAACCUACUCACACCACACCACACAUCCAACCAAAGUCUAGAAUGAGACCCAUCCCAUAAAAGUUGAAGAAAAGAAAAGUAGUAGAAAAUGAGAUGAUAAUUUUAUUGUUUGAUAUGAUUGAAAAUAGAAGAAAAGUGAGAGGAAAGAAAAUGCAUAUUUAAACAUAAUAUAUUUAAAAUGACAUAAGUGCCCUCAUUAUAUAACUAAAUUACAUAGCUAAAUAUUUAUUUAAAAUGACAAUACAUAUCUAAUUUUUAAAUACUACUUUUUAAUAUUGCAAAUUUCAUAAUUAAAUAAUUUAUUUUUAAUAAUAUUGAUUAAUAUUUUUAAGUUACUAAGUUUAAUAUAAUAAUUUAUGUUUAUAAAAAUUCUUCUCACCAAUGUAUCUAAGUAAAGUAUAACUAAUUUUUUAAAAUCACUUUUAUAUUUUUAACAAUCUCACUUCUAUAUAUUUUGCGUUUUGUCUUUCUAAUUUAUUUAUUAUUUGUCUAUUUGUUAGUAAUUAUGUUUAUUUUUUUCUUUUCAUUCCGGACAAAACACAAUUAUUAUUAAUUUUUGAGUUUAGAAGCAACGAAAAUAAAAUUAAGUUAACGAAUUUCACAUCAAAAUGAAUAUAAACAAAGAAUUUUACUAAAUUGUAUAUAUUUUCACAUAGAUUGUGGUUCUUUAAAUUCAUUCAUGGUGAUUGGAAUUUUUGAUGUUUUUCUCUCCUUUCUUAAUUUUCUUCACAAAAUAGGGAGGAAAACUUUUUGUGUGGGGCCCAUGCUUAUUUUUCCUUCCCCUCAUUUUUAGUGUUGAACCAAAUGGUAGAAAAUAAUAUUUUCCACCACUUUUCCUUCCUCCUCUUUUCUUUCCUCUUUUUUUUUACAUAGAACCAAACAUAGUGUAAAGGAAGAUUCUUAUGUUAUUUAGAUUUCAGUGAAAUUGUGCCUGUGAAGCAAGUCUCCAAUUUUUUCAAUAAAAUCAAGCCUCCUACACUCGAUUUCCAUUUUAAGUCUAGACAAACUGUCCCACAAUAAUAGACAUAAACAAUAAACACCAAGAAUAAUUGAGCAAAACGAGGUGGGUGAAGAUUAAGACGAAGUAAAAAAGAAUCUGUUGGAUAUGAAAUUGGAUUGCACUACAAUAUGAUCAACUUCAAUAUAUGCAGCAAGAAGUUGGGCACGUAUGGGACAAUACUGUAACUUGGAAAAAUAUGAAAUUAUAUUGGAUCUUCCACAUGUAUUGAACAAUAUUGGUAAUAAAAGGUGAGAAUCAUUUCUUGUACAAAAGUUUUAAAUCAUAAAAUUGAUUUUAGCGGAGAGGAAUCUCAAAUUUCAUUUCUCCAUUAUCAAAUUCAUUAAAUCCUCACUAUGUUAUGUAUUCCUAUUUGCAAUUCAUUAUUAAAACAUUUGACUUUUCCCUCCUUUUCAAUUUUAAAGAUUAUUAACUUUUCACUAGGGGUGGCAAUUGGAUGGAUUUGGAUGAAUUUGGAUUUGGAUCUUAAUGGAUGGAUAGAAAAUUAUCCAUCAAUCCAUAUAAAUCCAUUACAUCAUAUUUUUAACUUAUCAAAUCCAUCCAUGUCCAAUGGAUUCCAAUCCCUCCAUUCUAUCCAUGUAUCCACAAAACAUUUUUAAUAAAGCAAUUUGAAGAAAAAAAUAUUAAAUUAUUAUUUAAUACAUUUUUAAAUAUCAAUUUUAAAAAACAUUUUUAAAAAGUGAAUUUUUUUAAAAACACUUUCAAAAAAAUAAUUUUCUUAACAAAUACUUUUAAAAAGUGCUUUUUUGAUAAGCACUUUUAAAAAUAUGAAUUUGUGAAGUUUUUUUAUAAGAGCUUUUAAAAAUGUGAAUUUGUGAAGUUUUUUUAUAAUUACUCUUAUUGGCAAGAAUCUUUGGUGCCACAUAGUUUUGAUAGGAGUGUAAAAGUUCGGUUUCAUUUUCGAUGCAAUUUAGUGACUGAAUCGGACACAAAGAUAUUGUUCGGUUCUACUCGAUUAACCGCAAAUUUUAUUUAGGAACCGAACCGAACCGUUUAUUAAUGUUUCGGUUCGGUUCCACGGUUUUUCAACAUUUUUAAAGAAAAUCCUUUAAGAAAUAGUUGAACAAAAUUUGCAAAGUAUACAGUAAACUAAAUGAAUAUUAAAAAUAUCAAUUAUAAAGUAUUUAAUACUCUUUCUAGUACAACAAUAAUAAUUCAAGGUCUCAACGCACUAUAAACUUGAAAUUUUAGUCCACAAAAUCUUCGACAAUGUCAACCAAAAUUUAAGAAUGACAAACUUGGUAUCAAUUCUUUAGUCCAACAGUAAGUUCUAAUACUUCACAUCAUUAGUAAUAUCCUCAAGUUCUUUCUUUAUUUUCUUUUAGUUCCUUAAUUUCUUUAUUUAAUUAAUUUUAUCUCUAAAUAGUGAUAAAAUGUAUACUAGUUUUUUAGUUAUCAUUCUAUCUUCUCAAUGGAUAAUAAAUAUUUAGGUUUGUUUACUAAUUUAUUUUUUCUAUUGGCCUCUUAUUUAUAGCCUAUAUGUAUUAAUAAUCAUAAAUUUUUAAUCAUAUUUUAUCUCCUAACUUUAAAGCUUAACCAUCCAAAUAUAAAAUAAUUUUUUGAAUAUGCGAUUCGGUUCUUUUCUAACGAUUCCAAAAUUUACAAAAUCGUGAACCAACAUUUUUGGAUGGAUUGAGUAUCCAUCCAAAUGAAUAUACUCAUGAAUAUCCAUUGGAUAUAAUGGAUGAAUUUGAAUUAAUCCAUUAUCAACAUUAUUCAUUGAAUUAUAUCCAUUUAAAUCCAUUAAUUCUAACGGAUGGAUUUGGAUAAAUUUAAUUUGGAUGAAUUUGGAUGUAUUUUGGAUUAUGGAUAAUUUUGCCACCCCUACUUGUCACCCUUUUUGUCUUAGUUGUUAAAAUUUAAGUUCAUUUUUUCCAUAUUCAUUCACUUAUUUGAUAUAGCAUUAUUUCAUUUCUCACGUAAUUGUUGAAAUAUCAUGUGCUUGUUCAAACUGCAUAUUAUACACUAUUGGUUUACACUAUGAUGUGCUUCUAGUGGACAUGAGCAAAAUUCUUCUGGUUUUUCUAUGUUAGCUUCUUUACUUUCCUCUACCACAUAUCAUAGAAUAAUGGUCAUUUCAGUCACUCCAAACUACAUGAUAGUAGAAAUCUGUGCAACUUCAUUCUAUGCAUUAUUCAAUCUCUUCAAUGGUUUUUUUUACCCCAAUAUUAGUGAGUACCAUUGCCUAGUUCUUUAAGAUAAAACUCUAGUUUCUAGCUUUGUAAUUUCAUUUAUAUAUAUCAUUUUGUUUCAGAAUAUCCGUAUGUGCUAUGUGGUGGUCAUGAUAUUAUUAUAUAUGCCUAGUAGCAUAGACAAUACACUGAUUAACAAUCUCAUAUGUGGUGGGAAAUUGACUGUUCUACAAUAAAUGAAUGAGAUAUAAAAUAAAUUACUUGUGAUGAAGAAUUAAUAAGCUCAGUAUUAGAACUUAAUGAUUAAUUUUUGAGAUUAAAGCAUUUGUCAAUUGAAGGGUCAAAUUUGAAUUCGUCUGAACUUAAUUGAAUCCAUACAUAAUUGAGUUUCAUUAUAUCUUGUUUCGAGUUCAACAAAUUAGUCGAUUAACAUUCAGAGUCGGAUAAAAUACAUACUUUGUCCGGCCUAACCUAUCCAAAUCUCAUCCCUAAUAUUUCACAUUAAAAAAUCUUAUGUAUUUCAUCUUUACCUUAGUUUCUUCUUUGUCCACAUUAAAUAAUAUUAGUAAUACCCUAUUCAAAAAAAUAGUAGAAAAUAUUAUUUACAAUAGUGUUAUUUCAAUAAUUCAAAUUUAAUAACUUCACUUAAAAAAUUAAAUUAUCUCUCCUAUACUUUUUAUCUUUUAUUUGUAUACACAUACCCAAAAAUCAGUUGAAAACCAAAGAAAAAUUUACUAUCACAAUGGUUUUAUCAAAAUACAGUUUUUUCUAAUCACUGUCUGAUAAGGACUAAAAAUGUAAAGUCAAUUACAAAAAAAAUUAAAAUAUAUUAUUAAAAAUUAAAUAUAAAACUUUCAACAUUAACUUUAGAUUUUUUAGUUAUUUAGAGAAGAGCGAUGAUUAAAAAAAGAAAAAAAAGAAUUAUAAAAGAUAGAGAAAGGUGAUGAAUAGUGUAACUUGUUAGCUGAUUCGUAUUCUUUUCUAAGGUCAUAACUCAUCCUAGUUUGAAUAUUGGCAAAAAGAUGUUCCCCUUUUAAUUACCCUUCAAAUUUGGUUGUUGAACUUUCUUUUGUAACUUUGGUCCUUUAGAUAAGAUUUGUUGAGUGAAAGAUUGUGGUCCAAUGCAUGACUUGUUUUUUUUUGUAAACUAUUGAAGUUAGUAUUAUAUUCUAGCCAGAAAAAUGUGUGGGAUAUUUUAUUCUAAAAUAAAAUAAUAAACAAAGUAAUAAUUUUGAAUAGAGAAAAUAAUUAAAAAGUUUAAAAUUUAUUUUAUAGAAAUCAAUCAAUUUAUCAAUAAUAUUUUUAAUUUAAUUAUUAUCAAUCUUAAGGAUACAAUUGUCAUCAUCAUAAAAAUGUUUCAACUCCAUUAAUCAUAGACAUAAACUCAGUAAUAUUGAAUGUGAAAAAAAAUGGAAUAUAGUUACAGUUUUUUUGUUUAGGUAAUAUUACUUGUACCUAUUUUAUAACCCGAAAACAUGGCAGCCUUCACUUGCGAUAUUACCAUACUAUUCUGACAUUAAAAAAAGGGAAAGGAGUUAAUGGAUUGAUUCUAGGCAUUUUACAAAUUUUGUACCCACUUGUGAUUUUGAAAAUACUAUGUAUUCUAUAUUAGAUUUCAUAAAAUUCAUCAUUAUCAUUCAUUCAAUUAAUUCACCAAGCCAAAAGAAGCUACUUAUAUACACAGCAAUAACACUAGCCAAAAGAAGGAUAAGUAGUUAAAACAGUUGGGUAGUUUUUAGCCAACUGUCUAAAAGGGAAACUGCCAAAAGAAGAGUAAUUCUAACAACCCAAGUGCUAAAGGAAAAAAUACAUAAAUAAACCAAGACUAUAAUCAUCUAAAACCCUCCCUCAAGUUGGAGAGUAGAUAUUCAAAACUCCCAGCUUGGAAAGAAGAUAAGAAAAUGUUGAAGCAUCCAAAGCCUUGGUAAGCAAACUAGCAGGUUGUUCUUUACUAGGAAUGGGAAGCAAAUGGAAGAGACGAGCUUGAAGUCUUUCUCUAACAACAAGACAAUCAAUCUCAAUGUGUUUGGUGCGUUCAUGAAACAUAGAGUUAGCUGUAAUAUAGCGAGCUGAUUUGUUGUCACAAUAGAGAAGAGAAGGCUUGAUGAACGAAAUAGGAAAGUUGUCAAGUAAGAAAGUCAGCCAUUGAAGUUCACAAGCAAUAGAAGCAAGUGCCCUGUACUCAGCCUCAGAUGAAGACCUAGCCAACGUUGUUUGCUUCUUCGAUUUCCAUGAAAUUAAUGAGUUUCCAAGGAAGACACAAAACCCAGAAACAAAUAUAUGUGUGUCUAUGCAUGUGCCCUAGUCAGAAUCACUGAAAGCUUUUAGUUGGAGUGCAGAAUCAGAGGGAUAAAAGAGACCCUGACCAGGUGUUCCUUUGAUGUACCGAAGAAGUCGAGUAAGAGCUUGAUAGUGAGAAUUAGUGGGGUGGCUCACAUACUGACUCAAUUGCUAGACAGAGAAGCUGAGAUCAGGUCUUGUAUUAGUUAGAUAAAGAAGUCUUCCCACCAAUCUUCUGAAACCAGUGGGAUUGUUGUAAGCACCCAAUUACAAAAAAAUUAAAAUAUAUUAUUAAAAAUUAAAUAUAAAACUUUCAACAUUAACUUUAGAUUUUUUAGUUAUUUAGAGAAGAGCGAUGAUUAAAAAAAGAAAAAAAAAAAGAAUUAUAAAAGAUAGAGAAAGGUGAUGAAUAGUGUAACUUGUUAGCUGAUUCGUAUUCUUUUCUAAGGUCAUAACUCAUCCUAGUUUGAAUAUUGGCAAAAAGAUGUUCCCCUUUUAAUUACCCUUCAAAUUUGGUUGUUGAACUUUCUUUUGUAACUUUGGUCCUUUAGAUAAGAUUUGUUGAGUGAAAGAUUGUGGUCCAAUGCAUGACUUGUUUUUUUUUGUAAACUAUUGAAGUUAGUAUUAUAUUCUAGCCAGAAAAAUGUGUGGGAUAUUUUAUUCUAAAGUAAAAUAAUAAACAAAGUAAUAAUUUUGAAUAGAGAAAAUAAUUAAGAAGUUUAAAAUUUGUUUUAUAGAAAUCAAUCAAUUUAUCAAUAAUAUUUUUAAUUUAAUUAUUAUCAAUCUUAAGGAUACAAUUGUCAUCAUCAUAAAAAUGUUUCAACUCCAUUAAUCAUAGACAUAAACUCAGUAAUAUUGAAUGUGAAAAAAAAUGGAAUAUAGUUACAGUUUUUUUGUUUAGGUAAUAUUACUUGUACCUAUUUUAUAACCCGAAAACAUGGCAGCCUUCACUUGCGAUAUUACCAUACUAUUCUGACAUUAAAAAAAGGGAAAGGAGUUAAUGGAUUGAUUCUAGGCAUUUUACAAAUUUUGUACCCACUUGUGAUUUUGAAAAUACUAUGUAUGCCAUAUUGGAUUUGAUAGAAUUCAUCAUUAUCAUUCAUUCAAUUAAUUCACCAAGCCAAAAGAAGCUACUUAUAUACACAGCAAUAACACUAGCCAAAAGAAGGAUAAGUAGUUAAAACAGUUGGGUAGUUAUUAACCAACUGCCUAAAAGGGAAACUGCCAAAAGAAGAGUAAUUCUAACAACCCAAGUGCUAAAGGAAAAAAUACAUAAAUAAACCAAGACUAUAAUCAUCUAAUACCCUCCCUCAAGCUGGAGAGUAAAUAUUCAAAACUCCCAGCUUGGAAAGAAGAUAAGAAAAUGUUGAAGCAUCCAAAGCCUUGGUAAGCAAACUAGCAGGUUGUUCUUUACUAGGAAUGGGAAGCAAAUGGAAGAGACGAGCUUGAAGUCUUUCUCUAACAACAAGACAAUCAAUCUCAAUGUGUUUGGUGCGUUCAUGAAACAUAGAGUUAGCUGUAAUAUAGCGAGCUGAUUUGUUGUCACAAUAGAGAAGAGAAGGCUUGAUGAACGAAAUAGGAAAGUUGUCAAGUAAGAAAGUCAGCCAUUGAAGUUCACAAGCAAUAGAAGCAAGUGCCCUGUACUCAGCCUCAGAUGAAGACCUAGCCAGUGUUGUUUGCUUCUUCGACUUCCAUGAAAUUAAUGAGUUUCCAAGGAAGACACAAAACCCAGAAACAUAUAUCCUUGUGUCUAUGCAUGUGUCCUAGUCAGAAUCACUAAAAGCUUUUAGUUGGAGUGCAGAAUCAUAGGGAUAAAAGAGACCCUGACUAGGUGUUCCUUUGAUGUACCGAAGAAGUCGAGUAAGAGCUUGAUAGUGAGAAUUAGUGGGGUGGCUCACAUACUGACUCAAUUGCUAGACAGAGAAGCUGAGAUCAGGUCUUGUAUUAGUUAGAUAAAGAAGUCUUCCCACCAAUCUUCUGAAACCAGUGGGAUUGUUGUAAGCACCAGAAGAAUCUUGAGAUAAAAUAGUACCCUUAGCAAUGGGAGUGAUGGCAGGUUUAGAUGCCAAGAAACCUGUGUCUGCCAAGAUGUCUAAAGCAUAUUUUCGUUGGCUCAAAGUAAUCCAUUUACUUGUCCUUGCCACCUCAAGCCCAAGAAAAUAUUUUAAGUGACCAAGAUCUUUGAUUUUCAACAAAUCAUGCAGAUGUUGUUUGACAAAUGUGAUUUAUGUGACAUUAUUACCAGCCAAAAUGAGAUCAUCUACAUAAAUGAGAAGAACAGUGAAUGAAUUACCAUGUCUCUUGGUGAAUAAGGAGGGAUCAUGAGCAGAUUGAACAUAGCCUAUGUGGAUAAAAGUGUGAGAAAGCUUGCCAUACCACUGUCUACUUGCUUGCUUUAACCCAUAAAGAGAUUUAUGCAGCUUACACACUUGAUUAGGCUUUGAGCAUACUACACCUUGAGGAAUACGCAUGUAAACAUCUUCAGUUAAUUCCCCAUGAAAGAAUGCAUUGUUGACAUCUAACUGAUGCAUAAACUAUUUUUCAGAAGUAACGAGUUCUAACAUCAAUCUCACUAUUGUUAAUUUUAUCACAUGUUCAAAAGUGUCAAAAAAAUCAAUACCUUCUAUUUGAUCAUAACCCUUUGCAACCAAUAUGGCCUUGUACCUUUCAAUAUUCCCAUUUGAUCUAUACUUGAUCCUAUAUACCCAUUUAGAACCUAUAGGAACUUUAUCAUGUGGUAGAUCAACAAUGCUCCAUGUACUGUUUAAUUCCAAGGCUGCAAGUUCAUAUGUCAUGGCAGUGAUCCACUCAGGUGACUUUAUAGCUUGCAGGUAUGUUUUUGGCUUAAAAUGUGUAGCAACAGAAAGAAUAUGAGAUAGAUGAUGAGGAGCAAUAGAAGAGUAUGACAGAACAGGGGAUGAGGAAUGUGAGAGGUAGUAGUAGUAUUUUGUGUAAGAAGAUUGCAAUGAAACUCAGUAAGGUAUAAAGGUGGACCACGAAUUCUUGUAGACUUUCUAAUAGUUUGUGUUUUCUGAGGAGGAGAAGGAUUUUGUGUUGGUGGUUUUUGGGGGAGAAGAGUGAAUUAUGUUUGUGUUUGUGUGCUAGAGGAGAUUGGAUAAUGUAUUAACUAAGGAGUGGAAGAUUGUGGUAAUUUGUAAUUUGAGAAAAGAGUAUUGUCAUGAAGAAAGCCAAAAGAUGAAGUAGGAGCCAAAAUAUUAGAAGUUGUUGCUUUGUUAAUUGAGAUGUAAAGAAAUUCAUCUUCAUAGAAGUACACAUUCCUUGAAAUAAAAAUCUCUCUAGAGUGUAAAUAAAAAAACACAUAACCUUUAACACCUCUUUUGAAUCCUAAAAACAUACUCUUCUUUGCUCUAGUAUCUAAUUUGGUGCGAUGAUUUAGCAAUGUGGAUGCAAAACACAGACAACCAAAAACUUUCAGCUCAUUAAGGUUGGAUUUGCACUUAUGGAGCAUUUCAUAAGGGGAUUUCUAUUGAAGAGUGAUGCUAGGAAUCCUGUUUAUGAGAAAAGUGGCAUGUUGCACAGCAUAAGACCAAAAAAUGUGUGGAAGAUGAGCAUGAAAAAGCAUUAAUCUAGUGGCAUUAAGUAGAUGCUUGUGUUUCCUUUCAACAACAGAAUUUUGUUAUGGUGUUUCAACGCAUGAAGUUUGAUGAAUGAUUCCAAAUUUGUCAAAUAAAGAGGGCGUUUGAAAUUCCAUUCCAUUAUUUGUUCUAAUGGUUUUGAUAAUCUUAUGAUGCUAAGUUUGAAUGAGAACAACAAAAUUUUGCAUUAAACUCCUUGCCUUAGAUUUGUUUUUCAUACGAUAUAACCAUGUAUGCUUACUAUAAUCAUCAACCGCGGUAAGAAAGUAUUUGAAACCAUGAAUGGAGGAAACAAAUAAUGGACCCCAAAUAUCCAUGUGUAUGAGAUCAAAAGGUGCUAAACCUUUAUUCAUACUGAUAGGAAAUGCCAACUUUGUUUGUUUUGCCAAAUGACAGAAAUCACAAAUUCUCUUAGCAUCAAAAUGUAAAUAUGAAAAUUCCCUACAAAUGUGUUGUAAGACAACAAUAGAAGGGUGACCUAAUCUGUAAUGCCACAAGUCAAAAGAAGAAACACUACAAGCAGAAUUAUUAAAGCAAGUUUUAUGCAGACAUGGUCUUGAAGGUGUGUCUAGAAUGUAGAGAUUCUUGUGCAUUUUAGAAUGUCCAAUCAUCUUCAAGGUACUCAUAUCCUGGAUCAUGCAUUAAGAUUGAUCAAAAAAUACUCUACAAUUCAAUUCAAGUGCAAGUCUAUGUACUGAUAUGAGAUUGAAUUUGAAUUGUAGGACAAACAAUACAUUGCACAUGACCAAUUUUUCAAAGAGCAUAACCAUCCCUAAAUGCUUAGCUGAAACAACAGAUCCAUUUGGUAGUUUGAUAGCAACAUGUUUAAUAGAAUGGUAUGAUACAAAACUACAAAAAUAAGGACACACGUGGUCAGUUGUACCAGUGUCAAGAAUCCAUGGGUGGAUAUUGCCUGAGUUCUUAAUGAAUCUGUUUCUGCAAGAGGUGUGAUGCUGAGUUGAUUCCCUUUACUUCCACCAACACCAUUUAUACUAGCAUUGUUGAAUAGGGAUACAAGUUCAGCAUAUUGAGCAGGACUGAAACUCAGUAUUGGUUGUGUGUUAGUCUCUGUUUCCAACAAUUCAUUCCCACUGCCUGCAUUAAUCAAAAUGGUACUUCCAAUAGCAUUAUUAUUGCCAACAUUUGCGCUCUGUUUUCCAAAGUUAGGUGGAAACCAUGUUUGUAGUAACAAACAUCAACUGUAUGUCCUUCUUUGUCACAAUAUGUGCAAACUUUGGUAUUACUAGUCCUAUUCAAAUCGUAGCCUCUUCGAAAGCCUCUUCCUCUAAACUUUCCAAAGGUAUUACAACUUCCAAGAUACCUUUCCAUUGUCUUGCGCAUGUGGUCUAAAACUUUAAGAUUUGGAUAGGCAUAUUGAAACAGUCUUGAGUAUUAUUCUAAUUAAGGAUUGCAAACGUUAAGUUCAAUAAAUUGAGAAGAUUAUAUUUAGAAAUAAUCCAUAACAACAAAAUUGAAACUUUUAGAUAAGAUGAUAAAAACUUUAAGAAAAAAUAAUGUGGACCGACAAUAAUUUGACAUUAUAUAUCAAAGAGGAUUUCAAUUUAGUACAUAAUUUGCAUGGUGCAAACGAUAGAAUGAACAUUAAGAUAGAAUGAGUCUUAUAUUAGGUCUAACUAAUUUAGCCAAUUAAAUUAUUCAAUAAAAUUGAAUAUGACUUUAUAUAAAUUAAUGAUUUAUAUAUAAAAUUAAUGAUUAUGAAUAAAAUUAUCUCAAUAAAUGUUAGAGAGGACCCUUACUUUAAAAUUUCAAUAUUUUAUAUUUGUUAUGUCAACGGAAACUUCUUUAUCAAUCCAAACAAAACCAUCCAUCACAAGCAGUCAUCUUCCGAUUUUUAUCUCUCCUAUUCAAGAUCUGUAACACCGUGUUUUUUUCGAGCACUUUAAGUAGUUAAUUAUUAAUGAAUUACUUAUAGAAAUAAAUCAGUAAUUUUUUAGGCUAAACCUCGGUUGAGUUUUAGUCUUGUAUUAUAAUAUACUAGCUUGCCCUAUUUUUCAAGAUUUUUUGAGAAUAAAAGUUCCCGAGAUGAUUUCGGGUCGUUUUAUCGAGUUUUCGCCCAGUUUUUGAGUUUCGUAACUCGGAAUCGAAUUCCAAAUUUUCCGUUAGCUUCGAAAUAUUAUUGCUAGUCAAAAUAGACAUCAAGUUUGUCCGAAACUCAUCUCUAGUUAUUUUUCACCUCGAAAUUCAAGUUUCGACGUUUCGGGUAAAAACCUAAAUCGUUAGAUCAUAUAUUUUCGGACAAAGUGACCCGGUAAUACUCAGGCAUGACUUCAAUUUCGAAAUCACACCACAUCAAUCAAGUCGGAGUAUUAAUCACAUCAUGGGUCAAUGGCUUGUCAACCAAGCAAAGUCAAAGCUUCCAUAAUCCCCUAAAUCACUCACCAAAUCUCCUCACUCCACCACCAUUAGACACAUCACCUAAACUAGCCUAAAGCUAAAUUGCCUCUCAUUAAUUUUCAGAUUUGAGAGAGGGUGAUGCUCUCCUAUAAAUACGUCACCCCAUCAUCUCAUUUUUACAAUAAUUUUCCUAAAGAAAGUUAAGGUAUUCUUUUUCUUUUUCUCUUCUCCAUUUUUCUCCACAUACACCAUGAGAAAAUCAUGAUCUCUUAGUAUGUUAUUCACGGAGUUGAUUUUAUGUUUAUUUUCUUUAAAUAUUUUGUAAGUCAUGACUAAAUGGGAUGAUAAUGAAAUCAUGUGAACCUUUGUGUAGUUUUUGACUUAUGUAGAACUUAGAAUUUCUUCCUUGUUCUUAGAUGGAAAAACUAUAUCUUUAGAUAAGGUUAGAUGAGUUUAUUUGCUUUAUAAAUAUUAGAAAUUAUUGUUAGUAUUUGAAUGUGUUUAAAGGUGAUGAUUUGAACAUCAAAGGAACCUUUAUUGUGUUUAAGAAAAGUUUAUGUCUAUUCUUGAAAGUUCAAAAUAUUUAUGAGUUUAGUUGAAAAAAUUUCAUUUUAAAAAGGUAUUAUGUGUAAAAGGUUGUCUAGAAUAUGUUAUUCUUUGAUUACCAAGUUAAAGUAAUGAUUUGGGAUAAAAGAUGAUUUAUUAAAGUCUUGACUUCAUAAACUUAAAGUGUUAUGAAGUUUUGGAUAGUAAAGUAGUAACAAUGUUAACUUAUGAUUUAUAGUUCAUGACUAUGAAAUCAACGCCUAUUAACCCUUGAGGUUAUCCUAAAAUUUGGAGGUGUUGAGAUGGUCAUGAAAUUAGUUGUGUUUUCUUUAGUAACAUAUUUUAAAUGAGGAGAUUGACCUAAAAAUUCUUGACUUUAUAAACCUAAAGUGUUGUGAAGUAUUAGAUAGAAAAUGAUUUAAAAGUGUUGAUCUUGGUUAAGUUAGCUUACUUUAAAGUAGUAAGAUUGACUUAAAAAGUCAUGAUUUAAAAGUAUUGAAUUUGUUUAAGUUGGCUUACUUUAAAAUGGUAAGUCUAGCCUAAUAAUCUUACUUAAAAAUGUUAAUCUUAAUAAAAAUGUUUUACUAGCAAAAGAUAAGUUUUAUGAAUAGUUAUCAUUACCGGAAAAAUGUAAUGAAGUGGAAAUACAUGUCUAGAAAAGUUCUGUCUAAGGAAAGACUUCGUAUUUAAGUGUGUCUUUAUGACACACCUCUCUUUCCUGGGAAACUAACCUAGUGUAUAUCCAUAGAUUAUGACAUAAUUAUGUUAUAAGUUUUGUUGAAACUUUAUUUUAGAAAGUGUCAUUGUGUUGUAAGACUUUCAAUGAUAAAUGAUGAUUCAAGAAAUACCUAACCUAGAAUCGGAUAGAUGAAAGCGAUUAACUUCAUUUUAGAUCGGAAGUUUUAUUUUCGCGUAAAAUUUUAUUUCGUAAGAAUAGUAAUUAUCAAAGUGACCUAAUUAUGUUAUUUUGAUUUUGGCGUGAUGAAGAGUUCGAGAAGAGACCCGAUGAAUUAAGCUCACCUGGAAUCGAUGAAACAAUUUGCACGACACACUCAAGCGAGGGAGAAAACAUCGUGACACAGUGGUGUCCGAAUAUGCUUCAGGACCUCCAAACUCCCUCACAAGUUUGGAGUUGUCUUGGGUAUUAAGAAAGCUUGUACUUAAUCAAUUGUCUGUUUUGUUUGGAUUAAGUACAACAAUAUUUCUUAUGCCGAAUUAUGUUAGGUUAUGUUUAUGUAUGAAGAUGACAUGAUUGUUCUUGUUUAAUAUUGCUCAAAUAACUGUUCUAAGAAUUAUAUGUAUGAGAUAAUUGUUAAAUUCAAGGCUUAAAAACAUGUGUUAUAAAUGAGAAAACUUUUCAUUGAGAAAACAAAUUUAACUAAGUUUUAGGCUUUUCUCGCUUGAGCGAGAAGUGUUUAGAGAAAAGGGGUUCUCUCGCUUGGGCGAGACAGCUCUCGCUUGAUCUGAAAUAUGCACAAAGAAAACUAGCUAUUUUCUUACUUAAGCGAGACAACUCUCACUUGAGCCACAUGUGCCUUAUAAAAAUGGUGAUUCCCUCGCUUGAGCAAGACAGAUCUCGUUUGAGCGAAAGGGCUCCAUACAAACAAGACUUUUUAAGUCGUCUGAAUGAUAACUCUCACAUGUGCGAGAGUCUAAUAGCACUUUUGCCAUCAAGAGUUCAUUCACUUCCAAUCCUAUUCAAUAAAACCUAAAACACCUUUAUUGGAGAUAAUGUUCUUUCAAUAAGUAAAUGUUGUGAAGAUGAAUGAUUAUAUGAAAUUUUUGGAAACGAUACAAAGAAGAUUUGCCAUAUCUAAAGUGAUGUAUGUAAAGAAUUGCAUGGUUAAGGACGAGGCCCGCAAGUGUUAUAUUAUGCCUGCAAGAGGCUUGGCUUGAGAGUCGUCCAGGGUGAUUCAAAGAUGGUUCGUAGUGGUGAUGAGAAGUAUUAUAUGCCCAUGCAUCGAAAUCGUCUGACCUUAAGAGGCUUGGCUUGAGUGUCGUCGAGGGUGAUUCAACGAUGGUUCGUAGUGGUGCUGAGGUUUAUUCUCUAUGGUUUAAAUGUUAAGACCAGGUGCCACUAGAAGCAUUCCCGAUGGGAGAUGUCUUAGAAUGGGCAAAUCGUUAUAAAAGAUGGAUUAAAAUAUUUAAUUUGCUAACUUCGGUUAGUAUGCAUAUUCAUUGUGAAUAAUGAAGUAGCGGAGAGGAAAUUUACGGGAGACGAAUGAGCCCCGAGAUGUUGAGAGGGACGGCAAUGGUGGUGAUUCGUCAGCAAAGUCUUGAGGGAGAGUCUAGGUGAGACAAGUCCCGUGUAUUCCUGGAUGAUAUAUUAUGUUGGAUCGGACAGUGCUCACAGAACAAACUAGACGAUCUCUAACAACCUCUCUUUGCAAUCAGGAUCAAUAAGAGGGAUGCCUAGAAAGUGUUUGAUAUGACACCGUCCUGAAUGGACAGUUCUGUUGGAACAUAUAUAUAUCCUUGCGAGGAAUAAGUUUUGGUGCUAUCAAAUCGACUUGUUAUGAGACCUGUACUCUCGGUUAUUUCCUAAUACUUAUUGAGAAGAUAAUGGUGUAAGGAUGGUGGACAUAUGCAUAACAUUCAUAUAUGGUAUUUAUCGAUAUUGAUUAUAAAAUCAUAAGUUAUAUACUCCAUUCAUCAUUAAUACAUGCAUGUAUGAUCAUAUGAUAUAUCUGUAUUUGUUCUUUGUCUUGGUGUUAUAUUCUGUGUAAUUCCACAACGUCAAUGAUAAGUUUUUCAAUAGAUGUUUUACUCUCUCACUUUCUGGUGUACUCGUAUACAUCCAUGUUUAGAUGGACAGAUUGGCGAUGAUUAGUGGCUACUGCUUUACCAUGUCCCAGGAGGGGGCAUGGAGCGUUGAAGGAAAGAGAUACACCUAUACUGGUCCAUGCGACAUGGAAUUGGAUCUUGUAUGUGAUGGCUCUAUGUUACAUCUCCUGACACAUUACGCAGCUCGGGAAGCAUCGUUCGCCCUACUAGAGCGAAGGUUUGUACAUUCUAGUCCAUCCGCACCAGCUGAGGCAUGAGGCAGAUUGGAGGUUGUCAAGACCUGGCCCCAACUGAGAUUAUCAUCUACUGACUCAAUGCCAAGAGGGACGGAAGGAGCAUACAUGGCUACUUCGUCGGGGCCUAGGGGAUACACCCUUUAAUGGAUUGGAAAACAGAUGAGGUGGUGUAGGACGAGGACGAUGAUUGUGUAUAUUUAAUUUGCAUAGAGGAUUCGGUGGAGGUUAUAAAGAUCUCUUCAGACUCGGAGAUCGAGGAAGACCCGAGUGAGGUUUCUAGUGCACCACCGGUCUAGGAGCUCCUUUCUUUCUUUUGAUAGGGAACCUGUGUAGGAUACUUUUGUAAAGUCAACGCACUCAUCAUUAUUUUAUUUUUAUUUUUAUUUUUAGUCUUUGUUUCGGGCGAAGAAUAGACCCCACCUUGUAUUUUGUAAACCAUGAUAUACGUAUUACAAAUUCAAGAAUUGAUUAAUGAGAAGUAUUCAAAAAACAAUUGUGUUUCGUUAUGUUUAGAAUUUACAAGUUUUGUACUAAUGCAAUAUGUUAUUAUGAAAUUGUGUCUUUUGUUUGUGAUUUUUUGUUUUAAAAGACAUUUAUGAAUUGUUUGAAUUAUUUAUUUUUGUCUAAAAGCUUUAAUGUGUAUUUUGAAAGAAGAAAAAAACGGGCCAACCUGCUAGUCUUGCCAAAUAUGGGUCGGGCUGACAUUUUGAGCCCUUAUAACAAUAAGGGCCAGGUCGGGCCAGCCCAUAUUCUGACGGGUCAAAGGCGAGCCAGGCUGCCCCAGGCUGACCCGUAUUGUCACCCCUAUGCCUCAAGGCAUGUAUCUUGUACCUUGGGAAUGAUAAAUUAAUAUUCCCUUAUAUACCCUGUAUCUUUAUCAUUUGGUUAGUUUUUAGUACAAGAUUUUGAAGGACUUUAUGAUUCAUUCAUCCUACAAAAUGAUCAACUUUCACUAUCACGCUCAAACUAGCCCUUUAAUGAUUUAAAAAAAAAUUACUUGUGGGAAAAUAUAUUUUUAUGUAAAUUAUACAAAUCAAUAAAUAUAACUUAUAUUUAUUUAUCAUUCUUCAUUUAGUUACUUUUGGUUAAUACUUUUUUAUUUUUAAUUGAUAGUUUUAAAGAUAACAAUAUUUCAAAUACUAUUAAGUACUCAAGCAAUUGGAAAAUAUAUUAUAGUCUGAGUAAUUUUUAGUACUCAAAUAAUUGGAAAAUGCAUUAUAUUUUAGUUGAUAGUUUCGAAAACAAAAUAAUGUCUUAUUAAAUUACUAUCAUAUAAAAAUAAACAUUAAGCGAUUGUACUAAUGAUGGAAGAUAGUAUUAUGGUACCAUAUUCUAAUUAGAAAUCUUAAUUUACUAAAUGAAAUAUAUAUAUAUAUAUAUAUAGUACUUGUACUAAUGAAGGAAGAUAGUAUUAUGGAACCAAAUUCUAGAUAUGUGAAUUAUAUGACCUUUUUGAGUAGGUAUUUUUUGAAAGAAUUUUAUUUAACUUACCGCUGAUAAUAUUAUUAUGACUUACCAUUGCCCUGUUUAAUGAAAACAUUUCAAUGCAGAAAUAAUCUUGACUGCUCAACACAAAGUUUUAUAGACUAAGCAAUAGAAAUUUAUGAAAAUUUAAGGUAAAGUAGCAUGGAAUUACAAUCUAUGUAAUUAUUACAUGCCACAACUAAGUAAAACAUCAACUUUGUUCACAGACGAUAUAACUAGACCAAAGUGUUAUGAAAUGAAACUAUGGGACACCUUGACAAGAGAAGACUCGCAUAAGUGGAGCCCUUGUCGCCUUCCCUUUAUUAUCAUUAAUCAAUGCUACAGCAUUGUUAUACAAAGGAUCCUACACUAGAAAUUUGCUAUGGUGCCUGUAUCUUUCCCACCACAUCAACUCUUCAGAACUUGAUGCUGCAAUAUUGCACAAACCAAUAAAUAAAUGAAGUGAUUUAAUUACCAAAUUUUAGACCAAAAGUAAUCUAUGCUAGUGAGACGUACUUUUGGCUUAAUUCUAUUAAUUGGCUAAAUUUCAGUAACUAGCUAGCAAAAGAGCAAGGAUGCAUAUACAGGAUAAUGAUUUUUGUCUCACAAACAUGUGAGAAUAGUAUGUAAAAGAGUAAUCUCAUGAAAACCCUUUUAAGAAUUUUAAUGAAUUUUUUUAUGGGUAUUAUUAUUAACCAUUAUUUCCAAAAACUCAGGCAUUAGGCUAAAUAUUUAAAUGAUGGUUGUUAAGAGAUAAGAAUAAUGUGGAGAGAAGCUUAGCUCCUUUCAUCCAUUUAUGGGUGUUGUCACUUUAUUAAUAUUUAGAUGAAAAACUUGACAAUUUCAUUAAAAAGGUAAAUAACAAGAUAAGGAAAUUGUGAGGUAACAAGAUAAGGAAAUUGUCAAAUCAUGAUGUAAGAAAUUGUUACAUAAAUUUCUAUUUUGUUCUUAAAUUUAAUUUUAUGUAAUUAUUAGGGAUUAUAAGUUCCAUCAUCAUGGAGAAUUUUAAUAGCAUAUCAUAAACUAAUUCACUAAAAUAUAAGUAAUACAGGAUAGCUAUUUAAAUCUACUUUAUUAUUUUUGUUUCUUCUUCCAUUGUCAUCUAAUUGCACACAAAGAGUUGAUAGACAAUAUGGUGUUUUGUAUAAAGAAUAUUUUUCUAUUUUUAAAAAAUUAUACAUCUACUCAUUCUUUAUAAAAUCAUAUUGUGGAAAUUAAUGUGAAUUAAAAUAAAUUGAUUAACAUGGUUAUGAUAUAAAUUUACAAUGGAUAGAAAUACCAUACGUAUUACAGUUGGUGGAGGUGCUGAUCUUGUAAGGGAGAUUGACCCCACAUUUGCCCGGGAGUGAUGCUGCAUUCUCCGGAUUGAAUUGGGUCGAAGCAGCCACUGAUUUGAGGCAAUUGCAAGCUGUUUGUUUGUCAGCGGUGCUUUGAGCCAACGCCACGAGUCCCUUGACUCCGUUGCAGCAUGUUCCAGGAACAGCUCCACCGGACUGCAGGUAAGUGAGGCAUGGAGCUAGGCUACUAACAACCUGUCCACAUGUUAUGGUAGCCUGUGCAAUGGGUGCACCCACCACUACCAUGCACAUUAGAACCAUACAUGCUACCUUAAUGCUUGCCAUUACUUUACAAACUAAUUUACAGUGUAUUUGCUUUUAUAUAUUGCUUACUUUACUUGGUGAGUAUAUACCAUGCAGGGUUAGGGGUUUAUAUAGAAAACAGAAGAGGAGUUUUAUGAAAUGAGAGGUUAUAACAUAAUCCUGCACUAUAAAAUGGACGGUGGCCUAAGCCAAUCCACAUUAGACACGUGGUUUAUGUUGAUAGAUAACCUAGAAUAAGCUGCGAAACUAAUGUGAGCAGUCAUUUGAAAUAAAAAACAGAGAGACGCUACUGCAACAAUUUGCUUCAUUCAAAUAAAAAAAAGGUUAUUCAUACAAUCUUCAUUCCAAUAAAAAUUUAAAAUAUUACUCAUGUAUAAUUUUUAAUUAUAUUUAAGAUUUAUAUGAUAUAUAAUAUUUAAUAACAUUAUAUAUUGGACGUCGACCGCUAAAUAUAAUUUUUAUCUUUUAUUCAAAUUGAGGAUCAACUAUAUAUAACAUUAAGUAGCACAUAAAUAGUUUUAAUUCGUAACACAUAAUUUAUGAUUAUUGUUUAUUAAGAGGAUAAACUACAAAGGCUUUGAUUAUGAUUUAUUAAUCGUAUAAAAGUUAUCCUAUGCGAUCUAAGAUCUUAUUUGAUAUGAAGCUCAUGAUUGUUACCAAAGAUGCAUGUGACAGCAAUGGAUUUGUUAGCAGUUGGGUCCCAAUAAAUGCUCUAUAGUGCAUCCCCUUGCCUUUGAGCACUUAGCCAAACAUUUACGUUAGAUUUAUUGCCCAGCACCAAGUUUAUCUCAAUUUCUCAACUAUAUAUCUCUACCUUGAUUUUUACAUUUGUACAACUUCCUUAACGGAAGAAGAAAUAUUCCAACACGUUCUCUUUGGUGCCUUUUUUUCUUCUCUUUUGUGCAAUUAAGUUAAACAAAACAUGAUAUAUUGUAUAGACAAGUCUAAAUAAUAUACAAAUCAAUGUAUCUUUAUUAACUUUUGUUACAAAAUGCAUCAACAAUUCUAAAGAAAUAUUGUUUAAAUCGCUCUUAUAAUAUAGUGUAACGAACCAAAAAUAAUAAAGAAAUAUUGACUCAUAUAUUAUUUGGACGUGUCUCCACAAUAUAUCAUGUUUUAUUUAGCUUAAUUGCAUUUAUCACAUUUUUUGUUUAAAAGUUUACACUUAUUUCUUAUGCAUGGGUGGUCAAUGUAAUGAAAGUUAAAAAAUAUGGGAGGUUUGUGUAAGUAUAGAAAAGUGAGGGGUGGUUUGAGUAAUUUCACUAAAACUCAGGAAGUGUCAGUGUAAUUUACUCAAAAAAUUAUAAUAUAAUUGUACGUCCAAUAUUUUCCCACAAUUAUUGAAACGUCCAAUAUUUUCCCACAAUUAUUGAAACCAAACCGGCAGAGGUUCAAAGGAAUGGUGAAUUUAUUUCUAUUUACAUUCUUCUAGAUAUUGUAUUUACUUGUUUGAUUAUGUUAGCUUCUAUGUUGACAUGAAUUGCGUCUAAAACAAGUUAUUUUAAAAAAAUAUUUUCAGGGCACAGUUAUUAUUAUUAUUUGAGAUACAUAAUCAAAAGUUAUUUACAUUAUCAAUUAGGACUUGGUUAAAUAAUAUAUUUGUUUUCUUUUUAGCAAACCCGGGAUUUAAGUCUUGUGAUUAGAAAAAAAUUCUCAUGACAUAUGUGGAUUUAUUUGGAUCAAAUAAAGUUGUCUCUAAUGAAAGAUAUUUGUGGCUAGACCAAUAAUUUUUUUUUGCAUAAAAUUUAGCUUAAAAUAUAGUGUUUAAUUAGAAAUUUAAUAUUCGAAAAUAUUAGAAGCACAAUAAACGUUAAAAUGAAAGUCAUUUAAAGUUGAAAAUUUUAAAACCAAUUAUUGGAUAUUGAAUUAGUCAUCAAUGUGAACAUAAUCUAUUACAUUAUUGUUCUUUUGUGGUUGAUCGGGUAGGUCGAACUGCAGGUCCGAGGAAGAAUUCUCCUGGGAUCUAGAUGGAGGUCGACAUGCACCCGCCAGUGGAGGUACUUGAAAGACUCUUCAACGAUCAAGUCAGUAUAAGUAUAUUGGUGGUAGGAAAAAGAUAAUAUAUCAGAAUAAGUAAUGAGGGAAUAGUAAUGAAUAAAGAUACUUCUUGUUGGGAGAGACUCCUAUUUAUAGUGGUUGAGAUGAAUGACGUGGAUGUAGAGGGUACUGUUAGCCUGGCCAACCAUUUUGGCCUGUUGGGGGCUGCUUUUUUCGUGUCAAACGGAUUUGGCAGGCCCAUACUUUGUGCAUAGUUGACUUGCCUGUGGCAGGUCUGAUAGCCGCAUCUCAAGUCUGUCUUUGUCAUGUUAGCAUGAGGGUAUGCAGAACUACAGGUGGUACGAUGGUACGUUAUUCGCAACAUGUCAAGCAGAGCUGGUCCCAAACCCAACCUGAUGAGUCUAGUCAAUGAGUCUGUGAAGUCCCUUGAUUAGCCAUGCCCGUGCCUUGGCCGGUUGGGAGGGAGGACCAUUCGAGCAGAUUUAACAUUCAGUUGAUCGGGAUAGAACAAUUGUCCAUGGUCUAGUAGGAGGCUCGGUAGCCGGGCAUGACGGUGGACUCUAGGUCAUCAUAAGGUCUCUAAAUUGGUUGAUACUUGGUUGGUCGAUGUCAACCUUGAAAUUAAGGCAUUUACGGUGCGGAUACUCGAGUGUGGCUCGUUGAUUCAUUUAUCGUUGCUUUCAUCUUGGUUGUUGGGCCUCCGUUGGAUUGAACUCGAGUAUUUUUGGACGGGCAAGAUGGGAUGUUCUUUCAUCUUUUGGAACUCCUUCACGUGAAUGACCAUGUAUGAAUCUGGGCUUCCCGAUGACGUCGGUGCGUGAGGUCGGCCUCUUACCAUUGGAUGAAUCUGGGCUUCCCUUAUAAAUAAGGAGGGUCCUUCCUUUAGUCAUUAUGUUUGCCUUUUUCUUCGAAGCUUCUUGCUAAAGAAUUUGCUCUCAAGCCGACCAAUUGUUCAUCUUCUUCAGACUACAUUUCUCAGGUAUCUUCUUGCUCCUUACUCUUCUAAUAAUGGUCUACUCUACCGAGCAUGAGCUUAGCUUAGAUAGCAUGGAGGUUUUGUCCUAGCCUCCACCUAUCUUCACUAUCCCUUCCCGAUGAUGUUUGUGCAUGAGGUUGGCCUUUGAGAGGAGGUCGAGUGAUCUCUCACUCUAAACCUUGUUGCCCAAAUGGAGGGAGAGAAUGGCGAGAUGGGGGAAAUACUGAUCGACCGAGCAGCUGCACUCGGGAGGGGUUGCUGGUAGUGAGUAGCGACUCUAGUUCGGGAUCUAAUUUUGUUCUGGUUGCAGGUCCUCUAUGAUGAGAACAUACACUACAAAGGCUGAACAGUUGGUCAUUCCCGCCGGCUUGGACAAACCUGGUGGUUGGUAUUGGUAGGUGGACCGGGAAAUAUUAGGGUUGAGUAAUCAUUUCUUGGUUGACGACCGACCUAACAUGAAUAUCUUGGAGCGUUCGGCGAACACCGUUGCCCUGAAGUCUCCUUAGGCUGACGACAGGAUCUGUCAGGAUCUCCUUGUCAAGGCGGGGAUCAACUACGCCUUCUAUAUGUAUGUCAUUUACUCCUGGAAGCUCAAUUUGUGUCUUCCUCUACACGAUUGGAGUAUGGACGUGUUGGGUCAUCUUCAAGUCGCCCCCUCUAAACUCCAUCCGAAGACCUAAGGAUUUAUCUGUGCUGGGUUAAUGUGUAUCCCUGCUGGGUCAACCUUUUCUUAUGGAUGUUCCGGGUUACCCAUAGUACAAACUCGAAUGAAGAGAAGGAGGGUCACCAUGAAUGAGUAUGUCUCUAGUAGCGAAACAAGCAAGCCCUAUUCACCCCUAUUGACCAGACAGUGGAGAAUUGGAAAAAUGGAUUUUAUCGGGUGACAAUAAAGGGGGUUUCACGUUAGUCGUGGAUGUAUAGCCCAAACAUAAAGAGUCGGUCCCGCUUCGCCUAGAACGGGGAGUUCCAUCAAAAUUCCAUCAAAAGGUUUUCGACCAGUGAUGGGAGUUUAACUGGUUGGGAUGCGGAGGCGUCCAAUGAGAUGUUUGGCUGGCUGGCGGAAGGUGCGACUAUGGUUUGCUCGUCCUUACAAAAUGGGGACACAGUCCUGGAGCAACACAUAGGUAGGUUGGUCGGGUUAUUUGGUGAAUGUUCAAUUAUUUAUUUUCCGUAUAACUAACCUUUCUUUUUUUCGUUUUUAACCGAUAUGAGCAGUAACCUGACAAGAGUCGUUUGAUGGCUAACACUCUUGGGAGGGGGCAAGAUGGCGCUUCUGCGAGUAAGCAUGCCCGAACCUCUUCUCCUUCAAGGGCUUCUUCCGCUUCCAGCCAAGGAUCAGACCUCUCCCCUAGACAAUGCCAAGUGAAGUUGCUCAACCUAUUCCCAUUGUCUGGCCAGCCUAACUGAUGGUCGACCUGACCAGAGAAUCCGUGCCUAACCCUCCUUCAAGGCAGGAGGUCCUCGUUGGCGUUGUGGUUCAAACUACUAAGCUUACUAGGCAAAAAUCGGUCAGGAAGGGGAAUGAGUCGACCACCAGUUCUGGCCAGAUUCUCUCAUCCUUUUGUGUUGCCAGGUCAGUGGAACAAAAUAUCUUGAGUCCUUUUGUGAGAGAGGUUUUGGACGUGAUCAUCCUGUCCGACCUUAUAAAACAACUCCAGAUAUGUUCCCGCCAUUCGGCUGUGAUAGCAAAAUAUUUCGAUGAGGAGGGGGUCCUACUCAACCGGUUGGAGAGCGGCGCUCUGACCACUCUUCAAGAGCAGCAUUCUGCCGUCCUAUAGAAUUUAAAAGAGGCUUAUGCUUUAGAAUUGAAGAGUGUGGAAGCUCAGGUUAUGACGACCAAUGAGCAGUUGUCACUGAUGUCUUAUCGGCAAGAGUAUUCUCAUCGGCAAGAUUGUUCCCAUCGAGCGGCCAUGGAAAAACAUGAGACGUUGGUUGAGAUGACCACUCGGGUUGAAGAGACCGAACUUUAAGUCCAACAUCUCAGUGCCAAGCUAGAGCAAUCAGAGGGGAGGGGGUAGGCUGCCCAAGGUGAAGCUGACCACCUUGCUGGGGAGCUGACUGCUUCGCAGGCUCGGGUGGAAGUUCUCGAAGAGGAGAAGGCACUUCUAGCCAAGGAGAAGGCCGACCAGGCUGCUGACUUAGAAGAGAUGGCAGGUUUGACAAGUGAAGCCACCUAUCUGGCCUGGGACAAUGUUGUGUGCCAAAUCUGCCUAGUCCACCCCAAUAAGGGUUUCUUCUGGAUGGAUAUGCAGGCCCUCGUCGUUGAUGAGGAGUUGGUGGUAGGGGGCUGGAUGUCGUUGUUAAGCUGCAGUUCUAGGUAGAAGUGGGUGAUAUAGAAUAGGUUUGUUUUGUAAGUAUUUGUAAUAUGCUAUUCUUAAUGAAGCAUUUUAUUUGAGGGAUUGUCUUUUUCUUCGUACUUUUUGGUUGAAAUUGAUAAUAAUUGAACCUGAAUCUGAACAAGGUAAUCUUGACUGGAAAUAAUCCAAAGAACUUGAAUAUAAACAAGAUAACCUUGGUCGGAAAUCCUAUAACCCAAUAAUUAAACUUCAAUUAGAACAUGUAAUCUUGACCAGAAAUAAUCCAAAGAACCUUGAAUAUAAACAAGAUAACCAUGGUCGAAAGUACCAAUAACUGUGAUAACUGAAUCUUGAACUUGAACAAUUUAAUCAUGGCCGAAAAUAAUCCAAAAAACCUUGGAUAUAAAUAAGAUAACCUUGGUCGGAAGUAGCAAUAAGUCAAUAACUGAACUUGGAUUUGAACAAGGUAAUCUUGUCUGAAAAUAAUGCAAGGAUGUGAUGUGCCAUACAUAAGGUUGAAGGGGGACUCACCAGUUGUGGGAUGUGGAGCUGUUCGGUAAGCAUUCCCGGGUAAAUCUUGAUCCCCCUCAAAAUGAGUUUGUUGGUUCCCUCUAACUGCGCAUUGUUUUGAGGGUGCUCGAUGGAUGUGAUGUGUUGUUUGAUAUGCAAAUCUGACAAUAGUUCUUAAAAUUUCCGGUCGGAAAAUUGGGUACCAUUAUCUAUAAUGAUGGCAGCCGGGAUGCCGAACCGGGUGAUGAUGUUUUUCCAAGUAAAUUUCUGGAUAAUGGCCAAUGUGAUGGUGGACAAGGCCUCAGCCUCAAUCCACUUUGUGAAACACUCCAUAACAACUAUUAGAAACUUUAGAUUGUCGGCUGCUUGAGGAAAAGGUCCCAGAAUAUCCAUGCACCAUGUACAAAAUGGCCAAGGAGCUAGUGUGGUAGUUAACUCUUCUGGUGGGGCUUUAUGGAAGUUGACAAAUAGUUGGCAUCAGGCGCAUUUCUUGGUUAGAUCAUACACAUCCUUCUCCAUAGUUGGCCAGAAAAACCCAGACUGCAAACCUUUCUUUGCUAGGGAAGCUGCAUCGAGCCGGUGUCCAUAACUUCCCUCAUGGACCUCUAUAAGGACAUAUUGUAUCCUAUCAAGGCUGUGGCAUUUAAGGGGAGACCAGAAAAACCUCAGCGAUAUAAUGAUCACUAGGCUAGAGUGUAACAAGAACAACAAUAAGGAACCUCUAUCUUUCCUUCUAGUCGGUAGGCAGAUCACAAUGCAGAAGGUAUUUGAUGAACGUACUCAUCGAAUCAUCUAAUAAGAUGGAGAUUUGUUCAAUGGCCAUGAUACUGGGUUUGAGGAUAGUCCCUUCGAUGACAGACUAGUUGCUUCCCGGGCUCUUAGUGCUAGCUAGUUUAGACAAAAUAUACCCGAGCAUUUUGUCCCCAAGAAAUAUGUUGGAUGGUUGCAUCUUCGAACAUAACCAUAAACUCCUCCACCUUUACCAAGUACUCAUCCAAGAGUGUGUCUUGCUUUGGUAAGCACUAGUUAUCUAUGAGACUGCCAACUAGGAAUCACUACAGGUAGCAAUUAUUUCAGCCCCAACCUCAAACUUGGCCUGGUUGUUGGAGGUUCAUAAGGUGAAAGUCAGAGAGUGCUCAAUGGUCAUCCAAUUGCCAUUGUCCAGUAGUAUUUCGGCCACACUUCCCUUGGGGUUGGAAGAUAUGUCAAUAGAGAUCAUCCAAGUCUUCCUCGGAUUGUCCGACUAUGUGGUUAAUUAGGAAACAAAGUCUGAUAAGACUUGGCUCUUAAUAGCUAUUUGAGGUUCAUACCGAAUGUCUUAAUAGCUAUUUGUGGAAGAUUUGUUUGAUGGGUUGGUUGGUUCUGACCACUAUUGGGUGAGACUGAAAAUACUGGCGUAACCACCUAGUGGCCACCAUGAUGGCAUAUAUUACUUUCUCCAACAGCUAAUACCUGAUUUUUGGGCCUUGUAGUGCCUUUCUUAUGAAAUAUACCAGACUCUGACCUUUUUCAGUUUCACAUAUCAAAGUUGUGGCCACGACUUCAUCGACCACUAGAAGGUAGACAUACAAGAUAUCGUCGGGUCUUGGCUUAGUUAGCACUGGCGGGGCGGCCAAGUAAUGCUUGAAGGUCUGAAAAGCCAUCUCACAAUCAACUGACAAUUCAAAUUUCUUGCUCUUCUUCAAUGACUGGAAUAUUGGGAGAGAAUGUUUGGCAGUUAAUGGGAGGAACAUGGAUAAGGAGGCCAACCAACCAUUUAGUCGUUGAACCUCUUUUAAUAAAUGAGGCCUUCUAAUCUCAAUAUUUGUCUAGGAUUUGGUGGGAUUAGCUUCAAUUCCUCGGCUGGUCAGCAGGAAGCCGAGGAAUUUCCCGACUUCUACACCGAAUUUACAUUCGUCCAGAUUGAGUCUCAUGUUAUACUUGUGGAGCUGUUAGAAAAUGUUCUGUAGAAUGGAGACAUGAUCUUCUCAAGGAAGGCUUUUGGUGAUCAUGUCAUCCAUGUGUCAACCAAUUUGUCUCCCGAAUACCUUGUUCAUCAUUCUCUGAUAUGUUGCCCCUGCAAUCUUUAGACUGAAUGGCACAACCGUGUAACAUUAAGCUGCUCAGUCAGUGAUGAAAGCAGUCUUUUCAUGGUCUGGUGAAUACAUCGGGAUCUAGUUAUAUACUGAGUAAACAUUCAUGAAGGAUAAGUAUUGAUAGCCCAAAGAGUUAUCCUCUAGAUGAUUAAUGUUGGGAAGAGGAUAUGGGUCUUUAGGGCACACCUUGUUCAAGUUUGUGUAAUCCACACACAUCCUCCAUUUCCUGGAGGGCUUCUUGACCAACAUCACGUUUGCCAACUAGGUGGUGUAGGUGAUUUCUCGGAUAAAUCUGGCUUCUAGAAGCUCGGUAGUUUUCUGAGCGACCUUAGUUAUUCUUUGGACCCCCAUUUUUCUUCGCUUAUGAGCAACUAGUUUUGCCCCUAGGUUGGUCGUCAACCGAUGACACAUUAGUGAGGGUUCAAUUCCGGGCAUAUCGGUUGUAGACUAGGCGAAGAGGUCCCCUAUAUAUACUAGGUUGGUCUCUAGUGGCCUGAGCUGUACAAAUAUUUUUUCCCCUUCUAGUUGUGGGCGGAACUCUCCUUCGUCAGCUCGGACAUCCAACUCUACCAUGUGCACACCCCUCACCCUUUUUCUUGGGGUGGGCCCCUUCUUGCUAUGUGACUAGGAUAGAGGCUCAUUUGAUAACAACUUCAGGCAUUAUGCUAGUCUCACCGAAUCUUGCAUACCUAGAGAUUAGAAGAGAGAAACAUCAUGCACACAUGCGGUGUAGAGACCACUGCUUCAAGGUGGUUGAGCGUUUGGUGACCCAAAAUUGCGUUGUAGGCCGAUUGGCAAUCAAGGACCAUGAAUUUGGUCUAAAUCAUUCUGCUUAGAGGUUGAUCCCCAAUUGUCAACCAAAUUUCCAUGUAGCCUCGUGAAGUUAUACCUUAGCUAGUGAACCCUACCAACUGCCAUCAUAAGGUUGUAGGCCACGAUCUCUCAAUUCCAUCUUCUCAAACAGAUCUUGGAACGUGAUGUGUGCCGAACUCCCUUGGUCGACGAGGAGUCUGCUGACCUUUUUGUUGUUCAACUUAGCAGUGAUAACCAAGGGAUCAUCAUGUCCUCAAAUGACACCUUCAUUGUCACGGUCGACGAAUGAGAUAGGGGGAACACUUCUACUUUCAUGUUGUGGGUGAGUAUCUCUUGUGGCCACUUGCAUGACCUCUCACACAUAUCGUUUCUGGGAUGAUUUGGAAGUGUCGCAUGUGGCAAAUACCCGAUAAAUAAUGUUAAUAUUAACCAGGCUCCUUUGCAUGCGGUUGUUUGGACGAUACCUAUCUUCCCGAUCCUUAUUCUAAGGACGUCCCUAUUGAAUUCUUGGAGGCUAACACAUCCUCAAAGGAUUGGGUCCACAUUAUGGAGGUGAGCGUCCUUGUUGUGCUAUCCCACCGAUGAAGUGUUGUAGGUGCCCGGCCUAUAUCAUAUAUUCAAUGGUGUCUUACAACGGGGUGCACUCAUAUGUUAUAUGUCUGAAUGCACUAUGGAACUCACAAUAUUUUGAUCGGUCUUGUGGCCCCACCUAUUUGUUUGGAUUGGGUUUUGGGAGUUGGAACAGGGGGUGGUCAUGACCUCUUGUAAGAUUCUAGAAUGGCGAGCACUGAGAGGGGUGUAGGUCGUAUAUUAGGAUUUUCCUGGUGGGCCUGAUAGAUCAUCUAUAGGGUGGACAUGGAAUUUGGGCCUUUUGGCUUCUCGUGAGGGGUGGUGUGUAUGGUGUUUGGAGAAUGGUCGGAUGCUAGGAGUCUCUUCUAAGUUAAUGAAUUGAUGGGCUUUGGAGCGGAGGUCUUCCAUAGUGUGGUCAAUGUAUUUGGCCCGCUCUGUUUUGAAGAGACUAUCUCUUAAACCCAUCAUCAGAACAUGGGUAGCCACAUUACGACUUAGGGUGCGAACUUUCAUACCGCAUAAUUGAAUCUGUACAGGUACGCACGGAUGCACUUGUGCUAACCUUGCUGAAUAUUGGACAAGGCUAAGGUUAAGGAUGACCUUGGCUGUUCUUUGCUGACUAUGAACCAGAUGUUGAAUGUAUUGGCCAGGGUGGACCACUAAUCGAUGCUUCCUGGUACCAAUCGUGUGAACCACUAUAGAGUAGUGCAUUUCAGGGUGAGUGGGAAGGCUGAACACAUGAUUUUAUUUGUUGCUCCGUGGAAGAGCAUGGUUGCUUCAAAGGCAUUGAGGUGUUCCUGAGGGUCGGAGGUUCCGACAUACUGGUCAAUGUUUGUUGGGAGGGCUAAGUGUUUAGCUAAAGGGUAAGAGAUGAUAUCAUUAGUGAAGGGGUGCUUAGUUCCAUGGAAGUUGUGUUCUGAGAGGUGGGUUUGAUUUGUGGUCUUUGUGUGUACGGGAUUUUUGUGGAUAGGGUGAGAUUCUCUAGCGGACUCGGUGAUAUGGGCUUGGGUGACUGGUCGUGAUGGUCUGUAACUCGAGUCUGGCUUUGACUAGCAGAGUUCCUCCAACAUAUUGGCUUGCUGCUGGAUUAGCCUUUCUUGCCUUUCCAUGAUUUGGAGGAGUUGUUGGAUUGUUGGUGGUGCCUGUUCAAGGUAGUGUGGUGGCUCCGACUACUUUGUUGUGAGGGUUGUAUUUAUGAUGGGGGAUUGAUGGAAGGUGUGUGGUGGUUGGAAGGCAUGUUUGUGGGUGUUGGUUUUAACUGGGUGGUGGAGUUUUCUUGAUUUCGGGUGGUCACCAUGGUGUAAGUAAGCCACAAACGGCGCCAAUUUUCUCCUGCAAUCUGGAUGGAGAUUGGCUUGGACCCGCUGGUGCAGGUACUUGAAAAGGCUCUCUGACGAUCAAGUCAGUAUGAGUAUAUUGGUGGUAGGAAGUAGAGAAUAUAUCUUAGAGAAUAAGUAAUGAGAGAAUAGUAAUGAAUAGAGAUACUUCUUGUUGGGGGAGGCUCCUAUUUAUAGUGGUUGAGAUGGAUGGCGUGGAUCUAGAGGGUACUAUUGGCCUAGUCGACCAUUCUGGCCUUUCGGGGGCUGCUUUUCCGUGUUAGGCAGAUUUGGCAGGCCCGUAGUCUAUGUAUAGUUGACUUGUUGCGCGUGGUAGGUCUCAUAGCCGCAUCUCUAGCCUGUCUUUGUCGUGUUGGCAGGAAGAUAGGUGAAAUUGCAGGUGGUACGAUGGUUCGUUGUUGGCAGUGUGUCAGGCAGAGGUGGUCCCAAACCCAGUCUGGUAAGUCUGGUUAACGAGUUUGUGAAGUCCCUUGACUGGCCAUACUUGGGCCUUGGCCGGUUGCGAGGGAGGACCAUCCGAGCAGAUUGGAUAUCCGGUUGAAUGGGAUGGAACAAUUACUCUAUCAAAAGUGGGUGAGCUUUAUUUACAUGAGAACCACAAAAGAAAAAAGCACCAAUGCUACAACAAAAGUUCAGAACUAGAAUGGCUACCUACGUUACUGUUUAGAAAUUGGUUUCUUUCAUUGUUGUUCUUGAAGUUUACCACAGUCAUGACAUGACACUAACUUCCGAAUAAAAGAAUUAGGCGUAUUUUCCCCCAACGUGCAUGUUACAUUACAUCAUUUAAACUUUGUUAGAUUGACUUCCAUUGAUUUAUUCGUCCAACUACAAAUAGUUCCUAUAUUCCUAUACGUGAUUUUAAAAGUUGGAAACGGUCAAGACUGCUUGUUACUUGUUAGCACUAACUGAUUAUCACAGGAGCAUGUGAGACACAUGCCCUCUGAAUUUUCUAAUUUUACUUUAAAAUAUUUACUUUACCUUAUUUAUUAAAACAUUUAUUUUACUAUCUCAAUGCUAGUUUGAAUGUAAAGGAUAUUUAUAAAGCAUUUUAAUAUUGAUAAUUUAUUUAUUUUGUGCAAAAUAUAUAUCCUAUGGGUUUCAAUGAGUAAAAGAAGAUUAACUUGCAAUAUCAACUUGAACAUUUUAUUAUUAACGUUAUUAGUCAUUCAUUUUAAAGAACCUCUUAAUCAUCUCUAAAUUAAGUGUAGAUUUUACAAAAAUGGAAAACGUACAUGCAUAAUACUUGCUUAAUGAUGUUAUUUGUCUUAUUAUCUAUUUUGAUUUCUAAAACUAGUAGAAAGAGAUCAUUUUCAGGAAUGAAGACAAUCGAUAUAAGAUUACAUAGUAAGAUGAAAGAUGAAUUUCUUGUAGGUAACAUGCAGAUUUAUAUUGAGAAUUAAUAUAUUAUUCUCACACUUUAAAAUAAUUAUAUAUGCUUCUUUAUAUUUUAUUGUUACUCUAUUAAUUUUAGUUAUAAAUGUAAUUAAAUAUGGUUGAUCCCUCUAAAAUUUUGGUCAAGACCCGCUAGUGCUUGUUAGAGACCUAUUAUAUGGUGUAUAAUAGUUCAUAGUAGAUUUUUUCAUAAACAUAUCAGACUAAGGUUUUUUUUAAAAAAAAUAUAUUUAGCCUAAUAGGUAAGACUCUAGUCCAUCUAAAAUAUCGAUUAAGUUUGAGUUUGAGUUUCAUGAUUUGUCCUUUACUUUACAAACAAAUAUAUUUGCUUAUGAUAAUGAUCAUAGACAAUAAAUAAUAUAACUUUAUUUCAUAUCAUACAUACUAAGUUUCUACAAAUAUGGUAUACUAUUGAGCCAAAUCAAAAUAGUUUAAGAGUUGAUGUCUAUUCAUUAAUUAAACACACCAUUCAUUUUGUUUAAUAGAUUGCACCCAUCUCCCUUUUAGGGUGGCCAAUGUAAUAUAUGUCUAGAAAUUAGUGGUUGUUUGUGUUGGUGCAAAAAUGGAGGUGUUUUAUGUUAGUGUAAUUUAAUAUGUAAAAAAUAAAAAUGUAAGUUACUUGUUGAUGUUAGAUAAACAUAUUUAAAUACAGAUCUGUCAGUUAUUUAAACAACGACUUCUCGCUAUUUAAAGGAAGACUUAUUAGCCUAUUUAAAGUAAAACGUCUAGAUCUUAAAAUGACCAAAAAGUCAAGGGUUCGAUUCUUGGGAACGACACUUAUUGGGAGGGACAACCAUGCACCCCGAAAUGGAUUAGUUCCUUACCUAAAAAUGUAUAAAAAUGUGAGGGGAUACACAUGGUAGUACAAAAAAUGUCUUAUAACAUAAUAAACCUUUAAAGAGGAUUAUAGGUUAGACUAGACUUUUACAUAAGUAAGGGCUUAAAGCCUUGAUUGUUUUCUAAACAGUUAAACAUGUCAGAUUUAGUCUAGUAUAUAUAUUAUAUUGACUGAGUUUGUUUAAGGAAAAGUCUUUGCACUAGUUUUAGCCUAUAUGUAGACACACAUUAAAAACUACUACAAUAUUAAUCUUAUAACUGAUAACAUGGUGUUUAAUGUCUUAUUGUUAGGGCAGAUUUAUGUUUAGUACAAACAAUGUUUAAGUGGAAAGUUUGAUUCUCCUUUAUUUUUCUGUUUGUGAAUGGGAAUGUAGUGCAUUUUAUUAUGAUUAUUAUUACUAUGGUUAUGAUUGAAUUAAAAAAUAAAUUCACCUAAUUUCCCUUAUUAUUCAGAUAAAUGAAUGGUAGUAGUACCGAUGGAGCAAGAGGAGUACAAGAAGGAAAAAUAUAUGCAAAAAUAGCAAAAAGAGAAGACUUUUGCGGUAUGAAUAGACAUCACAAUUAUGCAGCCUCAAUAGUCCCUUUUUGCCACUUAUAAUUAGAAAAAAGUUUCUAUAUGGCCCAACACGAUCAUAGCAAUGAUAUGCCAACUAUUAUGCAUAGAUAUGCCAUCUCUAGCGCCUAUAAAUUGAGAGCUUGCUUACCGGGAAAUAGGAGUAUAUAUCUAUCUAAUGGCUCAAUACUCACUAUCCAUACACACCCGAUUCUUAAUUUAUAUUCAUUCACUAAUGAUUAUUCCACACAAUAACCUUAAAAUUACAAAAAGCUAAUAUCUUAAUCAAUUAACCACUUAUGUAACAAAGCCCUAUUUUUAGCAACUUUAAUUCAUAUGAUUAAAAAAUAUGACUUGCAAAAUCAUGCCUCUAUGCCGAGUAAUCCAUGCAUGCAAGUUGGGUUAAAAUCCAACACCUCAAUUAUAUUAGUCGUCAAUGUCUUGGUCUAUACUAACACUUUACUAAAAGUAGUUAUAUGCUUAGCAACUACAAUGAUAAAAUUAAGUUUUAUAAACCUUCAAACAUAUAUCUAUGUCUAGUAGUCUAUGUCAUUCUGUUUGAGAGUUAUAAAAUCACAAGUUUAGCACUAUGAUACUAAAAAGUAACAUGCAUGACAAAUAAUAAAAGUCUAUGUCUAAAAAAUAUACUACUUGAUGAGUUAUGCAAGUUCAUAAUAAUGAAAGUAAGAAACUAAGGAACUUAUUCAAUAAUCAUGUAAAAGUUGAUCAAACUUAAAUCAAGUAUAAAGUAAAUACAUAACUCAAAUAUACCCAAAACUUUAUGGAUUAAUGUUGAAUCAGUGUAUAUACAUCAAACAUAUGCUACAUUCAAUCCCAACAGAGGAGUACUUAGGUACACAUUUUCAUACAAUGUAAGAAGAAUAAAGAUAAUACAAAAAUGAUAUGAUGGUAGAACCACCCAUAAAUGAGCCUAUUUUAACACCUAAAAUGCUUACACUUAGUUUCUAUGAGCUCAGUGAUGAGUUCUAAAAAACAUAGUAAAAUGUAGAUUACAAUUCGAAAUAAUAAAAGUGUGUCUUUUUGGCUUCGAUUGGAAGUCUUUAAAUACUUUUCUGAUGUUGGCUUCUGCGCUCAGCGCACCGCCUAAGCACUGAGCGUGGCUUCAAGCUGGCUAGGCCAGAUGUUUGGACGCACUAAUGUGCACAGAGCAUGACUAUAGAUGUUGGGCACACCAUCGAAUUUACUCAGCACAAUUUUGUGCGUUGAGCAUUAGAGUUUCAUCUAUUUAAGUUGAUUAAGUAGUUAAAGUAUCAAGAAAAUAGUGUGAAAUAUAUGAUCAAAUUGACACUUAAUAAACUCUCCCCAACUUAGAAUCUUGUUUGUCCCCAAACAAGAGUCCAAGCUGAGUGUUUAAAAAAAAUAUAUGCUAGGGCUUAUCAAGUUGGACUUACACAUUAAGUUUUGUAGCAUACACUCAAGAACAUGUUAUUCACAAAAAGUAGGCAAGUGCACUAAGGAAUUUCAAACUCAAUAAAAAUAUGAUAUUUAAUUCAUGUAAGUCAUUCCUAGAUACUUACAAAUUUUAAAAGUUCAUUAAUUUAACAAUUCAUAUGCCAAUAAAUCAGGAAGUAUGAACUCACAAGUAUUUUAUAGUAUUUGAAGUGUAUAUCUCUCAUAAGCAUGCAAUAAUCAAGCAACAAAGUCAAUUUUGGUAUUAUGUCAUGAUUAAUAAAAAAUAAAAAAUAAUAUGGAUCACUAUGAUCUUUCAAGGGUUAUAAUAUAGUUGGGCUACAAAAGACAUAGUUUUUAUAGAUACAAAGAUGUUCUAAUAGUUUAAGAGAGAAAUUUCAAACAUUACCUACCACUUCUACUUGUUUUACAAGGUACUUUGUGUCCCCUUUCUUUACUUUAUCCCACCACUCAUCUUCUUAUUUGUACUCUUUCAUUUUGUAGCAUAUUUCGUUUUUAUUUAUAAGGUGGAGUGAUGGUUAAGCCACUUCAUUUUUCCAUUUUUUUCAUACAUCAUUUCCCCUCUCCCAAACUUGAUUAUAAUUGUAACACUUAGCUCUCUUAUCCUACUAGAACUAGGACUAGAUAAUAAAUUUAAUCUAGUUGAAGGUUGCAAUAAACAAAUAAUUUAGGCUCAAAAGAACUAGCAAGGGAUAACUAUGUCAUUCAGAAUGUGUUUAGGCCAAGUGGAUUUAAUUAAAAUGUCUUGAUCAUAUCCACAUUUUUCUAUCAUCUUAGACCAUUUAGAGAUGCAAGCAAAAUCAAUAGUGCAAGACAUCACAACAUUUCAACAUUUCUUGCAACAUGUAUAGCUGAAAACUCACAUCACUCAACUUUCUCAUACAACCUAUUGAUUUAAAGAAACUUCAUGUUAUUAUGUUAAAUUUUAUAAGAGUUAUAGUGACUAAGGCUGGCUUAACACAAUUAAAGUAGCAUUACUUUCAGUAGUGUGUUAUUCCUUAAACACUUAACUCGGGCAAACUAAUCAACUAAGAAGCCAAAUAAAAUUUUCAGAUCAUAAAAAUUCCACACAUGUUAAUCAGAAACGUAAAAAAUGAAAGUGAUACUAUAUUGAUUUGCUAGCUUUCAAAUAUAGGCCAAAGGCACCCGCAAUCCAUAGGUUUUGGACUGUCCUCAGUCCAGAAAAAUCAAGCUUCGAGUCUGUACACUAACACACAUCAAAAGCACAAAAGAUACAAAAAUAUAAACAAAUGCAAAAACAGAAAAAUAAAAUGGAUUUCCUCUCAGGAAGCGUUCUUUUAACAUCAAUAGCUUGACGUGUGAUUGCUCAUUGCUCACUUAAGUGAGUAAUAGUGAUUUUCUUUUGGGUUUCAAUACCCACAUAUGGCUUAAUGUGUUGUCCAUUCACUACACAUGAUUUUGGAGUGGUCGGGUCCAAUAUCUCAAUAACCCCAUGGGGCAUAACCGUUUUUUUAUCACAAAGGGUUUGUACCACAUAGAUUUAAGCUUUCCUAGGAAUAAUCUCAGCCUAGAGGUAAAGAGUAGGACCUGCUGGUCUACUUGAAACUUUCUCUUAAUGUUCUUGCUCUCUUGAUAUUUCUUUACUCGUUCCCUAUAUAACUCAGAUUAAUUGUAGGCGUAAAGCCUGAAUUCCUCUAAUAUGCAUCUGAGUUAUUCUUUUAUCACCAGCUAAACAUUCAUCAUAGUUUAAGAACUUUAUUGCCCAAUAAGCCUUAUGGCCCAGCUCCAUGGGAAAAUAAUAAGAUUUCCUACAAAUAAGCUGAAAGGGGUACACCUAAUAGGUGUUUUGAAAGCUGCCAAAUAUGCCCAAAGAGGAUUGUCCCGCUUAAGGGACCAAUCCUUCCAAUGAGGAAACAAUUUUCGCACGGAUACGUUUAACAUCUCGAUUGGAUACCUCAUCUUGCCUAUUAGUUUGGGAUGAUAAGAUGAAGCAACCUUAUGUUUCAUCCCAUAAUGAGUGAAAACCUUGGCAAGCUAGGCAAUACAGAAGUGAGAGCCUUCGUCACUGAUGAGGACUCAUAGUGUACCAACGAGGUUAAAAAUAUUCCAAUUCAGAAAUUUGAUAAUCGUUUUGCCAUCACAAGUGGGAGAGGCUAUUGCUUCUAUCCAUUUAGACAUAUAAUCUACCCCCACAAGGAUAUACAAGUUAGAGUGGGAGGAUAGAAAUAGACCAAUAAAAUCUAUUCCCCAAUAAUGAAACACAUCAAAUUCUAUGAUAUUCCUGAGCGACAUCUCAUUAUGCCACCUAAUGCCCACAGUACACUGGCAUGCAUCACAAAUUUACACAUGGAAUUAUACAUGCCUAAAGUUUGCGGGCCAAUAAAACCCAGAUUGGAGGACCUUAGCUGCGGUCCUCUCACCAUUAUAAUGCCCCCAUAGGGCGAGUUGUGGCAAUACCAAAUGAUACUCUUGGAUUCAUCUGGGCCUAUGCACCUGCGCAAUAGCCAGACAUCCCCUAUUCUGAAAAAACGAGGAUCAUUCCAUAAGUAGUGAGUGGCAUACUGGAGAAACCUUUUCUUUUUCUGAUAAUCUAAGUUAAGAAUGAUCCAUGACGCCUUAUAAUUGGCCAUGUCGGCAAAUGAUGGCCUUUCAUGGAUAUCAAAAUGUUUCAAAUCAGAAAACGCAUCUAUGAUUUCCCUCUCUCUAGUACUCACCUCAGAAUUGACCAACCUCAAACGAUGGUCAUCAAUAAUAUUCUCUUUACCGCUUCUGUUCUAUAUAUCCAAAUCAAACUCUUGAAGCAACAAGACCCAGUGGAUCAGUCACGGUAUAGAAUCUGGCUUAGUCAAUAAAUAUUUUAUGCUGACAUGAUCAGUGUAAAUUACAACCUUAGAGCCUAAGAGGUAGCUUCAGAACUUUUCUAGUGCAAACACUAAAAGCAGCAAGUCUUUUUCAUUAGUUGCAUAAUUGCAUUAUGCAACAUUUAAAACCUUGCUCGCAUAUUGUAUGAAUGGAAAUUUUUAUCUUACUUUUGUUCUAGUACAACCCCAAUUAAAUAAUCGCUUGCAUCACACAUUAGUUCAAAAUUAGUGUUUCAAUUAAGUGUGGUGAUAAUUGGGGUGGUAACUAGGUUCCACUUAAGCUCCUCAAAAUCUUUAAUGCAAGCAUCAUCAAAAUGGAAGGGAUAGCCCUUAUUGAUUAAAUUGCAUCGGGGCCUACAAAUUUUUGGAGAAGUCCUUGAUAAAGCAUGGAUCGAACCCAACAUAUCCAAAGAAACUAUGAAUUCCCUUGACAUUUGCCAGUACUAGCAGUUUCUCUAUAACUUAUACCUUAGCUUGAUCAACCUCAAGAGCCGUAGUAGAUAUCUCAUGGCCCAUGACUAUCUUCUCAGUGACCAUGGAAUAGGACUUUAAAUAGUUUAAGGCCAAAUUGGUCUCAACACACCACUUGAGCACAGUCUCAAGGUUUUUCAAACACGGAUCAUAGAGACCCCGAAAAGAGGGAAAUCGUCUAUAAAGAAUUCAAUACAUUGCUCAACAAGAUAAGAUAAAAUGGCCAACAUACACCACCGAAAUGUGGCUGGUGCAAUACAUAGCCUAAAUAGCAUAAGUAGUAGGCAUAUACACCAAAAGAGCAAGUAAAUGCAAUUUUCUCUUGAUCCUCGGGAUUAAUCGUGAUUUGUUUAUAUCUAGAAUAACCAUUCAGUAAACUAUAGAAGGCAUGUCCAAAAAGCCGAUCUAACAUUUGAUCCAGGAAGGGUAAUGGAAAAUGAUCCUUCUAGGGGGCUUUGUUAAGCCUCUAGUAAUCAAUACACAUUCUCCAACCUAUACCCAUUAGUGUUGGAACUAACUCAGUUUGCUCAUUCGAAGGAACACCAUUUGCUCCUCCUCUUCGGUCGCACCGACCGUUCUACAUAGUUAACAGAACUUGAGUAAAUGAGAAUGUAGAUCUUCAUGGUUAAGUUUUGUGAAUGCAAUACCCAUGACUAGAUGGACUAGUCUAGUUCUCAUCUCAAGACAUUGAGCAUCCAUAGGUUGAUACCUCGGUGCAUUAUAAUUAUGCUCAGGGUAAGGGUUCAUACCUCCUUAACCACGGGCUCUAGUGUUUGGGUGUUGUUGCUCGUUUUUCAUAGCCUCUUCAAGUAUGGACUUCAAGAUAGUAUUUACUUCAUGUUGCUCUAUUAGUCGAGCAAGUUGCCUCUGUUCCAUUACUCGACGAUUAUUCUUUCAUGUGGUUCGUUCGAUCUCUGAAUCAAAUCUAAGUUUAUUGUUCAGAAUCUUACCUGGCAUAAAAGAAAACAAUACUCACAACAACUAUCGAUUGUUAGACAAAAAAGAUCAGCAAAACUUAAACAACAUAACUUAAAAUAGUAAUAUAAUUGCAAUGCUACUAAUCUAGACGCAAGUCCCAUACAACAAGCCCAUUUUCCUAACUUUAAAAUAAGAGUAUAAAACUACCUCAAUGUUGCAAACAAGUAUAGAAAAAAGGGAUUGUCUUAUCCACAUGUACGUGCAAGAUUAUAGCCUUUCAAUUUUUAAAUUAUUGUUUUAAGUGAGAUUAUGUUGGUUGAUUAUAUUGGUGACACAUAAACUAUUCAAAAUUUUAAUAUAAUGAGAAGGAGAGCAGGGAUUGAAUUUCAAACUCGCUAUCCAUGCACACCUGAUUCAUAAUUUGUAUUCAUUCACUAAUGAUUAAUCCAUACAAUGAUCUCAAAAUUAUUAAAAGCUAAUGUCUUAGUCAGUUACCAACUAAUGCAACAAAGCCAUGUGUCUAGUAACUUUAAUUCAUAAGAUUAUGAAAUAUGACUUGAAAAAUUAUUCCUCUAUGUCUACACUAUGCCAGAUAUCGUAAUUAACAACGACCAUUCAAUAAUGCAAUUUCAGCUAAAAUACAACACCUCAAUUGUAUUAGUUACCAAUGUCUUAGUCUAUACUAACACUUUACUGAAAAUAGCUCUAUGUCUAGCAACUACAUUGAUAAAAACAAGUUUUAUGAACAUUCAAACAUACCUCUAUGUCUAGUAGUCUAUGCCAUUAAGUUUAGGGAUGACAAUGAAAAUCAUACCUGUGGGUACCCGCCCGAACCCAAUUCGAAUUUGACGGAAAAAAUCCGAUGUGAUUGGAUACGGGUUCGGGUUUUACCUGAUUUCAACUUUCGGAUUCGGGUUUGAUACAGUUGAUACCUUACCCCGAACCCGAUUAAUAUAUAUAAAAUUAUAAAAUCACACAUAAGUAAAUAUAUGAAUCCAUGAUGUGUUGAUUGUCUCUAGCAACAAUAGUAAGAAGAAAUUCUUUGGUGCGGUUCUGAAGUCUAUUGACAAUAAUUUUAAGAAUCAGAACUGCAAUAAGAAUAAGACCAAGAAUAUCAACCGCAACAAGAAUUGGAACCGCUAGAAGGUCCAAUACGCUAAAUCACUUGCUAACAAUGAUUCAUGCAUUAUUAUUUUUUAUGUGUUUUGCUAUUAUAUAAUGACUCUUGCAUUUAUGUUUAUUGUUAUUAUAUAUAUAAGCAAUGUUAUAUAUAUAUAUAUAUAUAUAUAUAUAACCUAUAUAUAUGUUUUGAACGGGUUCUCAUCGGGUUCGGGUUACCCGAAAACCAAUAGGUUAGGGGCUAGUAUCAUUAUUUUUAACCCCACUUAAUCCGGGUUUGGAUUCUGGUGUUGGAUUUUGCCUUCGUGGUUGGGUAAUCACAAACCUGACCCCUAUCUAUCUUGUUGCCAUCCUAAUUUAGUAUGGUAGUUAUAAAAUCACAAGUUUAGCACUAUUCUUAGAUACUAAUAAAACUCAUGGGUGGUAGAACCACUAACUAAUGAGCAUAGAUUAACACCUAAAAUACUUACAUUUAGUUUCUAUGUUCUAUGUGAGCAGAGCUAUCUAAAACUUAGCAAAAUGACGAUUACAUUUCAGAAUAAUAAAAGUGUGUCUUUUUGGCUCGGGCUGGAAGACUUUAAAAACUUUCCUGAUGCUGGUUUUUGUGCUUGUUUGGACGGACCAAUGUGUGAUGAGCAUGACUACAAGUGUUAGGCGCACUACCUAAUUUGCUUAGCUCAGUUGUUGUGCUGAAUGUAUGAGUUAUAGAGAGUUAUCUUCAAAUGCUUUUAAUUUAGACCUGCAUUGAGUAGGGGAGUUCGUGGUCUAUUUGGAUUAGUUUUUAGGUAAAAGAUCAUUCUAUCCCAACAUGUAACUAAUAUGUUGUUCAUACUGGUCAAUUUAUAUUAAGAUGUCUAAUCCAAUCCUGUCCAAAUAUUAUAUGUGGUUUCAGCUCGAUUUGGAUCGAUUUUUUAUAAAAAAUUAAAAUUGCACAUACACCUAAAACUCGUAAAAAUUACCAAUUAUUAAGCAUAAAAUAGAAAAAAAUAGUUUUCAACAACAUUAAAAAAGUGUUCAACAACAUUAAAAGUAAACAACAACAAUAAUAUAAACAUCAACAACAACAGUAAAGUAAACAACAACAACAAUAACAGCAGUAGCAACAACAACAUCAAGACAACACUUAAAAAAUUUAGGCAAUAAGGAACAAUUUAGAUGUUGUACUUAGGGUUAAGUGUGGAAGAUACUUAAAAGGAUUUCACAAUUAAACAAUUUUGGUCUGGUAUGGAUCGGUCUGGAUUCAAGAGAUGAAACCGAAAACCGGACCGGAUCGAUCCGUCUUCAAUUAAAAAUCCUAUACAAUCCAAAUACUUUCGGGUUUUGCGGCUUCAAUCUAUUUUGAAUCGGUUUGCAGUUUUACUUUUGGACCAGUCUGGACUCAAACACCCCUACCGUUGAGUGUGGCUCUUCAUCCGCUAGAUGUGGCUCUAGCCUUGAGUACAAAUAUGAGAUGUUAUCCAAUUGGCUCAUUAUGAUCCUUGUGCUGAGUUUGCCCGAGUGUGGUCUGGAAACUUAGAAUUUUUUGCUUUUUCCUUCGGAUUAAGCCUGUAAAACACUUCAUAGAUGAUAUUUAGCCAAUUACACAAGUUUUAAUCAUAUAUAAGUGCAAUUUCAUCUAUUUGAGUUGAUUAAAUUGUUAAAGUGCCAUGAAAAUAGUGUAAAAUAUAUGAUCAAAUUGGCACUUAACAGAGCUCUAGGAAUUUCGGAUAAAUAUACAAUAUCGUAGCUAGAGACGUCAAAGGGACUAGAAAUAUGAGUUAUAUGAAGUAGUAAAUAUUUUCAUGGUGCAUUGCACUUAUUAAUUCUCACAAAAAACUUAGUAUUAUUGUAGUUGUAGUUUAUGUUAUGUUCCCAAUUGAAACAAUAAUGUAACAAUGUGGCAUUUACAUGUUUUUAUUGAAUAUAUUUUUUAGUUAUUUGAUUAUGCCUAUUUUUUUUUAUCACAUGGGAGAAUCUUUGGGUUCUCUUUUGACUAUAAAUGGAUUUGGGAUUCAUAAUGUCUUUCAAUUCUUUCAUGUCUUACUUCGAUUUUAAAAACCCAUUUAGUUUCUUUGUUUCCUUCAAAAGGUAUCAAGUGGCACCCAUGACUUUUGGGGUAUCAUAAUUACCUACUUGGAAUUGAAGAUAAAUAUCAGAUUUCUAAUGAUAAAUUAGUUCAUUAGCUGAAAGUUUUAUAUGAUGCCUUAAUUUAACUAGCUUGAGUCUUAUCUUCCAUUCUUUUUUUUUCCAUUGUUAGUAGUUGCAAUGACUAGGAAAACAUGAGAAGUGUGCUUUAGUCUGCAGCUUGAAAUCAAUAAGUAUGUUGUCUUAUUCCUUGAUGAAGGAAUAAUCCCUCGUAUUUCAACAAUAUAACUUUAAUUCUCUAUUAUCUAGUUUGUUGGUGAUAAUAGUUUGUUCCGAUCAGCGUGACAACAAUCACCAACCAACUUGACUUAGAAGGGGAGGAUGACCUCUAGCUACUCCAAUCUUUACCGUAUUGAUAUUGAGAUUUUUAUAGUCCAUAUUACUUGUUGAAUAGUUGUGUUUGCCUAACUUUUCUUAAUAAUAAUUCGUUUCGCUCAGAGUGACAACAAUAACACCUUUAUCUAUGUCGUAUUUUAAAUUUUAAUUGUUCUAAAAGAAUACUGUGAUAUUUCUUACUUAGGGUAAGCUUUUCGAGAAGUGUUUAACCUCUUUAACUAUCAAGCUUAAAUAUGGUUUACAAAAUUAUAGUGAGACACAUUUUUAGAACAUUCCGAAAACUUCUUAAUCAAUAAAUAAAUGAUAAUUUUGGAAUAUUGUUUGGAAGUUCGUAUUGAGGGAGGAGUUAUGAAAUUUUUUUCUACAUUAAACCCAUAAAUUCGAAACCUUUGUUAACAAAUCAAAUAGAAUAGUUUUAUUUUAAGUCAUUUUGUAAAAACCAAAGAUUGACCUUUAAUAUAACAUAUAAAACUCAGUGUACAAACUGAAAAUUUAUAAAAAAAAUAUAUUUUUGGAGUUGACAAGAUUGAUGAUAAAAAUAGUUAAUAGCAUAUGAAAAACAUACUAAUAUGAAUAUCAACAUUUUAAAUUAUAUCAUGUGAAAAAUAUAUGUGUAAGGGAAAAAUGGAAGAACACAAACAUUUAUUUUGCUUCACACUCAAUCCACAUGAGAGUUGUAUCCAAUCACAAAGUCAUAAGUAAUUAAAGGAUUUUCUUCUUCACAUGCUCUUGUUGUCUUGACGCCAUAGAGCACUAUAGUCACAUCUUUAAACAAUAUCAUUAUAGGUACAACAAUCGUUUAGAGUCGUGACUAAGUAGGUAUUAUUUCUAAAAACAUUAUGUCUUAAGUGCACCUUGACUGAAAAUUAGUCUUAGUGUACCUUUUUUCAUAAAUUACAUCUUUAGUGUAGAAUGUAAGGAAGUCAUGUCUGUGAUGCAUAAGUUCUAGUGUUUCCCUUGAAAUAGUAGUUAUAGACCACAUUUUUUAGGAAAAUUGUGCUCUAGAAGUGCGACUCCAAUUCUUAUCAACAAAUUGAGCCUCUUACACAUGUAUUUUUCGUUCACCUUUUAAGAAUUCUUUUACCUAAAACAUGAUUCUUAUGUUAUUAAGAGUUCUGGGAAAUUGUGCCUGUGAAGCCGUCUCCAAUUUUAUCAAUAAAAUUAAGCCUCCUGCACCAGAUUUUCAUUUUAUAUUUACACAAAAUCUCUCAUAAUAAUAGACAUAAACCAAAGCCCUCCUACAUAAACACCAAGAAUAACCGAGGAAAAAGAGGUUGUUGAAGAUUAAGACUAGAGGUGACAAAAUUACCUACAAUUCAUAAUCCAUUUAAAUUUAUCCAGUAGAGCUAAUUUAUCCGAGGAAAACGAGGUUGUUGAAUAUAAUCUAAUGGAUAAUGUUGAUAAUGAAUGGAUUCAAAUCGAUACAUUAUAUCCCAUGAAUAUCAAUGGAUAUAUCCAUUUGGAUGGAUACCUAAUUCAUCCAAAAAAACAAAAAUUCAAAAAUGACUUUCUUUAUAUGUCUAUUUCAUUUAAUAUUUAAUAAAAUUAAAUUCAAGCAAAUUCAUUCAUGGUUCUCACUCUCGCUUUUAAUAUUUUAUUAAAUUGAUAUCAAUUAUAGGACAUGUAUAUAUAGUUAAUAUUAAAAGUUUAUUCUUAAGUUCAUAACAUAUAUAAGUAUGAGAAAAAUGUAUGCACUGAUAGUCUAAGUUUUAUACAAUAUCACUGUAUAACUCAUUAUUUAUAUUUAAUUAUCAUUUACUCUUCAAAAAAAGUAAUCCAAAUGAAUUGUGGGUGAUGUGAUCAUUAUGUAUUAAUCUUUACACUAACAAUGCAUAAAUAUUACACUUUAUAAGUAUUUGUUGAAAACUUUACACGUAGAACCUUAAACGUUGCAUGAUUGUAGAAUAUUGCAAAAAAAUUACUUACUUUUAAAAGUUCAAAAAUUCAUUUUUUUUUAAAAUUGAUUUUUAAAUUAUUUUAAAAGUGUUUUUUAAAAGGUGCUUUUAUAAAAUAUUUUGUUGAGAUAGUAUUUUUUUAAAUAAUGAUUUUCUUCAAUAGUGUUUUUAGUUUCAAUAAAAAAUCAAAUGAAUUGAAUAUUCAUCCACCCAAAUUCAUGAAAAUGGAGUCAUGAAAGAUCAGAAUUCAUCCAUUAAGUUUAGAUAUGAUGAAUUGAAUAACUAAACAUAUAGUUUAAAUUAAUUUAGAUGGAUUGAUGAAUGACUUUUUAUCCAUUAAUGAACAUCCAAAUCCAAUUCUAUUCAUUUGUCGCAUUUGUCCAAAUCUAAUGAGGGUCAAACAUUCAAUAUAUUAACUCAUCAAUUUUUCAACUCAUUUAUAAUUUUUGGUCAUCCAAAUCAUAAAAUCAAGCUCUCCCACAUCAUGACAUAAUUUAUGUUUAAACUUUGUUAAGUUGAACAAUGAAGAAUAUUAAAAUUUGAAAAAUAUAACAUCAAUUGUGCUUCGAAAGUUAAUUUCAAAAAACGUAGUGCCCCUGCAAGUGUGAGGAUAUACCGGGUAGUUUGUUUUUUGAAACAAAACAUAUAUAAGUAAAUUCAUAUAUAUAACACAUAAUUAUGAGUGUAAUAUCUAUGCACCGAUAAUAUAAAGAUUUAUAUAUAGUCAGUGUAUUAUUCACCAUUUAUUUGUAUUACUUUUAUUUAAGAGUCAAUAAUAAUUAAAAAAUGAGUUAUAGAUGAUACAGUAACACUAUAAGAAAUACUUACACAGUUAAUGUAUAUAUCUUUUUAUCAAUAAUUAUUAAUGUCAAGAUUUAUCUUCUACUUCUACAAUAAAUUUUGAUUAAAAACUGUUAUUUCCCAAAAUAUCAGCAUAGAAUUAAUGAGUAUUAAAAAUUACUCAGAUUACAAUAUAUUUUCCAAUUGUUUGAGUAUUUAAUAGAACUUGAGGUAUUGUUAUCUUUAAAACCAUCAAUUUAACUAAAACUAACUAAUUAAACUAGAUUACUAGCAUGACCAAAAGGUAAAAAAUUCAAUUCCUAUGUAACAGUUGUUAGAGAGAUAAUCAUGCACUCCAAAAAUGAUUAGUUCUUACCCUAUGAGUGAGGGAAUAAUACAUUUGGUAGUACAAAAAAAACUACAUAAGAUAUAUCUAUUGAUUUGUACAAUUUAUUUAAAAAUGUAUUUUUCCCAUAGUUAAUUUUUUAUUAAUCAGUAAAGGGAUAGUUUGAGCAUGAUAGUCAAAGUUGAUCAUUCUGUAGGAUGAAUCAUAAAGUCCUUCAAAAUCUUGUGCUCAAAACUAACCUAAGGAUAAAGAGACAAGGUACAUAAGGGAAUAUCAAUUUAUUGUCCCUAAGGUAUAAGAUACAAGCCACAGUUGUUGACGCAUAUGCGUCAAAUAAAAAAUGGAGGGAUUGAUAAAGAUAUAUUCAUGGUGGAUUUCAUUUCGAUCUUGAAUAGCAGAGAUAGAAAUUGGAAGAUGACUGCUUAAUAAAGAUGGAAGGUUUCGUUUGGAUUGAUAAAGGAGUUUCCCUGACAACAAAUAUAAAAUAUUAAAAUUACAAACUAAAGUUCCUCUGUAGCAAAUAUAAUUUUAUAUAUAAUUAUUAAUUUUAUAUAAUGUCUUCUCCAGUUUUAUAAAUAAUUUAAUUGGUUAAAUCACUUAGACCUAGUAUGAGACUUAUUCUAUCUUGAUCUUCUUUCCACCUUUCACACUAUGCAAAUUAUGAACUAAAUGGAAAUCCUCUUUCCACUUCCUCAAUUUAUUGAACUUAACGAUUGCAACAUCAAUUUUUCCUAAUUAGAAUAAUACUCGCCCAUAUCCUCAUAUAUGGCACCCAAACAAUUUAGAGGUACAUAUUUAAUAUUAUUUUUAAAUUUAACAAAUAAAUAACUUAAAAAAUAUGCCUCCCCUCAUAUUUCAUUACUCCAGUUCUAUUCAAACUAACUUCAAUAUUUUACAACAAAAAGAAAAAACAUGUCAUUCCACUAAUAACAAGUUAGGAAAUUGGACCACAAGCUCCAACUCAACAAAUCUCAAAAGGACCAAAAUACAAAGUUCAACAACCAAAUUUGAAGUGUAAUUAAAAGGAAAACAUAUUUUUGCCAAUACAUGAGUUAUGCCAGAAGAAAAGAAUAUGAAUCAGCUAACAAAUUAACUAUGAAAUCAACUUUCUCUAUCUUUUGUAAUUAUUUUAUUAACCAUUGUUCUUCUACAAGUAACUAAAAAGCCUAAAGUAAAUGUUGAAAGUUUUAUAUUUAAUUUUUAAUAAUAUAUAUUUUUAGUGUUUGGAAAUCGACUUUACAGAUGAGCAUGUGUCCACAUACACAAAUGCUUAUGAGUUGUGGUCGAAACUUGAAUCUAUGAUUCAAAAGAAAACUCCUAGAAAUAAAGCAUCUCUUGUCAGAAGGCUGACGAAACUCGAUUACAAAGAUGGUCAGAGCAUGAUAUGCACUUGAAUUCAUUCAAGGGUCUUGUCAAUUAAUUGGCAAAGAUAGAUGAUGAGUUGCAAGCACUUCUGCUCAUCAGUUCGUUACCUGAAAGCUGGGAUACAUUGGUGGUCAGGCUCAACAACUCAAUCCUUGAUGAGAAGGUCUCAAUGGGCACUGUUUCAGACAGUCUAUUAAAUGAAGAGUCCAAAAGGAAAGAAUGGAGUACACCCUUCCACUCUGAAGCAAAUAUUGUGGAGAGACGUGGAAGAAGUGAAACUCAUGGGAGGAAUGAAUCUCGUGGAAGAAGCAAAAGCAAAUUUAGAGGUCGCCCUCAAUCUCGCAUGAGGUCAAUAACAUGCUAUUAUUGUAGUAAAGAAGGACAUAAAAGAUCUGAAUGCAAGUUAUUAAGGAAAGACCAAAAAUUUGGACAUGUCCAUGAAGAUUUAGUUGAUCCAAAGAAAAAUGGUCAUAAGUCUAUCAUAGCCAUUGCCGCAGAUGAUGAUGUUAUUCUCAUUGGAGAAGACAAUCACCUAAAUGUUGCAUAUGGUGAUUGUGCUUGGAUCGUUGACUGCAGUGCUUCUUUCAAUGUAAGCCCACAUGAAGGUUUCUUCUCAAACUACAAGAAAGGUAAUUAUGGUACUGUGAAAAUGGGAAACCAUGUUACUAGCAAAAUUGUGGGAAUUGGUGAUAGUGUGUUGCUAACAAACACAGGAGAAAAACUUAUACUGAAGGAGGUGAGACAUGUCCCAGAUAUACGUCUCAACUUUAUCUCAACGGGUAAGUUAGAUGAUGCUGGUUUUGUAAGCCAAUUUGGUGUUAGAAAGUGGAAACUAGCAAAAGGCAACCUCAUUAUUGCUAGAGGCUCAAAGGAAGGAUCUUUGUACAUUAUGCAAGGAGGAAUUUAUUCUGGAUAAGUAAAUGUUGCUACCGACUCCAAAGAUCUUUGGCAUAGGCGAUUAGGGCACAUGAGUGAGAGAGCACUUCAGAUUCUCGCCAAAGACCACCUUCCAGGUAUAAAAGGUCAAAUUUUAGAUUCAUGUACAGAUUAUCUGUAUGAUAAACAACAUAAAGUCAAUUUUCAGAGAACAGACAAUCCCUCACGGAGAGAUGAAUUACUUGAAUUUGUAACACCCCAGUCGUGACAUGCGACCUCCCAGGCCCAUGAAUAUACUGAGCGUGCCACCCAUUAAGCUUAAAUACUCCAUGCAAUAUUUUAUUCCCCUCCGAGGGGAGCCUUCCGCGACUCGAACCCGUGACCCCAGGGAUAAAUAUUCACUAUACCACUAAGUCGCUACCAUUAAGCUAGAUGUAACACCCCAGCUAUGACAUGCGACCUCCCCAGACCCAUGAAUAUACUCAACGUGCCAUCCAUCAACUUAAAUACUCCUAGCGGUAUUUUAUUCCCCUCCUAGGGGAGCCUUUCGCGACUCGAACCUGUGACCUUGGGGAUAAAUAGUCACUAUACCGCUGGGAGUAUUUAAGCUGAUGGAUGGCACACUGAGUAUAUUCAUGGGUCUGGGGAGGUCGCAUGUCAUAACUGGGGUGUUACAAAGAAAGGGUUCUAGUGUUGGAGGAACACAAGUAAGCUUACGUGAAGCUCAAGUAAGCUUACGUGAAGCUCAAGUAUCUAACCAUAAUACUCAAGGUGAGAGAGACUUUAUCCUUGGCCCUUGUGGUCUUGGUCUUUGUGUCAUAGCAUGGUUCGAUGACCUUAAAGUCGGAUGCAAGCUUGUAUUAUAUUUGAUUUUGUAUAAAAAUCAAUAUUGAGAACAUUAUAGUUAGUAAACUCAUCUUGGUUAAUGGUGUGAUAGAUUCUGUGAAUGCUGUAAUAUCCUAAGUAUAUAUUUGUUAAUAGUGUGAAUGUUGUGUUUGGGUAGAAUUUUAUAAUUAAUUAUAAUUGUGUUGAUUUGUAGUUGAUGUAGUUGAAAUGAAAUGACUACUGUUGAUGUUACAUACACUUACAUAUGUACAUAAAAAUAUAUUGGAAAGAUAGUUACAAUAGAAUUUGUUUGACAUACAUUCAUCAUAGAAUUGGAGGAAGGUUUGUGGCGGAAUAGAAAGAUUCAAGAUAGUAAUUGUAACACCGUGAAUUUUCUGCGUAUGUUUUAUUAAUUAUUUAUUUUGACAACGAUUAAUUUUAGUAAUUAAUCGGUAUUGAAUUAGACUAAAUCGUAGUUGAGUGUUAGUCUUGUUUUGGAAUUACUAUUGUUUGGUAAAUUUUCGAAAUUUUCUGUGAUGGAAAGUUUUUGAGUUGCUGUCGGGCCCAAAUUCGCCUGAAUUCGGCCCAAUAACAUUUUUUUGAGUUCCGUAACUCGGAUCAAAUUCCAAUUGCGUCAUUGGCUUCGAAAUAUUAUUUCGAGUCAAGAUAGACAUCAAGUUUGUCCAGAACGCAUUUCUAAAUAUUUUUCAGUCCGAAUUCCAUAUUUCAAAAUUCUAACCGUAAACUGAAGUUAGGAGAUUUUUAAUAUCCUACUGAGUAUUAGCCGAAAAUAAUCGAGCAUGGUUUAUUCGCAAAUGUUUCGCCGAAAAGGAUGCAUCGCUUUCAUGUAAGAGGCUUGCUUGUGGAACAAACAAAAGUACAUAUCCUCUUACACAAAAUCCCUUAAAUCACUCAUCUACCUCUUACACAUCUACUUUUUGGAAGAAACCAUUGGUCUUUAUCUACUCUCAAAUCUGAUUUCUUGUCCUUAAAAGCCAACACCUGGCUCCACCUAGCUUAGGAGAAAACCCUUGGCAUUUUCUCUCUACACUUUAGAAUUUUAAGAACUCUUAAGGUAGUUCUUCUUAGUUCUUCAUUUUGAUUUUUCAUCUUCUUAAGAUCUAACCAUUAGAUGUUUAUGAAAUUUUAGUAUGAUGUAUAUAUGUAUGUUAUGAACAUUUUCAACUGUUGAAAUGUUCUAAAAAUCUUCCUAACUCUUGUUAUGUUCAAAACUCUAAAUAGAUAUUUUCUUGAGCUUAGAAAGUUAUUUUAAAACCAUGAAGUCUUUGUGUUCAUGGAGCUGUUUUUAAGGUUUAAAAAUUUGUAUUUUUGUUGAUUUAGGUUAAAGGUGAUGAUUUUGAAAGGAGCCUUUAAAAUUUUUUGAACCAUGUAAAGUUUGAAACUUUUCAUUUGUUUUUGGCUUGAGAAACCAUAGCCUUGAACAAAUGUAAAAUAGUUGUUUUUCAGAUUUAAUGAUAGAAAUAAAUAUUGUAGCGGAACAUGGUUAAAGGUGAUGAUAUUUAUAUCAAAGGAACCUUUGAGGAUUUUUCUAACCAUGCAAAUUUUGGAUUAUUUUCACUUGUUAUUGGCUUGAAAAACCAUGGCCUUGAACAAGUUUAGAAUAGUAUAAUUUUUAUGAUAAGGUUUGGUUGUGUUUCAAAGGGGAUGAUUUUGUUAUCAAAGGAACCUUUAAAGUAUUUAAUGAUAAGUUGAAAGAUAAAAACUUUCCUUGGCAUUAGGUCUAAAUAAUGACCUAUAUGUGUUUUGGAAAAGUUUAGUUUCUAACUUUGAAAUCCAAAAUAUUUGUGGAUGAGUUGUUGUGAAAAAGUGUAGCUUAGGAAAUUUUGAGUUCAAAGGUUGUUUUAGUAUGAGAUCAACACUAACAAGAAUGUGUUGAAAUGACCAUGGGAAACUAUUGUAUAAAAUAUGGAAUCUACUUAAGAUUACUUACUUUAAAGUGGUAAGAUCAACUCAGAAGAUAUUGAUUUAAAAUGUGUGAACUUUGAUUAAGAAACUUACCUUGAAAUGGUCUGACUUAAAAAGUCUUCAUGAAAGUAUAAAUUUAGGUUGAGAUGAGAGUAUAAACUUUAUGAAAAUCUUACCUUGAAAAUGUUAGAAAUCAUGAACGAGACUUUCGAGGAUAAAUGAUAGUCCAAAAAUAUGAAUCUUGGACUGGAUGGAUGAAAGUGUUUGAGUUCAUAAAUGAAUUAAAACAAUGUUUUUACCUUAGGGUUAUCAUGUAAAAAUGUAAUUCGUGAAUCACUAAAUUGUUUUCGUGUGUUUAUUUUCGAAGCUUUCGAAGUCGGACAAUCAACUCUCGUAAAGGAAAUCAAGAGCGACAAUCUAAGGUGAGGGAGAAUACAUUGUGACAUAGUAGUGUCCGAAUCUGACACCCUGAUCUCCUAAACUAUCUCAAAAGUUUGGAGUUAUAUUUGUGUAUUAAGAAAACCCGUACUUAAUCAAUUAUUUUGCGUGCUUGGAUUUUGUACGAAUACUUUCUUAAGUUGUAUGAUUAGGAUAGCUUAAAAUAUGAAGUAUUGUGGUGGCUAUCCAUGAAGGAAUACCACUUGAGAAACUAAAAUGCAUCGGGAUCGAAAACAUCAGAGAGUUUCAGAGAAGAAUGGUUCCAAAUAGCGCUUGGGCGAGCAACCCCUCGCCUAGGCGAGCCAGCCUCGCUUGGGCGCACGUUUUUCAUCUAGGCGAGGGCAAGACAUCCUGUUUUGGGUGUUUUUGGCGCCUGGGCGAUCGUACCUCGCCCGGGCAAGUCCAGACAAGUAUUUUGACCAGUUUUUGGUGUUUUUUGGUGGAUUUUUAUCUUGAGCGAUAGUCCCCUCGCUCGAGCGAGAACCAUGCAGGAAAUUGAGUCUGUUUUGAUGAAUUGGUCGCUUGAGCGACAGUCUCUCGCUUGGGCGAAAGACAAACAAUAUUUUUGACUGAUUGCGAUUGUUUGAUUUCUUAGGCAAUAGCCCUAGCUUGGGUGUGAAGUGUAUUUACCCUUGGGAAAGACCGUGAUUCAGAUGAUUGAACCUGGUGCCCAAAAACGACAAACUUAUACAAAUACCUUUGUUCUUGCGCCUAUUUAGGGCAAGGUUUUCGACUUUGAUGUCGUGAUUAGGGCGAUGCCCAAAAACGGAUUACAUGAUACCACGCAGCGAGGUCGUCUGGCCGUAAGAGGCUUGGCCAUGUGGCCGUCCAGGGUGAUUCAGCGAUGGUUCGUAGUGGUAGGGAUGUUAUUCCUCUAUUUACGUGUUGACGUAAGAUCGGGUCCAAUAAGAAGCAUUCCUCUAGGAGAUGUCUUAGGUUGGACUGAUCAUAUAAAAUAAUGAUUUAAAGAUUUAAUCGGCUAACAUUGGUUAGUGAGCAUACUCAUUAUAGAUAAUGAAGUAAUGGAGAGGAAAUUUACAGGAGACGAACAAGCCCCGAGAUGUUGAGAGGGACGGAGAUGGCGGUGAUUCGUCAGCAAAGUCUUGAGGGUGAGUCUAGGUGAGACGAGUCCCUUGUGUUCCUGGUUGAGGUAUUAUGUUGGAUCGGAUAGAUCUCACAGUGCAAACUAGAUGAUCUCUGACAACUCCUAUUUGCAAUCAAGAUCAAUGAGACGGAUGUCCAGAAAGUGUUUGAUACGACACCGUCCUAAAAUGGGCAGUUCCGUUGUAACAGAUCGAUCAUAUAUCCUUGCGAUGAAUAAUUUUGGUGCGUUCAAAUCGGCUUGUUAUAGGACUUGCACUCUUGGUUAUUUUCGAAUAGUAUAUUGGGAGGAUAUUGGUGAAAGGAUGGAUGAAACAAGCAUAACAUUCAUACAUUGAGAUUGUGGACUUUGAUCCUCAUAAUAUGAAAUUAUAACAUCAUUCAUCAUUGUGCACUUUUAUAUGUGAUCUAUAUAUUGUGUUUAUUAUGCGUGUCUAUCUGGAUGUGAUAUUCCGUGUAAUUCCAUGCUUUCAAUGAGUACUAUUCAUUAGAUGUCUUACUUCCUCUUCUAUAUGUUUGUCUUUUAUUCGCGUUUUGCUCAGAUGGAUCGCUCGGUCAGGAUUCGGAGUUACCACUUUUCGAUGUCCCAGGAGGGGGAAUGGAGUAGUGUAGGGUAUUUAUUUUGGAGUAGUUUUAUUUGGGUGUCGAUUAGGUUCCUCCUUGUACUUUGUACCAACAUUUCAUGAUAUUCUAAUGAAGUAUGAUUCAAAGUUAUAUUGAGUUAUAUUUUUAUUACCUUUAGGUAAUGGUGUUUUUGAUUUUCCACAUUGUAUGAUACUUAAAGUGAUGGUCCGAAAAUGAAACGAAUAUAAGGAAAUAAAUUUUAUAUGACAUCAUUAUUAAAAAAAAUACCCAUUUUUGAGCGAGUUAUUUUUUUGAGUAAUUUUCGGGGCGUUACAGUAAUAUCUUUGGAAAUGGGUAGGGGUGGUUAAUGAUGGUGAUUCAUCAUGACAACCUUGAGGGUUGCUUGGGUAGGGUAGUCCAGUGAUGGUCCAGGCUGAUCCCUUGUACAUCAGGAUAGCCUUGCUUAACCAAGUGAUUUCUGACACCCCCUUUGAGUUAUAUGGAUCAGUAAGAGAGCUCCUGGUAUGAGAGUCACCUGGUCUGAUAGGUGUACUCGAUUAUUGUAUUAUGUCGUACAAGAUGACUUGUACUCCCGAUUGCUUUCCAAAAGGAGUUGAGUUGAAAAAUAAAAUGUUGAAUAUGGAUCCACAUGCAUUGCAUUUGAUAUUGAACUAGUUAGUGAUAUAUUGAAUAAAUAAUGUACCAUGUUCAUGAGAUUGAGUUCCAUGUUUGGAAAUGUUAUAUAUUUAUUUUAUAAUAUGAUCGUUUGCAUUGUGUUAUAAUCGUUUAUGUUGUAUCAUAUUGUUUAUGAUGUGUUAUAUGAUCGUUUCUGUUGAGCUAUGAUUGUUAAUGUUGUGGUAUAUUGUUUAUGUUAUGUUAUGAUACUUAAUUUCGAUAUAGUUCCACACAUUGUGCCUUAAAAGGAUAACUUACUCUCUCUUUGUUUAUGAUAAUACAGAUAACAAGCAACACUUCCUCCCCAAGAGAGGGUAGAUGACCAGGUUCUUAUUAGAAGAAGAAUAUAGUGUUGGUGUGUGAUGGAAUUUUGGAUACUAUAUUUUAGAAGAUUAGUAAAGGUGUUAAUUUAUGUGUUAUAUUUUUGUGUAUUGUGGGUGCCUUAUUGUAAGGAUGAAAUUAACUUCUAAUACCCUGAUAGGAACACAAGUUUUACUUAGAGAUACUAUAAGUUAUUUGUAUGUAUGCAACUAAAACUAACUAGAAAUGCAUUUCUAUAAAUUCCUUUGGAUCAUAGUUAUUAUAUAGUUGUUUUAGGUAAAACAUGUUAUCUAUGACUUUUAGUCAUGACUUUUUUAUGAAUGUUAUGACAUAUGCUUUUAUUAUGUUGCUUUAGAAUGACAAAACUAUUGGUAAGUGAAUAUCUAUACUUAGUCAUGAAAUAAGGAUAAUCGAUCCUUAGAAAUAAUUUAUCUUAUGUUCACAUAAUCAUAGAGAAUGAACUUGAAUUGUCGAAGUCUUAAAAAUAUAUUGUUAUGUCAUUUGGGUGAUUUUUUUAAUUAGAAACUCAUAAUUAUUAAACAUAUCCACAAUAAAUAAAACCUAUGAAGGAAGAAAUUCAUAGUCAUAAAUAGUUGCUGAGUAAGAAAUUCUAUAAAAAUAAUUUUUUUUAUUCACAAAAGAAUCGGGUUGUUACAUUUAGUGGUAUGUAGCUUAAUGAUAGCAACUCAAUGGUAUAGUAACUAUUUAUCCAUGAGGUCACAGGUUCGAGUCGCGGAAGGCUCCCAUUGGAGGGGAAUAAAAUACUACAGGGAGUAUUUAAGCUUAAUGGGCGGCACACUUAGUGAAUUCAUGGGCCUGGGAGGUCGCAUGUCAAGGCUGGGGUGUUAAAAAAGGCGCCUUAAUAUGUAACACCGCAGUUCUGACAUGCGACCUCCCAGGCCCAUAAAUAUACUAGGUGUGCCACUGAUAAGUGCCAAACAUACCUAAAAAUCAUACACUUUUAUGGCACUUAUAUUAAGCAUAAUUGAGAAAAACCAACUUAAAACAGUACUUUUUGUAUAAAAUAUCACAAUUUGGUAUAUUUGUAUUUGUAUUGCCUUUUUAUGUAUUUUGUAGGAAAUAAAAUGAAGAAAAGAAAAGAAAAGAUUCAUGGUCAAAAAGCAACAAAAGUCAAGAAAUUCAAGGUGCUCAACCAGGCAGCUGAGCGUGGAACAAGCCCCGCUGAGCUGACCUGGCCACCUGCCUGACCUGGACCAAACUGCUCAACCAGACAGCUGCUCAACCAGGCAGUUGAGCGGACCUGCUUAGCCGCUCAGCCUAGCACUAGACUAGGCCUGGCACGGUUAGAAAUAUGCUUGACACGGUCAGACACGAGCUUGGCACAAGGCCAAGCUUCUGAACAAGUUGCUCAGCGAUCCAACCAAGCUGCUCAACGGAGAACCAGAAUCCUGGCCAGAUCAGCAAGCACCAAGCCACGUCCCAAUCAACACGGUCAGAAGCUGCUGAACAAGGAGCUCAGCGGUGAAGUAGGUGCGCUGGGUAGUGCUUACUAGACUUGACUUAACCAUCAAGCAAACCAUGAAGUUAUCCAUGAUCUCACCUCAAGUAGCCCACCAUAGGCUUUUCAGAAGUUGCUCACAAUAGCUGGUGUCAUAGCCCACAACUAGCUUUGAUGAGUCAUGCAGAAGGAGAUGACUAAGCUACUUGGUCAAGGAACCUAACCCAUGCUGAAAGGUUUGGUCAGCGGCUGAGCGGUCCAGCUCAGCAGCUCAACGGUCUGGCAUGAGGCCUAUAAAUAGGAGGCCAAUUCCUUCGAGCAAAAGAGAUUGCAAUACACCAUUUCUUCAUAAAUUCCUCUCAAAAACACUUGAAGACCAGAAUUCUCUCAUCUUGGAAUUCUUUCUUCAUUUCUUAGUUUAGAUUUUUCAUUUUCAAGUAAGUUUUUAUAAUUUUUAGUUAGAAUUCAAGAGGAGAAAAGGCGAAGGCAAAUGAGAUACAAAAAUCAAUUUUGUAUUCUCAUUUGGAACUCAAAAGCAUCCAAUCUUCUUUGAACAAGGUUAUGUAAUUUCUACUUCUUCUUAAUUUACAAAAGUUUGGAUUUUAAUCAUUCAAGUUGGUGCUUUGGUUAAUAUUAUUUGUUUGAAAAGUACUUAAUGCACUUUUUAGAUUGAUCACCUAAAAAAUGAUUUCAAGUCAAAACUACNNNNNNNNNNNNNNNNNNNNNNNNNNNNNNNNNNNNNNNNNNNNNNNNNNNNNNNNNNNNNNNNNNNNNNNNNNNNNNNNNNNNNNNNNNNNNNNNNNNNGGUACUUAAUAAUUAUGUAAUAGGUAAUUGCUUCGAUACCAUUAUAUCGGCGUUAGAAUUUAUUCUAACAAAGCCAAGAUGGGGCAAAGAAGGAAAGACUUAUUCACAUGAUUAUUAAGAAAGUAAGUUGUAACUGGAAUAUUCUUGAAACCAUUAUACCGCCGUUGGAAUUUAUUCUAAUAAAGCCGAGAUGGCGAACAAAGAAUAAAACCAAGUUCUCUUACUUAAUCAAAUAAAAUAACAUAACGAAAAUGAGAGUAUUAAUCUUUCAACAAAUUGACACUGUUGCCAGGACGAUUUGUUGAGAGGAGAAAACUCCUAAAAUAAAAUAAACACCGAUCAACGCUUUCAACAGCCACCCAUUAAGCUUAAAUACCAACUGCAGUAUUUUAUUCCGCUCUCUCGCGACCUAAUUUUUGGUUGGAAGACCGACCCUUUGACUUAGGGAGAGGUGAACUCGAUUUCUACCUCUUCCGAUUGAUUUGGAGUCGCCACUACGUUUUUUGUGUGGUUGAAACGUAGAAAACUCUUAGUUUAUGGCCAACUUGUCGAGAGGUUCUCUGUCUGCCAAUGAUUGCAAUUGAAACAGUACAACUGCAUUAUAUCUAUUGAGGGCCACUUGGAAUUAUGCUGGCUUUUAAAAUGUGUAAUUGAAAUAGAGUAGUAAUUGGUUAAAUCACUAUGCCUCUAAUUAUUCUUCCCAAGCAUAUUGGCUUUCCUGCCUAUAUAUGGCUCGUUUUAUGCUUGACUUUAUCUCAGUCUGUUCUUUCUUCCUUAUAUGCUUCUUACUACUAGUUGAAGUCAAUGCAUCUGUGUUCCAAUAAUUUGUUUAGGUUUGUAUUGCUUUGAUGGUUAUAACAUCUCCUUGGUAUUCAGAUGGGGUGAUAAGAGCUUUGUUCGGAUUUGAUUAUGCAUUAUGUGCUGUAUUACAACUUUUUAUGCACAUAGUUCUUGAGCAGGCACGAGAUAUAUGGUGUUCUGGAACGUGAGAACAUGAGGAGCUAGGUUUUGGAAGAUGUUGGUCCAAAUCUUCUUUCUCAUAAUUCAAAAGCUUUGAAUUCUCCUAACUCCUUUUCCCAGUUGGAAGAUGUUGAUCACUACAUCAGAUUACAGGUCAGAAUUCCUAGAGGCAUAACAUACAGUUCUCAUUUUUUUAUUGUUUUCGUUGUGUUUAAGAUUGUGAUAUUCAUUUUGUCACUUUAAUAUAUGGAACAGAAUGAGCAUCUACGAUUUAUGCUACAAGAGCAGGGAAAGCAACAAGUAUCGACAUUACUGAAUAGAGUGGAACUGAAUAGGUGUUGGUAUUUGAUCUAUGUAUUUUGCAUCAAGUCGAGCCUUGGUCAACGCCUUAUUCAUACAGCUAUUCUGCCUUGCAUCUCAAGUUCAACAAUCUUUAUUGCUACUGCGGUAUCAACAUCCAGGAGAAUAUUUUUGGAAGUUAUGAGAAACAUUUUUGUCUGCACUUGAAGAAAAAGACAUGGUGAGUUGGUCUUAACAGAUCCACCACCUGAAGCUCAUUCAAAUUCACUAGGGUCAAUCCCAGAAAUUGAAGAAACCCAAUUAAGUGUGUCCAAAUAUUUGAGGUUUCAUUAUGCCAACAAAUUCUUUUUAAAGAUAGCUUCUUUGAGAGACCAAUUGACUCUUGGAAUAAUGUAUGAUAUAUUCAUUGUCCUUCAUGUAAUCAGGUGGCUCCUAAUAACAUGGGAGUUUGAAGCGUGUUCAUUUGUUCCUUUUUUGUGCACUGUUUUGUUUGGAUAUUUUCUAAAUAAUAUUUAAUUAAUCAAAUAACUAAAGAUAAUAACAUUGGUUCUCUGACAUAAUACAAUCCUUCCAAAUUUCUGUUAAAGCUAAAGGAUAUGAAGCCUUUUUGUUGUUUUGAAAGUUUAUAUAUUUUUUGAUUUUGGAAAUAUCCCGGACGAAAUUGGUUGUUCACACCCUCCUAGGAGAGCCUUCUACGACUCGAACCCGUGACCUCAAAGAUAAAUAGUCACUAUUCCACUGAGUCACUACCAUUAAGCUAGACGUAGCUUAAUGGUAGCGACUCAGUGGUAUAAUGAAUAUUUAUCUCGGAGGUCAUGGAUUCAAGUCGCGGAAAGCUCCCCUAGGAGGGGAAUAAAAUAAUGCAGGGGAUAUUUUAGCUUAAUGGGUGGCACACGUAGUAUAUUUAUGGGUCUAGGAGGUUGUAUGUCAGAACUGGGGUGUUACAUAAAAAGGCGCCUUUUUUGUGCAUUCAGAUGUUUGUGCACCAUCUUAAAGAUCUAUUGGAGGAGCCUUCUACUUUGUCACAUUCAUAGACUAUCACUCGAGAAGAGUAUGGGUGUCCUUGUUGAAAAGCAGAGAUCAAAUACUAUCAACAUUCAAAGAGUUCCAUGCACUAGUAGAACGUGAUACUGGGAAGAAGUUGAAGUGUCUGAAAGCAGACAUGGUGGAGAGUAUCAUGGUCCAUUUGAAGCCUAUUGCAAGGCUUUUGGUAUCAGACAGGAGAAGACACCACCAAAGUCUCCUCAGUUGAAUGGAAUAGCUGAGAGGAUGAACCGCACAAUUGAAGAGAAUAUCAUAUGCAUGUUGCAAGAGGCCAAUCUCUCGAAGUCUUUCUGGGGUGAAGCAGUGAAGACUGCAGUGGAUCUCAUAAAUUGAACAACUUCAAGACCCCUGAACGAAGAAAUUCCUGAAGAAGUAUGGUAUAAGAAGAAGGCAUUCUUCAACCACCUGGGAUUAUUUGGAUGCAGAGCCUUCGUUCACAUUCCAAAAGAUGAUAGAAAGAAGUUGGAUGCUAAGACCAACGAGUGCAUUUACCUUGGGUUUCCAAAAGAUGAAUUUGGAUACAGACUAUGGGAUAUGAUAAACAAGAAAAUUGUGAGAAGCAGAGAUGAUCUGUUCUUUGAUGAUUAGAAGAUAAAAGAUGUUUAGAAGAAAAGCCAGUGCAAGUCCAAAGUUCGCAUUGAUUCAGGGGGAGAGAUUCCUCAACAAUGAAAUCCUGAUCAUCAGAUAGAUCCAGAACAGAUAGUCCUUCUCACAUAGAACUUGACUACAUUAAUGAAGAAUUAGAUCAUAAUGAAGUGGUGGUAGACACACAAAUGUAUCAAGAAUCUGAGCUAGUAGAGCAUCAGAUGCAAGUUGAACUGAGGCACUCCGGAAGAGGCAGAAUACCUUCUUCAAAGUAUCCUGAAGAAGAUUUUAUCAUAUUGACAGAUAAUGGUGAACCUGAAGAUUUCUCAGAAGCUAUGCAGACAUCUGAUAAAGAAGAGUGGAUUAAAGCCAUGGAAGAUGAGAUGAACGUCUUACAUGAGAACCACACUUAUGAUCUGGUGGAGUUGCCCAAAGGAUGAAAAGCCUUGAAAAACAAAUGGGUUUAUAGGCUUAAAGUUGAAGAAGGAAGCUCAAGACCAAGGUACAAAGCUCAAAUUGUUGUGAAAGGAUGCAAUCAGAAGAAAUGAUUUGAUUUUUAUGAGAUAUUCUAACAAGUGGUGAAGUAUUCUUCCAUAAGAGUAGUAUUGGGUCUAGCAGCUAGCCUAGACUUAGAAGUUGAACAAGUUGAUGUCAAAACAACUUUCUUACAUGGAGACAUCAAAGAAGAAAUAUAUAUGGAGCAACCAGAAGGUUAUGAAAAACCAGGCAAGGAACACUUAGUGUGUCGUCUGAAUAAGAGUUUAUAUGAUCUGAAACAAGCCCCGAGACAAUGGUACAAGAAGUUUGAAUCCUUCAUGACCAAAUACAGUUUCAAGAAGACAACUGGUGAUCAUUUUGUAUUCAUUAAAAGGUAUGAAGAUGGAAACUUUAUACUUGGGCAUGAAGAUGGAAAGGCAUGAAGAUGGAAAUGUAUUCAUUAAAAGGUAUUCAUUAAAAGGUAUGAAGAUGGAAACUUUAUACUUGGGCAUGAAAAGACCAUGAUUGUUGGUUUGAAGAAUGCUUUAAGCAAGUCUUUUGCUAUGAAAGACUUGGGUCCUGCAAAGCAGAUCCUUGGAAUAAGGAUAAUUAGAGAUUGUUCCAAGAAGUUGUUAUGGCUAUCACAAGAGAAGUAUAUUGAGAAAGUUCUCAAGAGAUUCAACAAGGAUAAGGCAAAGCCUGUUAGUGUUCCACUUACUGGACAUUUCAAGUUAACAAAAAUGCAAUGUCCAACUAGUGAUGAAGAAAUGAAAGAAAUGAGCAGAAUGCUUUAUUCCUCCGUGGUAGGAAGCCUAAUGUAUGCUAUGAUUUGUACAAGACCAGAUAUUGUCCAUGCAGUUGGAGUUGUGAGUCAAUUUUUGUCCAAUCCUGGCAAAGAGCAUUGGUAUACAGUAAAGUGGAUAUUGAAAUAUCUGAGGAAGACUACCAAAAGAUGUUUAUGCUUUGGUAAUGAAGAUCCUAUGUUAGUUGGAUACGCAAAUGUUGAGGGGAACUAUGCAGUGGGCGCCAAUGGAGGAAUGUUGUAACCCAUGGAUGAAGAUCUCUCAAUAAGUGGUAUCAGAGCUGAUGGUUCGACGGAGUAUUGAAGCGACAAGUGGUCGGUAUAUCCGUUGAUGAAAGAAUAAGCCAAUGGCGGUGCAAUUAGGUAAAGAGCUGAGCUCUGGUGUAUCAAUCCAAUACUCGAAGGAGAACUCACACUUGAGGGGGAGAUGUUGGGUAUUCCAAGUGUGAUUGAAGAAGUCUCACAUUGAGCAAAAAUGUAUGGGUUAAAGAGUAUAUAAGUGGGUGGACCCAUAGACCUAAUGCCUUAAGGUUUUGGGUCAAGAUGUGGUGUCAAGCUCACUUCUAUGUUUCUUUCACUUAGCCCAUGGAGGAAUGUUGUAACCCAUGGAUGAAAAUCUCCCAACAAAUUUUUUUAAUAAUGAAUUGCAAAUAGGAAUGCAUAACAUAGUGAUUUAAUGAAUUUGAUAAUGUAGAAAUGAAAUUUAAGAUUCUUCUCCUCUAAAAUCAAUGAUAUAAUUUAAAACUUUUAUACAAGAAAUGAUUCUUACCUUUUAUUACCAAUAUUGUUCCAUAUAUAUCCAUGUUCCAAUAUAUCCAUGUUCCAACUUCAUGGUGCAUAUAUUGAAGUUGAUGAUAUUUGAGUGUAAUCCAAUUUCAUAUCCAAUAGAUUUCAUUUUUUACUUUGUCUUAAUCUUCAUUAACCUCGUUUUCCUCAAUUAUUCUUGGUGUUUAUGUAGGAAGGUUUUGGUUUAUGUCUAUUAUUAUAGGAGAGUUUGUGUAAAUAUAAAAUAGAAAUCGGGAUGUAGGAAACUUAAUUUUAUUGAUAAAAUUGAAGAUUUGCUUUGCAUGCAUAAUUUUACUGAAUCUAAAUAAAAUAAGAAUCAUGCUUUAGGUAAACGAAUUCUUAAAAGUUGGGAGAAAAAUGCAAAUUAGAUGUAGGAUGCUCAAUUUUGCAUAUUUUUUCCUUUUUGUACUCCUUUUGCUCCAUGGAUACUAGUACCAUUCAAUUAUCUAAAUAAUAAGAGAAUUUAGGUGAAUUUAUUUUUGAAAUCAAUCAUAAUCAUAAUUAUAAUAAAAUAAAAUGAUCUACAUUCCCCACUCAUAAACCGAAAAAUAAAGGAUUAUCAAACUUUCCACACUUAAGCAUUGCUUGUCCGUUAAGAAAAUACUAGCCUAAGAGUCACACAUUAAACACUGUGUCACUAGUUAUAAGAUUAUUAUUGUAGAAGUUUUUAAUGUGUAUCUACUCUAGCUUGUGAACUUAUUGAAAAGCUUAUUGUAGGCCUUUAAAUAGUGUAACAAGACUUCCUUUAAGUAGUUAAGAAGUCUUCCUUUAAAUACCUAACAAGUCUGUUUUUAAAGGUCUAUCUAACAUAAACAGUUGACUUACAUUUUUUUAAUUUUUUAUAGAAUAAUUACAAUAAAACAAAAUACCCUUCCAUUUUUUGCAUCUACACAAAAUAUCAAUAUUUAUAUACAUAUAUUACAAGGAAGAUGAAUGCAAUGUUUGAAACAAAAUGAGUGGUGAAUAUAAUUAAGCUAAAGUGGAUGGAGUGUCUAUCUAAUUUAAUCUAAUAAAAAUAAUGACUAAGAAUCAACUCUUACAUUAUUUGGAUUUAUCUUAAUAGCAUACAUAUUUGUGGAAAUUAGUAUGUGAUUAAAUAAGGUUGUAUAUUUCUUCUUUAUAAUUAUUGUCAUAAGCAAAUAUAUAUAUUUUGAAAAUAAAUGGUGAUCUAGAAACUCAAACUUAGUCAUUUUCAAUGUAAUUUAUUUUAUUAUCAAUACUUAACUAAGUUGUAUCUAAUAAUGUAAGAGUAAUAUAUAGUAUAAUUAAAUGGGUUUUUUUAGAUGACUUAGACACUUACCUAUUAAACUAAAUCGGUUUUAUCAAUCUAUUAUAUAUCAGAUAAUAGUUCUGAUGAGUAUAAUGGCAACGUUUAAAAUCAAGUAUAGGAAUAUAGGAACUAAUUAUUGUAGGAACAAUAAAUUAAUGGAAGUCAAUCUGCCAAUGUUUAAACGAUGUAAUGUAACAUGCAAGGUAAGGGGGGAAGGUGCCUAACUCUUUUAUUCGGAAGUCAGUGCCGUGACUGUGGAAGAACAACAAAUUUACUAAUUUCAAAACAGCAAGGUAGAUAACCAAUCAUAAGACUUAAACUCUGGCUUUACUAAAAAGAAAACAAACAUAUAUUAUUAUUUUUAUUUAAACCAGCUACUAAUUGAUAAUGUAACUAUAUUAUGUAUCCAAAAUAAUAAUAACCGUGUCAUGAAAAUAAUAAACCUAUUUGUUAUUCAUGUGAAUAUCAUGAAAUACAUAGCAAACCAAUUUAUGACCUAACAGGCCAACAUUGAUCCAAGAAGUAAAUUAUACUAAUAUCCUUUGAGUUUUAUUGAAAUUAUAUAAACUGAUACCUCUUUUUUUUUGUAUUUGCACAACCAUCCUUAUAUAUACUAUAUUAACUAUAUCUGCACGAGAAAUCAAUGUGAUCAUUUAAACAUAAAAUGAGUGAUGAAUGUAAUUAAGUAAAACAAAAUAAAAUAUAUUGUCGGACAUGUCCAAAUAGUAUAAGAGUCAAGCUAUCUUCAAUAUUUUUGGUUCGUUACAAGUGCAUGAGCAAAUCUAAGGGGAUAUUGUUUAAAUCACUCUUAUAUUAUAUUGGAAGGACAUAAAAUACUCAAUAGGUAUUGACUCGUAUAAUAUUUUGACUUGUCUUCAUAAUAUACCAUAUUUUGUUUAACUUAAUUACAUUUAUUAUCAUCUUUUGUUUAAAAGAUGAGUAAAAGAUAUAUUCAGUAAGAGUGUAUGAGUUUUAUACGCAAUCAUUGUAUCAUCUACCAUUCAUAUUUAAUCAUCAUUGACUCUUCAAAAAAGUAAUCUAAAUGAGUGGUGGACAAUCUAGUGACUAUAUAUAAAUCUUUAUAUUGAGAAUAGGUUUGAAGAGCGAGAGCAGCUCGUUAGGGCUAAGGUAUGAAAUCGGUACAGCUUUGCGAGAGGAAUGAUUGAUUUUCUUAGUUGCCUUCCUCAUAAAUGUUACGCUCUUACAAGAUAUAUUUAUUUCUUUUAGAAGGGUAAGUAAUGUAAUAUAUAUAAAUUAAGAUAGUUUGUAUAGGUAUAGAAAAAAUAUGAAUAAUUUAUAUAAUUUAAUUACUACUCAAGGAAUUUGAGUGCACUUAACUCUAGAAAUAAAUUCACCACUCCUUUAAACGGCUGCCAGUUUUGAUCUUCAUAAUUGUGGGAAAAUAUUGGACAUUCGAUUAAAUUAUAAUUUGUUCUUGGUAGCAAAGAUAAGGGGGCCACUUCCUAUGAAAUUCUAGUACACAAAUUUUUAGAAUGUUCACUAUAUUGGGAUAGACGUGCAUGACCUAUAACGCACGGACUUUACAGAAUACACAUUUGAAUAAGUUGUGUGGGGUUUCCGGAGAUAGAGUUCAAGACUACGAUUCAUUCUAGUAAAAUCUGGAUCUUAUACACUAUGCAAAGGCUCAAGUCGCAUGACACAUUUGUUUAUGUACAAUCUUAUUGAGACCACAUAAAUUCCUAGGAAUUGUUUUUUAAUUUCAAGUGCAGGAUUAUUGGAAUUAUUGUGAAAUAUGAUGAUUUUAAGUGGUUUUAAUGCACAUUAAUGCGAUCAUUUAUAAUGACUUUUGAGUUUGUGAAAUGAAAAAACUCAUUGGUCCCACAUUGUUUGGAGGAGGAAAGUUGAAAGGCUUUAUAAGCCUUAACUUUCAACCUUGGGGUGUGCCCCAAGGGGUACGAUGGAUUUUAUGGAUGAGUGAGGACUCACACAAACAAAACCUCCCAAAAUGGGCGCGUGCACCACCACCUCCUCUGAUGCCAGCCAACCCAACAUUAUUUUUAAAUAAUCAUUUAUUUUAUUUUAUUUUAUUUGGGCUUGGUCAGUGUGUUGAUCAAGUCAACACACGCAUGUCACAUGUGUGAGACUUUGUCCACACAAUUGGAGACUCAAGAGUGGAAGGAGAAGAUCUCAGUUUUGGAUAGUGAUCCGCGUGGAGAACUCUUAUAGCCAUCGGAUCAUGUGACCAUUUGGGACUUGGCCAGCUUUUUGGGCCGUUAGAUGAAGAAGUCAUUGGAGGCAUUGGGCUAUAAAUAGAGGCAUCCCCCUCAUAAUAACUCACGCCAAGUUGAAUGUGUUUACCUCUCAACUUUGUUUCUCCCCCUAAUAUUCCACCAACGUACUUCUGGCAACCUGCUCCCACUUUCUUUAUGUGGCACUUGAGAAUUGGCCUAGAAAACUAAAGUGGAAAUUUCAAGAGCUAACACUAGUAGCCAGUAUUAUGGGAAAGAAUUGACACAUGUAGCCAUAUUGUGGGGAUUUGAGAAUUGGCCUUGAUAAUCAUAUUAUGGGUGUAUUCAAGAGCGAUUCCUACUGUGUAGUAAGAAAUUGUAUAAUAGAGAACUGAGUUGUGUUAUCUUGGAGAUGACGUGGUUGAUAGUCUGCUUGCACAAUUUUAGUAGUACCACGAAACGUCUUAAAAAGAGCAACCUAAUUAUGACUCAUCUAGUAAAUAUUAUCUCGUGCCAUUCAAAAUUGUUGCAUGCUACACAAACAACAAUUUUAAGACGUUUCUACUACAAUGGCAUUCGUAGAUAAUAUUACUGGACCGAAAAACUAUGACCUGAACAAACCAUUUCGAUUUGAUGGGACAAAUUUCAUACAUUGACAACAUUAGAUAGAAUUUUUCCUCACUCUGAGAAAGGUUGUCCAUGUCCUAAAAACCGACAUCUCAGUGGUGUUGAAUGAGGCUGAAAAUGAGGAAAGGGAUAAACUGACAUUAGGAAUAACUCUCUAGAUGGGUUGUUUGAUGAUCUCUAUGAUUACUACAGCUCAUACAAGUCUGCCAAAUUAAUUUGGUAUGAACUUGAAAAAAUAUGAUACUGAGGAAGCUAGGACUAAUAAGUAUGAUGUUGUUGAAAGAUUUUUUUCCAAUGCCAUGCUUGCUUUAUUGAGGCAACAAGUUUCUGAUUGAUUUAUUUAAUGACAAGUCGAUUCUUAUCUCGCCAUCUCGGCUUUGCUGAAAUAAAUUCCAAUGUCGGUAUAAUGGUUUCAAGAAUGUUCCUUUAAUAAAAAACUUUGCUUUAUUGAAUUAUUAACAAUUUCAUACCAUCUCAGCUUUGAUGGAAUAAAUUCCAACGUCAGUUUAAUGGUAUCAAUUUUAGAAAAUUAAUACAAGUGAUAAUGAGUGAUAUUUAACUAGUUAGUGACUUUAUUUAUUUACUCCCUUUCCGGGUUCGUUUUAACCAUACCAUAAAGGUCGGUCUCAUUUUAUUAACCAUACCAUUUCUUAUGCAAGGUUGAUAUUAAAGAAUAAUAAAAUGACAAAAGAAUAAAGUUAGAAGUUAACCGUACCACUUCUUUCGAAUGAUUGGUAUAAAGAAUAAAUAAAGCAAUAAAUAGUUAGUUGCAUAAUUUAAAUGACAUAAAAUAAAUGUUAGUUGCGAAAAUGUAAAUGACUGAAAGUAAAAGUUAGUAGUUAUGUCACUCAUUAUUACUGUGUAUUUUUCCUUUUCACAAAGAUACAACUUAUGAAUAAAAUUGCACUUUGAUUCAAGGUUUCUUUCUUUGUCAACAAAUAUAAUUUAUAAGUUAACACUUUACUAUUUUAGAUUUGCAUCUCUUUCAAGAUUCAAUUGUAGUAUAGUAUAGGGUUAUGUCAAACCACAAGGAAUUGCCUAAUAGAAUAUUAUUAUAAACAUGUUAUAUUACUAAUAAAGUUUAAACAUCUUUUUAUUUGGUUUUGUUUAUAAAAUUAUAACAAAUAAACAUAAUCAUAAAACAACUAUUAUAAAACAAUUCUUGAUGAGAAAAUUGAUUGGAAAUAUGGAAUUAUUUUUCUUCUUGAUUUUUUAAAAACAUUACAGGUUGUGUGUUAUACUUUCGGUUAAUUCCAACCAUCAUUUCUAAAUCCUUCAUCUAGUGUCCUACAGUGAUAAGAUAAUUUUCAAAUCUUAUGUAAUGCACUAAAUAAUAGUUAAGUGUCACUCGUCGGAGUACGUUGUCACACCAUACUUCAGGCUCCAUUAACUUUAUUUAGCCUUGAACAUAAGUUGUUUAAAAUGGAUGCUUGAUGUGGCACGUGAACUAAGGUGUAGGUUACACUUUCUAGUUCACUUGUCAACACUUUAGGAAGAAGAAUUUUGGAUCUUUAAAUCGAGUUUUAGGUAAUCAAGCUAAAACCACAUUAAGAACUUCAUAAAGAAUCAAAACUUAACCAAAAAGUAAUAACUUGAAUGCAUUGAUUUCAAAAGAUAAAUUAAAUAGAAGAAAUUACACCAUAAUCCAAGUCAAUUUGUAGGAAUAUGAGCCAUCUAUCCAAGGAUGAAAUGCUUUUUGGACUGAAAUGAGAUUACAAAAUUAUGUUUGUGCAUCUCAUUUUCCAUUUCAUUUCUCCUCUUGAAUUAAGAAAGAAAAAUAAAAACUACACUUACCUAAACUACUUUGGAGUGGAAAUUCUCCAAAAAAUUAGAAGAAGAAGAUGUGGAAGAAGAGACAAUUCGGAUUGAGAGAGAAGUGGAAUGUGAGAAUGUGAAUUAGAAUGAGAAUGUAUGUUAUUUUCCUUUGAGGUGCCCUCCUAUUUAUAGGAGUUUCUCCCCACAACCAAGCUGCUCUCUUCCACCGUCAAGCUGCUAACCAAACCCUUCAUCAUGGGUUUGGUCACUUGGCCAAGCAGCUUAGUCACCUGCUUGUGGCUGACUUACCCAAGCUAGUUGUGAGCUAUUAGCCCAACUAUGGUGAGCUACCUCUGAAAAGCCUAUGGAAGCUACUUAAAAUGAGGUCAUGCAUGAGGUCGUGGUUGCUUGGUGGUUAAGUCAAUUUGACCAAGUUGCUGGGUGCACACCGCCAAGCUGCUUAUUAGGCACCACUAAGCUGCCUGCAUGAGCAGGUUUGACCGUGUUGAUGGUGAUGUGGCUGGUCCUUGAUGAUUUGGUCAGGAGUGUGGUUCCAAGUUGGGCAGUCUAGGUGCUCCACUAAGUUGUCUGCUUGAGCAGGUUGGCUUGUGCAGGCUUGUGUUCUGACUGUGUCAUGCUUGUGUUCUAACCGUGCCAGGUUGGGUUUGACCGUGCCAGACUGGUGUCUAGGUCAGCUGGGCGUGGACUUGGUCCAAGCUAUGCUGCUUAGUCGCAACUUCAAGUUGACUCCAUAUUUUCCACAUAGGCCAAGUCUUAUUGAGUCAUGCUUAAGCACAUAGCUUGCCACGUCAAGCUUAAACAUAUCAUUUGUUGAUCAUUUUCGACCUAUUUUGAGAACUUUCUUUGUGUUUGAUUAAUUCUUCUCUUUCCACCAAAAUCCUACAAAAUAUAUUACAAAAGAAAUACACAAAGCAUAUAUACAAGAUUGUGAUAUUUUAUCCAAAAAGUGUUGAAUUAAGUUGGUUUUCUCAAUUUAUCCAAGGAUAAGUGUCAUGAAAAGUGUAUGAAAUUUAGGUAUUUUUGGCACUUAUCAAAUCCUCCCAACUUAAGACUUUGUUUUUCCUCAAACAAAAGGUAAAGCUUAUCCGAAUUCAAGACUUGACUAAUUUUGUAAGAUAUGAUUUACAUGAUUUCAAAUUUGCUUAAGCAUGAUCAAAAAAAUUAUUUUCAGUGAGAUUUUUCAUGAUUUGUGAAUUUUUAACACAUAAUGCUUCAAACGUGAAUUUUAUGAUUUUGUUCAUAAAAAAUGUACAACAAUUUACCUAAGCAAAUAUUUUUCAAUCAAACAGUGUUUUUGCACACAAGUUCAAAAUUGGAUCUUGAAAGGGGUCAGUGUUUCACUCAAUUUUUUCAACCAUUUGAUUGUGGUAAUUUGAACUUGUUCUUUGUCUCACCUAUUCUCUUAAAUUGCAUAAACAAUUAAAUAUCACUAAGGUCUUGUUUGCGGUUGUAAUGAGGCUUGAUUUGGACAAUCAUGGUUUUUCUAGAUAAUGAGGUUAUGUUCAAGUCAAAAGAGAGCAUUUUGAAAUUUUUUCUCAUUGAAGGACUUCACUCUACUUUUAUCCAUAAUUUUAUACUCCAACCUCUUAGCUUUUGAACCUUGGCUUCUUUUUGGCUUUUCUUUGUAUUUCUCAAUCUCUCUUUGUUUUUCACUUUCUUUCACAACUUUUUUUUUGUAGAGAGAUUGAAAAAUUCUUUUCGUUUUCUUUUUAGGAAGCCAAGUCCACCAAUUUUCUCCCCAACUUAAUUCCUUCAAACAAACUUUAAAAUCUUAAUACUCUCUUUAGAACAUUUGUUUUUAAAUUUGGUUUCAUGGGAUAUUUUGAAAAAAAAAUGUUUUACUUUGUUUGCCUCAAAGGAGCUUAUCAAAGGAUAAUCCUAAUUUUUUGUUAGACUUUUGGCCAUUUGGUUCAACUAAAGAAAUGACACACCUUGAUCAUUUCCUAUCAAUCUUAUGUAAUUAAGAGAUUUAAAGACUCAACCAAGUUUAAUUAGACAAAUUAAAUGGUGAUUUAACUUCAAUCCUCACGUGUUUGGCUCACUCCCUCACUUGGCUAGUAUUUACACUUCUUGAUUUAAAAAAUGUUUGCAAAGAUCAUGUUACACAAUUUUAACUUUCAUUUGCAAAAAAAACUUAUGUGAUUUUUUUUUUCACAAAAAAUUUAACAUAUAUCUCAUUUUGCUCAAUAAAAGCUUAAGUCAGGAUAUGCUUUAUAUAUUUAAAUCAUGUAAUUAUGCCACAAUGUUUUUCAUUUAGCCAUUUUGAAUUCAAUUUUUGAAAAAAGUUGAGUUUUUAAGGACAAUCAAAUUACUUUUUAAAUAACUAUACAAUCUUAUAUAUAUUAUUAAUUUUCUUUAAAACAAAUUCAUAUAAAUUAAACCAUGUUCCUCCUCUUUAAAUGAUGGCUUGUCCUCAAGCCAAUGGAAAAAUUGGUUUAAAGGAGAUGUUUGAUGCAUAUGAACUUUUCUAAAUAAUGACAUAAAAUUUUAAACCAAAAAUUUAAUUAAUCAACAAUUUAACAUAAUAUUAAAAUAUAGUAGCAACUUAGAACAUAGUAGCAACAUAGUAGCAAUAGUACUAAAUAUUCAAAAUAAAAUAAUGGAAAUGAACUUGAAAAUGCAUGUACGGAAAAAGAGAAAACCAGAAAGAGCUUUCUCAAUCGUCAUCCUCCUCCUCACUUGGAUCUUAUGAUCUUCCCUCAUACCACCUAGUUUUGGCCACAAACUCCUCAUAGGAUCCUCCUUUGAAGUUGGAUCCUUUUCCAAAGAUGCUAUGUAAGCUCUUGUAGAUCCCUUUGAGUAGUUUGUUCUUAGCUCAAGUUGCCAAUUUUUUUCUUAAGUUCAGCCCGAGCUUGUGAGAUGCUUUUCUCCUUAUAGUAAGUGUUGAUAUAUGAUGCAUUGAUUUUUAUCUUCAAUGUCGUGACCUCCUUGUAUGGCACAAGUACAAGUUGAUACUUAAAAAGGUCGAUGAUCAAUGAAGGUAGAAUCAUUGAAAGAACUCCCCUCGUGAUGCAAUAAUGGAUAGCAUCAGAGAUGACUGCAGCAAUGUCAUUGGAGUCUUCAUCAUAUAUAGAACUGAUGAGUUUUGCCUUUGGGAUUGGCAAAUCAGAGACAUGUGUGGAAGGCCAUAUGUUGGACAACACAAUAAUGGCCCAAAUUUGUGACAUUUGGGUCAUACAAAAUCUGAAGAUUGGUCCACUUUGGUUGAGCUCCAAGCCUUCCAAACAUAGGUUGUUUCUGACAUAAGCUUCAUCAUGUCCUUCACCUUCCCCCGAAUAGGCAUCACUUAAUUUCAAUUGAUAGGUGCACAAGUCAUGAUCUUCUGAUGGUGAUGGGUUCCAUGCGUUUCCCAAGUAAUCAUUGAUCAUGUACUUGUCACAAUAGAUUUGGGUCCAUUCACCCACUUGUACCGGUUCAUCCUUGCUUCACUUGAAACAAUGGAGUUUGCAUAGAAUUGCUUCACCACGUCCAAAGAAAACAUCUUCUUGGGUUGAGCAAUCUUUUUCCAACCAUACCUCCCCACUAUGAAAGUGAAGCCUCCAAACUCUUCUUCAUCUAGGUUGAUAAUCUUCUCCAAAUUUGUUGCACUUUUGAGGGUUAUUUCUUUUAAUUUUUUUCUUGGCAUCUUUUGAAGCAAAUUUGGUGCUCUUCUCUUCAUUAGUGGCUUCAUUUCCUCUUCUUGAUGACCUCCUACUAAAAAAUUUAAUUCCAACAAAAUAUGUUUUCUAAACCAAGGAGGUAGUCAUAAAAAUCAAUAUUAGAAUUUGUUGAGAGCAUGUAUCUUAAUUUUACAAUUUUACUUCAAAAUUUUUUUAACUUUGAGAACAUUUACAUUCAUGACCAAAUUGAGGUCAAAGUAAACAAAACAAAAAAAAUUGAUGCCUCAAUCAAAAGUGCACAAGUUUUAAAAAAAAUAGGCGAGUUUGACUAUUAAAUGAUGUUUCCCUUGUUGGUGAUUUUUGAACAAGUUUCAUGCCAAGUAAGCAUUCGGCCAACAUGAGAAAACAAAAUUGCAAAGAAAUUCAUGUCGGUUGAACCAUUUAAAAAUGUUUCAUUUUCACCAAAACAACCCCUCUUUUCACACAAUCCAUUUUACAAAAGUUUUGAAAGGCAUGUUGGUCUAAAGAUAUGUGGUUCAAUAAAAAACACUAGAUAGAAAGUUCAAAAAUUAUUUCAAGUAGUUGUGAUCUUAAUUUCUAUCAUAUGAGACAUAUCACAACAAUUUUGUUUAAUCAUGACAAAGAACAUUUAGUCAUAUUUGAACUCAAUAAGCAUAUACAUCUCAACAAAAUUGUGACUUUUUGAAACUUUUUGUGUUGGAUUUUCUAAAAAGAUUAUAUGUUUCUAAAUAUUUUUUUGCCAAACAAGAAGCUUCAAAAAUUACAGGAAGAAUCACAUUUAUACAUCAAAAUAAAAUAAAGAGAAAGAAGAACUUACAUGAUGGAUGAAAAACUUGAAGAAGAACUUGAUAGAGUUUUUAGCAAAUUUCAAAGCUUUUGUGAUUUGAAAAUCUUUGAAAAUAAUUUGGUGCUUUCAAAUCAGAACAUUGAGGGUUUAAAUAAAGUGGAGAAAUUUCUUGGUCAAAAGUUUCAUUUAUGAGGAUAAGAGAGAAUCCCCUUUUUGUGGGAUUUUUGUCCCCUAGUCACUUGGCUCGUGUCAAGCCUGUGCUGAGACAUGGUUACCCCCGCUAGCCGAUGGGUCAGAUUUCAAAGUUUGACCGAGUUUAUUGAACCAUGACCAUGACUUGACCUUGAUUUGGGCCAUUUUUUAAAUUUUUACAAAAUUUGAUUUGGCCAAGUAACCAUUUAUAUUUUCCUACCUUUCUUCUGAAAAAGUUCUAAUUUACUUUCCUAAAACUCAGAAUUUUUAAUUUCAGUGAAUUUUUUUUACUUUGAUUAUAAAAGUUGUUAUUCUUUUUGUCAUAAAUACAAAUUUAAUGUAAUAAUAUAGCAAGCGCUCUUUUAGCGUCAUUAGCUUGACGUAUCUUACCUAUUAACCCAGAUUUUUACCACCUUUUUACUUCCCUGUUGAUGUUAUGUUAGAAUGAUGAACACAUUUAAUCACAUGCAAUGGAUGACAUUUUAAUCCCUAAGCAUGAUACUAUCUCACACUAUCUCACAUGCAAUUCUCUCUGCCUAUAUGACAUACAAUGAGCACGAAAAUAUGCAACUUAGCAAUUCUAAAAAUGAAUGAAUGAAUGUAUGAAGCAUGAUGUAAAAUCACAGUUUAUAUAGAAAAGUUGUUAGACGUCCAAUUAAUCGAUUAAGUGCCCUUUUAAUCGAUUAACGAGUUGUUGAGAAUAACUGAAUUCUGUUUUUCAGUUAUCUGUUGAAGCUGAUUAAAACUGAUUUCACGUUGAUCGAUUAACGCCUUGCUUAAUUGACUAAUUGGCAUAUUUUCAUCUAAGAGAUUAAAUGGUAAACUACCUAUAUGUUAUGCUUAUCAACUAUACAUGUUUUACUAUUAUGUUAUGCCUAAGAUGCACAAAUAACAUGUAUGAUUAAUGCAUGAACAUAUAAUAAUCUAGAUGUCAUGUCUCAUGUAAAUGAUAUGAUAGUUUUUUAGGACUUGUGAGAUUUGCAUCUAAGUUUCCUAACCUAGACUCAAUAACUAAGAUACAUAUCUAAGACUAUUAAUGAUUACUCUAUUUAUAGCUCUAGUCUAUACAUGAAGCUCUUGAGUCCUUGGCAUGUUGGUUUGUUGAGUUAUCUUUAAGCUUUCACUAAUUCCUUGUUUUCAUCAAAACAUAGGCAAGCUAAUAGUGCUAUCUUGACACAUUUCACUUUCAAUCUUCCCCUUUUUGAUGAUGACAAACUCCACACAAAGUUUUGUUUUGAUGCAUAGCUUGAAGAUGGUCAUAAAAUGCAUGGUUUUUUAUUUCAAAGUAAAAGUGCAUAGCUAGACAACGGAAGCUGAAUUUUAUUUACUAGACGCAUUGCAUAUCUUGACACAUUGUUGAGUCCAAUUCAGAUAUCGAUGAUGAAACGUUAAGCCUUCUCAUACAAAAAUUCAGAAAAUUCUUAAAGAAAGGAGGCUUUAAACGUUUUCAUAAGAAAGAAGCGUGUGAAUCAACUAGAAAAGGCAAAGGUAACAAAGAUUACAUCACUUUCCAUGAAUGUGGUAGGCCAGGACACAUGAGAUUUCAAUGUCCUACUUACCUCAAGAAAGUUGAUUUGGAUAAGAGCACUCCUUGGGACUUCAAGGCAAAGAAGGCCUACAUUGUCUGGGACGUACCAGAGGAGGAUACGACAUCAAGCACCUCAAAUGAAGAGGAGACUACCGAGCUAUGCCUACUGACCUGAACAAAUGAAGCUUGCGACUCAAAUUCAAAGGAGGUAAACAAUAAGGUAUACUCUAACACCUCAUCUUCUUCUUCUGAUAAUUCACCUCCUUAUGAGGAUUUAUAUAAUGCUUAUGUCGAAUUGCAUGAAGAAUUAAAAAAAAAUUAGCUAGGACUAGUUCUAAUAGAAAACGAGUAAUCCUUCUAAAUGAACACAAAAUACUUUUACAGAAAGAAUUAGAUGAGCUGAAACUUGAGAAUGAAACCUUAGAUCUAAUAUUUUCUUGUAAUACAUGCAAUUGCUCAAAUGAUAAAUUAUGUCAAUCAACUUUCUGUGAGUCUUGCGAGACUUGAAAAAUGAGAAUUUGAAACUUAAUGAAAAACUCACAAAACUCAUAGAGAGUCAAAAUGAAUUAGACAUUAUGCUUAGUCAAACUAUAAAUGUUGGUGACUAUACUAGAUUAGGAUAUAUUCCCCAUAUGCGUAGGAAAAGACCAUAUAUGAAACCUGUAACUCGACCUAAUAAAACGUUUUAUAGUAAGAAAGUUCCUACAUGUUUCUAUUAUGGCACACAUGGCCACACUUCCUACUCUAGCUAUAUUAGGAAGUAUGGUAUACUUAGUGGUGUAUAUGCUUGGAUGAAAAAGGAAGAUAACUCCCUGGUUACUAACAGAAAAGGACCCAAUAUAAAUUGGGUACUUGAAAGAGGCAAGUGACCUAUUUUGCAGGUAUGUCUAUGAGCACACGGGCGAAUUGGUAUCUUGAUAGUGGGUGCUCGAGGCAUAUGACGGUGAUAGAUCGAAAUUCCUAGAUCUAUCAUUGAAAGAAAAAGGGUUUGUCAAGUAUGAAGACAACAACAAAGUAAAUAUACUCAACACCGAGAUAAUUGACAACUCAACUCAGGUAGUGAUCGAAAAUGUACUAUACGUUGAAGGCAUGGAGCACAAUCUAUUGAGUAUCAGCCAACUCUGCGACAAAGGUAAUCGUGUAUCUUUCGAUUCUAAGCGUUACAUAAUUCGUGACAAUUUAUCUAAUAAGGUCAAAUUUGUUGGAUGUCGUAUUAAUAACAUCUACAUGGUUAACCUAGAAGAUGUCACAAUAUUAUUUUCAACUUGUUUUAUAUCUAAAGAAGAUGAUGUAUGGCUUUGGCAUAGACACGCCGCUCAUAUUCAUGUAAAACAUCUAGAUAAAAUGUCUAAAAAUAAUUUGGUUGAGGGUCUACCAAAACUUGAUUUUAAAACUCAGGAAACUUGUGAUACUUGUCAAAAAUGUAAACAAGUUAAAAACUCUUUUAGUAAAAAGAAUAUAAUAUCCACAACAAGACCUCUGGAGCUUUUACAUAUUGACUUGUUUGGACCUUCACAAAUAAUGAGUUUUGGUGGCAAUUUCUAUGUCUUAGUAAUUGUUGAUGAUUUCUCUAGAUUCACAUGGACACUAUUUUUAUCUUCUAAGAGUGAUGCAUUCAAAUCUUUCAAACACCUUGCCAAACACAUUCAAAACCAGUUUAAUCUUAAAAUAGUAUUCAUUUGAUCUGAUCAUGGUGGCGAGUUUGAAAACCACCAAUUUGAUAAAUUUUGAAAUAAACAUGCUAUCAUGCAUCAAUUCUCGGCUCCUCGUGCCCCUCAACAAAAUGGAGUUAUUGAGAGGAAGAAUCAAGUUCUAGAGGAGCUUGCUAGAACCAUGUUGAAUGAAAGCAAGGUUCCUAAGUACUUCUGGGCUGAUGCAAUGCAUACUAUUUGCUAUGUGAUAAAUCGUAUACUCUUGAGGCAUAUUUUGUUUUUGAAAACUCCUUAUGAACUUUUAAAAGGUCGAAAACCUAAUAUUGCUCAUUUUCAUGCUUUCGGAUGUAAAAGUUUUAUUGUAAAUAAUGGAAAAAGAGUGUUAGGAAAAUUUGACUCAAAAGUGGAUGAGGGAAUAUUUUUAGGGUAUUCGUUACAUAGUAAAGCUUAUCGAGUGUUUAAUAAAUAUUCAAUGCAAGUAGAAGAAUCUGUACAUGUUCAUUUUGACGAAUCUUCUCGAAAAGAGAAGAGAAACGUAUUUUCUGAUGAUGUUGCAGGUGAUUUAGAAGAAGCAUACUCUAAGGACAUGGACCAGGACAAAGAAGAAGAAGUAGAGCAAAGUGUCCAUGAUGAGCAUCAGGACUUGCCGAUUGCAUGGAAGACCAAGAAAGAUCAUCCACUUGACAAAGUUAUAGGUGAUAUCACUACGGGAGUGGUAACCCGUAGCUCUUUACAUAAUUUUUGUAACUUCGUUGCAUUCGUAUCUCAAAUCGAGCCAAAGACCAUCGAUGAGGCCAUUGAGGAUGUGCAUUGGGGUAUAGCUAUGCAAGAAGAGCUAAACCAGUUCGAGCGCAAUAAUGUAUGGGACUUGGUCCCUAAUCCAAAAGAACAUCCACUAAUUGGUACUAGAUGGGUCUUCCAAAACAAACUAGAUGAAUCUGAUUUAAUCAUAAGAAAUAAGGCACGCUUAGUGGUCAAAGGCUACAACCAGGAGGAAGGCAUCGAUUAUGAUGAGACCUACACUCCUAUAGCCAGAUUAGAGGCCAUUAGGGUGCUCUUAUCAUUUGCAUCAAUUAUGAACUUUAAGCUCUUUCAAAUAGAUGUCAAGAGCGCCUUUCUGAAUGGUUACAUUCAAGAGGAAGUGUAUGUCGAUAAACCUCCGGGCUUUGAAAAUUUUAAAUAUCCAAACCAUGUAUAUAAGCUUAAGAAGGCUCUCUAUGGUAUAAAAUAGGCCCCUAGAGCUUGGUAUGAGAGAUUGCGCUCUUUUCUUUUAGAAAAAAGGUUCGUGAGGGGUAUGGUUGAUACUAUUCUCUUUAUCCGUAGAUUAGAUGAUCAUGUAUUAUUAGUUCAAAUAUACGUUGAUGAUAUAAUUUUCGGAUCUACUAAUGACAUUCUUUGUAAAGAAUGUUCUGAGAUGAUGUAGGGAGAAUUUGAGAUGUCGGUGAUGGAUGAGCUGACCUUCUUCCUUGGGCUAAAAAUCAAACAAAUGGAAAGUGACAUCUUCAUUCAUCAAUCGAAGCACUACAAGGAGUUACUCAAAAAGUUCGACAUGGAAAAAUGUAAAGAAGCUUCUACACUUAUGGUGUCUGCUUUCUAUCUAGACAAAAACGAAAAGGGAAAAGCUAUUGAGGUAACCAAGUAUCGAGGGAUAAUCGGCUCUUUAUUAUAUUUGAUUGUGAGUCGCCCUGAUAUUAUGUUUAGUGUUUGCAUGUGUGCUAGAUUGCAAGCAUUACCCAAAGACACACAUUAUAGUGUUGUUAAACAUAUCAUGAGAUAUUUAAAAGGAACAAUAAAUGUGGGAUUAUGGUAUCCUAGGGAUGCCUCAUUAUCCUUAGUAGGUUAUUCUAAUUCCGAUUUUGUUGGAUGUAAGUUGGAUCGGAAGAGCACUAGUGAGACUUGUCACUUACUAGGUAGAUCCUUAGUUGCAUGGCACAAUAAAAAGCAAGUUUGUGUUGUUGUGUCCACUGCCGAAGCGGAAUACAUUGUCGCCAGUGUGUGUUGCGCUCAAAUCCUAUGGAUGAAGCAACAACUUAAGGACUUUGGUCUUAAUCUAGAAAAGAUCCCCAUUAACUAUGAUAAUACAAGUGCCAUAAACCUAUCCAAGAAUCUUGUUUUGCAUUCGAGAACCAAGCAUAUAGAAAUUAGACAUCACUUCUUGCAUGAACAUUUCAAAAAGGUGAUUGUGUGCUUGAAUUUGUUGAAACUACUAAGCAAUUGGCUGAUAUUUUCACCAAGCCCCUCUCAUGAGAUACUUUCUAUGUUCUCCGAAUAGAACUUGGAAUCCUUGAUGAAAAAUAUCUUGAUUAAAUCCUUUAACAUUUUAUUAUGUGCUCCGCAUGUUAAAUGUCUCAUAUGCUUCAAAAUGAAUACUUGUUGAAUGCAUUCUAUUCCUAAUAUGAUUCAUGAUCUAGUAUAAUAAGCUCUAUAUGUAUAUGUGUUUGCUUAAAAUUGCUUAAUAUAUGUUAGAAAUCUUUGCAUAGUUUGAAAACUUAAAAACCUACUUGAUUCUACAAAUCUGAUGACUGUUAAUCGAUUAACCAUGAGUCUUAAUCGAUUAUAGUAAGUUCCAGUAGCCAACACUUUAUUUUUCAUGAAAUUUAAUCGAUUAACGUUCCAUCUUAAUCGAUUACAUGGUCUUAUUUUUCUGAAAAUUUGGAAUUUUAACUAUGAUUAAUUGAUUAAGUACAAAUCUUAAUUGAUUAACGGCAGCAUAUAAAGUAGAAACGGCAGCAUUUUUGACACUUUUUCAAAAUUCUCUCUAAAUCUGAGAGCCAACUAUACUAUAUCAAUUCUUAGCUUAACGAAGAUUAAACCUCACCCUCUACCCAUAUUGCACUUCAUUUCAUCCCAAUUUCUCUCAAAUUUUCCAAACAACCUGUUUUCCGCAAUUCCAAACCCUAAGUCUAGGUUCCUUCCAAAAUCCUCCUACACCUCUUAAUUCUCUCGGUUUUACUAUAAAAAAUGGAAAUAGGUCGUUCAAAAAGGAUUAAGAAAACUAUUCAACGGACACGAAGGACUUCUAUUGGUUCAUCUUCGAAUCCAAGUGUGAGGCAGGACCAUGGAGACCCUUACUACUCUCUCAUCUUGCAGGAGACUCGGUUUCUGAAGUUUCAAGGUAGGAAACCAACAUAUAUCAGGUAUGCCGAUUUAACCUAGAUGGUUGAACAAAAUUUUGAAUUUCUGCAAGGCAUGCAAGCUCAAGAAGCUGUCACUUUUCUGGAAUUAAAGGGAAAUAUAUACCCUGCACUAAUUAGAGAAUUCUAUGCCAACUUUAGAUAUAAGGAUGGAAAGUAUUGGUCUAUGGUUUCUGGAAAUUUAUUUGAGUUGAGUGAGGAAAUUUUUAUGAAUGUGGAUGGUUUGUCUACCAAUGGUGCUAGCAUUGGUGAUUGUGACUAGGUUAAGAAUUCUUUUGAUGUGGUUGAGGUUUACAAGUCAUGUUUGAGAGGUCCCCAGCUGUAUGUCCAAGGAGAAUUAACAAAAGUUGGGUAGUUAUCUCUGGAGAAUAGGUUGUUGCACUAUCUGAUAGCGUAUAUUUUGGUUCAAAGGAACACAUAUAAUGCACAACCCAUUGUGAAUGAUUUGAGGUUCAUGUAUGUUGUUAAGGAAAAUAUUAUGAUUAAUUGGCCUGAGGAGAUCCUUAAGGUCAUGUAUAGUGUGUCUACUUUGCAAUCCAAGCUCCUACCCUAUAGUAUCUUCAUUUUGAGGGUCAUUGAUUAUCUACAUAUUGAUGUGUCUAACACCAUCAUAAUGGAGUCUAUUGAUAAAGAUCACCUUGUUGGUGAAAGCAUGAUCCACAAGAUGGGUAUUUACAAGUAUGGAAAUACUUGACAAUACCAAGAGGAUUACACUACUGUGGAUCUAGACUUAUCUAGAGAUGAGGAUCAUGCAAGAACGGAUGAAUAUAAUGCAGGAAACGCAUCGCAGGAACCAUCCUUUGGAUUAGCUCAUUUGGAUGUCAUGGAGCAAAGGCUAAAUAAUAGAAUGGAUCUACAUUUUCAGUCUUUCAAGGAUUCUUACCAUACUGACUUGGAGCAAUUUGAGGAACGUCAGUUUGCCUACAUUGAUAACCACUAUCAGUUCUUGAGGAGCUUUAUUCAAACCACUACUGAAGCACAAAAUGACAAGUUUUGUCUAGAAUUUGAAAAGUUGAGAGUCCUCAUCAAGAGAGAUAGCAGUCUGACAGUUCCUGAUGACAUAAAACUUCCUUUGCAUACUUAGAUUAGAAGACCUUAGACCCUAGGUUGUCUUAGGUUUAGUUCUUUUAUUCCCUAAUUUUAAGGAUUGUGUUGCUUUGUACUCGUGAGACAUAUUUUCUCUUUGCUUUUAUUGGAUUGUAAUAGUUACUAUCUACUUUUGCUGAACUUUUAUCACUUGAUAUGCAUGACAUUGAACUUUAAUCGUUAGUUUUGUUUUAAAUUGCUUAUAUCAUAUGCUUAUCUAUGUCAUACAUAAUAUGAAUAUAUGUUUAAUGGUUCUUGACCAUGAUUGGUUAUCUGCAUCUAUCCUGUUUGAUUAAGCCUGUUGUUUACAUGCUAUUAUAUUAAUGCUUGAUCAUUCUAUGCUUAACUAAUUAUUGUAUUACAUUCCAUGCCAUUAAAAUUGUUCAUUUACUAUAUUUUGUCCAUUUAAUCGAUUAACACAUGUAUUUAAUCGAUUAAGUGUUUUUCAACAAGUGCAUUUGUUCAAGCUUCCUUCAACUGGUUAAUUAGUUAAAUUCCCAAAAUUAAUUGAUGGAUUACAGUUUUCAUAUCAUUACAUAACUCUUCUUACUUUUGACUAGAUUGAUUAGUUUAUCUUUUUUAUAAUGUCAAAAGGGGGAGAAAGGUUGCUUUGUUAUUUGAUGUGUUUGCAGGUUGUAAAUAGUAUUUAGCUUCCAUUUUCUAGCAAUGCGCUUUAACUUUGAAAAUUAACAACCAUGCAUUCUAUAACCAUCAUCAAGUUAUGUAUCAAAACAAGAUUUGGUGUGGAGUUUGUCAUCAUAAAUAAGGGGGGAUUGAAAGUACAAAGUGUCAAGUAUAACACUAUUAGAUUGCCUAUGUUUUGAUGAAGAUAAGGAUUUAGUGAAAGCUUGAAGUUGACUCAACAAAUCAACAUGUUGUGGACUCAAGGGUUUCAUAUCUAGACUAGGUUCCCUAAUAGAGUUAUUUCUAGAACUCUUAGAUGUGUGCCCUAGAUAUUGAGUCUAGGUUAGGUAAAUCUAGAUACAAUUCUCACAAGCCUUAAAAAUAUUCACUUCAUUUACAUCAGAUAUGCCAUCUAGAUUAUUAUGUGUUCAUGCAUUAAUCAUACAUGUUACUUAUGCAUCUUAGGCAUAAUAUAAUGGUAAAACAUGUAUAGUUGAUAAGUAUAACAUAUAGGUUGUUUACAAUUUAAUCAUUUAGCUGGAAAAUGUGACAGUUAAUCGAUUAAGAGAGGUGUUAAUCGAUUAAUGUGAUUACGGUUUCAACAGAUAACUGAAAACCUGAAAAUAUUUAUUCCCAACAACUCGUUAAUCGAUUAAAAGGAUACUUAAUCGAUUAACUGGGUCUUAGAAAGGUUUUCUAUAUAAACUGUGUUUUUAGAUCAUGUACUAUACAUCAUGUCAUUCAUUUUUAGAAUUUCUAGUUGCAUAUUUUUCGUGCCUAAUUGUGUCAUAUAGGCAGAGUGAAAUGAAUUGUGAGAUAGUGAGAGAUAGUACCAUCUUUGGGCUUUAAUUGUCAUUUUAUUGCAUGUGGUUUAAUAUGUUAAACAUUCCUAUCUUUUCUUGCAUUUCUUUAAGAGAAUUUUAGGGUAUAAAUUCUGUGUUUCUGCAUGUUAAUAAACCCAUAUAUAUUCAUGUUAACUUGUGAGUUUUGCAUAGGGUUUUUAGCUGAGUUUUAAUUGUAUUAUUUUGAGCAAUAUUGUGCUUUAUAAUACUCUGUUUUUUGUACUAUUUUUGUAAUAAGGAAAUUUGUCUCUUGAUGUCUUACCACCUAAGACAUUCAGUGAGUCUUCGCUAAGACUUAGAGGUCUUGAGUUUAGAAUGAGUUCUUGGCUGAGGUUAGAUCGUAAGAAAGGUUUUCUUGGGCAAUUAGGAUAGUCAAACCAAGAAAGUGGGUUCUUGGAUUCAAGAAGGGAGCGUCUAAGUGUUUGUAUUGGAAGUUUGCAUGCAACUAUACAUUCUAUUCAAUAUUAGUGAAGAAAAUCUCCCGAGAUUAGAAGGGGUGACCUAGAUAUAGUUUGCAAGUGGACCCGCAAAUGAACCAGGAUAAAAUUCCUUGUUGCAGGCUUUUUCUAUCCCUAAUCUCUUUACAUUUCAAGUCUUAUAAUUAUAUGAUAUUAGCUGAUAUUUUGGAUAUUGUUAGGUUGUUGUAUCUAGUUUAAUUUUGUACAAAAAUAUAUGCUUUAUCUGUUCUUUAAUAUCGGUGAGUGGUUGUGCAAUAAGUCAUUCUACAACUUGUUGUUUUUCUGUGAGUUAAUCGAUUAAAGCAGAGUGUUAAUCGAUUAAUUGGGUCUUUUUUCAUAAUAGGGCUUCGGUGCGAAAAACGAUAAUUGAUAACCGCGACACCUAUUCAACCCCCCCUUCUAGGUGUGUUCUGUCCACUGAUACCUAACAUGGGUGUAUUCGAGAGGGAUUUUUACAUUGCUAUAAGAAAUCGAAUAAUAGAGAACAAAGCUGUUUUAUCCUGGGGCGGCGUGGUUGAAAGUCUGCUUGCACAAUUUUAGCACUACCAUGAAACGUCUUAAAGAGAGCGACCUAGUCGUGACUCGACCAAUAUAGCUUAUCUUGUGCCAUUCAGAAUUGUUGUGAGCUACGCAAACAACAUAAAUAAUAGAUGACACAUUGGUAGUAUAUAAAACUCAUAUACUGUCAGUACAUAUAUGUUUCUCUAUAUGCUCAAAGACUAGAGGAUGUACCAUAGAGCAUUUAAUGGGACCUAACUGCUAACAAACCAAUGGUUACUGCAUGCAUCUUGAUAACAAUCCGGAGAUCCAUAUCAGAUUGGAAGAUGGUAGAUUUGAGAUAGGAUAACUUAUAUAAUUAAUAAAUAACUAUCAAAUUUUUAUUUCACUAAGUGGAGUUUGUUAAAUGAGUCAAAUAAUAUAAUAAUCCUCUUAUAAAUUAUGUGUUAGGAAUUAAAUCUAUUUAUGUGUUAUUAUAUAUGGUUCUAAGUACGGAUAAAAGAUGAAUGUUAUGUUUAGUAGUUAACAGCAAACAUAAAACUUUAUCGAAUCUCUAUUAUAUAAACCUAAUACAUAAUUAAAAUUAUCUAUAACUAUAUUAAAUAAAUGUCUCUCAAUUUUUUAUUAGAAUGAAAAUCGCAACCAAUAAUCUUAUAUAUACAAUUAAUAAUUAUAUUAGAGUAAAUUCUCAAAGUUUUUUAUUAGAAUUAAAAUUGAAUGAAAUAAUAUUAUAUAUAAUUAAUAACUAUCUAUAAUUAUAUUGAAAUAUUGUCUCAUUAUUUUUAUUGGAAUGAAGCCAAUUAUUAUAGUAAUGUCUGUUUUUUUUUAAUAUUAAAUGAAUCAUAGCAUUUACUUCCAAACUUAUUCCAUAUUAAGCCAAUUAUUAUAGUAAGGCUACCAUAACAUGUGAACAGGUUGUUAGUGGCCUAGCUCCAUGUCUCACUUACCUACAAUUAGGGGCGGAUGAUUGAAGGGGUAGGUAGGGGCAAUUGCCCCCUGAGUUUUUUAAAAUGUUUUUUUUUACUUUCUUAUCUUAUGAAAUAUAUUUGUUGUCCUACAAAGCAUGUUACUUUAAGUGUCACUUGUUGUGGUUGACCAGAAAAAUAAUUAAUUAUUAAACUUUUAAAUUAUAAAAGAUGAUACAUAGAGUGACACCCUUUUUGGAAUAAGAAAUAUAUUUCUUUACCUAUACCUAAAUGAUGUCUUUAUACACAAACUCUUUGAAAUUUAAAUAUUUCUCUAAUUUGUAGCUUGAUAAAUAAAUAUUGUGUAACUUGUAUGGUUAUUCUAAAAAUUAUACGUGAUGAAUCAAACUCUUAACAUACAGAUGAUGAUAUUGCUUAUAAUAAUAUGCUUGAUUUGAGUGCCAAAUGAUUUACACUUGAUAAAAAGAUUAUGUAUGUAUUCGUAAUAUAUAUUCUAAGGAUGCUUACAUGUCAUUAAUGUUGUAGUAUAUGUAGGUCCGGUGGAGCUGUUCCUGUAACAUGUUGCAAAGGAGUCAAGGGGCUCGUGGCGUUGUCUCAGAGCACCGCUAACAAACAAACCGUAUGCAAUGGCCUCAAAUCUCCCUUACAAGAUCAGCAACUCCACCAACUGUAAUACAUAUGUUAUUUCUAUGAACUAUAAAUUCAACAUCAUAGCAAUGUUAAUCAAUUUAUUUUAAUUCACAUGAAAUUCCACAAAAUGAUUUUAUAAAGAAUGGUUAGACGUAUAAUUUCUGAAAUAUGUUUUUUAGACAAUCAACAUUAUACUAUUCAUCAACUCUUUGUGUGCAGUUUGAUAACAAUGAAAGAAGAACCAAAAGUAAUAAAUAAGUGUUGUUCUAGUAGAUUUGAAUAACUAUGUUGCACUACUUAUAUUUUAAUUAAUGAAUGAGUUUAUGACAUGCUAUUAAAAUUCUCUAUGAUAAUCUCUUAAAAUUCGUAAUUAUUGCAUAAAAUUAAAUUUAAGCACAAAAUAGAAAUUUAUUUAACAAUUUCUUACAUCAUGAUUUGCCAAUUUAAGGAAAAAUGGAUACCUCACGAUUUCCUUAUCUCGUUACUUACCUUUUUUAAUGAAGUUGUCAAGUUUUCAUCUAAAUAAUAAUAAAAUGAUAACACCCAUAAAUGGAUGAAUGGAUCUAAGCUUCUAACCACAUGAUUAUUAUCUCUUAACAACAAUCAUUUAUGUAUUUCGCCAAAUUCCUUGAAUUUUUGGAAAUAAUAAUUAAUAACAAAACUCAUAAAAAUAUUUCAUUAAAAUUAUUAAAAUGGUUUUCAUAAAUUACUCUGAUACAUACUAUUCUGACAUGUUUGUGAGCGAAAAAUCAUUAUCAUAUAUAUACAUGUAUGUUCUUUUGCUAGCUAGUUACUAAAAUUUAGUAUCAUAACAGAAUUAAACCUAAAGUAUUCUCAUGAGCAUGGAUUAUUUUUUGUCUAUAUUUGUUAAUUAAAUCACUUUAUUUUUUUAUCGGUUUUGUGCAAUAUUGCAGCAUCAAGUUCUGAAGAGUUGACGUGGUGGGAAAGAUGGAGGGACCAUAGCAAAUUUCUGAUACUAUGUAUGACAAUGUUGUAGCAUUGAUUGAUUAAUGAUAAUAAAGGGAACGCCAUGGGGGCUCAACUUAUGAGUAUUCUCUUGUCAUGGUGUCCCAUAGUUGCAUUUCAAAACAAUUGUCUAAUGUCUCACUUGGUUGUUACAUGUAAUAAUUACAUAGAUUAUAAUUUUAUGCUACACUACGUCAGAGUUGCCGUUCAACAUCGCUUAUUUUAGUUGUAUAACAACGUUUUCACGUGCUUUUUGUUUGACCGCAGUAGUAUAUGAUCAUCAUUAACAGUGUUUCACAAACGUUGUUGUAUUAAUUAUAUAUUACAUCGCAACAUAUAAAAAACGUUGUCAUAUAGUGCAUCAAUACAUCAGCGCCUCGUCCACAAAGUGUUGUCAUAUAGUCUUAAAUAAACAGCGCAUUUUAUAGGUCUUAUUAACAGUGCUUGUUGUUGCGCUGUUGAAGUUCAUACAUUUAACAACGCAAUAAUAGAAAAGCGUUGUUGUAUUAUUCCUAAUUUUUCUCAAACAACACUUUAAUACAAUAGUGCAUAACAUUGUUGUAUUAAUAAUGUAUCACAAUGCUUUCUACAAAAAAGGUUGUUGUAGUUAUCCUUUAACUACAAUGCUGCUAGGGCUUCCCCUAGAAUUUGCUGUUGAUUUGUAUAAAUUAAUAUCUGCAUAUACAUUUAUUAGCAGAACAUACAUUAUUAACAACACAUACAUUUAUACAUUCUGAACAACACAUAAAUAUUAAUACAGGCUAGAAAUUUGUUUUAUUAAACAUCAAUACAAUACAAAAUACAAACAAUGAAUAGCAUGCCAAUUAUGUUUUGACAGACUACAUAAUUACGAAUAAAAAAAUUAUAAAAAUUACAAAGAAACAAUAUUAUCCAAAUUACAAACAAUCAAAAUUAUACAAAGACUACUUGCAUCUAUUUUUUCCUUUUAAUUUCUUUGAUUGUUUUUGUCUUUUAUGGUCAUCCUUGUCUGGAGGAGCAUAUUGAUUUAGUCAAAGCCCUUCAUCGUGAUCAUCUCUUCUAUAUAAAUCAUCAUCUGUAGUUGGUCUACUCUCACGUGACUGAUAUGUCCCAAAAAAGGAUCAUCUUCACCAAUAUCUUCAUAUUCUUGGUCAUCAAUAUUAUUGACGAUUAUUUUGUUAGUUAAAAGAACAAUAGAAUAUUUCCUAUCAGUUGGGUCACUAACAUAUAAUACUUGUUGAGCUUGUGAUGCUAGAAUAAGUGGUUCAUCUUUAUAUCAUGACCUAUUAAGAUCCACUUGCAUGAACUCUAACUCAUGAACUCGGAAGUCAUUAUUGUUAUCAACCCACAUACAAUAAAAAACCGACAUCCUAAACAUUGUGUAAUCCAAUUCCAAUAUGCAUUCAAUCACUCUAAAGUAUGACACAUAUAUUGGGUUUCUAUCUUUUGCACUUGACAUGUGUAAAGUUCGAGCAACAAGAGUCACACCACUAUUUUGCAAUUUACUUUCAUCAUCUUGUUUUUUGUAUAAAAUGUGAACUUAUUAAUCAAGUAACCAAUGUAGGAUAAGACAUGAAGGCUUGGACCAUUGGCUAACCAUUUCAAUCUUUCGGAAACUGAAUGUGCAUUUAUAUUCAACUCCUCAUCAAUGUGAUUUUUUAGUCACUUUAUGAAACACCUAUUAUGCUCUUUGGAAAUUCAAUUUUCAUUCUUACCUGAGUAACACUUCCUUAGCAUCUCCUUGUGUGUUUCAACAUAUGGCUCAACAUCGUCGGCAUUAUGUAAAACAUAUAAGCGCGCUUGCUCCAAUUCGGUUCUGGUUAUAGUCAAUAUCUCAUUCCCAAUAAUACCUUCACCAAAUGUUUUUUUUUUUUUUCAUAUCGAGGCUUUGGAAUGCCCAUGAAAUCACCAUCGGUAAGGUAUCCGGUACAAAAAUCAAGAACUUCUUCAACAACAUAUCGCUCGACAAUACAACCAUCUGGUCGUGAUCGGUUCUUCACAUACCCUUUUAAUGUCUUCAUAUAACACUCAAAGGAGUACAUCCAUCUCAUAUAGGAAGGGUCACAUAGUUGUAUCUCUCGAACAAGAUGAAUGCUUAGAUGAACGAUUAUGUCAAAAAAAGAAGGUGGGAAAUAUAUUUCAAGCUCACACAAAGUCAAAUUAACAAUACUUACAAUUCUUUCCUCGAUUCCUCUAUACCACGCUCGAGAAGCUCGAUAUGAAUAUAAAGGCUUGGAUGCCUUCUUGCAGUUUUCAUUACUUAAUUUCUGAAACAAUAAACAACAUUAAUAUCAAGAGUCAUAUACAAAAGCAUAUAUACAAAAGUCAAUACAAAGAAUAUGAUUUUACCAAGAAAGACUUGUCUUAUGUGCGUAGGGUGACAAAAGUCUUCCAAUCCUCUUCAUCAAAGAUAUUUGUAUAUUUAAUUAGAGGUUUUAGGUUGACAUUACCAUCAGAAUCUCUGAGUAAUUUUCCGGCAUAAGUUCAGAAUUGUCGGAGAGCCUUGCCAUCCGAUUUAAGGAUAUAAUCCUUAUGCUCCUCACCAACAUCAAAAGUUGUCUGAAAUAAAAACAUAUAUACAUUACAUAUUGCAUGCGUAUACACACAUUGCAUGAAAACGUAACACAUAUACCUACAUUGCAUGAAAACACAAAAACUGAAAAAAUAAACUUACUAUUAUUUCAUUCCAAAUAGAUUCCUUCAUGGUAUUUGUUGAAUGUUAGCUUCAGAUUUUGCCUAACAACAACACCAAUUUAGCUUACCAAUGUGUUGCUACCCUUCUUGUUUAAUGGUUGGCCUUUAGAGUUCCAUUGAACUUCUAUCUUCACAUCCUUACUUCUUGACCGAAUGACAUUCUUCAUGAAAGUCAUUCCACGUGGAGGUCGUUUUUUUAGCAAUGAUUUGCUGGUCUUGUGGAGUCGGUGAAGCUUCAUAACCACUGUGAGAUACAUGAUCGCCACUUUGGGAAGCCACUGAUGAAGUUUUUUUAGUUUAUGAGAGUAUAAGGGUUUAUGAGAGUAUGAGGGUUUGCUGAGAGUGUGAGGAUUUCUUUUCCAGUAAGUUUGAGAGCGUAAAGGAAAUAAUUCAUGCUUUAGAUAUUUAAACAGUAGUAACCAUUUUCACAGCACAUAUUAACGAUAGCUGAGAGUGCAAAGCGUCAAGGAUUGUAUUAGCAACGUUUGCCUAUGUUUUGAUGAAGACAAGGAAUUAGCUAAAGCUUGAAGAUGGCUCAACAAUCAACAUGUCGAGGGAUCAAGUGGUGUCUAUGCUAUUAUUCUUUAUUAUCUUUUUAGAAGUCUAGGAUGCUUGCCAUAGAUAUUGAGUCUUGGUUAGGUAAACCUAGGUGUGAGUCUCACAAGACAUAAUAAAGUAAUCAAUCCAUUACAAUGAGACAUCAUCUAGAAAUAUAUGAUAAGUAGGUUCAUGCAUUUGAAUACAUUGAUUUUGUGCAUUAAAGGUAUUAUAUUUAGGAAAUCAUGUAUUGCAUGAGCAUAUAACAUAUAAGAAGUUUACCAUUUAAUCUUGUAUUAAAAAUACACAGGUUAAUCGAUUAACACCAUGGUUUAAUCGAUUAACGUGUAUGUUUUUCUGCUGUUACAACAGCAUAACUGAAAAACCGUUUUUGAGAGCCAAAUUUUGUUUUGUAUAAAUACUGGCUUGAUUGCAUAAACGACUAUGUAGAAAAAGAGAGAAAAACACAAAGAAAUAGAUAUAGAUCAUCAUUGUUAGAAUCUAUUGAGAAAGUGUUGAAUUAGGAGAAAGUUUAGAUCAUGCUAAGGCUUUAGAUUUCAUAUUCAUAUUGCAUGUUUCUUUGAAAAGCUUUCUUGCACAUUCNNNNNNNNNNNNNNNNNNNNNNNNNNNNNNNNNNNNNNNNNNNNNNNNNNNNNNNNNNNNNNNNNNNNNNNNNNNNNNNNNNNNNNNNNNNNNNNNNNNNUGCCGUGGACAGCAAAACGAACCAGGAUAAAAUCCCUGCGCAAUCUUUUCUAUCCUUUUCUCUUUUAUGUUUCAAUAUGUUUUAAUGCGAAUCUGGAACUAAUAUUUUGCAUACUUGUUCCUUGCUAUGUUCUUGUUAAUCUUGCAUGAAAGUAUCUGUUGUAUAUUUGUUUGCGAAUUGGUUUAUAACUGUGCAUGUUGCUGAACCGAUCAUUCUGUUUCUGUUACUAGUUAACCGAUUAAGACCAGUUGUUAAUCGAUUAACUGGGCACUUUUCAGCAAGUGUGUAAAAACCAGAAAAGUGGAAAUUGAGUUCUGCCACACCUACUCAACCCCCCUCCCUUCUAGGUGUAUUCCGCCACUGAUACCUAACAAGUGGUAUCAGAGCUAGUACGUGUGCUAGCUCUACCGCAUGCAAUAACCGCCCUCCCGUAUUCAGUGUAAGGUUAUGCCUAAUGGAAGGUUCACAUGAGAAUCUAUAUUAAGCCAAUAGACACGGACAUUUGGGAUUUUGUUGUCAAUGGUCCAUACAUUCCACUUCAUAUGGUGGAUGGCAAGCUGGAAGAAAAGCCUAAAGGCUUAUGGACGGAUAUUGAGAAAAGAAAGGUCCAACAUGACCUUAAGGCCAAGAAAAUUAUUACUUCGGCCUUAUCUUAUGAUGAAUUCUUUAGAGUCUCACAGUGCCUUUAUGCAAAAGAAAAGUGGGAUACUUUACAAGUUACCCACGAAGGCACGAGUGAAGUUAAGCGCGCUAGACUAAAUGCGCUUACGCAUGAGUAUGAGUUAUUUCGCAUGCUUCCUAAUAAAUCUAUAUGUAAUAUGCAAAAACGUUUUACUCAUGUUGUAAAUCAUUUGGUCGCCCUUGAUAAAACCUUUACUAAUGCUGAUUUGUCUAACAAAGUUUUGCGUUGUCUUGGUAGGAAAUGGCAACCAAAGGUAACCGUAAUAAUGUAGUCAAAGAAUUUAGACAACAUGUCAUUAGCUACUCUGUUUGGGAAACUCCAAGAACAUGAAAUGGAGUUUGACUUUGAAUGAAGAAUCAGACAAGAAAAGAAUCACACUCAAAGCUACAAGAUUUCAAGAAGAUUAAGAAAGUGAGGAUUGUAGUUCAGAUUUUGAUUCCGAUGAAGACUUGACUCUCCUAUUUGAAAAAUUCAAGAAGUAUCUCAAGAAGAAAGGAGGGAUCAAGAAUCUCAAGAAAGAAGUCAAGAACUCAAACAAGAAGAGCAACUCUCAAAUGUCCAAGUGAAAAGAAGCAUACAUUGUUUGGAAUGAUUCCGAGAAAGAUUCGACUUCAAGCUCAUCUGAUGAGGAGAUAAAUUCAAAGAUAUGCCUUAUAAAACAAGUGCAUGAGAAGUGCACAUCUAGUGAUGAAGAUAANNNNNNNNNNNNNNNNNNNNNNNNNNNNNNNNNNNNNNNNNNNNNNNNNNNNNNNNNNNNNNNNNNNNNNNNNNNNNNNNNNNNNNNNNNNNNNNNNNNNAUGUGAUUGCUCUACUUCUAAAUUAUGUCAACCCUCUAUAUGUGAUAAUUGUGAGAAUUUAAAUGUUGAAAAUUCUGUUUUAAAACAAAAACACUCAAAGCUCACAUAUAGUCAAGAAAACCUCAACACAUUGCUUGAUAACACAAGAAAUGUUGGUAACCGAACUGGAAUUGGAUAUAAACCUGAACCUAAGAAAAGACCAUAUAGAAAUCCAGUAGUUCAUAUGCAUAUAAUGUCAAAUAAUAACAUGCCUACUUGCUUCUAUUGUGGUACACAUGGUCACACAUGCACUACAUGCUUUAUUAAAAAAUUCGGUGUACCAACUGGAAAAUAUGUUUGGGUAAAGAAAGGGCAAGAUCNNNNNNNNNNNNNNNNNNNNNNNNNNNNNNNNNNNNNNNNNNNNNNNNNNNNNNNNNNNNNNNNNNNNNNNNNNNNNNNNNNNNNNNNNNNNNNNNNNNNUUCCGUACUAUGCUACCUACCAAGAAUACUUCUCUAAAUAAUUGAAGGGGAGAAGAUAAAGGGAAGAACAAUGAAAGGGGGAGCAACGCACUUUGAAUGUCAAAUAAACCAUUCAAACAUCAUUUCAUCAAACUUUUCAUCUAGUAUCAUCUAACAAGUGGUAUCAUAAAUGGUAUCACAAAGAAGUGGUAAUCUUGACCUAUCUCCAAAGGGUAAGCAAGGUAAGCAUAUUAACAAGGUUAAAAAAUUAUCUCUUAGUAAGCUCAAAAUCAUUUUUAAAACUAUCAAAUUUCUUUCGUUAAUCGAUUAACAUCUCUGUAUAAUCGAUUAAAUGAGUUCCAGUAGCUAAAGCUGUCUGAAAUAAAUCAUCUUAAUCGAUUAAAUUUUGUGAUAAUCGAUUACCUGGGCUCAAAUUCUUUUUGAAAUUUAAUUCUUCCUGUUUUGUGGCUUACGCUUAUAUUUUUGAGUCAAGUACAUCUCAUGAUUAUGACUGUACCAACUUUUAGCAUUUUGUAACUAUGUUGAACCUUGCUAAUUAUGUUAAAUAGAACUUGUUUUUGCAUGAAUCUUGAAUAUAUCUUAAUUUUGUAUUAUAAUUGAAUGAUUGUAAUAUGCCUUAAAAUGAAAAUAGCCUAACAAGUGCUAACUAGUGCUGCUAUGUUUAAAUGUUUAAAUGGCUUACAUCUAUGUUUAAUCAUUUCAUGUCUUAAAUGUUUACAUAAUAGAUAUAUCAUGCUUAAAUGGUUAAUUAUGUUGCAUGUAGCAUCUUACUUUGUUUGAACUGGAUCUUGAUCAUGAUUGGUAUAUGUGAUUAUAUUGAUCAUUAUGCCUAUUGCAAACUGCUCAAAUAUAUCAAAUGCUUAAUCAUUUCGCACUUGAUUUGCUUCUGCAUAACCCUUCAUGCCAUUCAAAUUGUUCUGCUGCUAUCUGCUCUCCAUUUAAUCGAUUAAGACAUGCUAUUAAUCGAUUAAAUGAUGUAUAACUGUGCAUCUGUUUAAGCUUCUCAAACUAGUUAUUGCCUAUAUUAAUAAUUACAGUUUUUUUUAAAAACAAUUGCUAUAACUCUUCUGACUUUUGACUAAAAUUGAAUAUUCGUAUCUUUUUUAUAAUGUCAAAAGGGGGAGGAAGGUUGCUUGUUGUGUUUGAUGUUAUUUGCAGGGGAGAAAGGUUGCUUACCUAAGGGGGAGCAAAGUGCUUUCAACUUUGAAGUCACAACCAUUAUGCAAAUGUACAACAUCAUNNNNNNNNNNNNNNNNNNNNNNNNNNNNNNNNNNNNNNNNNNNNNNNNNNNNNNNNNNNNNNNNNNNNNNNNNNNNNNNNNNNNNNNNNNNNNNNNNNNNCCCCCCUUUUAGGUGUAUUCCGCCACUGAUACCUAACAUAGCGCUGUUGUAUUGACCUCUUCAGCAGCGCAUAUGAAUGGUAGCGAUGUUGUAUUGACAUCUUCAACAGCGCAUAUUAAUGAUUGCGUUUUUGUUGUGUAUCCAAUUCUACACUACUCAUUUUAUGAACACGACCUCUUCCACAUCGCAUAUUAAACAUAGCGAUGUUGUAUCAACAUCUUCAACAGCGCAUAUUAAGGAUUGCGCUGUUGUUGCGUACCUAGCUGUUUACUACUUAUUUUCAUUAACACAUCAGCGCUAUCGAGAUAUAGCGCUGUUGAAUAGAAACUAAUUGACAACGCUAUCUAAAUUAUGCGUUGUUGAAUAGAAUCAAAUUGACAGCGCAGUCGUAAUUAUACGCUGUUAAACUGAACUCAUUUUCCAAAUUAACAGCGUAUUCGUAGUUAUGCCCUAUUAAAUUAACAUUUUAUAUUACUGGAAAAUAUUUAUACAACAUGAAUAUACUUAAGUUAACAUGAAGUUGCCAUGAAGUAGAUUAUUACUAUAUAAUUGUGUUUAUUAAUACGAAACUGGAUAAAAUAUUAAACAUUACAUUUUGUUAAUUUGUUUUUGUAUUUAUUAAGUAUUGAUAAUUUGUUUAUUGUGUUUAUUAAUAAGGGACAAUGAAAAGGUAUUAAAGAGAAUAAUCAUCCAAAUAAUUAACAAAAAACAGAAAUUAACAUCCAAAAUAAUUGUUUUAUUAUUCAUUCAGAGAGACAAAAUAAAUUAUACUGAACUAAAUGAUUUGGUACAUGCGAAUAUAAUGAACUAAAUGAUUUGGUAGAAGAGGAAAUAAUAUUGUCCACAAUUUUUCUUUGACUCCUCUACACAAAUCUUGUAUAAUAGUUCAUUGAUUUUCUUUUAAAAUAUUGAUCCUUUUGCCAUGAAGGAAAUCAAUAAACUUAAGGAAUUGUUGCAGAUGAUGAAGAAAAAUAAUUCAUUGAUCCCAUUUUUCCUUUUAUUUCGGUUAAAUUGAAAGAGAUCAAUGAAAAUUGAAAGAGCUCAAUGAACUAAAUAAUUCAUUCCCCUUUUCCUUUUAUUUCCUUUCAAUUGCAAAUGAAAGAGAUUAAUCAACUAAAUCUUCAUCUCACGCAAAUCUUAUAUGACAACCACCUUCCUUCUGAAAUCUGGGUCCUUUUCCAAAAUCAAAAGUUGUUAAAGACCUCCUUGACAUGAUUCUAAAAUAAAAACACAAUUUUUUCCUCGACCCAUGUACACAAAUCUGGGUGCUUUUUCUCUUUUUCACUCUUUGCAGUAUUGCUCUUUUUUCUUUUACUUCUUUGUGUUUUCUUCCUCCUAUCUUCAUGAACAUACUCUUAUAGAAACACGUACUCUUAGACUCUUAGCCCAUAUUGGUUGAAGAGAAUCAGCUGCUUUUUCUCUUGUAUGCAUUUUUCUUGUCAGAUUUGUUAAUGGUGUUCUUUUAGGCAUGGCGAGCGCAUUAUCAACACUUUGUGGUCAAGCAUACGUCACGAAAGACUAUGUAAUGAUGGGAGUAUAUCUUCAAAGAUUAUGGAUAGUUUUAUUCUUAACUGAACUCAUUCUUAUUCCUUUGUUCAUCUUCACAAGACCAAUUUUUAUUUUAUUAGGCCAAGAUGAAAGCAUAACAGAAGUUGCAGGAACCAUUUCUCUUUGGUCAAACAAGGAGCACUCAUGUUUGCAUUUCAAGAAUAAAAUUGAUUUUCCACUACAUAUCUUCUUGACAAGUACAUAUUAUUGCACUGAUCACAAAAUUAUCUUCUCAUUCUUCAUUCCACAAAUCCCACUCACAAAAAAACAACCAAAUCAAACAAAUAAAAGCCAAAUUAAUUCAUGCAUUAACGUGAGAUAUUUGAUACAACAAUUUAAAUGAAAUGGAGGAUGAUGCAAAUGUAAGACCCAAAAUAGUGCAGAUCCUUAGGCAUGUUUUUCUAAUGACACAAGACAUCUUCGAAAAUCCCAAACACUACAGAUAUAUCCCUAGUCACCCAAUUUUAGCCUUAGACUUUAUGAAAAGAAAUUUCUUCUAAAAUACCCGCAAAAUCUCAGGCAAAACUCAGGGCAAAUAAAAAUGCACUAGCAAUGACCGCUAAAAGGAAAAAUUUAAAUAUCUCCUGGGAAGAUUAUCGCCUAAAUAUUAAGCUUUCACCAAUUCCAUCACACACAAAAAAUCAAACAAAAUUUUAGUACUUGAAUGUCAUGCUAGAAAAUUGUUGAGAAUAUGACAAUGGAGAAAGGAGAAAAAGGUAAGGGAAACACAUAUUUGAGCCUUUAUAUCAUUUUCAAAACCCCUUAGCUAAACCACGAUACAAACUCAAAAGACCUUAUCGAGGAUUUAAUUUGUUGAAGGUACACACCAGGGCAGAGAAACACUGACUCCAAUAAAUAUCAUAAAUUAUUGAUGAAAAUAUCUUAUCUUUAAUGCAUCUAAUUAAACUCCAUCCUUGAUCAUCAUCACCACCACCAAAUCAAUACUCCACAAAAAAUUAGGGAAACAAAAUGAACACCCUCAAGUGAAUAUUCAUUAUUGUUCAUCCUCAACUAUGCAAACUAGGGCAUUUUUUUUGAAUUAUGAGUCUCAACCUCUAUUCCCUAAAAUUCUCAUCAAGUCUAUGUUAAAUAUCAGGGCCAUUUAUUGGGUCAUCAUAAUCUUUCAAUAAAUUAUUGACAAAAUAUUGGGGCAGUUUAAUUGAUUCACCUACUCCAAACUAGGGCAGUUCCUCGAAUGACCAAAGUGAUCCUAGAAAGCAAGCAACUCAUCAACAACUAUGUCAACUAAAGCCAUCCAUAAAAAGGUUAUGAAACAGAAAAGUUUUAAGGGUGCUAAAGAACAAUUUGGAAGACAAAUGAACAAAAGAAUUUCUAAAUUCGUUGUUCCAAAACACAAUGUCGUUUCGAUCCACUCAUUCAAUAAUUAUGGUUCAUACACCACUUCAUCAUUCAAUCUUCAUUUAUCAUUUUAACAGACAAACAAACCAUUCUUUCAUUCAUUACAUAUCAUUCAUAACAAUACAAACAUACUAUGAAAGAUAUCACCAACUAAGUCAAUACCCAUGUAUCACAAAACAUACAUUUAUAACAUCAUAUAAAUAAAAACAUGCAUCAUCCUUCCAUAAUUACAUCUUCAAAUAUGGUCAAUCAAAUUACUUUUAAAGAAAAAAACCAUUGUGGGACUCAAAUGCUGAAAUAUUAUGACGUUGCUAGACUUAAGAUGAUAGAACAUUCUUAAAAGUAAGCAUUCACGGACUCAAACGCCAAAAUGUUAUGAUGUUGGUCGACUUAGACGCUGAAACGUUAUUAAAAGUAACCAUUGUCGGACUCAGACACCAAAAUGUUAUGAUGUUGCUAGACUCAGACGCUAGAACGUUCUUAAGAAGAAAAUAACAUUGGUGGACUCAGACGCUGAAAUGUUAUGACGUUGUUGGACUCACACACUAGAAUGUUCUUUCAUAAACAUCAUUUUUUAAUUUUAAUGUCUAUAGUAUUGGCAGUACCCAGUCCGCGUUCACGCAUUUACCUUUUUUAUCUCAAGUUCUGGUAGUACAUGACUUGCGUUAUCGCAUUUACCUUUAUUCUCUUGAGUUCCGGCAGUAUCCGACCUACGUUCUCGUAUUUACCUUUAUUUAUCGAGUUCUUGUAGUACCCGACCUACAUUCUCGCAUUUACUUUUACUCACUCGAGUUCCAACAGUACCCGACCUACAUUCUCGCAUUUACCUUUAUUGUCUCGAGUUUCGGUAGUACCUGACCUACGUUCUCGCAUUCACCUUUAUUAUUUCGAGUCCCGAUAGUACCCGACCUGCAUUCUAACAUUUAUCUUUAUUCUCUUAAGUUCCGGUCAUACUCGACCCGCGUUCUCGCAUUUACCUAUAUUCUCUCGAGUUCUGGUCGUACGUGACUUGUCUUCUUGCAUUUACCUUUAUUGUCUCGUGUUCCGGCAGUACUCGACAUGUUUUAUCGUAUUUACCUUUAUUUCUAGAGUUCCAGCAGUACCCGACAUGCAUUCUGACAUUUACCUUAAUUCUCUAGAGUUCCAAUAGUACCCGACUUGCGUUCUCACAUUUACCUAUCUUGUUUCGAGUUCCGGCAAUACUCGAUCUAUGUUCUCGCAAUUACCUUUAUUCUCUCGAGUUUCGGAGUACACGACCUGCAUUUUCGCAUUUACCUUUAUACUCUCGAGCUUCGGCAGUACCCGGCCUGCAUUCUCGCAUUUACCUUUAUUCUAUUGAGUUCUGGUAGUACCUGACAUGCCCCCUAAUUUUUAUACUUUCAUUACACAGACCACCCCGCAUGAGAAAUAAGUGCAAUCUUUUAAUAAAAAAUGUGAUAAAUGUAAUUAAGUUAAACAAAACAUGGGAUAUUGUGGAGACAAGUCCAAAUAAUAAUAUGAGUCGAUACCUCUUUAUUAUUUUUGGUUCUUUAUGAUAUAGCAAUUUAAACAAUAUCUUUUUAGAAUUGUUGAUGCAUUUUGUAAUAAAAUUAAUAAAGAUACAUUGAUUUGUAUAUUAUUUGAAUUUUUCAUUAUAAUAUAUGAUGUUUUGUUUAACUUAAUUGCAUUUAUCACAUUUUUUAUUUAAAAAAUUACACUUAUUUCUCAUGUAGGGGUGGUCAGUGUAAUGAAAGUAUAAAAACUAGGGGAGGUUUGUGUAGGUGUAAAAAAGUGAGGGGUGGUUUGUGUAAUUUCACUAAAACUCAUAGGGUGUCAGUGUAAUUAACUCUUGAAUUUAUAAUGAAUGAUGAAUUAUGAUUCUUUCAACUAUGUUAUGCUACAUUCGUUAUUUGCAUUGAAAUUUUAUUAUUGUUAAGAACAUUUAUAUUUUGUAAUGUAUAUUUAAAUAAUAAUUAUAAACUAAUAAGAUUAAAGUUGUGAAAAUUAUGAAAUUAAAUCGAGGUUGAAAUCGUCUAGAAACGUACAAUAGUUACCCCUUUCAAAGUCUCUAUAUGUUAUUUGGAGUUAUGGAGGUUGAAAAUCUCCACAAUUAACCUUCUCAAAUAGUGGAGAUUUAAAGUCUCCAUAGUAAACAUUACAAAAACCUCCAAAUAUAAACCGAUACAAAUAUAUAAAUACCAAGGUUUUUUAAAACCUCCACAAAAUGCUUCUAACGGUCAUAACUGUGACGGUUUUUGAAACUUUUGCUAAUUAUUUUGUGGAGGUUAAAAAUAUCCGCUAAUCUAAAAAAAACCUACACUAAAUACAAAAUCUGUUGUAGUGACAAUAUUUUAUUUUUUAUAUGUGUUUGACAAGAGUUCAUCUUGCUCCUACAUAUUCGAUCCCUAGGUGCAAUAGGGAAAUCAAGACUACGUAGUUCUUAUGGAAAAUUAAUUAAUCAGUUUGGUUGAUUUGGAACAUAUCAAUAGAUUUGGUGGAGUAGAUUUUAAAAUGUUUAUAAUAUAGCAUUGUUUUAAUUUAAUGGAACUAAUAGCUUCGAAAUAGUAUUAGUCGUAGACCUUCUUCCCUUUUCCAGAGAAGUUAGAGAUGACUCGAACCAUGACCUUAUUAGUGAAAGUGUGCAUGUCAAGAGGAACACUUUGGAAGGCUCUCCUUGAACGUCAUGGUUUUGAUGAAGACAACGUGUGCCUAAAUGUGCUUGAAGAUAACCAACAAUCCAACGUGCUUGAGUCUUUUAUUUGGUACUAGGCUUAGACUAGUUUCUAGUUUAAGUUGAGUCGAAGGCUUAGGGCACCUAAAACAUGUCUCAUAUGCAUUUAUCUUUAAAUCAUUUCAUCCAUGAGAUAUGUUCAUUUGAUAAUAUGUUCAUGCAUUACAUAAAUACAUGUAUAUAUGCAUUCUAGGCAUAAAACUAAGUGUCAAACAUGUAUUAUCUAAGUGCAUAACAUAUUCGAUGUUUUCUAUUUGAAAAUACACAUUUUAUUUAGUGUUAAUCGAUUAACCAUACCUUUAAUCGAUUAACCCAACUGCUGUGUAAAGUGGUUGCCACUGGAACACGUUUUUGUAAUGCAGUUAAUCGAUUAAAGGUUCCCGUUAAUCGAUUAACCUAACUGAUUUUAAAGUGUUAAAUCUGAAAAACUGAAAAACAGAAUCAGUUAUGAUUUUUAGUCCCGUUAAUCGAUUAAGAAGGUAUUUAAUCGAUUAUCUGGGGUUCUGGACUGAUUCUUUAUAAACUGCGUUUUCAGAAUUAAUCUCAUAAGUUGCAUGUUGCAUUUAUUAGAGAGUUAGAGCAUUCUACGUGUUAAUUGCUGCAUCUAUUUGUUAAUUGCAUUAGUGAGUUUAGAAAUGAGAGAUUCCUUGCUUUAGGAUUGAGUGCAUUUCAUGUUAUAAUCUCUCAUGUUUUCCCUCACAUGUUCAUGCAUAUUUUUGAUGCGUUUUUCAUGAAUUUUAUAAUUCUGUAACUUCUGUUUUCAUAACUAAUACUUGUCAUUUCACAUGUGUUUGUGUUAAAUGUGCAUUAGAGUAAAGCCUUCAUGUUGUAUUUGAGCUUAGGUAUAGCUUAAUAUUACUCUUGUAAUUCUUGUGUAAUUGUUGUGAAAGGGAAUCUCUUGGUGUCGUAUCACCAGUAGAGAUUGUGUGUUUCUUCAUAGCUUAGAGUGUAAGAAAAGGAAAGAACGAGAGAUUCUUUGGCUGGGGCUACGCCGAAAGAAACGUUUUCUUUAUCGGUAGGAAGGGAGUCAAACCAUUGGAUAGUUUCUUUGAUUUCUUGUCAUUUGCUAAGUGUUGUAAUUGGAUAAUGUGUUUGUAAAUUACAUUGAUUCGAUUAUAGUGAAGGAAAUCUCCCAAGUCAGCCGGGAGGCCUGGAUGUAGUUUGCAGUGGACAGCAAACGAACCAGGAUAAAAAUUCGAUUUGCAGGAUUUGUUUCUCUCUCUCUCUUUACUGUUUUUCAAUCGAUUUAAUUUGUAUAUUUGAUUCAACUAAUACAUUCUGUUCUUUUGUUGUAUUGCAAGCUAUUCUGAUAUACAAAUUUGUAAGCUCUGUAUUCGUUCUGUUAUCGGUUAUUUGUUUCGCAUUUAAUCGUUUCUGUAAUUGCUUACUGGUUCUGUUUAAUCGAUUAAUAUUCCUGUGUUAAUCGAUUAUACUGUUUCUAUUAAUCGAUUAAAAUAGUUUCUGUUUAAAACUGUUUUUUGUGUUAAUCGAUUAAGACUGUGCUUAUAAUCGAUUAUCCUUUUCUCCUUAAUCGAUUAAAUAGGGUUGAUUCAGCAUUAAGUGUUGAUUUGCGAAAAGCGGUAAUUCUAACCGCGACACCUAUUCAACCCCCCCCUUCUAGGUGUAUUGUAACCACUGAUACCUAACAAGUGGUAUCAGAGCUAGUACGAAGUGCUAGCUCAACCGCGUAUUCGUGAUCCUAAAGGGAAAAGGAAUGGGUUCUUCAAAUCCAUUUGGUGGUGAUGGGUCAUCCAUUAAUCGACCACCAAUAUUCAGUGGUGAAGGGUAUGCCUACUGGAAAGUGCGCAUGCAAAUUUUUAUUGAGGCCAUAGACUCGGAUAUUUGGGAAUCCGUAGUCAACGGCCCUUACGUUCCACAACAUCUUGUGGACGAUCAACCUAAAGAUAAACCGAAAAGUUUAUGGACCGAUGAUGAGCGCAAAAAGGUCCAGCAUAACCUGCGCGCCAAAAACAUCAUCACAUCGGCCCUAUCAUAUGAUGAAUUCUUUAGGGUCUCGCAGUGCCAUAAUGCGAAAGAAAUGUGGGACACUUUACAAGUGACUCACGAAGGCACUAGCGAAGUCAAGCGCGCAAGACUGAACGCGCUGACCCACGAAUAUGAGUUGUUUCGCAUGUUACCAAGCGAAUCAAUAUGUGAUAUGCAAAAGCGAUUCACUCAUAUUGUCAACCAUUUAGUUGCUCUCGAUAAAUCAUUUGCUAGAGGUGAACUAACUAAUAAAGUUUUGCGUUGUCUUGACAGGAGAUGGCAACCAAAGGUGACUGCAAUUGUUGAGUCUAAAGAUUUAGAUUCUAUGCCUUUAGCUACUUUAUUUGGAAAACUUCAAGAGCAUGAAAUGGAGUUGGGUCGCUUGACCAUGAAUGAAGAAUCAGACCGGAAGAAGAAGAGCAUCACUUUGAAGGCCACGACCUCCAAAGACAAAGAAGAGAAAAUUGAUGAUGAAUCUGAUUCCGAUCUAGAUGAUGAAACUAUGGGUCUCCUAGUCCGAAAAUUUAGCAAAUUCAUUAAAAGAAAAGGAGGACUCAAAAAGUUUCAAAAGAAGGAAGCGAAAGAGUCAACCAGUAAAGGCAAGAAUAACAAGGAUCGCUUCACUUGCCAUGAGUGUGGAAAGGUAGGGCACAUGAGGUUUCAGUGUCCAACCUACCUAAAGAAGGUUGAUUCAGAGAAGAGCACUCCCAGGGACUUCAAAUCCAAGAAAGCUUACAUCGUUUGGGAUGUACCUGAGGAGGAAUCGACAUCGAGCACCUAUAGUGAGGAGGAGUCAGCAAAGCUGUGUCUGAUGGCCAGAUCUGACAUCAAUACAAAUUCAGACUCAUGCAAGGGCAAUGAUGAGGUAUAUUCUGACACCUCAUCCACUUCGAAUGAUUCACCUCCUUAUGAUGUAUUGUAUGAUGCUUAUGUCGAGUUGCAUGAUGAAUUAAAGAAAUUGGCUAGAAUUAACAUUGAUAGGAAAAGAAUAAUCCUGAUAAACGAACAAAAAAUAAGCCAAUUACAAAAAGAAUUAGAUGAAUUAAAACUGGAAAAUGAAACUUUAGAUCUCAUCUAUUCUUGUAGUUCAUGUAACUGCUCUGCUAGUAACUUAUGUCAAAAACCUGUCUGUGAGACUUGCGAGACUUUGCAAGAGGACAAUUUUAAACUAAAUGAAAAACUCACACGUCUCACAAACAGUAAACUGCAAUUAGAUAACCUGCUUAAUCAAACUAGAAAUGUUGGUGAUCGAACUGGUCUAGGUUAUACUCGCACUGCUAAAAAGAAGCGACCAUAUAGAAAACCGGUAGCUCAAGCUAAAAACAAAUAUCAUAAGCAUUCUCCUACUUGUUUUUAUUGUAACACAUAUGGUCAUACUUAUCAUUCAUGCUAUAUCAAAAAGUAUGGUAUACCUAGCGGAGUUUAUGUAUGGAAAAAGAAGGGAGAUAAUUCCCUAAUCACUAACAGAAAAGGACCCAACACCAAUUGGGUACCUGAGAAAAGUAAGUAAUCUAUUUUGCAGGUAUGUCUCCGAACACAUGGACAAAAAUGGUACUUAGAUAGUGGGUGUUCGAGGCAUAUGACAGGUGAUAGAUCAAAUUUCCUGGAUCUCUCACUUAAAGGAAAAGGAUACGUCACUUAUGGAGACAACAACAAGGGAAAGAUACUCGGCACAGGAACAGUUGGUAACUCAUCCCAAACUCUGAUUGAUAAUGUCCUUUAUGUUGAAGGACUAGAACAUAACUUGUUGAGUAUAAGCCAACUCUGCGAUAAAGGUAAUCGUGUAUCCUUCGAUUCUGAUUGUUGUGUCAUUCGUGAUAUUUUAUCUAAUAACGUUAAAUUUGUUGGUCACCGUAUAAAUAAUAUUUACAUGGUUAAUUUGGACGAUGUCACUACAUUAUUUUCAAAAUGCCUUAUUUCUAAAGAAGAUGACAUCUGGCUAUGGCAUAGACGUGUUGCACAUAUCCAUAUAAAGCAUCUAGAUAAAUUAUCAUCAAACGAACUAGUUGAGGGGCUACCAAAAUUGAAUUUUAAAACUAAAGAAAUUUGUGACACUUGUCAAAAGUGUAAACAAACCAAAAACUCUUUUAAAAAUAAAAAUGUGAUAUCCACCUCAAGACCUUUGGAGCUACUCCAUAUGGACUUGUUUGGACCAUCACAAAUCAUGAGUUUUGGUGGUAGUUACUACGCUCUAGUUAUUGUUGAUGAUUUCUCUAGAUUUACAUGGACAUUGUUUUUAUCAUCAAAAAGCGACGCGUUCAAAAAUUUUAAAAAUCUUGCCAAGCAAAUCCAAAACCAACUUAACCUAAAAAUAAUAUAUAUACGAAGUGAUCACGGGGGAGAAUUUGAGAACUUUCAGUUCGACAAAUUCUGUGAUAAGCAUGGCAUUUUGCAUCAGUUCUCUGCUCCUCGCACUCCACAACAAAAUGGAGUUGUAGAGAGGAAAAAUCGUGUUUUAGAAGAAUUAGCGAGAACCAUGCUUAACGAAAGUAAUACCCCCAAGUACUUCUGGGCUGAUGCAGUUCAUACUGCAUGCUAUGUUAUAAAUCGAGUACUCUUAAGGCCAAACUUGAACAAAACUCCUUAUGAACUUUUAAAAGGCCGCAAACCAAAUAUAUCCCAUCUUCACGCUUUCGGUUGCAAAUGUUUUAUAUUAAAUAAUGGAAAGCGGGCCUUAGGGAAAUUCGACUCUAAAGCCGAUGAGGGAAUAUUUUUGGGAUACUCGAUUCAUAGCAAAGCGUUCAGAGUCUUUAACAAAUAUUUAAUGCAAGUUGAAGAGUCUAUCCAUGUACAGUUUGACGAAUCUUCUCCAAAAGAGAAGAGAAAGGUCGUUUCUGAUGAUGUUGCAGGUGCUUUGGAAGAAGCAUACUCCAAGGACAUGGAUAAUGAAAAAGGAGCCAAUGAUGAAGGUCAAAUCGAACCUCAAGAGCACUCAGACAUGCCUACCGUGUGGAAAACAAAGAAAGCUCACCCAAUUGAUAAAGUUAUAGGUGACAUAUCUACGGGAGUGGUAACCCGUAGUUCCUUACGAAAUUUCUGUAAUUUUGUAGCUUUUGUAUCGCAAAUUGAGCCUAAGACCGUUGAUGAGGCCAUUGAGGAUGUACACUGGGGUAUAGCUAUGCAAGAAGAGCUAAACCAGUUUGAGCGCAAUCAUGUGUGGGACUUGGUCCCCAAACCUAAUGAUCAUCCCGUAAUUGGUACUCGAUGGGUCUUCAGAAAUAAACUUGAUGAAUCUGGCUUAAUAAUUCGAAAUAAAGCACGUUUGGUGGCCAAAGGCUACAACCAGGAGGAGGGUAUCGAUUAUGACGAAACCUACGCUCCUGUAGCCAGACUAGAGGCCAUCAGAAUGCUUCUUUCCUUUGCAUCUUUAAUGAACUUCAAACUCUUUCAAAUGGAUGUAAAAAGCGCCUUCCUGAAUGGAUACAUUCAAGAAGAAGUUUAUGUUGACCAACCGCCUGGUUUUGAAAAUUUUAAAUAUCCGAACCAUGUUUACAAACUUAAAAAGGCACUAUAUGGUCUCAAACAAGCUCCUAGAGCUUGGUAUGACAGACUUAGUACCUUUCUUUUAGAAAAAGGGUUCGAGAGAGGCUUGGUUGACACAACGCUUUUUAUUAGAAAAUCAGAAAAUCAUGUUCUGCUUGUACAAAUCUAUGUAGAUGACAUAAUAUUUGGAUCUACUAAUGAUAUCUUGUGUAGAGAAUUUUCUGAGAUGAUGCAGGGGGAGUUCGAAAUGUCUAUGAUGGGAGAACUCACAUUCUUUCUAGGAUUGCAGAUAAAGCAGCUAGAAAGUGGGAUAUUCAUCCAUCAGGCGAAAUACUGCAAAGAGCUACUCAAGAAAUUUGAAAUGGACAAAUGUAAGGAAGCUUCCACACCUAUGGCAUCUGCUUGCUACUUAGACAAAGAUGAGAAAGGAAAAGCAAUCGAGGUAACGAAGUAUCGUGGUAUGAUUGGGUCUUUACUUUACUUAACUGCAAGUAGACCUGAUAUCAUGUUCAGUGUAUGCAUGUGUGCGAGAUAUCAAUCAUCACCUAGAGAAUCACACUAUAUAACUGUUAAAAGAAUCAUGAGAUAUCUAAAAGGAACUAUUAACAUGGGAUUAUGGUAUCCUCGGGAUGCCUCACUAUCCUUGGUGGGUUAUUCCGAUUCCGAUUUCGCCGGAUGUAAGUUGGAUCGGAAAAGCACUAGUGGUACUUGCCACCUAUUGGGCAGUUCAUUAGUAGCAUGGCACAGCAAGAAGCAAGCCUGUGUUGCUUUGUCCACCGCUGAAGCGGAAUACAUUGCCGCUGGUGUGUGUUGCGCUCAAAUCCUUUGGAUGAAGCAGCAACUUAAGGACUUUGGUCUUAAACUUGAAAAGAUCCCAAUAAAAUGCGAUAAUACAAGUGCCAUUAACCUAUCCAAGAAUCCCGUUUUGCAUUCUAGAACAAAGCAUAUAGAAAUUAGACAUCAUUUUUUGCGUGACCAUGUACAAAAAGGUGACUGUGUUCUUGAAUUUGUGGAAACAUCUAAACAGUUAGCAGAUAUUUUCACCAAGCCCCUUCCCAGGGAUACCUUCUAUGUUCUAAGGAGAGAACUAGGAAUUCUUGAUGAACAAUAUCUUGUUUAAAAAUUGUUUAGCUGUUUGCAUAAAUUGUCUUGCUUCUCUAUGCCUAUGUGUUUCAUGUUUGAAUGAUAUAUGUUAAAAAUGCAAAAAUAUAUCUCUUGAUUAACUUCUUAAUGUGAUUAUAUAUGUCUCGAUAAAUCUGUAAUAAUGCAUACGUGUGUCCUAAAAAGUCGAAACCACUCUGCUGCCUAAAAACGAAAUUUUCUCUGAUUUAAUCGAUUAUGCCAAUAGUUAAUCGAUUACCUGGGCUUCAUUUCUGGAAAAUUCAAAUUUUCUAAAACUUAAUCGAUUAAACAGCCCGUUAAUCGAUUACCUGGGCAAUUUUUUUUGAAAAUUCAAAUUUUACACUGUUUUAAUCGAUUAAACCAUCCCGUUAAUCGAUUAAAACCAGUACGUUAAAGGCAAACAGUGUCUCGGUCUUGCACUUUUUCUGACCUUUUCGCAACCUCUUUGCGCCUUGAUUUUCUGAAACAGCAACAAUACUAAUCCAGGUGCAAUAGGAUUAAGUAAACCUCAUCCUAAACCUCUCAAACCUUCCGAAAUCAUUCUAUUUCAUCCAAAAAUCCACUCAAUUCCGAAUCAUCCAAUCCAAACCCUAGGUUAGGCUUUGCCCCUCUGUUCAUCAAUCUCAGUUUCGAGUUCAUCAUCUUCAAUGGAGCAGAGUCGUCCAAAGCGGGUCAAGACUACAGCAACGCGCAUUCGAAGAAGGGAAACCGGCUCACCCUCCACUCGGGACCGCGGUGACCCCUAUUAUUCCCUCAUUUUGCAAGAGACCCGGUUGGCAAAAUUUCAAGGCCGCAAGCCUACAUACAUCAGGUAUGCCGACUUAACCUGGUUAGCGGAACAAAACUUUAGUUUUCCGCAUGACAUGGAGGCUCAAGGAGCCGUUCAGUUUUUGGAAUUGAAGGGACGCGUAUACCCUGCUCUAGUUAGGGAAUUUUACGCUAAUUUUAGAUACAAGGAUGGCAAAUAUUGGUCCAUGAUUUCCGGUAAUCUGUUUGAGAUGAGUGAGGAUUUAUUUCUGAAUGUUGGAGGUUUAUCGUCGUCUGGUUUUGGAAUAGGGGACUGUUCUUGGGUCAAGGACAAUUUUGAUCCCGUUGAUGUGUAUAAGUCAUUCCUUCGGGGCCCUCAUCUGUAUAUUCAGGGUCAACUGACCAAGGCAGGGUCACUUUCUGUUGAGAACAGGUUAUUGCAUUAUGUUAUUGCUUACAUAUUAGUGCAGCGGAACACUAAUCAUGCACAGCCUACUGUGAAUGAUUUGCGUUUCAUGUACGCUGUAAAGAAUAACGUGAUGAUCAAUUGGCCUGAGGAGAUUCUGAAAAUCAUGAACAGCGUUUCAUUGUCUCAGUCCAAGCUGCUCCCGUAUAGCAUUUUCAUAUCCCGCAUUGUUGAUUAUUUGCGCAUUGACAUUUCUGAUACCAUCAUUACUGAGUACACUGAUAAAGAUCACUUGGUGGGUGAGAGUCUCAUUCAUAAGAUGGGAAUUUACAAGUAUGGUACUACAUGGCAGUAUCAGGAGGACUAUACCACCUUUGAUCUGGACUUGUCGGAUAAUGAGCAUCAGGAGGAUUUGGGUAAUCAGAAUGCAACUAAUCAGGGGGAGUCGUCUGGAACAGCACCUCAGAGCUCUGUGUUUGGUUUAGCUCAGAUGGAAGCCAUGGAACAACGACUUAACAACCGCAUGGAUCUGCACUUCCAAGGGCUGAAGGACUCUUAUUUUGCAGGUAUGGAGCAAUACGAGGAACGUCAGAAUGCCUACACCGAUAACAAAAUUCAGGAGCUGAGGACUAUGAUUCAGUCUACCGCUGAGGCUCAGAAUGCCAUGUUCUGCUCAGAAUUUCAGAAGCUGUCUAUGCUUAUCCAGGGAAAUCAGAACACUGCUGUGCCUGAUGAUCAGCCUGUCUAUCCUCCGCCUCAACCUUAGUUUAGCUGACCUUAGACCUAGGUUAUCCUAUCCUUAGGUUUAUUUUUAUCUUGUGGCACCUUCUGGAUUUAGUUAUCGUUGUUGCUUUCAGAACUGAUUCGUAUUUUGCUAUUUGUCUUUUAUUUGACUUUAUGGCCUGUACUAUUUCAUGACUUUCUUUACUCUUUAUGCUAUGCAAAUGUUUGUGUUUUUGCUAUAAUUAUGUCAAAAUAGCUUAUUUGCCUUAGUGAAUGGAUCUUGAUCAUUUGAGAUUUAAUAAUGCUUACAAUGCUUAAUAUUUGAUUAAAUCUUGCAUGCCAUUCUCACUUCUUAUUAGCUAUUUUUUGUCCAAUAAAGCGCAUUUGUUCAAUUUACCCAUAAAUGAAACAGGUUAAUUUGUUAAAACCCAAAUUAAUUCAUUAACAUUGUUUUAUGAUUAACUAAUAUCUCUUCCUAGCUUUUUUGACCUGGGUUAUCUUUUUGAUAAUGUCAAAAGGGGGAGAAAGGUUGUUUUGUUGCUUCUCAAUUGUGCAGGUUGAUCGUUAUAACAGCUUCCGAUAAAUGUGCGCAUUCCAUCAACCUUGCCAACACAAUCUUCAAGCUUAUUCAUCAAGCAAUUGUUACUUUAAAAUUGAUGAACUUGAUGUAGAGUUUGUCAUCAUCAAAAAGGGGGAGAUUGAAAGUGUGCAUGUCAAGAGGAACACUUUGGAAAGCUCUCCUUGAACGUCAUGGUUUUGAUGAGGACAACGUGUGCCUAAAAGUGCUUGAAGAUAACCAACAAUCCAACGUGCUUAAGUCUUUUAUUUGGUACUAGGCUUAGACUAGUUUCUAGUUUAAGUUGAGUCGAAGGCUUAGGGCACCUAAAACAUGUCUCAUAUGCAUUUAUCUUUAAAUCAUUUCAUCCAUGAGAUAUGUUCAUUUGAUAAUAUGUUCAUGCAUUACAUAAAUACAUGUAUAUAUGCAUUCUAGGCAUAAAACUAAGUGUCAAACAUGUAUUAUCUAAGUGCAUAACAUAUUUGAUGUUUUCUAUUUGAAAAUACAUAUUUUAUUUAGUGUUAAUCGAUUAACCAUACCUUUAAUCGAUUAACCCAACUGCUGUGUAAAGUGGUUGCCACUGGAACACGUUUUUGUAAUGCAGUUAAUCGAUUAAAGGUUUACGUUAAUCGAUUAACCUAACUGAUUUUUAAGUUGUUGAAACUGAAAAACUGAAAAACAGAAUCAGUUAUGAUUUUUAGUCCCGUUAAUCGAUUAAGAAGGUAUUUAAUCGAUUAUCUGGGGUUCUGGACUGAUUCUUUAUAAACUGCGUUUUCAGAAUUAAUCUCAUAAGUUGCAUGUUGCAUUUAUUAGAGAGUUAGAGCAUUCUACGUGUUAAUUGCUGCAUCUAUUUGUUAAUUGCAUUAGUGAGUUUAGAAAUGAGAGAUUCCUUGCUUUAGGAUUGAGUGCAUUUCAUGUUAUAAUCUCUCACGUUUUCCCUCACAUGUUCAUGCAUAUUUUGAUGCGUUUUUUCAUGAAUUUUAUGAUUCUGUAACUUCUGUUUUCAUAACUAAUACUUGUCAUUUCACAUGUGUUUGUGUUAAAUGUGCAUUAGAGUAAAGCCUUCAUGUUGUAUUUGAGCUUAGGUAUAGCUUAAUAUUACUCUUGUAAUUCUUGUAUAAUUGUUGUGAAAGGGAAUCUCUUGGUGUCGUAUCACCAGUAGAGAUUGUGUGUUUCUUCAUAGCUUAGAGUGUAAGAAAAGGAAAGAACGAGAGAUUCUUUGGCUGGGGCUACGCCGAAAGAAACGUUUUCUUUAUCGGUAGGAAGGGAGUCAAACCAUUGGAUAGUUUCUUUGAUUUCUUGUCAUUUGCUAAGUGUUGUAAUUGGAUAAUGUGUUUGUAAAUUACAUUGAUUCGAUUAUAGUGAAGGAAAUCUCCCAAGUCAGCCGGGAGGCCUGGAUGUAGUUUGCAGUGGACAGCAAACGAACCAGGAUAAAAAUUCGAGUUGCAGGAUUUGUUUCUCUCUCUCUCUUUACUGUUUUCAAUCGAUUUAAUUUGUAUAUUUGAUUCAACUAAUACAUUCUGUUCUUUUGUUGUAUUGCAAGCUAUUCUGAUAUACAAAUUUGUAAGCUCUGUAUUCGUUCUGUUAUCGGUUAUUUGUUUCGCAUUUAAUCGUUUCUGUAAUUGCUUACUGGUUCUGUUUAAUCGAUUAAUAUUCCUGUGUUAAUCGAUUAUACUGUUUCUAUUAAUCGAUUAAAAUAGUUUCUGUUUAAAACUGUUUUUUGUGUUAAUCGAUUAAGACUGUGCUUAUAAUCGAUUAUCCUUUUCUCCUUAAUCGAUUAAAUAGGGUUGAUUCAGCAUUAAGUGUUGAUUUGCGAAAAGCGGUAAUUCUAACCGCGACACCUAUUCAACCCCCCCUUCUAGGUGUAUUGUAACCACUGAUACCUAACAAUUAGAAAUGUUCCAUAAAAUUUAGGUGAUAAGAUAGUUCUGAAUUAUUUUCUAUAUGGAAUUAACAGCUUAGAGGCGGUAUUGGUCGUUGACCUUCUUUCUAUUUUUGGAGAAGUUAGAAACAACUCGAACCAUGACCUUACUAUAAAAAUUUCAUCAUUAAUUAAGCGAUACGAUAGUUUUGAAUUAUUUUUAUAUGGAAUUAAUAGCUUAGAGAUAGUGUUGGUCGUAGAUCUUCUUCCCGUUUUUGGAGAAGUUAGAGACGACUCGAACCAUGACCUCACUAGAAAAAUUUCAUACAAUUUAGGUGAUAAGAUAGUUCUGAAUUAUUAUUUUUAUAAGAAAUUAACAUCUUAGAGACGGUGUUGGUCGUAGAUAUUCUUCCCAUUUUCGGAGAAGCACUAUGCCAGAGUUGCCAUUCAAUAGCAUUUAUUUUAGAUGUAUAACAACGUUUUUGGGCUCUUUCUGUUUGACCACAAUAGUAGAUGGUCAUCAUUAACAGUGUUUCACAAACACUGUUAUAUUGAUUAUAUACCACAACACAACACCGAAAAAGUGUUGUCAAAUAGUGCAUCCAUACAACAGUGCAUCGUCCACAAAGUGUUGUCAUAUAGGUCUUACAUAAACAACUCAUUUUAUAGGUCUUAUUAACAAUGCUUAUUGUUGCGCUUUUGAAGUUCAUAUAUUUAACAGCGCAAUCACAGAAAAGCGAUGUUGUAUUAUUCAUAAAUUUUCCCAAACAACACAUCACCUGCAUAGCGCUGUUGUAUUAAUCAUGUAUAACAUCGCUUUCUAUAAAAAGUGAUGUUGUAGUUAUCCUUUACAACAACGCAUGUCAGGGUUUCCCUAGAAUUCGUUGUUGAUUUGUAUAAAUUAAUACUUGUAUAUACAUUUAUUAGCAGAACAAACAUUCUCAACAACACAGACAUUUAUACAUUCUAAACAACACAAACACAUUAAUACAAGUCAGAAGUUUGUUUCAUUAACAUCAAUACAAUACAAAAUACAAACAAUGAAUAUCAUGCCAAUUAUGUUUUGACAGAAUACAUAAUUACAAAUAAAAAAAUUACACAAAUUACAAAGAAACAAUAUUAUACAAAUUACAAACAAUCAAAGUUAAGCUAUAAUUAUACAAAGACUACUUCCAUCUACUUUUUUCUUUUCUUUGAUUGUUUUUGUCUUGUAGGGUCAUCCUUGUUUGGAGGAACAUAUUGAUUAAUCUAAAGCCCUUCAUCGUUAUCAUCUCUUGUAUAUAAAUCAUCAUACGUAGUUAAUACAAUCUCACGCGACUGAUAUGUCCUAAAAAAGAUCAUCUUCAUCAAUAUCUUCAUAUUCUUGAUCAUCAAUAUUAUUGACGAUUAUUUUGUUAGUUAAAAUAAAAAUGGACCAUUUCGUAUCAGCUGAGUCACUAACAUAGAAUACUUGUUGAGUCUGUGAUGCUAGAAUAAAUGGUUCAUCUUUAUAUCCUGGCCUAUUAAGAUCCACCUGCAUGAACCCUAACUCAUUAACUCAGAAGCCAUUAUUGUUAUCAACCCACAUACAAUAAAAAACCAGCAUCCAAAAUAUUGUGUAAUCCAAUUCCCAUAAUCGUUCAAUCACUCCAAGGUAUGACAUGUUCGCAUAUAUUGGGUUUCUAUAUUUUGCACUUGACAUGUAUAAAGUUUGAGCAACAAGAGUCACCCCACUAUUUUGCAUUUUACUUUGAUCAUCUUAUUUUUUCAUUUAAAAUGUGAACCCAUUAAUUAGGUAACCAGUGUAGGAUAAGACAUGAAUGCUUGGACCAUUGGCUAACGAUUUCAAUCUUUUGGAAACCGAAUGUGCAUUUAUAUUCAACUCCUCAUCAAUGUGAUUUUCAGCCACUUUAUGAAACACCGAUUAUUCUCUUUGGAAAACCAAUUUUCAUUCUUACUUGGGUAAGACUUCCUUAGCAUCUCCUUAUGUGUUUCAACAUAUGGUUCAACCUCGUCGGCAUUAUGUAAAACAUUUAUGUGUGCUUGCUCCAAUUCGGUUCUUGUUAUAGUCAAUAUUUCAUUCCCAACAAUACCUUCACCAAAUGUAUUUUUUUUUGCAUAUCGAGGCUUUGGAAUGCCCAUGAAAUUACCAUCGGUGAGGUAUCCGGUACAAAAAUCAAGAGCUUCUUCAACAACAUAUCACUCGAUAAUACCACCUUCUGGUCUUGAUCAGUUCUUCACAUACCCUUUUAAUGUCUUCAUAUAAUGCUCAAAGGGGUACAUCCAUCUCAUAUAGGAAGGGCCACAAAGUUGUGUCUCUCGAACAAGAUGAAUGCUUAGAUGAACCAUUAUGUCAAAAAAAGAAGGUGGGAAAUACAUUUGAAGGUCACACAAAGUCAAAAUAAUUAAUCUUUGCGAUGUAGGUAAUUUAUCAAGGUAAUCACUUUGCUACAAAUUUCCUUGAAGAAGAAGCAUAACCUAGUUAUGGUUCCUCGAACUUUUUUAGGUAGAAUUGACCGUAUUCCAAUAGGCAAGAAAUGCUCUAUAAGUACAUAACAAUCAUGAGACUUAAGACCUUUUAACUUGAAGUUUUUCAUUGAUAUGAGGUUCUGAAUGUUGGAAGAGUACCCCCUCUGGAACUUUAACACCAUGAAUAAAUUUACAAAAUUCCAUUUUCUCCUUCCUCGACAAAGUAUAAGUUGCUGAAGGUAGAAAUGUACGUUUUCCCUUAAUUAUCGGUCCUAAUUCCUUUCUUAUUCCCAUACUAACCAAGUCCAACUUUGCAUUCAAGCCAUCUUUGGUCUUACCAGGGACAUUGAGUAAGGUACCAAGGAGACUUUCAAACACAUUUUUUUCAAUAUGCAUAACUUCGAGGACAUGUCUUACAUAUAAUGAACUCCAAUAUGGCUAUUCAAAGAAUAUUGACCUUUUCUUCCACCCACUUGUGACAAUUUCUUUUGCANNNNNNNNNNNNNNNNNNNNNNNNNNNNNNNNNNNNNNNNNNNNNNNNNNNNNNNNNNNNNNNNNNNNNNNNNNNNNNNNNNNNNNNNNNNNNNNNNNNNAAGGCAAAUAUCUAUGAUGACCAAGGAAGACAUUCAUCUUAUAGUGUUCCAACCUCAUUGAAUGAGUAUUGUCUUCACAUAUAGGACAUGCAAAAUGUCCUUUUGUACUAUAUCCAGACAGAUUAUCAUAUGUAGGGAAAUCACUAAUUGUGCCGAACAACAAAGCCCUCAAGUUGAAGCUUUCUUCCCUACAUAUGCAUCAUAUACAUUUAUGCAUGUCUCCCACAUUUGCUUCAACUCUUCAAUUAAUGGAGCCAAAUAUAUGUCUAUGUCGUUUCCUGGUUGUUUAAGUCCAAAAAUUAACAUAUAUAACAUCACAUAUUUGCGCUUCAUGCAUAGAGAAGGAGGUAGGUUGUAUAUCACCAACAUCACUGGCAAUGUACAGUGGGAGCAACUUUGAACACUGUGUAGGUUAAUUCCAUCCGUUGACAAUUCAAGGCGUAGAUUUCUUGAUUCUUAACCAAAACUAGGAUAGUCGUGAUCAAUUUUUCUCCAUUGAGGAGAAUCUGCAGGAUACCGAAGCUUGCCAUCUUUAAUCAUUUCUUCAUCAUGCCAAUGUCAACUUCUUUGCAUCUUUGGCAUUGAUAAACAUACGUUUGAAUCUUGAUUUGAUGAGAAAAUAUCAUACAACCUUUUUGGGAAUUGAGUCUUCCUUCUUAUAUCGUGAUGCAUUACAUUUAGGACAAAACUUUAAUGAAGCAUACUCAUUAAAAAAUAAGAUGCAAUCAUUUUCACAAGCAUGUAUCCUAGUGUAAUCAAUGAUACUCUUAUCAAUCCAUCCAUUAACAGAUUUCAACUUAUCCUUCCGGCAACAUAUCCUUCAGAAGUGCAAUCAAGUCGGUGAAACUCUUAUGAAUCCAUCCAUUAACAGAUUUCAACUUAUACAAACUUAACACCGCUAUCAAUCUUGUGAAUUUAGUACAACCAUCAUAUAAUGCUUUCUCAACAUCACUUAUCAACCGCUGAAACAUCUCAGGACAAUCUUGAAGAUCCUCUUCAACAACGUUUGUCAUUUCCUCGAAAAGAUCGUCUUCAUAUGCAUUUGUGUAGUUGUCUUUCAUAUGCAUCUCAUAUCAAAUCCAUAAUGUCAACAUCUUAAGCAAGGACAUACAAUUCUAUUAGGGUUUUCAGCAUUCUCAAUUGCAAACCUAACAAAUGAUUUCACUCCUUCUUCAUACUCCUUUGUCAAUUGAUUGGCACCCAUCCAUUUUAUAUUAACAAAAAAAUGUAAAUGAGUCGGAACUCGGAAAUGCAUAAAUCCCUAAAGCUUGGAGUUAAGCUCACCAAGCAGAGCAAAUGCAUUAUUAUGUAAUUAAAAAUGGGGGAACCCUAACUCAUAAUGUAAGCUAAAUGAGUCGGAACUCGGAAACCUCAACUCAAUACAAGCUAAAUGAGUGAAAUCACACAAUACAAGCUAAAUAUAAUGUAAUUAAAAAGACAGAUAACUAUAAGAAAAACUCACUUUCAAUUCAGUGUUGAAUGCGUGAAUAAUAUUUUGAGGUUAAACGAGUGAAGGAUUUUCGAAAUCGGUGUUGAAUGAUUUUGGUGUUGAAUGAGUGAAUGAUGAUGAGGUUGAAUGAUUGUCGAGGUUGAUUUUGGGAGUAAAUGAGUUUCAUUGUUGAGUAAAUGAGUGUUGGGACUGCUGAUGAAUGUGUGAGAAUGUGGGAACAUUUUAAUUUUUUAGGGUCUAAUAGUAUCUUCAACGGCGCAUAAUGAAGAUGGUGUUGUCAAUUAUACAUAAUCAACAGCGCAUAGUGGAGAUGGUAUUGUCAAUGAUAUCUAAUCAACAACGCAAUCUUAAGGAAACGUUGUGGAAGAACUCCACAUUCAAAUAUAAAGAAGGUAAGUGUUCCACAAUGCAAUCUUUAGGAAACGUUGUGGAAGAUAUAAUAAUUAUUUUACUAAUUCAUUUUUUUAAUGAAAUUCAGAUUAGUAAUUACAUUAUGACAUUCGAUUAAUGACAAUUAAUUAAAUAUAUAGAACAAUUAAUAAUGGCAAUAAAUAACAUUCAAAUAAUUAAUCGAUUGCGCACUGUGUUAAGCAAUUUAGUGCAGAGGAAAUAGUUCUGUUGAUCAUAUCGAUAACACUUCUUACUGAAUGCGCAUUUGUAUAGCUAAAGGAGAAUAAAUGAUAGAUAAGUAUUCAACAACGUUUUUAUUGUGAAUAUGUUGUCGAAUUCAACAUAAUCAAUAGCGCUUUUUGGUGAAUGCGCUGUUGAAUUUAACGUAAUCAACAACGCAUUGUUAAAAAGCAUUGUUGUAUAGGUAUAAUGAUAGCGCAUUCAUAAAAAAAAUUGUUGAAGACCAUUAUUCCUAAUUCUACACAGUUAGUCACUUACGCACACAACAGAAAAUAACCUGAAUGCAUACAAAAAUAGAACAUAAUAACAAAAUGAAUGCAUAUAGAAACACUAAAUGACAAUUAUAUGAACACAACUGAAUUUAUAUAUUGAACAUUAAUUACACUAUAAUUUUUACAUAAACAUAUAUUACAUAGAUCAAAUCAUAUACCUUACAAUGAACAUUAAUUGAAUUCCAUAAGCUAGAAUUUGUGCAUAACUAAUCUACUAUACAUUUAGCUAUGAUUUGUCAAUAGAACUAAGUACAAGAUUUGACCAUUGUUCUCUAAUCUGAUUGACUUGGUCAUCUAUAUAUGAUUUUCCAACAAUCUUGAUUUCAUUAGUUGGCCAUUACUGAAUGAUCUCCUACAUGAAUUUCAACACAUAAUAGUCGCAAUCUACCUUAUUUGUUUGGCAAGGUGUUUACAAUUAAAAUGAAGUAAAGAUAUAAGUAUAACCUUAGUUGAAAUAUGAAUACAUUACACAUAUAAUUGUUUGAGAUAAUUUGUAUCAAUAUCUUUAUAUGAGUCCACUUGAUUUUUUGAUUUGGUAACUUGUUUCUACCACGAUUAUAGCUUCUGUAAACUCUCACCGCACUAAACAAUAGAAAACGUACUUAAUUACUAAACAACUAGGAAAGUGAAAGGGUAACUAAAAGUUUAAAUGAGUAGUCUACUUACCCAGAAAACAAAUCUUUCAUAGCGGAGUACUUGUUCAGAUCACCAUGUGCCAAUGAUUCAAAGUAGUAUAUUUCUUCAUUGACCUGAUUGAUGGCAACCAAAACCUAAUGUUGCCUAACAAAAUAUAUGUACAUGGUUAGGAAAUGUUAAGGACAACAAACAUACUAAAGAAAGAAAUAUAAAAUACAAUUAAAAAAUGUUCAUUCAGUAUUAAAAGGUGCAAGAAAUAAAUUUGCAUCUUCUUUAUGAAGGAUGAGAUUAUCUGUAAUUCGUUCUCUAUGUUCCAAAAUCUGAGAUUAUCUGUAAUUCUUUCUCUAUGUUCCAAAAUCUUAUUUUUGUCACUCGACAUCAAAGCGGUAAGGUAUGGGGAUAUGAAUAUCAUUUUUUUCUUAUUUACCGAAAUAAAAUUUUCAUACAAGUACCUAAUAUAUAUAACACAAAUGUUAAUUAAUUAUAACACACCGCCAUGCAAAAGUGAGAAGUUAAGAAAACAUAAUAUACCUCAUAUAUAUACAUACAGUAGUUGCACCUAUACAAUCAUGUUUAUAUAUAUCCUGGACUUCAUUGAUGCCAACGUAUUCAUCAAUAUUAUCUCUGAAGACUUCCUUGGAAAUUGAUAUAAUUAUUAUAUCAUCUCCCNNNNNNNNNNNNNNNNNNNNNNNNNNNNNNNNNNNNNNNNNNNNNNNNNNNNNNNNNNNNNNNNNNNNNNNNNNNNNNNNNNNNNNNNNNNNNNNNNNNNUAUAUAUAUAUAUAUAUAUAUAUAAUAUGAGUGAGAAUAAGGUGAAAAAUCAUACCUUAAAAGGAAUUACUUGAACAAGGUCUACUAGCCAAGCCACAAAAGUGUCAAUAGCCCCUCCAUCUGUGAAGAUAACUGCAUCGAGAGGAAUUAGCAGCAACGCAUCAUCAUCGAUUGCAAUAUCAAUCGAGACCUUCACAGGAUGGCAUGAGAUACAUGCAUUAUGCAGCAUAGCAUCGGCCAUCAGGAGUAUAAUACUUCAUUGAUAGGAAAUGCACCCAUGCAAGGGUAUAAUACUCCUUGUCUGCAAUCCAAACACCAUCAGGAGUUGUAAUCACAACAUAACUCCAUUAACGUGUUGGGAAAGCACGUGAUUUGUUGGCUUAAAAAUCCCUUGGGUGGUGGGAUUAAACAUUAUAACUUCCCUCAAUGCAUAUAUUGUCCUUACAAAAGUGGUAUAGGUCUAGUAUAUCCAAACAAAGUUUGACAUAUUGAUCUACUAAUUAUAGCCCUUUGCAGCCCCUUCAUGGUAUAUAGGAAUUUAUUUUGAUUUAAUCCUUGAAAUUCCAAGGAGUGGAUAAUAGCCAAAACGUAGGUAUAUAAAAUAAACAAAAGAAUGGCUUUGCAUCAGGGAUGUACCAAACAUAAUAUCCAAAUGUAAUGAUAGAUACCAUAUAUACCAAUGAGGACAAAAUUAAGUGAAUACUUAGUAUAAGUUUAUUAACAUCACUUGGAUAUGGAUGGAGAAAAUGCUCAAAAACCAAGCUCUUAGAACAUAGCUAGACAGAUCGUUUAGGGAGGCCACAUUAGGGUCUCCAUGGAUGUGUUUCCAUCAUAGUCAUUUGCUGAAAGGUUGCUGUCUUAGUGUUUGGUCAAUAACUUUGAGCCUUGGUGUUUCACCUCUUCAACUUCUACAUUUUCUUCCACACAUAUAGAUACAGAAUCAAUUUCAACCUCUGAAUUUUUCAUAUUGCCUGUUAAAAGGGCCAGUAUAGCGUUGUACCAGAGUUCAAGACAUAACAUGGCACCAGCAGAAAGGGAAAGCUUAACAACAGGCCACAGUUCUCUAAAUGCUAAAAAUGAGAAAACUUUCCAUUUUUCAUGACACCAACCACGUGUUACAAAUAUAUGUUGUCCAAUGUUGGGAAUCCAAUAUUCCAAACUUGUAGCAACCAUUGCAGAAGGAAGAACAAGAUUUAACUUUAUAACCAAAAGCCAUGAUAGGCAUGUUAGAAACAUCUUUAUAUAUAGAGAUAGUAGGAGACUUUAUAUACUUAAAGAUAUAUAAUAUUACAUACUAAAGAUGAUGAACACUAUCAUCAUAUAUAGUUCAUACCUUUCAUAUCAAAUCAUCAAGAAGAAUAUAGAUAAAACAGUAUAUUUCUUCAUUGACCUGAUUGAUGGCAACCAAAACCUAAUGUUGCCUAACAAAAUAUAUGUACAUGGUUAGGAAAUGUUAAGGACAACAAACAUACUAAAGAAAGAAAUAUAAAAUACAAUUAAAAAAUGUUCAUUCAGUAUUAAAAGGUGCAAGAAAUAAAUUUGCAUCUUCUUUAUGAAGGAUGAGAUUAUCUGUAAUUCGUUCUCUAUGUUCCAAAAUCUGAGAUUAUCUGUAAUUCUUUCUCUAUGUUCCAAAAUCUUAUUUUUGUCACUCGACAUCAAAGCGGUAAGGUAUGGGGAUAUGAAUAUCAUUUUUUUCUUAUUUACCGAAAUAAAAUUUUCAUACAAGUACCUAAUAUAUAUAACACAAAUGUUAAUUAAUUAUAACACACCGCCAUGCAAAAGUGAGAAGUUAAGAAAACAUAAUAUACCUCAUAUAUAUACAUACAGUAGUUGCACCUAUACAAUCAUGUUUAUAUAUAUCCUGGACUUCAUUGAUGCCAACGUAUUCAUCAAUAUUAUCUCUGAAGACUUCCUUGGAAAUUGAUAUAAUUAUUAUAUCAUCUCCCAACUUCUAUAUAUGCUCCAAUAGUUGAAUAUAAUAGUUUAUAGUCUUCUUGGAGUUCACAUCCUCUAUAGAUGGCUUUGAGCUCACAUCCCCUGAAGAUGGCUUAGUCUUUUGGGUGAUAUUAGGGGUGGAAUGUAUCCCCUCCAUCUGUGAAGAUAACUGCAUCGAGAGGAAUUAGCAGCAACGCAUCAUCAUCGAUUGCAAUAUCAAUCGAGACCUUCACAGGAUGGCAUGAGAUACAUGCAUUAUGCAGCAUAGCAUCGGCCAUCAGGAGUAUAAUACUUCAUUGAUAGGAAAUGCACCCAUGCAAGGGUAUAAUACUCCUUGUCUGCAAUCCAAACACCAUCAGGAGUUGUAAUCACAACAUAACUCCAUUAACGUGUUGGGAAAGCACGUGAUUUGUUGGCUUAAAAAUCCCUUGGGUGGUGGGAUUAAACAUUAUAACUUCCCUCAAUGCAUAUAUUGUCCUUACAAAAGUGGUAUAGGUCUAGUAUAUCCAAACAAAGUUUGACAUAUUGAUCUACUAAUUAUAGCCCUUUGCAGCCCCUUCAUGGUAUAUAGGAAUUUAUUUUGAUUUAAUCCUUGAAAUUCCAAGGAGUGGAUAAUAGCCAAAACGUAGGUAUAUAAAAUAAACAAAAGAAUGGCUUUGCAUCAGGGAUGUACCAAACAUAAUAUCCAAAUGUAAUGAUAGAUACCAUAUAUACCAAUGAGGACAAAAUUAAGUGAAUACUUAGUAUAAGUUUAUUAACAUCACUUGGAUAUGGAUGGAGAAAAUGCUCAAAAACCAAGCUCUUAGAACAUAGCUAGACAGAUCGUUUAGGGAGGCCACAUUAGGGUCUCCAUGGAUGUGUUUCCAUCAUAGUCAUUUGCUGAAAGGUUGCUGUCUUAGUGUUUGGUCAAUAACUUUGAGCCUUGGUGUUUCACCUCUUCAACUUCUACAUUUUCUUCCACACAUAUAGAUACAGAAUCAAUUUCAACCUCUGAAUUUUUCAUAUUGCCUGUUAAAAGGGCCAGUAUAGCGUUGUACCAGAGUUCAAGACAUAACAUGGCACCAGCAGAAAGGGAAAGCUUAACAACAGGCCACAGUUCUCUAAAUGCUAAAAAUGAGAAAACUUUCCAUUUUUCAUGACACCAACCACGUGUUACAAAUAUAUGUUGUCCAAUGUUGGGAAUCCAAUAUUCCAAACUUGUAGCAACCAUUGCAGAAGGAAGAACAAGAUUUAACUUUAUAACCAAAAGCCAUGAUAGGCAUGUUAGAAACAUCUUUAUAUAUAGAGAUAGUAGGAGACUUUAUAUACUUAAAGAUAUAUAAUAUUACAUACUAAAGAUGAUGAACACUAUCAUCAUAUAUAGUUCAUACCUUUCAUAUCAAAUCAUCAAGAAGAAUAUAGAUAAAACUAUAGCGGAAGCGUACCUUAAUAUAUUCAUAGAGAAUAUGGUGAAUUGAACUUUAUAUCAUCCUUUACUAUGCAUCUUUCAACUCCAUGUCAUUUGUCCUUGUAUACAAAUGCAUGUUCAUAGUAGAACAUGUAGGUUAGUUGGCCUUCCAAUUAUAGAUCACUAUUAACCUUAGUUUCUCUUCUAAUGGGAUGAGGAGAAUGAACUCUCAUAUGUGGUUCAUAUUGUUGUGUAUUGUGUUUUAGUCUACAAUUGAGGACCAUAACCCCAUAUUUAUAAGAAGCGUGUAACCUUUUAUGAAGGAUGAUGCUAUUUCGUUUUCCUAUUUCAAUUUUGUCCAUCAUAAAAUAGAAAUAAGACUUUAGGUAUAUACACAAUAAUUUUCAUGACAAUUAUGUCUAUAACCAUAUACCUUACAUGAAUUAGAUCACUUUAAUUUGACUACAUAAAAUAAUGACAUUAAACAAAUUUAAACAUUACAUGUGUGACCCAAAAUUUCUUAGAAGAGAUAGAUGGAAGAUUAUUGAAAAUACUGCCAAAAAUGCAAUAAUCACAUUCUUGCUUUGAGAUUGCAAGAAUGUUUGGCAUGUGAAUGAGACUAUAAAAGCAAACAUUAUAGGAAUUGACCAAAGAGAAAUAAAAAUAAUGAUGGGGCACACCACGAGUUACCUAGCACACCAUUAAUAUUUAGUUUUUAGACAAAAAUAUUAACUUGUAAGUGGUACACUCAAUAUAGUAAUCAAAUAUUGAUAAUUAGUCAUAUCAAAUACUAAGUCUUUCUUUGGACUGACUUACUAUUCACGUGAAAAACUAUAUGAUUAUCACAUAUUUAUUACCACAAGUAUAUUUAUAAUUUUGGCUAAAUAGUAAUCUCUCUUUGGGCCGAUCACUAUUGGCAUAAAACUACAAAUAUACAAUUGGCUUGAUAUUCAAUUUCAAUUAUAAUGGAACUCUUGUUGUAAUGGUCAAACAUUGAUCAAAAUACAUGUCAAAUAAUAAAUCAUUGUUUUGACUGAUUUAUCAUUCACAUAUGCAACUUUAUAAUCAUCACAUGUUUGCCAUUGUAUAUGUGUAUAUAAUUCGGUCAAAUAAUAAUCUUCCUUUGGGCCGAUUAAUAUUCGCAUAGAUGCAUAUACACACUAAUAUUAUAUAUUUAUUAUGUACAAUUUAUUCAAGAGAUUACUUUGGCUACUUCUUGAUUAAUAAGUUCACUUAAAACAUCAAACAAUUUUAUAGUCCCAAAGAUACACCUUUACUUGAAUUUGAUUGCACACUUAAUCCAUUAUUUAUAUCCAGAUAUAUAUAUAAAUAUUAUAGUCGUAAGGUCCCCUCCUUUUCACCAUAUGGGCCAUGGUUAGAUCAUUUUCUUUUUUGUUAUUAAAAAUAAACCAACAGUGGUCGCCUUGGAUUUGAAUGGAGCAAGGCAUGCAUUGGCCAAACGUCUCAACCACUGAACCAAAGUAGGCAAAUUCAGUUUAUGAAUUUUAAAUUAUCUGUACUUUAAGGUUUCAAUAAUUUAAAUUCCAAAACAAUGUACUAGGUGGGUGCCCAACACAUAUACCUCAAACAACGUUUUAACUUUGUCCCCAACCAAUGCAACCAAUAACAUAUAGUUGCCUUGUUUGACUUAAUAUUUUUAAAACCAAAAUUAUACAAUCAUUGAGUUCUUAACACAUGACCACAUACAUUCUUAAAGCUAAAUCCUAACCAGUGCACUCACAGCAAACUGUUGGAAUGUUUGGGCAACCAAACUUUAUUUGAGUGGUUAAACUAAUUUAAUUCCAAAAAACAAAAUACAAUGAACUGAUAUUGAACAAAAUAUAUUGUGUUCUCAGAUAUAAUCUCAACCAAUACAACCACUUAGGAAUUGUUUGAUACUUGCGGCAAUUCCAGAACACAUUAUCAUGAGAAAAUUACACUAACAUAACCCAGCAAGAAAAGUUGACAAAUUUAUUGGUUAUUCAGAUAAUGGUUCUAUUUGUUAAUUAAUACUAGUUGGAUUGAUGUAUUUCGAAUCAAACAUAUUCAAUAGCAAUAUUUGUAAUGUUAUUCAAAAUAACUAUGCCUACAAUAACAAUAUAGUCAUGAAUAAUCUCCUGUGUAAACUUGAAUUAAGACUAAAACUUAUGCUUUCAUGAAAAUGAUACCAAAUCAACCAAAUAAAACAUAUUUUCAUGAUACAAAAUAAAGAUUCUAACAAACAACUAGAAUAUCUUUAAUCUUAACAUGACAUCUUUAUAAAACAAUGAAUUUCUACAAAGACAAUUCAACCAAACUCUCAAAAUGAUAACAUGAUAACUUUAUUUCCCAAUAGCAUGACAUGAAGUGACUCUGAUAUCACUUGUUAGGAAAAUAUCUUUAUAUAGAGAGACUUUAAUGGUGGGAGACUUAAUAUACUUAAAGAUACAUAAUACUACAUAAUAUAGAUGAUGAACAUUAUCAUCAUAUAUAGCCAAGACCUUUCAUGUCAAAUCAUCAAGAAAAAUAUAGAUAAAACUAGAGCGGAAGCGUACCUUAAUAUAUUCAUAGAGAAUAUGGUGAAUUGAACUUUAUAUCAUCCUUUACUAUGUAUCUUUCAACUUGUGUCCUUUGUCCUUGUAUACAAAUGCAUGUUCAUAGUAGAACAUAUAGGUCAGUUGGCCUUCCAAUUGUAGAUCACCCUUAGCCUUAGUUUCUCUUCUAAUAGGAUGAGGAGAAUGAACUCUCAUAUGUGGUUCAUAUUCUUGUGUGUUGUGUUUUAGUCUACAAUUGAGGACCAUAACCCCAUAUUUAUAAGAAGCGUGUAACCUUUUAUGAAGUAUGAUGCUAUUUCAUUUUCCUAUUUCAAUUUUGUCCAUCAUAAAAUAGAAAUAAGACUUUAGGUAUAUACACAAUAAUUUUCAUGACAAUUAUGGCUAUAACCAUAUACCUUACAUGAAUUAUAUCACUUUAAUUUGACUACAUAAAAUAAUGACAUUAAACAAGACUUUAGGUAUAUACACAAUAAUUUUCAUGACAAUUAUGUCUAUAACCAUAUACCUUACAUGAAUUAUAUCACUUUAAUUUGACUACAUAAAAUAAUGACAUCCAACAGAGAGGAUAUCUCGAUUUUUAACAGUUUCACGAAAGCCUUGCUGCUUACGCAAUUCAAUUUCCUCUUUAGAAAUUCUACACAUAGAAUAGUAGAAUUCCUUAUGAUCAUAGUUCUCCCAUUCACACUAAAGACCGAAACCAACAGUGCUACCUUGAGUGGGUAUUUUACUGCACAAUGAACUAAAAGUUUUAUCAUCUAAAACAAUCUCUUUUCCUUUCACAUAGGAAGUGAGACAAUUUUUCCGAAAGUUCAUGUUGCAUUAGAAUACUCGAACAACUUCAGGAUAUAUGUCGUUAGUUUGACAGCAAAAGUCAAAAAGGUUUUGUUGCUACAAAAGAUAAGGAAAUAGAAAAUCUUCAAAUUCAAAAUUCCCUAUAUUACCGUAUUUUGGAGUAAAAAUGGUGCGACAAUGGAAGUGCUCCUCGAAUAUCUUGCAUUGUUCAUCAUUAGCAAGAAGCCUUGUCAAAUCUAGAGGGUUAGACUCCAAAGAUGUUGUUCCUUGACUCCUUCGAGAUGUAUUGGUGCGUUGUUUCUUUGAUCUAGAAGAAGAAGCCAUUGAUUUGGGAUUUUGAAAUAUUAGGUUUUUGGGUUUUGGAGAUUUGGGGUUUUUUGAUUCAAGCCACUAAUCGCGAAAAUGAAUGGUUAGAAGUGUUUAGAAUCGAAAAUGUGAUAGGAAUGGACACAAAAAUCACCCAAAAUGGUUUAGAAAUGAAGAUUUUAGAGUGAGAGAGAGGUAUGCACGAGUGAGAGAGUAGGAGGAAGAAGAUGAAGUCUGAAAAAAAAUGCAUAAAGACUUAUUUAUAAGCACAAUGUAAUCGAUUACGCUACUUUGAGUAAUCGGUUACUCAAAUUUAAAUUUUAAAUUUUUCAGACAGCACCUCAGAGUAAUCGUUACUCAUUUUGAAUAAUCGGUUACUGACCCUAGAAAAAUUUUAUUUUAAGCAUACUGAUGCACCGAAAAAUGAUUUUUAACCCAAAAAUUGAAGUUUUUGAACACAAAUAAAUAUAUUUAAGAUCAAGUAGGCAUGAGAUAAUAAUAAUGAAGCAAACAUAUAAUCAUAUAUAGCAAGUUAAGACAGGNNNNNNNNNNNNNNNNNNNNNNNNNNNNNNNNNNNNNNNNNNNNNNNNNNNNNNNNNNNNNNNNNNNNNNNNNNNNNNNNNNNNNNNNNNNNNNNNNNNNUAUGUAUUUGGUUCUAGAAUGCAUAAUAGGAUUCUUUGUGAGGUUUAUAGCACUAGUAUUAUCACAUUUCAGCGGAGUGUAGCCUAAGUCUAAGCCAUAAUCUCGUAAUUGUUGCUUAAGCUACGAUACUUAGGCACAACAACUACCUGCUGCUAUGUAUUCAGCCUUAGCAGUGCUUAGCGCAACACAUGCUUGUUUCUUGCAAGACCAAGAGACUAAAGCAUUGCCUAAAAUGUGACAAGUACCACUCGUACUUUUCCUUUCAGAUUUACAUCCGGCAAAAUCUGAAUCCGAAUAUCCAACCAAUUCACAUAUACUUCCUUUUGGAUACCACAGUCCAACUUCAGUUGUACCUUUAAGAUAUUACAUAAUUCUCUUAACAUCAACUAAGUGUGAUUCUCUUGGUUUAGAUUGAUAGCAUGCACACAGACAUACACUAAACAUCAUAUCAGGUCUACUGGCAGUCAAAUAAAAGAGAUCCGAUCAUACCUCGAUACUUUNNNNNNNNNNNNNNNNNNNNNNNNNNNNNNNNNNNNNNNNNNNNNNNNNNNNNNNNNNNNNNNNNNNNNNNNNNNNNNNNNNNNNNNNNNNNNNNNNNNNGCCCAAGUUAUCCUUACCAUUGUUUAGAACAUAACAUUUACAACCAAAAACAUGCAUAUGAGAAAUGUUUGGUUUUCUACGUUUGAAGAGUUCAUAGGGGGUUUUCUUAAGAAUAGGUCUUAUAAGAACUCGAUUCGAAACAUAACACGCACUACUAACUGCAUCAGCUCAGAAAUAUUUUGGGAGGUUAAUUUCAUUUAACAUUGUUCGAGCUAGUUCUUCUAAGGACCGAUUCUUUCUCUCUACAACACCAUUUUUGUUGAGGUGUUCUAGAAGCAAAAAAAUUGUGGUUGAUCCCAAGAUCUACACAAAAUUCUUCAAACGAAGAGUUUUGAAAUUCUUCCCCAUGAUCACUUUGUAUAGCAACGAUUUUUAAAGAUUUUUCUUUCUGAACUCUUUUAGCAUAAAUGCUAAAUGCUUUGAAUGCCUCAUUCUUAUGAACUAAGAAUAGAGUCCAAGUAUAUCUAGAAAAAUCGUCCACUAUAACAAGAGCAUAAUAAUUACCAACAAAAUUUUUUUUCCUUGAGGGACCAAAUGAAUCCAAAUGAAGUAAUUGUAAUAGUCUAUCGGAAGAAACCAUGUGCUUUGGUUUGAAAGAGGUUUUUGUUUGUUUACCCAUUUGACAAGCACUACAUAGUUUGUCUUUAACAAACUUCAUUUUGGGUAAANNNNNNNNNNNNNNNNNNNNNNNNNNNNNNNNNNNNNNNNNNNNNNNNNNNNNNNNNNNNNNNNNNNNNNNNNNNNNNNNNNNNNNNNNNNNNNNNNNNNUGUUAUAGGUAAAGCAGAAUCCUUGUCAAUCAUAUAUAUAUUAUUUAUUCUCUUACCAAUAAGUUUAGAAUUAUUAGAAUCCUUACUUUCAAUGAUGCACUUAUCUGGGUAGAACGCCACAUGAAAUCCUUUGUCGCAUAAUUGACUUAUGCUUAGAAGGUUGUGCUUGAGUCCUUCAACAUAUAGUACACCUUCUAUAGUUGUUGAGGGUGGCUUUUCAAUUCUACCAACUCCAAGAAUUCUUCCUUUGUUGUUAUCACCAUAUGUGACAUAUCCUUUCUCCCUUGGAGUCAGGACAGAGAAUUUACUUUUAUCGUAUAUCAUGUGUUUUGAGCAGCCGCUAUCCAAGUAUCAUAAAUUGCAGGUGGCUCUCAAAUUUUCCUACAAAACAAUUUAAAAAGAUUUUCUAGGUACCCAAUGUGAUUUGGGUCCUGCGGGAUUAGAACCUUUCUUAACCCAAACAUAUUGGCAUGUUGGAAUACCAAUUUUUCUAAUAUGACAUGAAUUAGGAGUAUGACCAAUAUUUUUACAAUAAAAGCAUGUGGGUUGAUGUUGAUGCAUCUUUUGUAUAGACUUGUAGAAAGAAUGUUGAUCAAGAUUUUCUUUAGAAAUAUUAUGCAUGCAAUCAUUCUUAGUUUUCACAAAAGUAUUCUUUAUCAUACCAUUAGUUUUUUGGCUAUUUGUGUAGCCUAGACCUCUUCGGUCAUUGGUAUGUUUUUGAGUAUUUAAAAUAUUGUCCAACUUAUGAGUACUCUUUUUUAACUUAUUCAUUUCUUGAUUUAAUGAAACAACUUUAGUUUCAAGAGUAUCACAUUUUGGACAAUCAAUGCACUUGUCAUUUGAUUUGGAGUUUAAAGCAUCCAAAUCUUUUAGUAAAAUUUUAUUUUGACUCUCAAGAAGUUCUAUAGUGUUUUUAUGAUUUAUGCACACUUUAGAGAGUCUAAUAAAUUCUUCAUGUAAUUUACAAAAAGUGUUAUGUAACUCAUUAUAUGAAAAUGUAUCAUUUGUUUCAGAGUUACUAACCUCAUAUUCGUCAUUUGAAUUGUGUGAAGCCAUCAAUGAAAUUUGUGAUUGCUCCUUAAUUCUGAGUUCUGCAUUUGAACCAUCAUCUUUAUCUUCUGAUAUAACAUUUGUUCUUCUACGCUUCUUAUCCUUCUUUCUUUUGAAGGUAUGAUGCUUUUGUAGGGUUGGACAAGCACAUUCAAGAUGAUUUGAUUUUCUGCACAUAGAGCAUGUAGAAUUUUUCUUUGAUGUUGAUGCUUCACUAUUUGUUGUAGACCUUUGUACUUCUUUGGCUCCAUGUAUCCUUUCUAGAGUGUCCCAAAUUUCUUUCGAUGAUUUGCAACUUGAUACUCUACGGAAUUCUUUUUCUUCUAGAGCCGAUACAAGAAUGUUUUUGGCUUUAAGGUCGUAUUGCACUUUCUUCUUGUCUUCAUCAUUCCAUGAAGAUUUAGGCUUUAUUUCCCUUAGACGGUUUAUAAAUGUGAAGGGUUCAUAGGGUCCUUCUUCAAUUGUGUUACAUAUAUCCAAGUCUUCGGAUUCUAUGAAUAUUCUCAUUCAGAUUUUCUAGAAGUCAUAGCAUUCUCCAACAAAACUUGGAGGGUGGUUUAUGUUAGAACAUUCUCCUAGGAAUGAUCUUGAGGCCAUCUUUGAUAUAGGAUCAAGUUUGAGAAUAUCUUACUCAAAAAUAGCUCUAAUACCAAUUGUAAGAACGAGGUUGCAACUAAGAGGGGUGAAUUAGUUGACUUAAAAAUUAUGGCCAAUUUUUCUGCAAAAUCAAGAGUUAACGUGCAGCGGAAAAUAUAUGCAGAAAAAUAAUCAAUAUAAAAUGAAAGAGAGAAUGGAGAAGAGAAUACGCAAUGAUUUUUAUACUGGUUCACCUUCUAGUCCACCGAAAGCUACGUCUAAUACUCUUGCAUCACAAUAGAUUUCUUUACUAAGAAUUAUGAGUUGUAAUUACAAUAUCUCACCCCAACAUUUCUAUGUACCUUACACACUCCCUAAUACUUAUUCACUCUUGGAAAACACAUUUCCAAGUGAUUCUAAUCCCCUUUCUUUUCACACCGUGAAAGAAAGUAUUCUGCAACAAUAUUGAAGAAUGUACAACAAUGGCAGAUUGCCUUUACAAGUAUGAAAGUAGUAUAACUUGCAAUCCAAUCAAAUCUUUAUAUAUACCAAGUAAUAAUGCUCUUUUGGAAAACUUUGAAACACUUCUAAGCAAUUUCAGAAAAAUUACUUUGAAAGUUUGAGUGCAAGUUGCAAAAAGUGUAGAGAAGUAACUUCAGAAUAAGUUUAAGAGCUUUUGAAAUUUGUAUAAGAGUUGUGUGUUGUUGUGUAUUUGUGUUGUGAGAGGUAGAGUCUUUAUAUAGACUUUCCAAAUACCCAUGGUGCCUUUCUAAAAGUGUAGGAGUUGUUUUUGUAGUGAAGAGAUUUCGUUUGGAGUGAGAACAUUUCAUUUUGAAAUAUGAAAUAUGAUGCACAGCUCUCAGUAAUUACUGACAGUGGGUAAUCGAUUACCCAAACUCUCUGCCCACUAUUCAUUUAAAAUUAAAUUAGAGUAAUCGAUUACACCAAUUGGAGUAAUCGGUUACUCAACUUUUCAAAACUGGUAAUCUGUUACUCAAAGACAGUAAUGGAUUACUCUGAACAUUUUUCAGUUGGAUAACUCUUUUCUCACACAUGUAACCUGUUACUUAGAUGAAGUAACUCGUUACACACUAUUUUUGAAAAUUGUUUUAAGUAUUUUAAAGUGUUUCAACUUUCUUUAAAAAUAGUUUGAGCAUUAUUACUUUGUAUAUUUAAGAGUUUUAGGAUAGAAGUACCUAUAGAGACUUAAUCUAAUUAUCUUGAAGCUUUAAUCUUCUUUGUCUUUAUAAGUAUUCUUCGUUUUCUUCUUUUUGGUGAUGUUGGUGUCUUCAUCAAUAAAACUAUCCAUGAUCUUAGUAGAUGAACAAAGGAAUAAGAAUGAAUUCAGUUAAGAAUAAAACUAUCCAUGAUCUUUGAAGAUGAAAAAAGGAAUAAGAAUAAGAAUUGGUCUCCUGAAGAUGAACAAAGGAAUAAGAAUGAACUCAGUUAAGAAUAAAACUAUCCAUGAUCUUCGAAGAUAUACUCCCAUCAUUCUAUAUUCUUUCGUGCCGUAUGCUUGACCACAAAGUGUUGAUAAUGCGCUCGCCAUGCCUAAAAGAACACCAUUAACAAAUCUGACAAGAACAGUGCAUACAAGAGAAAAACCAGUUGAUUCUCUUGAACCAAUAUGGCCAACAAAUGCUUGGGUUAUAACAUUCCAAAAGUGCAGAGCCUUGUAAAUAUUCCUGGAGCUGCUACUACUACGCAAAUCAACUUGCUUAAGCCUAGCUCAUGGGUGAAGGCAUUUUAUAGCCAUUAGCCUAAAGUGGACAAUAUUACCAACAACAUAUGUGAAGUAUGGAAUGCAAAGAUUGUUGAGUACAGAGAUAAACCAAUUUUAACUAUGUUAGAGGAGUUGAGAUUCUACAUCAUGAGGAUAAUGGGACAACACAAGCUAGCCAUGAGGAAUUGGAAAGACAAGUUGCUACCUGUCCAACAAAGAAAAUUGGAGAAAAUCAAAGUGGAAAGUUGUAGAUGGACUCCAACAUAGACUGAAGAUAUUGAGAGUCAAACUUAUGAGGUAAAACAUAGGUCCACCAAGUUGGGGGGUAAGUUUGACAAACCAAACUUGCACUUGUCAAAAAUGGCAACUCAUUGAACUGCCUUGUGAACAUGUUGUGGCAACAAUUGCUUUCAAUAGUGAUACCCCUGAAGACUAUGUAUACAAUUGGCUAACUAUGAAUGCUUUUAAUGUAACCUAUUCAUAUGUCAUUAGCCUAGUUAGUAUUGAUGAAUUUUGGAUUAGCACAAAUCAGAAUCCCAAGCCUAUUCCACCAAACCUGAAAAGGCCAAUUGGUAGGCCUAAGAAACAUAGAAAGAGAAACUUAAAUUCAGAAUCUACACCUGGCAGUUCACUAUAAUUGAAAAGGUCAUGGAAGACAACUUGUCCAAAAUGCAAUGAACAAGGACAUUAUGGUAAAACUUGCAAGGGUCUAGGUUUGCCAAGAAAGAAGGGUAAGAAACAUGAAAUAUGGGUCCCUGAAAACAUGCAGCAACCUGAAUUACUUGAAACUAAAAUAAACUGCACUACCCUCUGCUAUGUAUACUGUUAUUUAUACUAUUAUCCAUAAUCUAUGCUAAAUUUGUGUACACUAGUUGUAGGAGAGUCAGGUUGGUUCAUCCAGAAUUGUAGCUGGAAUUUCAACUCAUAUGAGAUACCUAGCAAUGUUGGUAAGAACAUAUUCCUCGACAUUUAAAUUAUAUUGUCAUUUUCUUAGGCUAAAUUAGUAUGUAUAUACAUUCUAUUUCAGUUUGAGGAUGAUAACACAAUGGAGUCACCUCAAGUCCAACCAUCAGCUAAUCCAACCUCAAGUAUAUUGGAACCACCUCAAUCCAUCCAAGAGCAUCAAGUCCAAGCUCAAGUGAAACCAAGAAAACAAUCUUCAAGGUUCAAACCAGCAAGAACUAAUUCAAAGAAUGCUAAGAAGAGAUGAUAGAGAGUUUUUAGUCAUUUAGCGUUUUGAUGAUUUUUUUUUUGUAAUAUACUUGUUGGCGGAAUGAUAAGUAUGUUUUUAUAGUGAUGUAGUGUUUUGAUGUUCUUUUGUAAUACACUUGUUGACAGGAUGACAGUAUGCACUUGUUAUUAGGAUGUUAAGUAUUUUGCAAUGCUAAGAAGUGACUAUUACAUUGUAACAAAACCAUUUUGUGUUGCUAUUUUGUAUUGCAUUCACUAUAAAAUGCAUUAGAGCCAUAGUGCACUAAAAUAAUAACAGAUAACAUACUUGAUCAUUUCAUUCAUAAUACAAAACUAACAUAACUUCCAUAAAUCAUAACUUCAUUUUAUUGAUAACACAUAACUUACAAAAAUGAACAAUAACUUCAUUACAUAAUAGAAACAUAAUCAAAACAUACAUAACUUCAUUCCAUUGAUACUACAACUACUACAUCAUUUGAAAAUACAAAUCAAAAAACCACUAACAACAUAUAAUAGACUAAACACAGCUGCUACAACUAUAAUUUUUCUACACCAUAUGACAUGUUCUUUCAUGAUUUGAAUUUCUUUUAGAUUAGCUUGCAAAUCAUCCAUAUCUAUAGCAUGAUCAAUCUCAUGUUCUUCCUUCAUGGCUUGAUUUCUUUCCCAAUCUUCAACCCACAUAUAAAACUUCACACAAUAAUUAUUUCCUUCCUGUAGAAGAAUGAAAAAUGUUUCAGACAUGGAAAAUAACAAAAAUCAAAACUUUAACAUAAAAUGAACAAUAAAAACAAAAAUAGUGUGAACCUUGAAAUAUGGACAUCCAUAGAAAUGUUUCUUUGGGUUCUUCAUAGUCUUUGAUGUGUAUACAGAAGCAAGCCUUCUACAAUGGUACAAUGAAGGAUGAAAUAUUCUAUCUACAAAGCUCACAUCGCCGUAACUUGUUUGAGAUGUCCACCUCGAGUUCACAUCACCAUAGUUUUUCAUGUCAUAUGCAACAAGAUAACAAAAUUAGCUUGUUAGGGUUUAUGCUGUAAGAAAUUUGGGCAAUUUGGGCUUGUAAUCGACUCUCAAUGUUUUAAGGAAGAAGAUGGAGCAAAAUGGCAUCGUUUUACUCCUUAAUAUUUUUUCAGAAUUAUUCUACAUAAAACGACGUCGUUUUGCUUAAUGUAUUAAAAACAUUGCAAAAAGACGUCGUUCAGUAUUAAAAAAUUUAUUUAAAUAUUAAUUUAUUUUAAAAAAAUUAAAAUAAACGACGUCGUUUUGAGUCAGAAAAAAAUUAAAAAAAAUUAACGGGUUGUUGACAUGGCAAGUUGUACACGUAGGACCAUCCAUCACGGUCCACAUCAACAGUUAACAUGUCACGCCAGCAACUCUGUGACAUUUAAUGGUGCCCACAUGACGGAAGGACUAAUGUGACUCAACGUUGAAUUUGUAGGGAACUAAAAUAUCACUUAAAAAAUUUCAGGGACUAAAUUGGUAACCACAAAAAAGAUGAGGGACGUAAAUGGGUAAUCACUCUAUAAUCAAAAGGAACUUUAGUUAUUUUAUAUUUGUUUUCAAGGGAAACUCCUUUAUCAAUCCAAACGAAACCCUUAUAAAGCAGCCAUCUUCCAAUUUCUAUCUCUCCUAUUCAAGAUCCAAAUGAAAUUCACCAUGUAUGUAUCUUUAUCAAUCCCUCCAUUUUUAAUAUGGCACAUAUGGUGGAAGAAUACAAAUACCAAAACACGGCGACUAUGUGUCAACAAAUGGGGACUAUAUCUUCUUUUGUCCCACAUUAUUGUAUCCCUUCAUAUGUCAUGAGUUGUGAUUGGUCAGAAAAAUACUUAAUAGUUAAAAUUUUAACUUAAAUAUAUUUUUUUCAUCUGAUUACAAUUCAUGGCAUAUGAAGUGAUAUACAAUAUGGGAUAGAAAAUGAUGUGCUCCCAAUAAGUGUAGCUUGUAUCUUGUACCUUAUGGGCAAUAAAUUGAUAUUCCAUCACUAUCAUGCUCUAACUAGUACUUUAAUGAGUUAAUAAUAAUUAAAUUAUGGGAAAAUAUGUUUUUAAAUAAAUAUACAAAUCAAUAAGUAUAACUUAUGUAGUUACACUCUUGAAUUAUUUACUGUUGGUUAAAAAAAAUAAUUGAUGGUUUUACAGAUAACAAUAUCUCAAGUACUAUUAAAUACUCAAACAAUUGGAAAACAUAUUAUAAUCUGAGUAAUUUUUAGUACUCAUAUAAUUGGAAAAUGCCUUAUAUUUUUGUGGAUAGUUUCGGAAACAACAGUGUUUAAAUUUAAAUUUAUUAUGUAUGGAAUUGAUAUAGAAGUUGAAGAUAAAUCUUGACUUUAAUAAUUAUCGAGAAAAAGAUAUAUGUAUGGACAAUGUAAAAGUUUUAUAAAAAUUAUCAUAGUUUAUUUUUAAAUUAUUAUUGACUCUUAAAUAAAAAUAAUAGAAAUGAAUGUUGAUGAUACACUAACUGUAUAUAAAUAUGAAUGUUAAAUGAUAUGUUAUCAUAUCAUAAUUAUUUAUGUUAUACAUAUGAAUUUACUUGUAUACGUUUUGGUUCAAGAUACAACUGUGAUAAAAGUAACUAUAAAGGGACAAUUACAAAUAAGGAAUUUAAAAAUAUAUAUAACUAACUGAUAAGAAUAAGAUGACUUGAUCAAUACCCAACACUUGAUUUAUCCAAAUAGAAAAUAUUGAUAUGUUCAAGAAAGAAAACAAAAUAAAAAAUUAAGGACAUUAGUAAGGACAAAUAUGAAAGAAAUGGUGCAUCAUAGAGAUAUUGAAUUACUAUCCUAUAAAACCUAACCUUAAACCACAUGUACGUGUACUAAUGAUCGGAGAUAGUAUUCUGAACGAGAUCCUAGUUAGAAAUCUUAAUUUAGUACAUGAAAUAGUUCAUAUAUAUAUUUAUUUUCGAUCAAAUGCUUAUGUUGCGGGUAAAUUUUAAUUUAAUGAAGUAAUUAUACAAAUGUAAUGUGUGCAAAACUAAUAUGACUUAUUUGAGAUAGUAUUGUUUGAAGGAAUCUUAUCAUUACCCUUAUUUACUGAAAACAUUUCAAUGCAAAAAUGAUUUUGACUACUCAACACAAAUUUUGAGAGAAGAACCAAGAGAACAAUUACGACAAUUAAAAGGUAAAGUAGCAUGAAAUUAUAAUCUGUGUAAUUAUUACAUGUAACAACCAAGUGAAACAUUAAACAAUUGUUAUGAAAUGAAAGUAUGAGACACCAUGACAAGAGAAGACUCAUAAGUUGAGCCCUCGUCGCGUUCCCUUUAUUAUCAUUAAUCAAUCAAUGCUAAAGCAUUGUCAUACAUAGUAUCAUCCACUAGAAAUUUUCUAUGGUCUCGCGUCUUUCCCACCACAUCAACUCUUCAAAACUUGAUGCUGCAAUAUUGCACAAAACCGAUACAUAAAUGAAUUGAUUUAAUUAACAAAUAUAUACCAAAAAUAAUCCAUGCUCAUGAGAAAUAAAUACUAUAGGUUUAAUCCUGUUAAUAUGCUAAAUUUUAGUAACUAGCUAGCAAAAGAGCAUACAUAUAUAUAUAGGAUAAUGAUUUUUCGCUCACAAACAUUUAAGAAUAGUAUGUAUCAGAAUAAUUUUAUGAAAACCAUUUUAAUAAUUUUAAUGAAAUUUUUUAUGAGUAUUUUUAUUUCCAAAAAUUCAAGGAAUUUAGCGAAUUACAUAAAUGACUGUUGUUAAGAGAUAAUAAUCAUGUGGUUAGAAGCUUAGCUCCAUUCAUCCAUUUAUGGGUGUUAUCAUUUUAUUAUUAUUUAGAUGAAAACUUGACAACUUCAUUAAAAAAAGGUAAGUAGAAAUCGUGAGGUAUCCAUUUUUUCCUUAAAUUGUCAAAUCAUGAUGUAAGAAAUUGUUACAUAAAUUUCUAUUUUAUACUUUAAUUUAAUUUUAUGCAAUAAUUAGGAAUUAUAAGUGAUUAUCAUAGAGAAUUUUAAUAGCAUAUCAUAAACUAAUUCAUUGAUUAAAAUAUAAGUAGUGCAACAUAGUUAUUCAAAUCUACUAGAACAACACUUAUUUAUUACUUUUGGUUCUUCUUUCAUUGUUAUCAAACUGCACACAAAGAGUUGAUGAAUAGUAUAAUGUUGAUUGUCUAAAAAACAUAUUUCAGAAAUUAUACGUCUAACCAUUCUUUAUAAAAUCAUUUUGUGGAAUUUCAUGUGAAUUAAAAUAAAUUGAUUAACAUUGCUAUGAUAUUGAAUUUACAGUUCACAGAAAUAACAUACGUAUUACAGUUGGUGGAGGUGCUAAUCUUGUAAGGGAGAUUGACCCCGCAUUUGUCAGGGAGUGAUGCUGCAUUCGCCGGAUCAAAUCGGGUGGAAGAAGCGGCGGAUUUGAGGCAAUUGCAUGCAGUUUGUUUGUCAGCUGUGCUCUGAGCCAACGCCACGAGUCCCUUGACUCCGUUGCAGCAUGUUCCAGGAACAGUUCCACCAGACUGCAGGUAAGUGAGGCAUGGAGCUAUGCCACUAACAACCUGUCCACAUGUUAUGGUAGCAUGUGCAAUGGGUGCACCCACCACAACCAUGCACAUCAAAACCAUACAUGUUACCUUAAUGCUUGCCAUUACUUCACAAACUAAUUUGCUGUGUAUUUGCUUUUGGAUAUUGCUUACUUGGUGAUAUACGGGAUGCAUGGUAUGCAGUUUAUAUAGAAAAUAAGAGAGAGAUUAUUACAUAAUGCUGCACUAAAAGAUGGAUUGUGGCCUAGGCCAAUCCUCAUUCGACACGUGGUUUAUGUUGCUAGCAUUGUUUACCACUGUCAAAAUCAAGGUCUGAUGCAUUAAUAUUGAAUAAGCUUAGAAGUGAAUGGUAUGAUUUAUUUGAAAUUAAAAAAACACAAUAUAAUUAUAGAUAGUUAUUAAUUAUAUAUAUAAUUAUUCUAUUCCAUUUUAAUUUUAAUAAAAAAUGUUAAGACAUGACUCUAAUAUGAUUAUUAAUUGCAUUAUAAGAUUAUUUGUUGUGAUUUUUAUUCUAAUAAAAAAUUGAGAGACAUUUAUUUAAUAUAAUAUAAUUUUAAUUAUAUAUAGAGUCUAUAUAAUACAAAUUUGGUAAAGUUUUCUGUUUGGUGUUAACUACUAAAUAUAAUAUUCAUCUUUUAUCCGUCUUUAGAAUUAGAUAUGAUAAUGUUAAGCAUACAUGAAUAGAUUUAAUUCAUAACACAUAAUUUUAAAAGGUAUUGUGACAUUAUUCAACUUAUUUAACCAACUCUAUUUUGUGGAAUAAAAAAUUGAGUUAUUUAUUAAUUAUAUAAGUUAUCAAAUCCCAGAUCUACCAUCUUCCAAUUUGAUAUGGAACUCCGGAUUGUUAUCAAAGUGCAUGCGGCAACCAUUGGUUUGUUAGCGGUUGGGUCACAUUAAAUGCUCUAUAGUACAAUUGUAUAACUUAGUUAAUCGAAGAAGAAAUAUUCCAACACGUUCUCUUUUUUUUCUUCUCUUCUCUACCAAGAACAAAUUAUAAUUUAAUUGUAUAUUUUCCCAUAAUUAUUAAGAUCAAAACUGGUAGCCGUUUAAAGGAAUGGUGAAUUUAUUUCUAGAGUUAAGUGCACCAUCCCAACUUAAAUUAUAUAAAUCAUUCAUAUAUUUUUAUACCUAAAGAAAUUAUCCUAAUUUAUAUAUAUAUAUAUAUAUAUAUUACAUUAUUUACCCUUCUAGAAUAAAUAAUUGUACCUCUUAAGAGUGUAACAUUUAUGCAUUAUCGGUAUAAAGAUUUAUACACAAUCACGAGAUCGUCCACCACCCAUUUAAAUUACCUUUUUGAAAAGUCAAUAAUGAUUAAAUAUGAAUAGUAUAUGAUAUAAUGAUUGUGUAUAAAACUUAUACACUCUCACUAAAUACAUAUUUUGCUCAUCUUUUAAACAAAAGAUGAUAAUAAAUGUAAUUAAGUUGAACAAAAUAUGAUAUAUUAUGAAGACAAGUCAAAAUAUUAUACGAGUCAAUACAUAUUGAGUAUGUUUUUUGUCCUUACAAUAUAGUACAAGAGUAAUUUAACAAUAUUCCCUUAGAAUUUUUUAUGUAUUUUUAACGAACCAAAAAUAUUGAAGAGAAGCUAACUCUUAUACUAUUUGCACUUGUUCGACAAUAUAUCUUAUUUUGUUUAACUUAAUUACAUUCAUCACUCAUUUUAUGUUUAAAAAAUUACAUUUAUUUCUCAUGCAGAUAUAAUUAAUGUAAUAUAUAUAAGAGUAGUAUGUAGAUACAAAAAAAAGAUAUGAGUUUAUAUAAUUUCAAUAAAAUUAGAAAGAUAUUAUAUAAUUUACUUCUUGGAUCAAUGUUGGCGUAUUAGGUCAUAAAUUUGUUUGUUAUUUAUUUCAUGAUAUUUUUCAUGAAACGGUUAUUAUUAUUUUGGAUACAUAAUCAAAAGUUAUAGUUACAUUAUCAAUUAGUAGCUAAUUUAAAUAAAAAUAAUAAUAUAUGUUUAUUUCUCUUUAGCAAAUCCAGAGUUUAAGACAAACGGAUGUUGCUUCAAGUUAUACAUGUUUGAUUCAUCUUAAGCAAGGUUUCGGAUUCGAGUAUUGUGUAUAAAAAAUAUCCAUUGAGAGAGUUAGCCCCACAUACUUGUGGAUGUUUCCGGCUCAGACAGGAAUACCUCCAGUACGAUGAUACAUGUAGGAAAUUAAAAAAGUCUGUUUAAGUCUUAUGAUUGGUUAUCUUGCUGUUUUGAAAUUGGUAAAUUUGUUUUCUUUUAUGAUUGGUUAUCUACCUUGCUGUUUUGAAAUUGGUAAAUUUAUUUUCUUUCACUGUUGUUCUUGAAGUCUAUCACAGUCACAGCACCGACUUCUGAAUAAAAGAGUUAGGCACCUUCCCCCCUUACCUUGCAUGUUACAUUACAUCAUUUAAACAUUGGCAGAUUGACUUCCAUUAAUUUCAUGGUCCUACAAUAAUUAGUUCCUAUACUCCUAUACUUAAUUUUAAAAGUUUCAAUUAUACUCAUAAGAACUAUUAUCUUAUGUACAAUAGAUUGAUAAAACGUAUUUAGUUUAAUAGGUAAGUGUAUAAGUCAUCUAAAAAACAUAUUUAAUUAUACUAUAUGUUACUAUUACAUUAUUACAAAUAACAUAGUUAAGUAUUGGUAAUAAAAUAAAGUAUAUUGAUAAUUACUAAGUUUGAGUUUCUAGAUCAUCAUUUAUUUUCAAAAUAUAUAUAUUUGCUUAUGACAAUAAUAAAGAAGAAAAUAUACAAUCUUAUUUAAUCUCAUACUAAAUUUCCACAAAUAUGGUAUACUAUUAAGACAAAUCUAAAAUAGUGCAAGUGUUGAUGCCUAUUCAUUAUUUUUAAUUAGACUAAAUUAGCUAGACACUCCAUGCACUUUAGCUUAAUUACAUUCAUCACUAAUUACAUUCAUGCACUUUAUCAAAACCGGUCAAAACUAGUAAACCAGCCGGUAUUUGACUAAAUCGGCUGGUUUAUACAAAUAUUUUUUUUUGAAAAAAAAACUUAAAAACCCAUUACAAGAUGACCCAUCUUUCCAACCUUUGUUCAACACUUCAAGACACAUGUUUUCAAGGCAUACUUCGAUUACACAUUUUGGUUCAUAACAUUCGCGUGUAAUCUUAGUGACAUUUGUGUAAUCUGGGAGUACUAUCAGAAGAUAGGAUUUGGUGGAAAAAUAUAAUAUUGAUAUGAGACAACUUUGAUUCCUUGAUGUUAAAUAUUAAAACUCCAAAUUUAUUUGUUUUGUAGAGCCAGAUGUGAACAUGUGUCAUUUGUUUAUAUUUUGCGGUUGUUAAGUGAUACUUUUGGAUUGAUAUAUGUUUUGUAAUUUAGACCUUUGAAUUUAUUAAAGACUUAAAGUUGUUUGUUUAUGUGAAUUUUGAGUAGAUUAUGAAUAUGAAUUAUAAAUUUGAGUAUCUACCUAUUUGGAAUUUUUUGUUAUAGGUUUAUAUAUAUAUAAAUAUAAGUAGGUAUAUCCGGUUUAACCGACAUGUGGUUUAAUUACUGAACCACCGGUUGUACCACCGUGGAAGUGUGCUUCUAGUGCAAAAAUCUUUUGGUUUUUCUAGCGUCUUUACCUCCCUCUACCACAUAUUAUAGAAAGAGGGUCAUUUCAGUCACUCCAAACCACAUGCUAGCAGAAAUAUUUGCAACUUCUUUCUAUACAUUAUUCAAUCUCUUUAAUGGGUUUGUAUCCCAAUAUCAGUGAGUAAUGUUGCCUAGUUCUUUAAGAUACAACUCUAGUUUCUAGCUUAAUAAUUUCAUUUAUAUAUAUCAAUCAUUAAUGUUUCAGAAAAUCCCAAUGUGCUAUGUGGUGGUCUUGGUAUUAUUAUAUAUUCCUAGUAGCACAGACAAUGUAUGUAUCAACAAUCUUGUAGAAUCAGAAUUUGGUCAGGACAAUUGACUGUUUUACGGUACAUGAAAGAGAUAUAAAAGAAACCACUUGUUACGAAGAAUUAAUAAGCUAAGUAGUAGAACUUGAUGAUUAAUUUUCUAGAUUGAAGCAUUUGUCAAUAGAAAGGACAAACCCAGAUUUGUCCUAUCUUGGCCAGGUCUUAAUUGGACGUGUACAUGAUCGAUUUUCAUCAAAUCUAAGUUCGUGUUCAACUAAUUAGCUUGGUUAACAUUUAGGAUUAGAAAAGGGGCAAACCUUAACACACAUUAUGUGAUAGAAGAUGUGCUCCCAUUUCCUUGUAGCUAAUAGUAUAAGAUGUGGACCAUUUCUUCUCAUCUUUACCUUUCUUUCUUCCUUUUCCACGUUAAAAAUAUUAAUAAUACCCUUUCUAAAAAAUUGUGAAAUCUAUUAAUUACAAUAGUGUUAUUUCAAUAAUUCAAAUUUAACAAUUUCUCUUAAAAACUCAAAUUAUCUCUCAUUUAUUUUUUAUCUUUUAUUUCUAUACACAUACCCAAAAAUGAUCUGAAAACCAAAGAAAAACUUAUUAUCAUAAAUUUGUUAUCAAAAUACGGAUAUUCUAAUCACUGUCAGAUAAAAACUAAUAAUUUCAUCCGACAUGGCAUGAAUCACCGAACCUGCACUCAGGAAGAGUAAUGCUUUGAAUAAAGUCUAUUUCAAAACACUAAUAAUAUAUUAUUAAAAAUUACAUAUAAAACUUUCAACAUUUACUUUAGGCUUUUUAGUUACUUAUAGAAGAACAACGGUUAAUAAAAUAAUUACAAAAGAUAGAGAAAAUUGAUUUCAUAGUGUAAUUUGUUAGCUAAUUCAUAUUCUUUUCUUCUGCCAUAACUCAUGUAUUGGCAAAAAUAUGUAUUCCUUUUAAUUACACUUCAAAUUUGGUUAUUGAACAUUGUAUUUUGGUCCUUUUGAGAUUUGUUGAGUUGGAGCUUGUGGUCUAAUUUCCUAACUAGUUAGUAGCUGAAGUAAUGCAUGACAUGUUUUUUUUUUCUUUUUGUUGUAAAAUAUUGAAGUUAGUUUGAAUAGAACUAAAGUAAUGAAACAUGAGGGGAGAGAUAUUUUUUAAGUUAUUUAUUUGUUAAAUUUAAAAAUAAUAUUAAAUGUGUACCUUUAAAUUUUUUAGGUGCCAUAUAUGAGGAUCUGGGCAAGUAUUAUUCUAAUUAGGAACAAUUGAUGUUGGAAUCGUUAAGUUCAAUAAAUUGAGAAGAUUCUAUUUAAUUUAUAAAUAAUUCAUAACAAGAAAAGUGAAAAUUUUGCAUGAGAUGAUAAAAACUUAAAGAAAAGAUAAUAUGGACCAGCAAUAAUUUGACAUUAUAUGUGAAAGAGGAUUUUCAUUUAGUUCAUAAUUUGCAUAGUGUGAAAGGUGGAAUGAAGAUUAAGAUAGAAUAAGUCUCAUACUAGGUCUAUGAUUUAACCAAUAAAAUUAUUUAUAAAACUGGAUAUGACAUUAUAUAAAAUUAAUAAUUAUAUAAUCAAAUGUUAGAGAGGAACUUUAGUUUGUAAUUUUAAUAUUUUAUAUUUGUUGUCAAGGGAAACUCCUUUAUCAAUCCAAACGAAACCUUCUAUCUUUAUUAAGCAGUCAUCUUCCAAUUUCUAUCUCUGAUAUUCAAGAUCGAAAUGAAAUCCACCAUGGAUAUAUCUUUAUCAAUCCCUCCAUUUUUUAUUUGACGCAUAUGCGUCGACAACAUAUUCCCUUAUGUACCUUGUCUCUUUAUCCUUAGGUUAGUUUUUAGCACAAGAUUUUGAAGGACUUUAUAAUUCAUCCUACAGGAUGAUCAACUUUCACUAUCAUGCUCAAACUAUCCCUUUUCUGAUUUAAUAAAAAAUUAACUAUGCGAAAAAUACAUUUUUAAAUAAAUUGUACAAAUCAAUAGAUAUAACUUAUGUAGUUUUUUUGUACUACCAAGGGUAUUCCCUCAUCCAUAGGAUACAAACUAAUCCUUUUGGAUACAUGCUUAUGCCUCCCAACAAGUGUCGCGUAGGAAUAGAAUCUUUUACCUUUUGGUUAUCCUAGUGAUCGAGCGGACCUAACAUUCUUUAAUUAGUUUUGGUUAAGAAAAUUUAAUUGAUAGUUUUAAAGAUAACAAUCCCUCAAGUACUAUUAAAUACUUGAAUAAUUGGAAAAUAUAUUAUAAUCUGAGUAAUUUUUAGUACUCAUAUAAUUGUAAAAUGCAUUAUACUUUAGUUGAUAUUUUGGGAAACAACAGUGUUUUAAUUUAAAUUUAUUGUAUAUGGACUUAUAUAGAAGUUGAAGAUAAAUCUUGACAUUAAUAAUUAUUUUGAAAAAGAUGUAUGCAUCGAUUGUGUAAGUAUUUUUUAUAUUGCUACUACAUCAUCCAUAGUUCAUUUUUUAAUUAUUAUUGACUCUUAAAUAAAAUUAACACAAAUGAAUGAUGAAUAAUACACUGACUAUAUAUAAAUAUUUAUAAUGUAGUACAUAGAUAUCACACUCAUAAUUAUGUAUGUUAUAUAUAUGAAUUUACUUAUAUACCUCUUGUUUCAAGAAACAUAUUAGCAGUAUAGUCAUGCACUUGCACAGGCGCUACGUUUUUUGAAAUUAACUUUCUAAGCACAAUUGUUGUUAUAUCUUUCAAAUUUCAAUAUCCUUCAUUGUUCAACCUACCAAAGUUUAAACAUAAACUAUAUCAUGAUGUGGGAGAGCUUGAUUUUAUGAUUUGGAAGACCAAAGAUUAUAAACGAGUUAAGAAAUUGAUGAGUUAAUAUGUUGAAUGUUUGACCUUCAUUAACAUCGCACAUAUCAAUAAAAUCUAAAUUGUUGUAUUCUUUUUUAUCACCUAUAGUCUUACAUACAGACAUAUAUGUGUACGAAUUAAAAAACAUUUGCAUAAAGUUAAUGUCUAAUUGAAUAGAAUUAUAAAUAUUUUUACCUGGAAUUAGACUCAAAACAUAUUCAUUUAUUUAUUUGAUCAACAAUUUCAAUAAGUAAUGCAAGUAUUGCCCUUAUUUGUAAAAACUCUUCAUUUCAUUCUUUUAGUGAUAUUGUAGAUUUGGAUAAGAACUUUGAAUUAUGGCGUCAAUUAGUUUAUUAAAAUUAACAAUUGUAUAUAUCAUUAGGUAGGGAAUAAAGUAGUUAUUAUAAUUUUAAAGAAAAAAUAAAUAAUAUAAAUCUAACUAAUACAAAUUUUAUUAUAUUUUUUGCGUGACCGAGUAUGUACAAUUGCCAAUAAUUUGUUAUAAUAUUUUUAAAUUGUACCAUUAUGGUGAUUACGUGUCAACAUAAUACAUGUUUUUAACCAUAUAAUUUUUACACAAUAUGUUCACUGUAAGGAAUGAUAGAUUACAUAUAAAAUAUUUUAAAUUGUAUAUGUUAUAAUUUAAUGUAUAAGAUAUAUUGGCACACAACAAAUAUUGGUUGCACUUUAAUCUUAUAAUAUAAUGAAUAGCAUGUAUUGUUGUUUCUUUAUCACAAAAAAAUAGAACUUUAUUAAUAAUACGGGUAUCAAGGUACAUUACUCAUACAAUAGUUUAAAGUGGCAAUAUUGAAACUUUUACAACUACAAAAAUUCUUGUUUUAUAAAUUAGUCAUGUAUUAUGCUCAAUAAAUCAUAGGUUAUGGAAUCCAUUGUAUCGCAAAUAAAUCAUAGGUUUGAGUGAACCUUUUCAAUGUGUAGUUUUAAACGAAAUUUAACAUAAUUCGUUAUCAUAAAAUAUAUUCAUAAUGAGCAUUGCUCCAAAUUUAUAUCCAUAAUAAUGUCUAUUGACAAAAUAUAUUCAUAAUAAUUAGCCUAUUUAAUGUUGUUGCAUGCAUUAUUGUUUCUUUAUCACGAAAAAAUAGAACUUUAUUAUUGUGUGUACAAUUUAUCCAUGAAAGUAGAAAACCGUGUGAAAGUAAAUGUUAAAUGACAUUUAUGAAGCUUUUAUUAAAAAAUAAACAUAUGAAUAUUAUUACCCUUGAAAAAUUUAUCAAUAGUCACAGCUAUAAUUUUUUUUUAUCUCUUACAUGCAUAUGUUUAAAGGAGUUGCAAAUGAUGACAACCUCCUUAGGGUACCUUGUUUUGGAUCAUUUUUUUUAGCUUGAAUAUGUUAAGGGAAAUGUGUAUGGGUCAUAGUUUGGCUAGGUGUCGAGGUCUUGUCUAGGUAAUUAUGUGUAUGGGUCACAGUUUGGCUAGGUGUCUAGACUUAGGCUAGGGUUUUGUAUGUGGCUCGGCUUGGUUGUGUAGGUUUGGUAUAGGUUUGUAUAUGGGUUUGUUUGGUCACGGUUUGGAUGUCUUUGGCUAGUAGGGUCACGACUAAGUGUAUGGGCUAAGUAUUGGCUAGGGAGGUUUAUGUUUGGCUAAGUGUUUGGUUGGGUUUGAUGUGGAUGUGUGUGUGAGGCACAAGUGAAGUGGAUAAGAUAUGAGAUGAUGAGGCGCUACAAGUAAGGGUUGCUUGAUAAGCUAAGGAGUGUCGCCACAAGCAAAGAUGCUUGAUAAGAAAAAGAUAGUGGUCACGACCAAUAUAGCUUAGGAGAAAACUCUCAACUAAAAAAAUCAAUUUUUCAAUAAAUCAAACUUGUUUAUUCAUUAUGAAAAUUCAAUUACUUAUAAAUGUGGCCAGCUGAAAAGGGCUUCCACUAAACUUGCAAAAUUUAAAUGUUCAAAAUUUAAAUUAUCAUGUAAAGAAACUAAGUCUUAGGGUUGUAAAAUCCCAUGGCUUGACUUGGCUUAUUCGAUUGGUUGACAAUUUUUAAUUUGAACUUCAGAAGCACAUGGUGGAAUAGCUUGAUCUUUCACAACAAUUAAGAUUUGAUCAUGCUAGAAUUUAGGGCAUAAUUUUUUGCCAAAUUUAUAUACGGUCAAAUUGAAUAUUUUCCUGGGCUAAUAUUCCAAUCUGAACUCCUUGUAGAUAAUAUGAGAUAGUUGCUUAGGUGGAAUUUCGAAAAGAGAGGCAAAAUUCAAUUUGGCUACUCCUAGCCAAAUUUGACCAUGAUAGAUUUUAGGACCAAAAAUUCAUACAGUUAGUUCACUAGUUUUCUUGACCCAAAAUUUAAUCCUAAACUCCUUGAAGAUAAUAUGGAAAAGUUCCUCUGGUAAAAAUUCGAAAAGAUAAGCAAAAUUCAAUUUAGCUACUCUUAGCCAAAUUUGACCGUGCUAGAUUUUUGGACAAACAAUUCAAACGGUCAAUUGACUAGUUGUCUUGAGCCCAAAUUUAAUCCUGAACUUCUUGAAGAGAAUAUGGAAAAGUUGCUCAGGUGGAAUUUUGAAAAAGAGGUGGAAAAAUUCAAUUUGACUACACUUAGCCAAAUUUGUCCAACCGAGAAUUGUGGUCCAUGCAUCAGAUUUGAAUUUGAAUGGAAUAACUUCAUUUUGAUCAAUUUUUCCUAGACGUAUUUUAUCACGUACCUCAAUUUUAAUUUUAAAGAUUGUGGAUCCAUCUUGGUAGAGAUAUUUGUAGCUGUUAGCAGUUUUGACCGAGAUUCUUGUUGUGUAAGGUUAAAUUUGAAGUUGAAUUAGUCAUCUUCUAUUUGAUCAUAGUUUCACCGAGCCAUCAUUUUCCCAUGCUCCUCAUUUUGAAUUUGAAUAAAGUACAACCCAAGUUGACCGAGACAAUUUUCCAUUUGUUUGAACCAAUCUUGAAAAAUUGAAUUCUAGCCCAAGUUGGUGCCAAUGCGCCCAACACCUGGCUCUUGCUGGCUUGGCCACCUGUGGACCAUUUUCCAUACCUUGGUCAUUUACUUGGCCACUAAUAGACCAUUUUACAAGGCAUUAAUUAAUUAAUCUCCCCACCUCAUUACAUGAAAUUAUUUAUAAAAUGAAUAAAUAGUGAUUAAAAUAAAUCAUAAAUUACCCAUGAGACAUAAGUCUCAUUUAUUGUGAAAAAUAAACCAAUAAACUUAAGGACAUAAAUGUCCUUCCUGAAUAUGGUCUUUAUGAUCAAUGGUGUCCUUGGUGAAUUUGAAUGGUCCUGAUUUGGUUUUGACCCUAGUCAUAGGACUUUCUUGUCUUAGCUUGACCCUUGAAUCAAAGGUUUGCCUAGGCUGGUUUACAUCAGCACACUAUGUUAUGGUGUCUUGCCAAUUAAAAGUAUUUGUCUAUUUGAAAGAAACAAUAAUUAUAUUUAGAAAGAAACACUAAUUAUAUUUUGGUGAACUUUUCAAUAUGUUGUUCUGAAUGAAAUUUAACAAAAUCCAUUAUCACAAAAUAUAUCUAUGAUGAGCAUUCUCUCAAAUUCAUAUCCAUAAUGAACAUUUUCUGAAAUUAAGCAAUCAGAAAUAAUUCAAAAAUAUAUAAACCAAAUAUAAAACAAACCAGUUCAUUAUCAUAAUCAAAUCAAAUUCAAGAUAUUAUUUUUUAAGCCGUAAAUACGGGUAGAAGAAUAAUAUGAUUUCAAAAUAAAAAUAACAUUCGUAGGGGUAAUGUAACACCGUGAAUUUUCUGUGUAUGUUUUAUUAAUUACUUAUUUUAACAAUGAUUAAUUUUAGAAAUUAAUCGGUAUUGAAUUAGACUAAACCGUAGUUGAGUAUUAGUCGUGUUUUUUGAUUUCCUAUUUUGUGGUAAAUGUUCGUAAUUUUCUGUGACGGAAAGUUUUUGAGCUGCUGUCGGACCCAAAUUCGCCCGAUUCAGCCCAAUAACGUGUUUUUGAGUUCUGUAACUCGGAAUUGAAUUCCGAUUACGUCAUUGGCUUCAAAAUAUUAUUUCGAGUCAAGAUAGACAUCAAGUUUAUCCAAAACGCAUUUCUAUAUAUUUUUCACUCCGAAUUCCGUGUUUCGAAGUUCUAACCGUAAACCGAAGUCGGGUAUCCGACUGAGUAUUAGCCAACAAUAAUCGAGCAUGGUUUAUUCGCGAAUGUUUUACCGAAAAGAUCUCAUAGCUUUCAUGUAAGAGGCUUCCUUGUGGAACAAGCAAAAAUACAUAUUCUCUUACACAAAAUCCCUAAAAUCACUCACCUAUCUCUUACACAAACUACUUUUAGAAAAACCAUUGACUUUGCCCCCAAAUCGGAUUUCUCUCUUUAAGGAUCCAAACCCUAGCUAAGAGAAUACCUUGGAAUUUUCAAAAUCUUCUUCACUUUGCAUUAUCUAAGAACUAUCAAGGUAGUUCUUCAUGAUUUUUCAUUUUGAUAUCUUUAUCUCUUAACAUCUAACCAUUAGAUGUUUAUGAAAUUUUAGUAUGAUGUUUAUAUGUAUGUUAUGAACAUUUUCAACCGUUGAAAUGUUCUAAAUAUCUUCCUAACUCUUUUUAUGUUUAAAACUCCAAAUAGAUAUUUUCUUGAACUUAGAAAGUUAUUUUGAAACCAUGAACUCUUUGUAUUCAUGGGGCUGUUUUUUUUUAUGUUUAAAAAGUUUGUAUGUUUGUUGGUAUUUGAACAUGGUUAAAGGUGAUGGUUGUAUAUCAAAGGAACCUUUAAGGAGUUUUCCUAACCAUGCAAAGUUUGGACUUUUCCACUUGUUUUUGGCUUGAAAAACCAUAGCCUUGGACACGUUUAGAAUAGUAUAUUUUUAAUGUUGAAGUUUGAUUUUGUUUCAAAUGGGAUGAUUUUGUUAUCAAAGGAACCUUUAAAAUGUUUAAUGAUAAGUUGAAAGAGAAAAUCUUUUCUUAGCAUUAGGUCUAAAUCAUGGCCUACAUUUGUUAAGGAAAAGUUUGUUUCUAUCUUUGAAAUGCAAAAUGUUUAUGGAUGAGUUUUGUAAAAAAGUGUUGUUUUAGAAUAUUAUGAGUUAAAAGUUGGUUAGUAAAUGAUAUUCUUUGACUUCCAAGUUCCAGUAAUGAUUUGGAAUAAAAGAUGGCUUAUAAAAGUCUUGCAUUUAUAAACUUAAAGUGUUAUGAAGUAACGGAUGAUUGAUUUGUUGUAGGAUGAACAUUGAUAAGGUAAGCUUAUUUUAAAGUGGUAAGUGUAACUUAAGAAAUGUUUAUUUAAAUGUUGUUUAAGUAUGAUAUCAACACUAUCAAGAAUGUGUUGAAAUGACCAUGAAAACCUAUUAUACAAAAUAUAGAAUCUACUUAAGAUGACUUACUUUAAAGUGGUAAGAUCAACUUAGGAGAUAUGAAUUUAAAAGUGCAGACUUGGAUUAAGAAACUUACCUUAAAAUGGUGAAGUAUGACUUACAAAGUCUCCAUUAACAUAUAAAUCUAUGAAGUGAUAAAAAUGUAAACUUUAUUAAAAACUUAUCUUGGAAAACGUUGGAUAUCGGAAACAAGACUUUCGAUGAUAUAGGAUGGUUCAAAAAUAUGAAUCUUGGAUGGAUGAAAGUCUUUGAGUUCAUGAAAUAGAUUAAAGUGUUAAACAAUGUUUUUACUUUAGAGUUAUCAUGUAAAAUUUAUUCACAAAUGACUAAAUUGUUUUGUAUGUUUAGUUUCGGAGCUUUCGAAGUUGGACGAUCAACCCACUCUCUCGUAAAAGAAAUCGACCACGCGACAACCUAAGGUGAGGGAGAAUACAUCGUGACAUAGUGGUGUCCAAAUAUGACACAUGUAUCUCCUAAACUAUCUCAAAAGUUUGGAGUUAUAUUUGUGUAUUAAGAAAACCCGUACUUAAUCAAUUAUUUUGCGUGCUUGGAUUUUGUACGGAUACUUUCCUAAGUUGUAUGAUUAGGAUAGCAUAAAAUAUCAAGUAUUGUGGUGGCUAUCCAUGAAGGAAACCCACUCGAGAAACUAAAAUGCAUUGGGAUCGAGCACAGCGGAGAGUUUCGAUCCGGUAGCCCAAAAGGGCGAGGAAAAUUGUCCUGGGAACUGGACCACCUUGCCCGGACGAGCGAGCCUCACCUGGGCGAGGGAGAAACAGAGAAUAAUGGUUCCAAAUAGCGCUUGGGCGAGCAUUUCUCGCCUAGGCGAGGGCUAGACAACCUGUUUUGGGCAUUUUUGGCUCCCCAGGUGACCGUACCUCGCUCGGGCAAGUCCAAACAUGUAUUUUGACCAAUUUUUGGUGGCCUUUUAGCUUGAGUGACGGUCCCAUCGCUCGAGCGAGAACCAUGUAGGAAAUUGAGUCUGAUUUGAUGAAUUGGUCACUUGAGCGACAAUCUCUCGCUUGGGCGGAAGACAAACAAUAUUUUUGACUGAUUGCGAUUGUUUGAUUGCUUAGGUAAUAGCCCUAGCUUGGGUGUGAAGUAUAUUUACCCUUGGGAAAAACCGUGACUCAGAUGAUUGAACCCGAUGCCCAAAAUCGACAAACUUAUACAAGUACCUUUGUUCUUGCGCCUAUUUAGGGCAAGGUUUCCGAUUGUGAUGUCGUGAUUAGGGCAAUGCCCAAAAGAAAGGAUUACAUGAUACCACACAGCGAGGUCGUCUGACCGUAAGAGGCUUGGACAUGUGGUCGUCCAGGGUGAUUCAACGAUGGUUCGUAGUGGUAGGGAUGUUAUUCUUCUAUUUAUGUGUUGACGUAAGAUCGGGUUCCACAAGAAGCAUUCAUUUGGGAGAUGUCUUAGGUUGGGCCGAUCAUAGAAAAUAAUGAUUAAAAGAUUUAAUCGGCUAACCUCGGUUAGUGUGUAUACUCAUUGUGGAUAAUGAAGUAGUGGAGAGGAAAUUUACGGGAGACGAGCGAGCCUCGAGAUGUUGAGAGGGACGACGAUGGCACUGGUUCGUCAGCAAAGUCUUGAGGGUGAGUCUAGGUGAGACGAGUNNNNNNNNNNNNNNNNNNNNNNNNNNNNNNNNNNNNNNNNNNNNNNNNNNNNNNNNNNNNNNNNNNNNNNNNNNNNNNNNNNNNNNNNNNNNNNNNNNNNCAGUGCAAACUAGACGAUCUCUAACAACCCCUCUUUGCAAUCAGGAUCAAUGAGUGGGAUGCCCAGAAAGUGUUUGAUACGACACCGUCCUCAAAUGGAAAGUUCUUCGGAAUCUUAUCGAUCAUAUAUCCUUGCGAAUAAUUUUGGUGCGUUCAAAUCGACUUGUUAUGAGACCUGUACUCUUGGUUAUUUCCGAAUAGUAUAUUGGGAGGAUAUUGGUGAAAGGAUGGAUGAAACAAGCAUAACAUUCAUACAUUGAGAUUGUGGACUUUGAUCCUCAUAAUCUGAGAUUAUAACAUCAUUCAUCAUUGUGCAUUUUUAUAUGUGAUGUAUAUAUUGUGUUUAUUAUGUGUGUCUGUCUGGAUGUGAUAUUCCGUGUAAUUCCAUGCCGUCAAUGAGUAAUAUUCAUUGGAUGUUUUACUCCCUCUUCUUUCUGUUUGUCUUCGAUUCAUGUUUUGUUCAGAUGGAUCGUUCUGCCCGGAUUCAGAGUUACCACUUUUCGAUGUCCCAGGAGGGGGCAGGGAGGAUUGAGGGAAAUCAUUAUACCUACACAGGCCCUUGUGCUUUUUGAUUAGUGUACUUGUGUAGGGUAUUUAUUUUGUGAAUAGUUUUAUUCAGGCGACGUUUAGGAUUCCGCCAUGUACUUCGUAUCAACAUUUUAUAAUAUUUUAAUGAAGUAUGAUUCGAAGUUAUAAUGAGUUAUUUUUAUUACCAUUAAGUAAUGGUUUUUGAUUUUCCGCAUUGUAUGUUACUUAAAGUGAUGUCUCAAAAAAGAAAUGAAUAUAAAGAUGAUACGUUCAUGUUACGUUAUUCAAAAAAAAAUUUUUACCCAUUUUUGGGCAUUAUAUUUAUGGAGUAUUUUCGGGGUGUUACAGGUAAGCUGCUAAUUUUAGUCCUUUAUAAAAGUGUAACUCCUUUAUCACAAUAAAAUCAAUUCUAAAGGUUAUUACUCUUUUAGACAACUCCCUCUUGUUUUCAUGAUUUGAACAAAUUCAUAAAUAAAAAGUAAAAAUAUAUUAUUAUGCAUAGUUGCAAUAAUAAUAAAAAUAUAUUAUUAUCUAUUGGAUAUAAUAUUAUUAUCUUCAUCUCUAGUCAGUAAUUUUAUUUUUCAGUCAGACAGAAUAUCAACACAUAUCCUUAUUAAUUAUAACAUUAUAUUUCAUUAUAUUAAUAAUAUGAUUGAAUUGCUACUAUUUAAGUUUUAAAAAAAUAAAUAAUAUUAAUUGAGAACUUUUUAAGAUCUAUUCAAAUAAUUAGUAAUAAAAAUAAUUAUUUUGAAAUAAAUUUAUUGCCUAUCAUUUUUAAGCGACAUAGAAUGUCAACAGAUUUCAUUUUGCAUUGUAAUAUCAUAGGUCAUUCUAUUCAUUAUAACACUGGAUUCUACCUAUUUAAGUUUUAAAUAAUGAUUAAAUGAUAUUAGUUAAGAAUAUUUUAAGAUCUACUAUUUAAAUGUAUAAUUACUACAUAUUCUAUUUAGCAUUUUAAAAUUUAACAAAUUAUUAGAUGAUAUUAAUUGAGAAUGUUUUAAAAAGAUUGAAUUCAUACUAUUUAAAUUUUAAAAAUAAUUAAAAUAAUAUUAAUACAGAACAUUUUAAAAUGUAUCUAAAUAAUUAGUAUUAAAAAUGAUUAUUUUAAAAUAAAUUCAUUAUGUAUUAUCUUUUAAGCGAUGCAGAAUAUCAACAGAUUUCCUUAUUACUUGUAAUAUCACAACUCAUGCUAUUAACAAUAACAAUGAAUUCCUAUUAUUUAAGUUUCAAAAAUGACUCAAUGAUAUUAAUUACUACAUGUUCUAUUUAACAUUGUAUAAUUUAAAAAAAAUGAGUAGAUGAUAUUAAUUAAGGAUAUUUUAAUAAUAUUGAAUUCUGAAUAUUCAAGUUUUUAAAAUAAUUAAAUAAUAUUAAUUGAGAACGUUUCAAGAUUUAUUUAAAUAAUUAAUAUUAAAAAUGAUUAUUUUUAAAAUAAGUUCAUUAUCUAUUAUUUUUGAAGUGGUAUAGAAUAUAAACAGAUUUCCUCAUUUACUAUAGUAGCGUAGUUCAUGCUAUUAAUAAUAACAUGAGACUCCUACUAUUUAAGUUUAAAAAAAUGAUUAAAUGAUAUUAAUUGAGAGUAUUUUAAUAUCUACUAUCGAAAUGCAUAAUCACUACAUAUUCUAUUUAACGUUUUAAAAUUUAAAAAAUAAUUAGAUGAUAUUAAUUGAGAAUGUUUUAAGAUCUAUUUAAAUAUGUUUCAUAAAAUUUUAAAACAUAAUUUUAAAGUAGAGGCAAAUUAAGUUUAAUAAAAAAUAAUAAACUGAAAACCAAAAUCAGCAAGUGAAGGUUGCGUUGUAAUGAAAAAUAAUAAACUGAACUUUUAAGUUGAUUACAGAACCGAAUGGCAUAUUAAUAAUUGAAAUGAGGAAGACAACUUUUACUGUAUAUUUGCAACAUCAUUAUUAAGCUUUGCUAAUAAAUAAAAAACAAUAAAUAUUAUAAUAAAUAUAUAUUAUUUUUGUGGUCAUCAAUUCAUUAUUUACAUACCCUUCCCAGAAAAGUAAAACUUUAAAGUAGAAACAAAUUAACUAUAAAAAUAUAUCAAACCCAAAAUCAAACUCAGGAAGUGGAGGAUACAUUGCAUCUAAGAUCAGAACUUUGAGAAGUUCUUUCACACAUUGUAAAAUAAAAAUCUAAACUUUUAAGUUGAUUAACAGAAAGAAGAACAUAUUAAUAACUAAAAAGAACACAAUUUCCAGCAUAUAUUUGUAACAUCAUUAUUAAUCUUUAAAAAUAAAUAAAUUAUACAAAAUUAAUAACGAAAUAAGAGCACUGAAGCUUUACAUUAGACGAAAUCGAAUACAGAUAAUAUGAAAACUAAACAAUUUGAAACUUCCAUACAAUAUAGAAGAAACUCAUAAUAAUAAAAAUGGCAAAAUGACUUGCUAGGAUACCGGGUGAUGAAAAUGAUUUCAACACCGAAACCCCUAUUUGUUUGAAAAAUACAUGUUUUGGAUUAGAUCUAGAAAUUUAUUAUGUGUGGAUAAACCCUAAUGGCAAUUGUGAGAAUUCAAAUAUGUUCAAAAUUAUAUCAGAUUUUAUUUUUAUUUUUUAAGGCUUUUAUCUUUUUGCUUGGUGAAAAAUGAAAUAAAAAAUGAAUAAUGAAAAAAUUAUACCAGUGAAGAUUUCAUUGGAUCGAUUCAUGAAUGAUGAAGUCUACGAAAAAUGAAUAAAGAAAAAAAUGAAAUGGGUAUAAAAUCAUACAUCAUUUGACAUGGAAGAGAAUAGAUCCGUUUAAUAAAAAUGAAAAAAAUGUAGGAGAAAUAGUUUGUGAUUUUCAAAAGAAGAGAAGAUUACGACGUAAAUUGAAAUAAGAAUAGAGAAGAAGAUUAAGAAGUAAAUUGAAAUGAAAUAAGAAUAGAGAGAAGAAAGAUUAAUUUGACGAAUUAAGAUCUCAUUGGAUUGAUUCAUGAAUGGUGAAGUCUACGAAAAAUGAAAUGAGUAUAAAAUCAUAAUUCCUUUCAUGGUGGAAGAGAAUAGAUUUGUUUAAUAAAGAUGAAAAAAAAAAUGUAAAAGUAGUUUGUGAGUUUCAAAAGAAGAGAAGAUUAAGAAGUAAAUUGAAAUGAAAUAAGGAUAGAAAGAUGAAAGAUUAAUUUGAUAAAAAUAGCCUCUUGUUUGGGAACUUGUCACAUAUGCUCAUAUUAAGAUAGGACAAGAGGAAAACAUUGUGUGAGAGUUCAUCGUAAGAAUAUGUGACUGAUUUGGAUGAAAAAAAUGUUAAGGACAAGCUGACAUGAGUCCAUGAUGACCUUUUUUGUUAUAUAAUUAUUAAAUGAUUCUUGAUUUUAUAAUUGAUCUUAUGCGUACCUAUAUUAAUUUGUAGUUUGCAAUAUACUAAUAAUGUUUCAAAUCCUUGAGUAUUAAUUUUAACACUAUUGUUUUAUCUUAUUUUGUUAUACUUAAGGAUUUGAUGAGCUACUAGGAUGGAAUAAUGUUUUUAAGUUGUUUGAAAAAACACAUUCAGAUAAGAUUUGACGUAUAGUUUUUACUAGUAAUAUUCAUUGAAUUAAUAAAAAGAUUCCCAUAAUUAAUUUUUUUAUUUAUAUAAUUCUAAUAAAAAAUACUUAUAUUUUCCCGCAAAUAUAUCUACCAUUGUUAUCCUUUAAUUAAAUAAUAUAAUGGUAGUAACUAAAUAUUCCGCAAAUUCUCUUACGUUAUAUUAUUUAAGAGUAGAAUCAUCAGUGCCAUAUAAUGGCUGAUAAAUUAUGUUAGUUGUAACACUCCGAAAAAUACUCCAACAAUAUUGCCCAAAAAUGGGUAAAAAAAAUUUUGUAAUGUAAAACUUCUCCAUUUACAUUUGGUUCAUUUUCGGGCCAUCGCGAUAAAAAACCUAAAUUACGGAAAGACAACAAUCGUUACCUAAUGGUAACCAAAAGCCACUUAAUAUAUCAUGGGAUAAUUCUUUAUUGAAAAUGACGGAAAAUGUUUAAACAAAACCAAAGUCGGAAAUAUAAUAUUUGUCCCAACUAAAAACAUAUACAAUAGAAAUCAAUGCAUUAUAAGUACCCUACACAGUUACCCGUCUCAAAAGAAAAAUAGAAAUGGAAAUGACUGUUAGUUACUAACUUCAGUGUUCCUGGGUGCGCUAGGGCACUCGCUUGGGUCCAACUCCGUCUUAGAAUCGGAGGAGAGGUCUACCACCUAAAUGGAGUCCUCUAUACAAACUAACUCCACAUAGUCUUCCUCUUCGGCUACCAGCUCCUCCUCAUCAGCCUCCAUCUCCGCUUCCGGAUCAUUGGACGCACCAUUCGACCUACUUCCCGCUCUCGCAUCUACCUGAAGAUCGGGCAUCGUCUGUUGAGCAGCUCUCCUCCAUGAUGGGGAAUUGAGCCUGUCGUCCCAACUCCGUCUCCGAGUAGAUGACCCUGCAGUAGUGGGUACGUGAGGAAUCAUAGACUGAAUGGAUGGUGCUGCAGAUGCUAGUCUCCGAGCAGGUAAAGUGAAAGAAGCCUCCAAGUCUGUAUGAUGUGAAGGGAAGCGCAUCGUUGAGCCAUCACAAACCAUCUCCAGCUCUAAGGCACAAGGGCAUGUGUAGGUGUAUGGAUGUCUGUUACUGCUCCAUGUCCCCUCCUGGGACAUCGAGAACGCGAACCAAAGACAAGUAGAAAGAAAAGGGAGUAAGACAUCUAAUGAAUAUUAUUCAUUGACGGUGUGGAAUUAAACAGAAUAUUACAUCCAAAUAGACGCACAUAAUAUACACAAUAUGUUCCGCAUACACAAAUGCAAAUGAUGAAUGAUAUUAUAUCUCAAACUAUAAGAACCAAUAUCCACGAACUUAAUGUAUAAAUGUUAUGUUUAUUUCAUCCAUCCUUACACCAAUAUCCUUCUAAUAAACUAUUCGGAAAUAAGCAAGAGUACAUGUUUCAGAACAAGCCGAUUUGAACGCACCAAAAAUUGUUCAUCGCAAGGUUAUAUGAUCGAUUUGUUCCAAAGAUUUGUCCAUUUCAGGACAGUGUCAUAUUAUAUACUUUCUGGGCAUCCCUCUCAAUGAUCCUGAUUGCAAAGAGAGGUUGUCAGCGAUCGUCUAGUUUGUGCUGUGAGAACUAUCCAAUCCAACAGAAUACCUCAUCCAGGAAUACAAGGUACUCGUCUCACCUAGACUCGCCCUCAAGACUUUGCUGACGAAUCACCGCCAUCGCCGUCCCUCUCAACAUCGCGAAGCUUGUUCAUCUCUCGUAAUUUUCCUCUCCACUAAUUUGUUAUACAUAAUGAGUAUGCACACUAACCGAGGUUGGCCGAUUAAAUCUUUUAAUUAUUCUUUUGUAUCGAUCGGCUCAUCCUAAGACAUCUCCCAAAGGAGUGCUUCUUGUGGAACCCGAUCUUAUGGUAUCACGUAAUAGAGGAAUUACAUCCCUACCACUACAAACCAUCAAUGAAAUAUCCUCGACUGCCACAUGUCCAAGCCUCUUACGGUCAGACGACCUCGCUAUGUGGUAUCAUGUAAUCCUUUUUAGACAUCGCCUUGCUCACGACGUCAUCGUCGAAAUCCUUGCCCGAAUAAGGUGCAAGAACAAAGGUAAUUUAUAAGUUCGUUGAUUUGGGCAUCGAACUCCUCGUUCGAGCCACGAUCUCUCCCAAUUAUUAAAUAUACCCCUCACCCAAGUUAGGGUUAUUGUCAAAGCAAUCAACCAAUCAAAAGCAAUAAAAAACAUUGUAUAUCUCUUACCCAAGUGAAAGACUGUCGUUCAAGUGACGAUUUCAUCAAAAUAAACUCAAUUCUUUUCCAAGCGAGAGCUUGUCGCUCAAGCAAAAAAUCCACCAAAAAUUGGUCAAAAUCACCCUCUAAGUCUCGCCCGGGCGAGAUAUUGUCGCCCAGGCGACCAGAAUUGUCCAAAAUAGGCAAAACGCAUGCCUGACUCUUGCCCAGGCGAGAACCACUCCCUUAUGCGAGAGUGGCUCGCCCAGGCGAGGGGUGUCUAGUAGCCUGGACUACUUCCUCGCCCUUUUGGGCCACCAGAUCGAAAAUAUUUGUUGUUUUUUAUCCCUACGCGUUUUAGUUUCUCGAGUGGUGUUCAUUCACGGAUCACUACCUCAAUACUUGAUAUUUUAAUCUAUCCUAGGGCAUAAAACUUAAGAAAUCAGUCGUAGUUAAUUCAGGCAUGCAAUCAUUUGGUUAAGCACGAGUUUCUAACAACAACUAAUAUAACUCCCAACUUUUGAGGUAAUUGGGAGAUUCGAAUGUCGUAUUCGGAGACCACUAUGUCACGAUGUAUUCUCCCUCACCUUGGGUUGUAGAGCGAUUAAUCUCUUUUAAGUGAAUGAGUAGGUUGUCCAACUUCGAACGCCUCGAAACUAAACACAAAAACCAACCAAUGAUUUGCAAGAUAAAUCUUUUACCUGCUAACUUUAAGGUAAAGACAUCAUGUUAAUCUAUUUUAAGAACAUCCAAGGCUUUCAUCCAUCCGAUCCAAAAUUCAUAUUUUUGAACCAUCCUUUAUCCUUGAAAGUCUCGUUCACGAUUCCCAUUGUGUUCAUGGUCAUUUCAACUCCUUCUUUACGAGGGUUGAUCCCGUACUCAAAAUGACAUUUUAAAUCAAAACAUCCUUUGAUUUCAUACUCGUCCUCUUUCAUCAAAAUCAAAAAUAUGCAUAUUUUUAAACACUAAAACAACCCCAUGACCAACAAGAUUUCAUGGUUUCAAAACAACGAUUUUCUAAAUUCACGAAAAUCAAAUUUUCGAGUUCUUAAGUAUAACAAAAGUUAGGAAGAUUAUUAGAAAAUUUACAUGGUUGAAAAUAUUCGUAACAUGCGUAUAAACAUCAUACUAAAAUCUCGUAAUCACUUAACAAUUAGUUUCUAAGAGAUGAAGAACAAAAAAGAAUGAAGGCUUACCCUAGAGUUUUUUAGAAUCAAAGUGAAGAAGAAGAAAAAUUAAAUGCCAAGGGUUUCUCUAAGUUAGAGGGGGCUCUUUUAAAGACAAUGAAUCUGAUUUGGGGAGGGUAAAUUGUGUAGUAGGUAGAUGAAGGGUUUAAGGGGUUUUAUGUAAGAUAUGAGUAUUUUUGAUUGCAGGCCAAGCCAGUUUCACUCGUGAAAGUGAAGUGACCUCUUCGGUAAAACAUUCGUGAUUAAACCUUACCCGAAUAUUGUCAGCUAAUACUCGCCUGGAUAUUAAAAAUCAUUCGAUUUUGGUUUACGGUUAGAACUUCGAAACACAUAAUUCGGAGUGAAAAAUAUUUAGAAAUGCGUCAUGGACAAACUUGAUAUCUAUAUUCAGUAAAAACAAUAUUUCGAAGCCAACGACACAAUCGUAAUAUGAUUCCGAGCUACGGAACUCAAAAACACGUUAUUGGGACGAAUUCGGACCCGACAACAGCUCAAAAACAUUCUGUCACAGAAAAUUACAAAACUUUACCACAAAAUUGGAAUAUAUAAAAAAAAAGACUAACACUCAAAUAAAGUUUAGGCUAAAUCAUUACCGAUUAAUAAAAUAUACAUCGAAAAUUCAUGGUGUUACAAUCCUCCUCCACUUAUAAGAUUUUCGUCCUAAAAAAUUAAACGUACUUAUUAAGAAAACAGAUAGGGAUAUGAUUCUCUUAUGGCCUCCUCGACCUCCCAAGUCGCAUCUUCUCUGUUUGCUUGGCUCUAGAUUACCUUAACUAGGGCAAUCUCCUUGCCUCGCAACGCCUUCACACUUUGAUCAGCGAUCCUCAAGAGAAUAGUUUCAAAAGUGAAAUUAUCCUUUAGCUGGAUUGAAUCGGAUUCGAUGAUAUGCGACGAAUCACUAAUGUAUUUUCUGAGUUGGGAUACAUGGAAGACCUUAUGUAGGUUCAAUAAUAAAGGUGGCAAGGCUAUUUGGUAAGCCACUGGUCCGACCUUUCUAAGGAUUUGGUAUGGUCCUAUGAAUAAGCUUACGGGCUUUAAGCACUCUGCCAAUGCUAGUUGUCGGAACCACCCUCAUGAAGACAUGAACUCCUUCCUCAAAACUAAGAGGGUUCCUCCUUUUGUCAUAAUAGCUCUUCUGCCUACUCUGAGUUGCCUUCAUGCUCUCCCUUAUCAUUCUUAUUUUUUUCGUCAUCUGCUGAACCAAAUUGGGCUCUAGUAUCAGAUUCCUCCAUGCUUCAAAACAACACAACGGUGUUCUGCACUUCCUUCCGUAAAGAGCUUCAUGUGGCGCCAUGCCGUUACUCGAAUGAAAGCUAUUAUUGUAGGUGAACUCUAUCAGAUCCAUAUAGUCUUCCCAACUUCUAGAGUGUUCCAACACACAUGCUCUCAGCAAGUCUUCCAAAGACUGGAUAGUCCGUUCAGAUAGGCCAUCCGUCUACAGGUGGUAGGUUGAACUUAUACUCAAUUUGGUACCCAAGGUUGUUUGCAAACCAUUCCACAACUUCAAAGUGAAAUGUGGGCCUCUAUCUGAGAUGAUAUUUGUAGGAAUACCAUGUAACCGGAUAGUCUCUUUGAUGUAUAACUCUGCUAGCCACUAUCACCCAAACUGCAUCAUAACCCUUUUGAGUUCGAGGAAAUCCACUAACAAAAUCCAUUGCAAUGGUAUCCCAUUUCCAAACGGGGAUAUCCGAAGGUUGGAGUUCUCCUCCGGGUCGCAUGUGCUCGAUCUUUGCCUUCUAACACGUUAGGCAGCGCGAGACAUACUCUGUUACUUCUCUCUUCAUACCAAACUACCAGAACAUCUUCUUCAAGUCUUGAUACAUCUUAGUAGCUCCAGGAUGAAUACUUAGUUUGCUCUUAUAGGCUUUGUCCAAGAUUUCCAUUUUCAAAUUAGGGUCUCUAUCUGAGAUGAUAUUUGUAGGAAUACCAUGUAACCGGAUAGUCUCUUUGAUGUAUAACUCUGCUAGCCACUAUCACCCAAACUGCAUCAUAACCCUUUUGAGUUCGAGGAAAUCCACUAACAAAAUCCAUUGCAAUGGUAUCCCAUUUCCAUUUUCAAAUUAGAGACAUACUCUGUUACUUCUCUCUUCAUACCAAACUACCAGAACAUCUUCUUCAAGUCUUGAUACAUCUUAGUAGCUCCAGGAUGAAUACUUAGUUUGCUCUUAUAGGCUUUGUCCAAGAUUUCCAUUUUCAAAUUAGGGUCUCUUGGCACACAGACUCGGUUCUUGCAUCACAACACUCCGUCAGUUCCUUCUUGAAAUUCUGGGGCUCUUCCUUCAGCCAACAAGGUUCUCUUCUCUUGUAGUUCUAGAUCGGAACUUUGCAACCCCUUUACUUGUUCCAGAAAUUCAUUUGUUACUAUAAGCAUACCUAAAGUCAAACUCUUAGGUUUUAUCUGCACUGCAAGGCUUAAAUUCCUGAAAUCUUCAAUCAAUUCNNNNNNNNNNNNNNNNNNNNNNNNNNNNNNNNNNNNNNNNNNNNNNNNNNNNNNNNNNNNNNNNNNNNNNNNNNNNNNNNNNNNNNNNNNNNNNNNNNNNACAGAUACUUCAAGCUUUUGUGAUCACUAAAGACUUCAAAUCUUACUCCAUAGAGGUGAUGUCUCCAGAUCUUGAGAGCAAAUACAAUCGCAGCCAACUCCAAGUCGUGCGUCGGAUAAUUAUGCUCAUGUGUCUUUAAUUGUCUUGAAGCAUAAGCUACCACCUUUUGUUGUUGCAUCAACAUGCAACCUAUGCCUUGUUUAGACGCGUCAUAGUACACGUUGUAGUUUCCCUUCGGGCCUGGUAGAAUCAACAUAGGUGUUGUAGUCAAUCUUUUCUUCAAUUCUUGAAAUUUUUCUUCACACUUCGCCGUCUAGACAAAAUCCUUCUCUUUCCUGGUUAACGUAGUCAGUGGCAACACCAACUUCGAAAGUCCUUCAAUAAACUUCUGAUAGUAUCCUACUAAACCAAGGAAGCUUCUAAUCUCCAUUACGGAUUUUGGAAAAUUCCAUCCCAUCACUGUUCCUACUUUAGCAGGAUCUACAACAAUUCCUUCGCUUGAUAUCACGUGCCCAAGCAAAUUCACCGAUUCUAACCAAAAUUUGCAUUUUGACAGCUUGGCAUAGAGAUGGUUGUCUUUCAAAAUCUGCAACAUUAUCCUCAGAUGUUUCGCAUGUUCCUCCUGAUCCUUCGAAUAAAUCAGGAUAUCAUCGAUAAAUCCAACCACAAAUGUGUCGAGGUAUGGAUGAAAAAUCUGAUUCCUGUAAUCCAUAAACACUGCAAAUGCAUUGGUUACACCAAAUUGCAUCACGAGAUAUUCAUAAUGACCAUAUCGCGUUCGAAAAGUAGUUUUUGGAAUAUCUUCUGACUUCACGCGUAUUUGGUGGUAUCCUGACCGAAGAUCAAUCUUUGAAAACAUGGUAGCUCCUUUUAGUUGAUCCAUCAAGUCAUUAAUUCUUGGAAAUGGGUACUUAUUCUUGAUGGUGACUUUGUUCAACUGUCGGUAGUCAGUACACAGCUGCAUACUGUCAUCCAUCUUCUUCACAAAUAACAAUGGAGCACCCCUUGAUAAAACACUAGGUCUGACAAAAAAAAUUUGUAGCAAGUCUUCCAAUUGCUUCUUCAACUCCAUUAACUCCAAUGGUGCCAUCCUAUAGGGAGCUAUAGAGAUCGGUCCAAUUCCAGGAACCAGAUCGAUAGCAAACUCUAUCUCCCAUACCAGGGCAAACCAGAAAUGUCAUCCAGGAAAACGUCGGAGAAAUCCCUAACCACAGGUAAGUAUUGAAUCUCUUCUCCACGUUUCCUCUUCAAUGAUGCCAGCAACAUAAAUACUUGAGCACCAUCCUUCAAGAGUUUCUUCAUUUGAUUAGCAGUGGUGCUUUUGGUUUCAUAACAAGAUUCAAUGAGGUUCUUAGGAUCGCUAAAGAUUACUGUUCUGUUAAAGCAGUUUAGAAGAAUAUGGUUGUUAGACAGCCAGUCCAUCCUUAAGAUAAUAUCUAAUUGGGAUAAGGGUAGACAUAUCAGGUCUACUGCAAAGGUUCGUUCAUCUAAAGUUAUAGGACAUUCAGAGCACAUAGUUGACAGUAUGACGGGUUCACUAGUGGGUGUGGAUACAAUUAGGUCAUAGGGUAGAGAGACUAUAGCCAAUGCUAAUCGGUUGAUAACAUCAUUAGAUAUGAAAGAAUAGGUCGCACCCGAAUCAAACAACAUAGAUAAGGAAGUCUCAUUAAUACGACACGUACCUUGUAUGAGGUCCUCAUUACCCUUAAUCUCAGCUCCGCUCAUGGUGAACACCCUUCCUUUGGCCUUAGGUCUUGCCGCUUGAACAAUAUUCACUUCUUCCCUUUUCAGUUUACGGCACAUUGGCUUGAUGUGUUCAGGCUGGUUGUAGUGAUAGCAUACAGGGCAGUUGACACUGAAGUGCUUUCCUUUGCACUUCGAACAGCAGGAUGGCGUGUUGUUAUUAGAGAUUCCAACCGGUAAACUCAUUUUGUUGUUGUUAUUGUUGUUGUUGUAGUUUUUGUUACUGUUGUUCCCUUGUCAAAUUCCUCUACUGUUGUAAAGCUUGAAAUUUCUCUGCUGAUUCCCUGAUGAUGAAGCAUAGGGUUUCUGGUUGCGGUUGAAGAGCUUCCCCUUCCAUGUCCUUUCCCGAAAUUCCUUUGGGGACCAUAGGAAUUUCCGGGUGGUACGACACUUUUCAAGGCCACAUUCCUUGCCUUCAUGCUUUCCUCAUAAAGCCGACAUCUAUUAACCAGAGUUGCAAAAUCCGGUAUCUGUUAAUGUACAAACAUCACCUUCAGGUCCUGUCUGAGUCCGUCCUCAAACUUGGCACAUUUGGACCUUUCAUUCCCCAUAUGAUUGUAAUGUGAGGCAUACCUCGCCAAAUCUUAAAAUUUGGCAACAUACUCCCCAACUGUCAUUUUUCCCUACUGCAGACGCUGAAACUCCAUCUCUUUCUUGGGCCUCAUAUCCACAGCAAAGUAUUUCUGCAAAAAUAUAUCUUUAAAAGUUGUCCAGUUGACUAAUUGUUGUUCAUGCUCCAUCUAAUGCCUGGCAUAUUCCCACCAGUUCUCAGCUUUCUUAGUCAGCAUAUAGGUCGCAUAGGUGACCUUCUGCUCCUCAAUGCACAUAAGAGCCCGAAAGAUCCUUUCCAACUCCUGGAUCCAGUCAUUUGGAGCAUCUGGUGCAAAACCUCCUUCAAACUUUGGGGGUUGACGACAACAGAAUUCGUCCAAGCCCUUAUACUGAGCUGGUCCUUGGUUGGGUUGGGGUUGUUGUUGAUUCAGCUGAUGCAAACUUGCAUUUACAUUCUGAAUCGCUGCAGUCAUUGCAGCAAUGAAGUCCAGGUUAGCAGCUCCACGUCCAUCUAUCUUAAAUAUGUCAACAUUAGACGUGUAUGAUAUACUUAUCCUACUGAAAUUAUCUAUGGGUUGUAUUCUCAACUGAAUAAUUCAAGCAAACAAUUAAGCAUACCAAGUCACACAAGAAAGCAUGUGAGGCCAUGCCCAAGGCUGACUAGAAAAGAACUGCUCUGAUACCAUGUUGUAACGCCCCAAAAAGUACUCCAACAAUAUUGCCCAAAAAUGGGUAAAAAAAAAUUUGCAAUGCAAAACUCCUCCAUUUACAUUUGAUUCCUUUUCGGGACAUCAUCGUAAGUAACCUAAAUUGCGAAAAAGACAACAAUCGUUACCUAAUAGGAACCAAAAGCCACUUAAUAUAUCGUGGAAUAAUUCUUUAUUGAAAAUGACGGAAAAUAUGUAUACAAAACCAAAGUCGGAAAUACAAUCUUUGUCCCAACUGAAAACAUAUACAAUAGAAAUCAACGCAUUAAAAGUACCCUGUCGCGACCUAAUUUUCGCUUGGAAGAUUGGCCCUACGACUUAGGAAGAGGAGAAUUCGAUUUCUAUCUCUCCCAAUUAAUUUGGAGUCCCAAUGAUGCUUUUUUGCGGUUAAAAUGUAGAAAACUCUCUAGUAAGCCCAAUUAGGGUAAGAAUGGUCUUUAACAAAGAUUAUGAGCUCGGAAGUCGAUUACGAAUCAGAGAAGGUGUUAGAACCAUGUCCGCCCGUAUUGAAACGGUACCCUCGCUAAUAACAUGGACUUUUAUACCCUUAAAAAUUAUUUAUUUAAAAUUCAGUUGUUGAAACAAAAUAUUUUAUUUUUUAUUUUUGUGUCUAACAAGAGAUUAUCUUGUUCCUACGUAUCCCUAGGUGCAAUAGGAAAAUCAAGAUUACAUAGUUCUGGUUUGAAAAUUGGUUGGUUAGUUUGGUUGAUUGUUAAUGAUUUGAAAACGUCGAUUUGGUAUGGAUAGAUUUGGUGGAGUUGAUUAUGUGGAUUUUGAAAUAUUUAGUAUAUGACUGUUUUAAUGCAAUGAAACUAAUAGUUGAGAGACAGUAUUGGUCGUAGACCUUCUUCCCAUUUUCAGGGAAGUUAGAGACAACUAGAACCAUGACCUUACUAUAAAAACAUUUUUUUAUUAAGGUAAAGGGGGGUGAUUAUAUUUUUUUAUGUGAAAUUAAUAACUUAGAGAUGGUGUUGGUCGUAGACAUUCUUCCAAUUUUCAGAGAAGUUAGAGACAACUCGAACCAUGACCUUACUAUAAAAGUCCUAUAAUUAAUUUGUUUAAUAAGAUAGUGUUGCAUCGUUUUUGUAAUUAUGAAAUCAGGUAAUAAAAAUAGUUUUGGAAUGGUUUAUAUAUAGAAAUAAGUAUUAAAAUUAUUUUCUAAAUAUAUAAUUGAGUGAUAAAAUAAUUUCGGAUUAUUCAUAUAUCUAAAAUUAAUAGCUUAGAGAGGGUAUUGGUUGUAGACAUUCUUCUUAUUUUCAGAGAAGUUAGAGACAACUCAAACUAUCAUCUUACUAUAAAAAUUCCAUAAAACACAUUUAGGUGAUAAAAUUGUUUUAGGAAUUAUCUAAAUUGAUUAUUAAGUUACUAUUUCAUUAUUAAUUAAUUAUGUGAUGAUUAGUAACAAUAUAUUUGAAACAAAACAAAAUUAUAAGGAAAUUAUUAAUGAAGAUAAAGAAGGAUUUUACCUUAGACUUGUAGCUUUGAGAAUCACUUUGAGGUGCUUAUAUAUCUUCUCAUACUCUCCCUGUUCCAAUCCCUUUUCUGUCUUCUCCAACAAAAACAGUAAUAAACUAGUUCAUUAUUGAUAAGAAAUGCACCCGUGCAAAUGUAUACUCUUUGUUGGGAUUAACAUGAGAAGUUGAAUUCCCUGCACACAAAUUUGACAUGGAAAUGAACUUCUUAUUUGCAUAGCUCUCUAUGAUAACUCUCUCUCUCUCUAUAGACUUGUGAUUCUGUCCCUUCAUUUCAAUAUUCUCUUUAAAUCUUAAUCACACAAAACUGUUUCAUUCAUGAACCUUCUCAACCUUUUUUACUAUAUAUAAUUCUUCAGUGAUUAACAAACACAAAGCUUGUUCAACUUCUAAGUCCUCCAACAACUCCAACCAGAGAGAAAGAAACCUCAAAAACCACUUAACUAUUUGUGGGCCAUCCUUAUAAGUUGUGACUCUGUGGUGAGGGAGAGAACAAAAACACUAACACGUAGUGAAGUGUUAUGGCGUCACAUAAAUAGUGGUAGUGUAUAUGUUAAAUGAGGAAAUGGAGAUUUAUAUUGAGUGAGUGAGUAAGAAUUGAGAAUUGGGUGUUGAUAGAGGUAUGGUAAUAGUUGCAUGGAUGAUAGGGGAUAAUGAUACUAUGAAUGGUGGGUCCAUAUAGAGAAUGUUGUUUAGAAGAUGAAGUAUGAAAUAAGAGAUAGGAUAUGAAAGAAACUAAUGAUACAUGCACAUAAGGUGGCCAUGAGAAUAUUGAAAGAAAGGAUAAAAAUCCAUCUUCUUCAACCCAAAGUCAAACACAGCAGCGCUACUACCUAACAUAGAAACAACUAUUUGAUAUAAUAAAUUCAUUUUUGAUAUCUGAAUGGAUGAAGAGGUUAAUGAGUAUAUAGAGUAGUGGAGGUGCUUCUUUGUGUUUCUUUUUAACCAUUUUCCAAUAGCUUCAUUGUCGUGUUCAAUAAAGAUUGGAAUAACAAGCCUGGAAAAGCACAUAGCGGGUUUAUUCCAGUAAGUUCCACUAUCUCUGGAGGCUGAUAUUGAAGUGAGGAUAUGUUUGUUUGAUUGUAAUAUGUGGAGGGACAAUGGUAGAGCCACGUUUUAAAGGGUUGUUGGUAAUUUGAGAAUAGGUUUGAAGGAGAUCAAGGUUUUUGAGAUUGUGUUGUUUGUGUUUAUGGUGGUUGUAUAGGAGAGAAGCUGAUAUGAAUGAAGUGUGGAGCACGUUGGGUAGUUUUGGAUCAGAUUUGUUUUGGUCCUCUAGCAUGGAUCCAUAUACAGUGCAUCAAUACAUAGUUUAGAGUGGUGGGGAUAUAGCUUGAUAUAUAUGUGAAUAUGUUUAUGAGGAGGCAAUAAUGGUCGGUAGGAGGGUUGAGAGGAUUAGGAUAGUGGUUAGAGUGUUCAUCACUUUUUGUUGUUGUGGGUUUGAGACAGAUUUGGUGGUUAUAGGAUGUGUAAGUGUGGAAGAUGGUAAGGUGUGGGAAAACCAAGGAGGGUAAGAAAAUAAAUAAUUGAAUAUCCCUCCCCCCUUCUUUUUUACCUCACACAUUCCCCUCCUCCUUCUAGUAAGAAAGUUGAAAACAUAUUUAUAUGAAGCAAUGCCUUUCACUCUUCUUCUUUCACGUAACAGUGCCAUAUAAUGUAUUUUAUUAUUUUGUUGCCUUUUGGUUGUGCAACUUUACACUUUGUAACAUCAUUCGAUUUGUAUAAAUAUAGUCCGGACAAAAUUGAAUGUUCACAGCUGCCCCUCUUUACUUAUUGUUUAUUGGAUAACAAACAAACUGAGGUUUAAGUGUUAUCGUAGUAAGUAAUUAGUAAAGAAAUGAACAUAGAUUUUUUCAAGGCCUACACAAUGAAAACAACCACCAUUUACAGUCGAGAAAGUAGGGAUAGUGCUGGAACUUAGAAAAAUAAAAAGUAGGUGCGAGAACGCAGGUCAGGUCCUGUUGGAACUCGAUAAGAUAAAAAGGUAGGUGCGAGAAUGCAAAUUGGUUACUGCUGGAAUUCGAUAAGGUAAAAAGGUGGGCGCGAGAAUACAAAUUGGGUACUGCUGGAACUAGAUAAAAUAAAAAUAGGUAUAAAACGAUGUUUUAUGAAAGAAUAUUCUAGCGUCUGGGUCUAGCAACGUCAUAACAUUUUGGUGUCUAAGUCUGACAAUGUUUUUUUUAUUUUAAGAACGUUCUAGCGUCUUGGUCUAGCAACGUCAUAAAAUUUCAGCGUCUGAGUCCGACAAUGUUUUUUUCUUUAAGAACAUUCUAGCAUCUGAGUCUAGCAACGUCAUAACAUUUCAGCGUCUGAGUCCGAUAAAAAAUUUUCAUUUCAAGAACGUUUUAGCGUCUGAAUCUAGCAACGUCAUAACAUUUCGGCGUCUAAGUCCGACAAUGUUUUCGCAUUUAAGAACGUUCUAGCGUCUGGGUCUAGCAAUGUCAUAACAUUUCGAUGUCUCAGUCCGACAAUGAUUUUGCAUUUAAGAACGUUCUAGCGUCUAGGUCUAGCAACGUCAUAACAUUUCAGCGUCUGAGUCCGACAAUGUUUUUUUAUUUUAAGAACAUUCUAGCGUCUGGGUCUAGCAACGUAAUAACAUUUUGGCGUCUGAGUCCGACAAUUUUUUUUUCAUUAAGAACGUUCUAGCUUCUGGGUCUAGCAAUGUCAUAACAUUUCGGCGUCCGAGUCCGACAAUGUUUUUUUCAUUUAAGUAUGUUCUAGCGUCUAGGUCUAGCAACGUCAUAACAUUUCAGCAUCUGAGUCUGACAAUAUUUUUUUCAUUUAAGAACGUUCUAGCGUCUAGGUCUAGCAACGUCAUAACAUUUCGCAUGUGAGUCCGACAAUGUUUUUUUUCAUUUAAGAACGUUCUAGCAUCUGGGUCUAGCAACGUCAUAACAUUUUGGUGUCUGAGUCUGACAAUGUAUUGGUGUGGAAUGUAAUUUGAUUGACCACAUGUGAUGGUAUGGUUAUGCAAGAAUGAUGCGUGGUUUGUAUGUAUGAAAGUAUGCCUUGACUUGAUUUGGUGAUUUGUAUGUAUGUUAUAAGUGAUCAUUGAACUUUGGUUAUGUUUGUAUGUUGAAGUGAUGUAUGAACAUUGGUUAUGUUUGCAUGUUGAAGUGAUAUAUGAACCAAAUUUAUUGAAUGGGUGGAUCAUAUUGAGUUUUGGAACAAUGAAUUUGGAAAAAUUUUGUUCAUUUGUAUUCAAAACUGCUCUUCAGCACCCUUAAAACAUUUCAGUUUCAGGAACUUUUUAUGACUGGCUUUAGUUGACAUUUUAUUGGAAGAGCCUGAUCGUCUUAUAAACUGCCCAAGUAUCUUGUCAAGAUUUUAUUAGAAGAAUAUGAUCAUCUAAUAAAUUGCCCCAGUUUGCAUGGUUGAGGAUGAAUAAUAGUGAAUUUUCACUUGAAGGUGUUCAUUUCUUUUCCCUAAAUUUUGCCCAGAAUACCUAUUGUAGGUACCUGUCAGGAAUUCUCUCUUUUAUUUAUGAUACUAAGUCGUCGUUGAGGGUUUUUGACUUAGCACCGCUCUCCUUUUUUUUAGGUCGCCCUUACGGGUUUUCCACCUAGCACUCUUUUUCUUUUUCUUUUGGCUAUUUUGAACACCCUAAAGUGACAGUUAAAUGCAUGAAAGCAUGAGUCAUCCUUGAAGUUUGAAGGCAAGGAUACAAGAUCUUGCCACUACUUGGUUGAGGGAUUUUGGACUGAUCCAUGAUCAGCAACUUCAUCCUUGCCACAAGUAUACAUUUUUUGGUCCUUUCAUUCGAGAAAUGAGAUCAGCCCUCAUAAAAUGUCCAGUUUGGAUUGACACCCUUCUUUUGAUGCUCAAUUGUUCUGUGUAUUCUCUGUGCACAAUUCAUAAAAAAGAAAUACUAAAAAAAAUGAUCAUGCAAAUUUGGAUUUUUUAUUUUGAGUGUUGAUGGUGAAUAUGAUGAGGGAUGAAAUUUAAUCUGAUGCAUUAAAAAUGAGAUAUUUUUAUCAAAAUUUGGAAUUUUAUUGGAGUCAUUAUUUCUUUGCCAUAGUAUAUUUCUUAGGCAAAUCAUAUCCUCGACAAGGUCUUUUGAGCUUGUAUUGUGGCUUGGCUAAGGGUUUCCAAGAAAAAAUGAUAAGGCUCGAAAAUGUGUUUCACAAACCCCUUUCUACGUUCUCCUUUCUCCGUUGUCCUAUUUCAACAGUUUUCUCCACAUGACAUUCAAGUGCUAAGAUUUUGUUGGAUUUUUGUUAUAUAGUAGGUGAAGCCUAACAUUUAGGCGAUAAUCUUCUCGAUAGGUAUUUGAAAUGUUCAUUUUGGCGGUCAUUACUAGUGCAUUUUUAUUUUCCAUGAAUUUUGCCUAAAAGAUUUAUUUCUGAAUUCCCAUCGAUAUUUUUGUAUAUUUUCCGUUUUGUUUUUGUUAUUUCACAUUUGACCGAUGAACAUUUUUAUUUGACUUCUUUUGGGUCUUCAAUCUUCGGGUAAGAUAUGGAAAGUGGUGUAGGAAGAGUGUGUUUAUUUAGUAGUUGAAUGUCAAGGAAAACAAUUGAAAAACUACUUUGCCCAAGGUAAUUGAUAUUUUGUGGGUUUUUUAGAAAAAAAUCUCCUGUCAUAAAGCCUAGGGCUCAAAUGGGGUGACUAGAGAUAUCUUCAUAAUGUGUGGUAUUUUCAAAGAUGUCUUGUGUCAUUAGAAAGAUUUGCCUUAGGAUUCGCACCAUUCCGGGUCUUACAUUUGCAUCAUCCUCCAUUUCAAAAUUAUUGAAUCAAAUAUAUCAUAUUAAUGCAUGAAUUAAUUUGGCUUAUUUGUGUGGUUGGAAUGAGAUUUGUGGAAGGAAGUAUGAGAUGAUACUUUGCAUGAUCAAUGCAAUAAUAUGUAAUUGUUAACAAGUUGUCCAUGAUAAAAUAAACCUUUAUUUAUGAUAAACAUGUGUGCGCCACUAUUUUAUGAACCUAAAGCCUUGGGGAGAGCAAUAGGGGUUGCAAACAAAAUACACCAUCAAUUUUGUUAUCUUUCUCGGUUGGGUAGAAAGUUUCUCUUAACAUUCUCUAUUGCCUGUCUGUAGUCUAGCCACUUGGAAUCUAUUAAUUCUUGUAUCCUAUAUUUGAGGUCUCUGCAAUUUUCUAUGGAAUGUCAUGUAAUAUUAUAAUGAUACGCACAAUUAGCGGUAGGAUCAUACUAUUUAGGAUAUGGUGGUUCAAAAACUUUUCCUUCCAUAGGAGUGAGCAUAAUUUAGCAUAAGAGAUUGGAAUUGGGUUAAAGUAUGGAUUUCUUUGGGCAUAAUUUGCACUCUUGCUUUGGUGAUUGUUUUGGGUUUGUUGAGGAACAUGUAUUUUGUUUAUGUUAGGAUGGUGUUUUGGGAGUUGUGAGGGUGUAUGGUAUUGAAAUACAUUGUAUGGAUGUGAAUUUUGAUAUGGGUAUGAGGAUAUGGAAUAUGAAUUUUGGUGGUGGUGUUUGGGUUUCUUGUAUUUUCGCUCAUUAGUAAAAAAAAUUGUUUCCCCUUCCUCUUUUAUCAUGAGGGUUGAACUCUUGCCUUCAUUUGAACCUAAUUGUUCACUUGCUAUUUUCCCACUUUUCAUGCUAUGCUCAAUUCUACUUCCCACUUUAAUCAAGGUAUUAAAGUCUGAAGUUGUGUUGCCUAUCAUACAAUCAAAAUAUGGGUUAUGGAGAGUGUUGACGAAGAUGGUAAGUUGCUCGUCUUCCUUUAGUCGAGGUAAGACUUGAGAAGCAACUCCUCUCCAUAUUUGAGCAUAUUCUUCGAAAGAUUCGCUCUUCCUCAUGGACACGUUCUGGAGUUGAGUCCUAUCAGGUGCAGAGUCUUCAUUGUACUUAUACUGCUUAAUAAAGGCAUCAGAAAUAUCAAGAAAAGUUUUCACUUUUUCUCUCUUCAGGUGGAUAUACCAAGUGGUAGCAAUUCCUACCAGACUUUCUUGGAAGCAAUGGAUCAAUAACUUGUCAUUGUCAUGGUAUGCCGACAUUUUUCUGGCAUACAUGUGCAAAUGGCUUUGGGGACAAGUUGUCCCAUCAUACUUCUCGAAUUCUAGAACUUUGAAUUUGGGCGGCAAGACAACAUCAGGCACCAGACACAUCUCAAAUGCAUUUUUAAUGUCUAGAUAGUUAGCCCCCUCCACGACUUUCAAUCUUUCUUCAAUCGAAUCCCACAUGUUCACAUCUUUCUUCUCCUUCCUCAUAGCAUUAUGAAGAUGGAUAUUGCUUUUGUUGUGGGAUUCAGUGGUCUGUGGUCUCAUAUGAGAGGUUGAAGGAUUAUCUGGAGUAGAUUUCCUCUAUUGUAGGGCUAAGAUUAUCUUCAUCAUUUUCCUCAUUUGUUCCUUGAGCUCUGUCACCUCUGACUUAUUCAUCUGUGUUAUCUCUUGAAUUGCCAUAAAUCAAUCUUAAAGCCAUUUGUGGUAGGGGUGCUUUAGAGCAGUAAUGAAUGUAUCUGAGAUGCAAGUGAUUUUGAUCAAAUUAGAAAUGAGAAUUUAUGAAAUUAUUAAUGGAUGUUAUAAUGAGAUGAAUAGUGUUUUCUAUUUUUUUUGUCAAUGGUUGAAAGACAAUUUUUUUUUCCAUCACAAGUCCAUGUCCCCUCCUGAGACAUCGAGAAUAGGUAGCUCUGAAUUCUCGCGCUAUGGUCCAUCUGGACGAGAACACUAACCGAAGACAAGUAGAAAUAAAAGGGAGUAAGACAUCUAAUGAAUAUUAUUCAUUGAGGGCAUGGAAUUACACAGUAUAUUACAUCCAGAUAGACGCACAUAAUAUACACAAUAUAUUUCGCACACACAAAGAGGGGAUGUUAGAGAUCGUCUAGUUUGUCUUGUGACUACUGUCCAAUACAACAGAAUACCUCAUCCAGGAAUACAAGGGACUCGUCUCACCUAGACUAGCCCUCAAGACUUUAUUGACGAAUCACCGCCAUAGCCGUCCCUCUCAACAUCGCGGUGCUCGUUCGUCUCCCACAAUUUUCCUCUCCACUACUUCGUUAUUCAUAAUGAGUAUGCACACUAACCGAGGUUAGCCGAUUAAACGUUUUCAUUAUUCUUUUAUAUCCCAAAGGAAUGCUUCUUGUAGGACCUGAUCUUACGUUAUCACGUAAAAGAGGAAUAACAUCCCAACCACUAUGAACAAAUGCUGAAUUAUCCUGGACGCCCACAUGGUCAAGCCUCUUACGGUUAGACGACCUCACUGUGUGGUAUUAUGUAAUCCUUUUUAGACAUCACCUUGUCCACGAUGUCAUCGUCAAAAUCCUUUUCCGAAUAAGGCACAAGAACAAAGGUAACAGUAUAAGUUCAUUGAUUUGGGCAUCGGGCUCCUCGUUCGAGCCACGAUCUCUCCCAAUUAUUAAAUAUACCCUCACCCAAGUUAGGGCUAAUGUCUAAGCAAUCAAUCAAUCAAAAGCAAUAAAAAACAUUGUAUGUCUCUCGCCCAAGCGAAAGAUUGUCGCUCAAGCAACAAUUUCAUCAAAACAGACACAAUUCUCUGCCUGGCUCAAGCGAAAAAUCCACCAAAAACUAGUCAAAAUCACCCUCUAUGUCUCACCCAGGCGAGAUAUUAUCGCUCGGGCGACCAGAAUUGCCCAGGACAGGCGAAACGCCUGCCUAGCCCUCACCCAGGCAAGAACCACUCGCUCAAGCGAGAGUGGCUUGCCCAGGCAAGGGGUGUCCAGUAGCCUGGACUACUUCCUCGCCCAUUUGGGCCACCGGAUCAAAAAUCUCCGCUAUUUUCGAUCCCUACGUGUUUUAGUUUCUCGAGUGGUGUUCCUUCAUGGAUCACUACCUCAAUACUUGAUAUUUUAAUCUAUCCUAGAGCAUACAACUUAAGAAAUCAUCCUUACUUAAUCCAGGCACGCAAUCAUUUGUUUAAGUACGAGUUUCUAUCAAAAACAAAUAUAACUCCCAACUCUUGAGGUAGUUGGGAAAUCCAGGUGUCGUAUUCGGACACCACUAUGUCACGAUGUAUUCUCCCUCACCUUGGGUUGUAUUGCGGUUGAUCUCCUUUAAGUGAAUGGGUAGGUUGUCCGACUUCGAACGCCUCGAAACUAAACACAAAAACCAAUCAGUGAUUUGCGACUUAAAUCUUUUACCUGCUAACUUUAAGGUAAAGACAUCAUCUUAAUCCAUUUUAAGAACAUCCAAGACUUUCAUCCAUCCGGUCCAAGAUUCAUAUUCUUGAAUCAUCCUUUAUCCUCGAAAGUCUCGUUCACAAUUCUCAUCGUGUUCAUGAUAAUUUCAACACCUUCUUUACAAGGGUUGAUCCCACAUUCAAAAUGACAUUUUAAAUCAAAACAUCCUUUGACUUCAUACUCAUCAUCUUUCAUCAAAAUCAACAAAAUGCAUAUUUUUAAACACUAAAACAGCCCCAUGAACAAUAAAAUUUCAUGGUUUCAAAACAACGAUUUUCUAAAUUCACGAAAACCCAUUUUUCGAGUUCUUGAGUAUAACAAGAUUUAGGAAGAUUAUUAGAAAUUUUCCACGGUUGAAAAUGUUCCUAACAUGCAUAUAAAAAUCAUACUAAAAUCUCGUAAACACUUAACAGGUAGAUUCUAAGAGAUGAAGAACGAAAAAGGAUGAAGGCUUACCUUGGACGUUUUGAGAAUCAAAGUGAAGAAGAAGAAGAAGAAGAAUGAAAUGUCAAGGGUUUCUCUAAGUUAUAGGCAGCUCUUUCAAAGACAAUGUGUCUGAUUUGGGGAAGGGAGAACCAAAGGUUUUCAAAGAGUAAAUUGUGUAGUGGGUAGAUGAAGGGUUUAAAGGGUUUUGUGUAAGAGAUGAGUAUUUUUGCUUCCUUGCCAAGCAAGUUUCACUCGUGAAAGUGAAGUGACCCCUUAGGCGAAAUAUUCGCGAUUAAACCACACCUGAGUAUUGUCGGCUAAUACUAGGCUGCAUAUUAAAAAAUUUCUGAUUUCGGUUUACGGUUAGAACUUUGAAACAUAGAAUUCGGAGUGAAAAAUAUUUAGAAAUGAAUCAUGGACAAACUUGAUGUCUAUCUUGGCUUGAAACAAUAUUUUGAAGCCAAUGGUGCAAUCGAAAUACGAUUUCGAGCUGUGGAACUAAAAAAAACGUUAUUGGGCCGAAUUUGGGCCCAAUAGCAACUCAAAAAUCUUCUGUCACAGAAAAUUACGAAAAUUUACCACAAAAUAGGAAUUGCAAAACAAGACUAACACUCAACUAGGGUUUAGCUUAAAUCAUUACCGAUUCAUUUCUAAAAUUAAUUUUUGUUAAAGUAAAUAAUUAAUAAAAUAUACAUCGAAAAUUUACGGUGUUACAUUAGUAACUAAUAUAUAUUCAAAGGUUGUUACAGUUUUUAAUCUUCUUAAUCUACUAUCUUUAAUAUUCUAUUUAUGUUAUAUUUCAAUAAUAUUCAUAAUAUGCAUUUAAUAAUUAAAAUUCAUAUUUUUUUUCUAAAUAAGACAAUUAUUAUCAUUAUAUUAUUUAAGUGCAUUCAUAAUGGUAUUUCAAUGACAUAUAAGAAUAUUGAAUAUUCAUAAUGUGCAUUCAAUAAUUAAAAGUCAUAUUUUGUGUAAUUAAGACAAUUACUAUCAUCAUAUUAUUUAAGUACAUUCAUAAUAUUAUUUCAAUCAUAUAUAAGAAUAUAUAAUGAAAACAUCAGAAUAUUAGUCCAAUCAUUAUAACCUCCUAUUAUAUUUAUAGGUUAUGUAUUUAAUCUAAUAUAAGAAUAUACUCACAAUUGAUUUCAAUCAGUAGUGUCAUUUAAUUUUGUAAUGUUAUAAAUUGUUGAAUAUGAUUAUAUUUCCUAUUUUUAAAUAUGAUUGUUUUGUAUAUCUUGUUAUUUUUAUAUAUUCUUGAUAAAAAAUGCUUAUAAUUUUCAUUGAAUAAAUGAAUAUAUCUACCAUUGUUAUCAUAUAAUUAAAUAAUAUAAUGAUAGCUAUGAUUAAAUAAUAUAAUGAUAGUAAGUAAAUACUCCACAAUUUCUCUUCCCUUAAAAUAAUUCAAGAAAUAAGGAUCUUAUCCGUUAUAUUAUUUAAGGAUAGUUCAUCAAUGUCAUAUAAUGAUUAAUAAAUUAUGCUAGUAAUUAAUAUAUAUUCAAAAAAAAUUAUAAUGACUGAUUAUAUUAUAUUUUCAUUAGUUAUAAAUUGUACGAUAUAUUAUUUAAGGAUAGAAUCAUCAGUGUCAUACAAGGACUAAUAAACUAUCCUAGUAUCACUUAUAAAGAAUAAAUCGUGAAAGAAUGGAAUCAUACUUGAUAUUCGAUAUAUAUAUUUCUAUAAAAUAUAAAUGAAAUCAUUUAGUUAUCAAAAUCAACAUUUAUUAGUUAAAAUUCAACAAAUUUAUCUUUAUAAUGAGUAUUGCCUAAAAUUUGGAAAUCAUAAAUAAUUUAAACAAAAUAUAAAUGAAAAAAAAUAAAGAAAUCGUUCUUGUACAUAUUUGGGAAUGUCAAAAAUCUAGAAUACUUUUCAAGUCAAAAUGAAUAACGACAAACUCAUCAUAAAAAUAAAGACAUUAUUCUUAUACUCUCAGAUACUAAUUGCAGCCUCUAAUCAUUAUAUUCGAGGAGAUGAGUUUUCUCUUAUGCAAGUACUUAAACAAAGGACAUGACCAAUCCAUAUUUUCUGUGAGAAAAAUAAACACAUUGGGAAAACAUUUACCAUACAUCAUGUGAGAAAAAUGAAAUUAUAGUAAUAUAUGGCAAAAACAAUUAUCAUGCAAAAAUUUAUAUGAUGAAGAAAAUAUAUCUAUCAACAAAGAAAAAAUUGAAAGAGCAUAAAAAUAAAAUCAUAUACUGGCUAAUAAAUUAUACCUCAUUCAUUAUAUAAUUUAAGGAUGAAUUUAUGCUAGUAACUAAUAUAUAUUCAAAAGCUAUUAUAAUGAAUGAUUAUAAUAUUUCUUUAUUAGUUAUAAAUCGUACGUUAUAUUAUUUAAGGAUGAAAUCAUCAAUGUCAUGUAAGGGCUAAUAAAUUAUCCUAGUAUCACUCAUAAAUAGUAAAUCGUGAUAUGAUGGAAUCAUACAUUAAAUUCCUUAUGUUUAAUUCUACAAAAUAUAAAUCAAAUCACUUAGUUAUUGCAAUCAACAUUUAUUAGUUAUAAUACUGCAAAUUAAUCUCUAUAAUGAGGAUUGCCUAAAAUUUGGAAAUCAUAAAUAAUUUAAACAAAAUAUAAUUGAAAAUAAAUAAAGACAUUAUUCUUGUACAUAUAUGAGAAUGCCAAAAAUUCAGAUAACUUUAAAAUUGAAUGUGAAUAAUGAUAAACACAUAAUAAAAAUAUGGAUAUUAUUCUUCUACACUCAUAUAGCAAUUACAAUCUCUAAUCAUUAUAUUCAAGGAGAUGAUUUUUCUCUUCUACAAAUGUUGACCAAUUCAUAUUUCCAGGUAGAAAAAUAAACAUAUCAGGAAAAAUAUUAGCAUACAUCAGGUGAAAAAUAUGGAUAUUAAAAGAGUAUAAAAUCAUACCUAUGAGUGGAUUUGAGAGUUGAAAAUGAUAGAUUUGUUGAACAAAAUUUGAAAAAGUGAGAAAUAUUAUGUAGUUUGAUUAGAGAGAAUGUGAAGAAGUGGAGAAUGUUUGAGUAAAAAUAGUAAAGCAAAGGAUGAUAGACUUAUAUAAUAUCUUAGGAUUCUUAUUUUAUUUGACAAUAAUAAUCUAUUUUCGCAUACCUAUCACAAAUGAAGAGUGUCUAUUUUAGUAAUUCCAGCAAGCAUUCAACUUGACAAAAAUAAUAUUUUCCUUGUGUACACUUAUCACAAAUAUAGAAUAUCUAAUUUAGUAUUUUCAAUAGCCCUUUCUUUUCUUGUAUAGAGAUAGUAGAUGAGAUAAAAGUAACUAUAAAAGAACAAUUCCAAAAUGAAUAAGGAAUUUAAUAAGAUGGCUUGAUAAAUAUCCAACACUUGAUUUAUCCAAAUAGAAAAUAGUAAUAAAUUUAAAAAUAAAAAAUUAAGGACUUCAUAAGGACAAAUAUGAAAGAAAUAGUGCAUCAUAGACUUAUUGAAUUAGUAUCUUAUAAAAAUUAACUUAAACCUCAUGUAAGAGUAUUAAUAAUGGGCAAUAGUGGCAUUGUUUCUGAAAUUUUUUAAAAUAGAUUUUCAGAUAUCUUAUAGCUUUUUGAGUUACUCAAAAAGCUAUUAGAGGCAUUUGGUAAACAAAAAUUAAAGGUAGCUUAUGGCUUUUAAAAAAAGAGGUUGUAGCAUUUGAAAGCUACUUUUCAGAAAACUAAUUCAAGUAGCGUCAAGAAAGUGAAAGUAACUUUCAAUAAUUUGCUUUUCAACUUUGUCCUUUAAUAUUUUAACAAAUUACAUUACAUGCCCUCAAUUAAAGAAACCUUAUUAACUUUAUAUGUCACUCCUACCUUUCCUCCAUUUAAGUUUCCUUCACAGAGAAAAAAUCAGUAGCCCCCAACCAAAGGAUAAAGAAUUCCAAUUUAUACCAACACAUUGUUGAUGACACAAGAUAUGAUCCUUAUUUUAAGGUAUACAAUAUAAUUUGUUAUUUAUAUUAUAAGUUUAACUCAUACCAAUUAAAAUGGUGGCAUUUGCAUUAAUGAUUUUGUUGGAUGCAUUGAUGGCACACAUGUGGCAACAUAUAUUCAUGAGGCUGAUUAAUUGUGUUAUAGAGGGAGAAAAGGCAUUCCCACUUUCAACAUCAUGGUGGCAUGAUUUUGAUAUGUGUUUCACUAUUUUAUUUAUUGGGUUGGAAGGAUCGACACUUGAUAGACGUAUGUUUUCUUCAUGCGACUAACACACCCGCACUUAACUUUCCUCAUCCUCCAAAAGAUUUUUCUCUAUACAAUUUAUUUUUAAAAUAUUAUUUUUAUUGCUUAAAGUAUGAUGAUCAUAUUUAUUAAUUUCAUUUUUUUUCAAAUUUAUCUAGGUCGAUAUUAUUUAGUAGAUAAGGGAUAUCAAGAUAGAGAAAGAUAUAUGAUACCAUAUCCAAAAAUAAGAUACCAUCGAUCACAAUUUAAAAAGGAGACACAUAAUAAUGUUGAAUAAGCUCUUAAUCGUACACAUUCAUCACUUUGUAGCUAUAUUAAAAGAUCAUUUGGAAUCUUGAAGAAAAGAUGGAAAAUUCUUAGCCAAAUGCCACAAUAUAGUGUGGAGACCCAAAUCGAUAUUAUUAUGGCUACAUUUACAUUUCAUAAUUAUAUUCACAUGAACUCAACUAAUGAUAUGUUCUUUACUAAGUUAGCAACAUCAAGAUUAUAUACGACAAGAUGAACAUGAAGAUGAUUAGGGGUGUAAGAGGUUCCGGUUUAAACCGUGAAAUCGAUAGAACCGAACCAAACUAAACCACAAAAUGUUGUUCGGUUCGGUUUUGAGGUUCAGUUCGGUUAAUUUUUUAAGGAACCAUUUAUGUUCGGUUCGGUUAUAGUUUUAGAAAUUUAGGAACUGUUGUAACCGACCGCAUAUUAAGAAAUAGAUAUUAGGGAAGGAUGUUGUGUUGUUGGUUAAAUUCUUAAACCGAAUUUGUGGUUUAAAUUAUAAAUUUUGUGUGAAUUUACUAAAUUGUUAUUAUGUUAGUUAUUAUAUAAGUUAUUACUUACUAAAUUGUUUCAUAGUGUCUUGAUGAUUUGGAAUAUAUCUUCAAACAUUUGUGGUAUUGAGUUUUAAACUAACAUUUACAAAAAUUGUUAUAUAUGUAUUGUUAUAUAUGUUAGUAAUUGUGAAUUGUAAAAUUAUAUAUGUAACUAUUAUAUAUUUUACUAAUUGAUAUAUAUGUUACAAAGUUAUUAUGUAUGUUACUAAUCGUAUAUUGUAUUGUUAUAUAUGUUUCUAAUAGAUAUAUGUAUUACUAAAUGUGGAUUGUAUUAUUUUAUAUGUGAUCAUUCGCUUUUUUUCCCUAAAUUACACAAUUGUAAUAUAUAUUACUAACACACAAUUAUGAGUUUCAAAAUUUUAACUCAUUCUAUACAUGAUUCAUAUUUGUUUUAUAAUAAUAAUAAUAAUAAUAAUAAUAAUAAUAAUAAUAAUAAUAAUAAUAGUGUUUUUCCUUUUCAGGACUAGGGAUGGCAACGGGCGUGGGCGGGUAGUGCUUUCCCGUGCCCAAACCCACAAUAUUUACGGGUACCCAUGCGGGUAGCGGGUAUUUGUGGGUACCCAACGGGUUUUUAAUUUUAAUUAUAUAUUUAUAUAAUUUAUAAUAAUCAAUAUGUAAAAAUAAUUGCUACAUAAAUAAUAUGAUAUUUAUAUGAUAAAUUUAUGAUCAUGGUCAAAUAUGUGUAAUUUAUUAUGAAAUAAUAAUAAAGAAUAUGAUAUAUAAUAUUAAAAUAAUAAUAAAUAUAUAUAAAUUUUUAACUAAAAACUAAAUAUAUAAAUUUGUGGGUACCCGCAGGGUGGGUAUCACAAAACCCGCUCAUAAGCUAUUAUUGUCGGUACCCAUUGCAGGUAUUUCCACGGAUACCCGUGGGUCGGGUUUUUUGCCAUCCCUAUUCAGGACAAACAAUAUCUCUUGUAAUACAUUUUAAACUUUCAAUCGAUGCAAUAUUUUUUUUAUAAAAAAUAGGAAAAACUGUAGAAUCGAACCAAACCGUUUAAGAACGGUUCAGUUUUGUAGUUAAAUUUGCGGUUAAUUGAGCCGAACUGAAUCAUGUGUUUGUGUUCGGUCAUUAAAAUGUACAAAAAAUUACACCGAAUUUUUACACCCAUAGAGAUGAUGAUAUAAAUUUUAAAACUUCGAAUCAGACAAAUUUUGGAAAGACGAAAGAAUGUGACAAGAUUUCUCGCUUAUUAUGGGAGUCAAUGGGAUAAAUAUUUUAAUUUUAGAAUCUUUUGUUAUAGAUAAAUUAUUUUUCACUUGAUUCUUUUGUGAUGUACACAUUAUCUUUGCAUUUCAUUGUUAUAUGAAUGUAUAAAAUAUUCUCUUAUUAUAUAUUUUAGUGUCAUUAGUAGAAGAAUAUUAUAAACUUAUGUAACUUAAUUGCAUUUUUGGAAGAAAAAAAUUGAAAACAAAUUUUUUUUAAAAUAAAACAAAUAAAUAAAUAAAAUAUUACAUACUCGUUUAUAACUUAAAUAAUAAAAUAAAUGAUUAUUUUAAAUUAUUUAUGUAUUUAAUAACUUCAAUUAAUAAAUAAAAAAUAAAAAAUAAAUAAUGUAUAUCUUUUAGUUAUUUUUUAAAUUUCAACUAGUUACAAAGCUCAUUAUACCUAACAACUCUAGUUUAAUAAGCUAUAUUUACACUUAUAAGCUUCUAGCUACCUUCACAACUAUAAGCUAUAAACUUUCAACUACCUUCACAGUUAUAAGCUACAAGCUCACAACUUUAAGCUAGUUUUUCCGAAGAAAGAAAAUAUUAUUAACGGGAUUAGAUUCUAUUUAGAAAUCUAAAUUUAAUAUAUGAAAUAGUUCAUAUAUAUUUAUUUAUUUUUCAUUCGGUGCUUAUGUUGCUGGUAAUUUUAUUUUACUGAAGUAAUUAUAGAAAUGUAAUAUUUUUGAACUUUCUUGGUUUACUAUUUUUGUACCCUUUACAUUUUACAUUUUUAUGAUCUCUCUCCUUUUCAAAGUCACAUAAUCCAUCAGAAUAAGUUGCACCUGAAAUAAUAAUUCUACAAUAAAAAUGUAUACUUAACUUUCAAUAAGCUAGCGGCACCAGGGUUAUGAGAGGUGAGUCGGAGCUACCCUGGAGGCAGCACGGACGGCGUAAGGAAGAAAGCUUUAUCUACAGAAAUCAUGGCAUGGAGUCUAGGGAGAACAAUAGAGUCUAUCACUCUUUGAAGGGAAAAAAUUCAUCCUUUAGUUCUAAAGGACAUUUCAAUUUCAUUCAACAAAACAACAUUACGUUCUUCUUUACCAAUAUACCAGAUAGCUGUGGAACAGGGGAAUUAUGGGGUAUUUUCGCAAAGUUGGGCAAGGUAGGUGAAGUAGUUAUCCCUAACAAAAGAGAUAAAAGGGGAAGAGAUUUGGGUUUGUCAGAUUCCUAAUGCAGGACCGGGAUGGUAAAUUGGAGAAUUCUUUGCAAAAUGUUUGGGUAGGAAAUUUUAGGCUCUUAAUCAACAGGCCAAAGUUCAACAGUAAUGGAGUGCCCUUUGACAAAAAGGAAUUUAUAAACAAAAACUAUCCAAGGAAAAAUUUGAAUAACGAAUCUUAUAAGAUCUCUUACCCAAUGGCUGAUUUGAAGGGUUCUUCUUGGAAGGACGUCCUCACUAAAGGCAGGGGAGCAGGGAUGUCUCCGGAAAGUCCUUCAUGGUCAGGGUUGGAAUUUAAAAUUUCUAAGGAUCACUUGAAAGCUUGUUCAAGUAUGUUAGUUGGGGAACUUAGAAAUUAUGAGGAGGGUAAAGUGGUGAAUAGAGUGUUGGCAACUCAAGGUCUUUUUUCAAUUAAAGCCAUUCCUAUGGGUAGUAAGUUAAUUCUCCUAAAAGAUAGGGAUGGGGCAGACAUACAGAACAGUGUCAAUCAAGAACAAGUAUGGCGCAAGACCCUUUUCAAAGAAAUAAGAACUUGGUCGCUUGAUCUGUUUGCUCAAGAUAGACUGGUGUGGGUGAGAUGUUCCGGAGUUCCUGUGCAAGCUUGGACGGUGGAUUUCUUCAGAUUGAUGGGUGAAUCUCUUGGUCGAUUCAUCAAGGUGAGUGAAGAAACUAAGAAUAUGACCAGGCUUGAUGUUGGGUAUAUUCUUGUGGCUACUGAGUCGUCAAGCCGAAUAGAUCUUACCACCAAAGUGAAGGUGGGAGAUCUAAUGUUCAGUAUUAACAUGGUUGAGGUGGUGUUUGAAGAAGGAGACUCUGGUUCGAAGAGCAGUAAUGGGUUAGAAGUGGGAGAAUUCAUUCCCGACUCGGUGGAGUCGGAGGAUGGGGAGACCUGGCCGGAAGUUAACUCAGCGUGGGGAGAAGAGGAGGAGGAAGAAGAUGACGUGGCUUCCUUUCUUGCCAGUGCUGACGUAGAACGGAAGAGAGUUCAAAAGGGUGGGUCAAAAGUUAGGAUAGAGAGAGAUGAUAGUGACAUCUCUUCUUUCUCUGUCCGGUCUGACAAGGAUAGGGAAGAGGCGAUUAAUAGUGUUUUGCAGGAAAAUGGGAGAAAGAAAGGACAGCGUUUUGAAAGUGGUUCUGCGGGUGUGGUUAUUGAAGAAAGAAACAAAGGUGUUGCAGGUGAGAAGGGUCUGCAAAAAGUCUCUCCUAGGGAAGAAGAAGAAGAGUUGGACGGUGUGAGGAAAAAGGUGAAGGAGGAUGGGUGUUGUUCUAAAGUUAUUGGGCUUAGGGUAGCCCGACCCGGCCUAAUCAAUUACAAAAAGAAGGGGACCGUGUUUGGGAAAAAAAAGAAGUUGGGCCCUAUUUCUCAAGCCCAACCGGUUUUGCCUUUGGAUAUUGAGAAAGAGGUGGAUUUUAUUGAUAAAAAAGGGAAAGGAAUUAUUAUGCAUAAAUCCCCUUUCCAGGAGCACGUGGGCUUCAUUAAAGAAAUGGUUCCCUUUAAAAGUCAAUUGGGUUGCUUUGGAAAAGGCUCUUCUUCUAAAAGGAAUAAUAAUUCAGCUUCAGGAGAAAUUCAAGGCACCUUGGCUAAAGUUCAAUCUUCUUCAAAAAAUCUCAAAUCAAGGAAAAAUUUGGUAAUCCCCAUUUCUCAAACUUUUUCUUUGCUGAGUAAUAUAGGUCUAAGGAAACCAAUGAAGAAAUUGGCAAGAGAUAAGAGAAAGGUCAUUAAUAGAAAUAUUCAUGGUAUUAAUUCCAAGGAAUUAGUGCUUCGCAAUAUGUCGGACAUUGAGGAGGGGGAAUUGGAUCCUACUAUUAGCAAUUCCAUUUCUGACUCUCAUGUUAGAAAUGCAAAUCUUCUUCAUUUCAAAGAGGAUGAUUUGGUGGCGGGUAAAAUAUGGGAGAUAGGGAAGAAGAUAGGAGUCUCCUUUAAUGGUGAUGAAGAGGUGAUGCUGGACAGAAUUAGAGAUAUGGAAGUUAGGGAUAAGGUUGGGUUGUCUAAUGCCAACCGUUGGGAGAAGGAGGGUGAUCCAUGAAUUGUGCCUCUAUUAAUGUUAGGGGAUUGGGGACUAGGCUGAAAAAGAGUAAGGUUAGAAGCCUAGUGCAGAAUGAAGAUAUCCAUUUUUUGGGUAUUCAAGAAACAAAAUGGGAGGUUUGUGAGUCCAAUUGUUGUUAUGGUUUAUGGGGUAAUUCAUAUUGUGAUUGGGAGUUUAUUCCUUCUAUAGGGCGAGUGGGUGGUAUUUUGAGCAUUUGGAAUUCUUCUAAGUUCUCAAGAAUUUGUUCUUUCAAAGGCAAUGGGUUCCUCGCCAUUCAAGGUUUGUGGCUUCCAGAUCAAUGUUUAUGUUGUAUUGCUAAUAUUUAUUCCCCUUGCAAUUUGAGUCUAAAAAACGUGCUUUGGGAAGGGCUAUGUGUUCUAAAACGAAGCCUUUCCAUUGAUCUUUGGUGUGUUUUCGGUGACUUCAACGCUGUUCGUUGUGCUUCUGAACGAAGAGGAGGAGGUGGGGUGAGUUGUAGUAGGGAGAUGUCUCUCUUCAAUUCCUGGAUUAGAGAUAUGAAAUUAUUGGACAUUCCUUUAAUUGGUAGGAAUUUUACUUGGUAUCAAUCUGGUGGGGGGGCUAUGAGUAGACUCGACAGGUUCCUUUUGUCUCCUGGGUGGCUUUGUCAAUGGCCUCAGGUUUCUCAAUGGGCUCUCAGUAGAGAUUAUUCAGAUCAUUGUCCUAUAGUGUUGAAGCAUAGGAAGUCGUCUACUUUUCCUAUUCUGUUUAAGUUUAAUAAUUGUUGGUUGAAGCAUCCUGAGUUUCAGGAUUUUGUGAAGAAAACAUGGUUGGAGACUCAGAUAUCUGGCUGGCCGGCUUUUAUCAUGAAAGAGAAGUUGAAAGGUUUAAAAUUGAAGCUGAAAAUUUGGAACAAGGAGACUUUUGGGUGCUUGGAUAGUAAAUUGGCUGCUCUCUCGAAGGGUAUUCAGAAUAUUGAUAUUGCUGGUGAGAGUACUACUUUGGAGAUGGAUCAAAUUUUAUUGAGAAAGAAUCUUCUUGCUGAUUGGUGGAGGACUACUAAUAUGAAGGAAAGUCUCCUUAUCCAAAAGUCUAGAAACAAGUGGUUAAAGGAGGGAGAUGCUAACACAAGCUACUUUCAUGCUUGUAUUAAUAAUAGACGAAGGAGAAAUCAAAUCGUCGGGGUUUGGAUUGAUGAAGUUUGGUGCUCUGAUGAGAAUGGUAUCUCGGACGGAGUUGUCAACUAUUUUAAAUUGUUGUUUCAGCGUGUUCAUAUUGAUAACCCAACGAUUGAUGGGGUGGAGUUCACAAAGCUUUCAGAUUCUCAAAUUUCUGAUUUGGAUGAGUUCUUUUCAGAAGAGGAGCUUAAAGCUGCUGUGUGGAGUUGUGCCAGUGACAAGAGUCCAGGUCCGGAUGAGUACAAUUUCAAAUUCUACCAGGAGUUCUGGGACCUUCUAAAAAGUGACAUUGGUCGUUUUGUGAAUGAUUUCCAUCGGAAUGGUAGGAUUCCGAAGGGGCUGAAUUCUUCGUUUAUUGCUUUGAUUCCUAAGAUUAAAAAUCCGAGCAAGAUUCAAGACUUCAGACCAAUUUCCCUGGUGGGUUCGUUAUACAAGAUUAUUGCCAAAAUCUUGGCGGGAAGAUUGAAGAAAGUGGUAGGUUCCUUAAUUUCUUCUUCUCAAUCGGCUUUUCUUCAGGAUCGGGAUGCUACCGUUGUGAUCAAUGAGGUUAUUCAUUCUGCUAAGAAGGACAAAGAGGGUUGUCUUCUUUUCAAGGUGGAUUUUGAAAAAGCUUACGAUUCUGUUAGUUGGGAGUUUCUUGAUUAUAUGCUUGGUCGUUUUGGUUUUUCUAAUAGGUGGAGAAUGUGGAUUAAUGCUUGUUUGACGUCCACGUCAAUGUCUAUAUUAGUUAAUGGCUCUCCUUCUGAAUCCUUUUCGGUUUCCAAAGGUAUUAGGCAGGGAGAUCCCAUGGCUCCUUUUCUGUUCUUGCUGGUGGCUGAAGGUUUUGCAGGGCUGGUUAGGAAUGCUAGAUCUAGUGGUUUAUUGGAAGGCUACAAAUUGGGAAGGCACAUGGUGGAGAUCUCUGAUCUUCAAUUUGAAGAUGAUACUAUUUUCGUUUGCACUCCAAAAGAUUACAACAUUUGGUGUAUGAAGAGUAUCCUCAGAUGCUUUGAGUUGGUUUCCGGUUUGAAGGUUAAUUUCAAUAAGAGCUCUUUGAUCGGUGUUCGGGUUGCAGAUAGUAUUCUAGAAGCAGCUUCUAUAUUCUUAUCUUGUAGAAUUGGGUCUAUUCCUUUUAUGUAUCUGGGAAUUCCGGUGGGGGCUAAUCCAGCAAACUAUUCUUCUUGGCAGAAUGUGAUUGAUAAGGUUUCCAACAGAUUGGCAAUUUGGAAGUGUAAGCAUAUUUCGUUUGGUGGUAGAGUGAUUCUCAUUAAUUCAGUUCUCACGAAUAUGCCUAUUUAUAUGUUAUCGCUUUUUAAGGCUCCAAAGAAGGUUAUAUCGAAGUUGACAUCUCUUUAGAGAAACUUUCUUUGGAGUAACAAAUCAGGAGUUAGAGGUAUUCCUUGGGUUGCUUGGUCGGAUGUGUGUAAGCCUAAAAAGUUUGGGGGUUUGGGUAUUAAGGAUCUUUCUCGGUUCAAUGAUGCUCUGCUGGGAAAAUGGAAAUGGAGAAGACUGGUGGACUCUGAUGCUCUUUGGGUUAAAGUGAUCGAUUCUAAGUAUGGCACUAAUGGGGUCUUUAACUCUAGUCCGUCGGCUUCAAGGUGGUGGAGAGAUUUGGUUAAAAUUGGUUCUAACGAUGAUGGAUCUGGCUGGAUGGAAGCCAACCUUUGGAAGGAAAUUGGCGAUGGGUUUCAUACUUGCUUUUGGAAGGAUAUUUGGUUUGGGAAUCGAACUCUUAAGGAUAUCUUUCCGAGACUUUUCCUACUUGCCUUAGAUAAGGAUGCUUUGGUAGCUGAGUGCGGGGUUUGGACCAAUGGUGAAUGGACAUGGAAUAUUCAUUGGAGGAGAAACUUAUUUGCGUGGGAGGAAGAUGUAGCAAGAAGCCUUUAUAGUCUAAUUCAGAACCAUGCUUGCAAACGUGAUGUGGGUGAUAGAUGGAGAUGGAACCUUGAUAAGUCGAGGUGCUACAUGGUGAACUCAGCUUACUUGGCUCAUUUGAAUGCUAGUAUGAUGGAGCCAGGUAAUGUUCUUAACUUAUGUUGGAUUAAUUGUGCGCCUUCAAAAGUGUGUUGUUUAAUGUGGAAAGUUAUCAGAGGUAGGGUAGCAACAAAAGUGGAGCUUCAUAAGAGAAAUAUUGUGGGGGUGAAUGAUUUGAAGUGCGAUCUGUGUUUGUUGCAUGAUGAACAUUUAGAGCAUCUUUUCCUUUCUUGCCCUUUUGUCUCUAAUGUGUGGAAAUGGUUCUAUUCUUGGCUUCAAAUUGAUAUUACCUUGUUGGAUUCGAUUGUGGAAUCGCUAAAGACGCAUGAUUCCCUCUGUAGGAAUAGAAAAGGGAAAUCGAUGUGGAGAAUGUUAUGGUUUGCUGUUAUUUGGUCGAUUUGGAAGUUAAGAAAUGAUAUUAUUUUCAGGGGGGCAAAGUUAGUUUUACUCAGAUUAGGGAUUCGAUUCAAAUUAGGUCUUGGGUGUGGAUUUCUAAAAAUAUAGGAUCAAAUUUGUACACUUUUACCUAAUGGUGUAUUGAUCCUUACUCUUGUAUUGAUCUUUUUUGUAAGUUGUAAUUGGGUUGGCACCCCUUGUGCCUGUUUCUAAUAUAUUUGCUUAUCAAAAAAAUUAUAGAAAUGUAAUGUGUGCAAGACGUAUAUGACUUAUUUGAGUCGGUAUUGUUUGAAGGAAUUUCAUUCAACUUACCUCAGAUAAUACUACAAUUACUUAGUAGUGCCCUUAUUUACUGAAAACAUUCCAAUGCAGUUGACUGCUAAAUACAAAUUUUGAGAAAGAAACAAUAGGACAAUUACAUAAAUUAAUAGGUAAAGUAGAAUGAAGUUACAAUCUAUGUAGUUAUUGCAUGCAAGAACCAACUGAAACGUCAAAUAUUUGUUCACAUACGAUAUAACUAGACCAAAGUGUUAUGAAAUGAAACUAUGGGACUCAAUGACAAGAGAAGACUCGCAUAAGUGGAGCCAUCAUUGUCUUCCAUUUAUUAUUAUUAAUCAAUGCUACAUCACUGUCAUACAUAGUAUCCUGCAUUAGAAAUUUGUUAUGGUGCCUUCAUCUUUCUCACCACAUCAAUGCUUCAAAACUUGAUGCUGCAAUAUUACACAAACCAAUAAAUAAAUGAAGUGAUUUAAUUCCCAAAUUUUAGACCAAAAAUAAUCUAUGCUAGUGAGAAGUACUUUAGGCUCAAUUCUAUUAAUUGGCUAAAUUUCAGUAACUAGCUAGCGAAAGAGCAAGGAUGCAUAUAUAGGAUAAUGAUUUUUCUAUCACAAACAUGUGAGAAUAGUAUGCAUCAGAGUAAUUUCAUGAAAACCCUUUUAAGAAUUUUAAUGAAAAUUUUUAUGGGUAUUAUUAUUAACCAUUAUUUCCAAAAACUCAAGGCAUUACGCUAAAUAUAUAAAUGAUGGUUGUUAAGAGAUAAGAAUAAUGUGGAUAGAAGCUUAGCUCCAUUCAUCCAUUUAUGGUUGUUAUCAUUUUAUUAAUAUUUAGAUGAAAAACUUGACAGCUUAAUUAAAAAAAAAGGUAAGCAACAAGAUAAAGAAAUUGUGAGGUAACAAGAUAAGGAAAUCGUGAGUUAUUCAUUCUUUCCUUAAAUUGUCAAAUCGUGAUGUAAGAUAUUGAUACAUAAAUUUCUAUUUUUGUCCUUAAAUUUAAUUUUAUGCAAUAAUUAGGGAUUAUAAGAUCCAUCAUCAUAGAGAAUUUUAAUAGCAUAUCAUAAACUAAUUCACUAAAAUAUAAGUAGUGCUUGAUAGUUAUUCAAAUCUACUUUAUUACUUUUGUUUCUUCUUUCAUUAUCAUCUAAUUGCACAAAAAGAGUUGAUAGAUAGUAUGGUGUUUUGUAUAAAAAAACAUUUUUUCUAUUUUUAGAAAAUUAUACUUCUAUUCCUUCUUUAUAAAAGAAAUUCAUAUGAAUUAAAAUAAAUUGAUUAACAUAGUUAUGAUAUUAAAUUUACAAAGCACGGAGAUAACAUACGUAUUACAAUUAGUGGAGGUGCUGAUCUUGUAAGGGAGAUUGACCCCGCAUUUGUCUGGUAGUGAUGCUGCAUUCCCCGGAUCAAAUUGGGUGGAAGCAGCCACAGAUUUGAGGCAAUUGCACGCUGUUUGUUUGUCAGCAGUGCUCUGAGCCAACGCCACGAGUCCCUUGACUCCGUUGCAGCAUGUUCCAGGAACAGCUCCACCGGACUGCAGGUAAGUGAGGCAUGGAGCUAGGC